rnacentral:lncRNA from 1 species
UCCACACAUCAAAAUAUUCAACUACUGGCUUAGGAGGAUAAUGCAUAUCUGAAAAUCAUGCGCUGUUUUGCUAAAGUUAUUGAUCUGCGUCUUUUUGGGUCAUGCAAAUCACCAAGACUUUUAUGCACACUUUUCUCUAUCAUGCACACAGAUCCAAAAACUAGCAAAGAUCCGCAAUAUUUUGUAAGAAAAAACAUGUAAGUUAUCAUUCGGAAUCAUGUGUUUUGAAGCUUUUUAGUCCUUUUUUUGUUGUUUUGAAGUUUAUAUAUGUUGUUCGCCUGUCACUCACACUUUCUUGAUCUGUUGUCAGUCAAGUAGAAUCAGAUCGGUACCAGUUAGGUGUUCAUAGCAUUUCAAGGGUUGGUUUUGUGGGUUUGUCCAGGUCACUUGACCUUACCCUUUCCGAUGUCAAGCGGAUUGUGUUCCUUGGCAAAGAUGUUUCUGAUGGCAACAAAAUGUUGCUUUCACAAGCUGUUGAUAUCUUCCAUGUGAGUAUAAACUAUAAACUAUAAAGUAGUGUUUUUAUUCUUAUUCUACACUGCUGCUACAGAUUAAUCAAUUAAAAACCAUUUAUUUUUUCUGUGGGUUUUCACAGAGUGUAACAGAGAAAUGCUUCAAAUAUUUUGUUGAUCAUUACGGGAAGUGAUUUUAUUCAUGGGUAAGAAAGUAUAGACAAUUUACUUAACUUUUAUUUUUAUAUUUUUAACUUCUAAUUUUUUUUUUUCUUAUCUUUUUCUCCAACUAAUAGGCAGACAAUGGGUGAUUCCAAUUUAACUAGAGUUCAUUGUGCUAUGCUGACAAUAGAGUAAGCUCACACUUUUCAUUUUGUGCUUCUUUUCAUAUGCGAUACAAAGUUAUCAUCAUCAUCAUUAUGAUUACUAUUAAUAUUAUAUUUUGUUCAGGUCAAAAGUUGUUACGGCUGGGGGGGUUUUUUUUUUUUGGGGNCUUCCAAUGGUUGCUAUUAGUGAAACCAACCGAGGGAAGGUAUGUGUAUAUUAUAUUAUUAUUCCCUUUACACAUUUUAAACAUUAGUGGUUUAUUUAUUUUUUUAACAUAUAAUAAAUGUAUGAAUACAGUAAUUGAAUUGAAGGGUACUGUCAAGUUUUCUUCAACUGUUUUGAGAGGCUUCUUCGUUAUCCGAAGGGUAAGAAGAUGGUGGUUCUAGUUGCUGAGGAUGUUAAAUCCAUGUAGAUUCAGAAAUUUGGUAUUGAUAAAGUAACCCCAACUUAGGUAUUAUUAUAUUACUAUAUUAUUAUUAUUAAGUGGUUUUUUUAUUCUGAUUAUAAUCUUUCAUGAUUCUAAUUAUUACAAACAACUAAUAUUAUAUAUCCAUGGUUUUGGUAUAGCGGAGUGAAUAGAGACAAACAUUGACAUCAAUGGUGGCAUUCUGAAGAACAUAUUUGUUAGAAAAGGAGGUGGUGGGGCAUCAAUGCAAUCACUUUUGAAGAUGGUUUUGGUUUUAGUCUCUCUAUGGAGAAAUAAAGUAAGCGAUGAAUGAAUGAAAAAUGAACACCCUUUUGUUGGAUUUAUAUGUUCUGGUUUUACAAGAUUUGAUGUAUGUUUUAAUAUUUUUUGUGUUGAAUGUUUAGUUGUUUUUAAUAUUUUGAUGAAUUUAUAUUUUUUUAAUGAGUUUAUCCAAGAUUCAGUCGGUAAUCCAUUAGUGAGUUAUUCCGUCAGUAAUAUCCUGCAAAAUAUUACUUUCGUAGGUAAUUGAUUACUAAUUACCGAUGGAAAAAUCCAUUGCUAAAAUUUCUUGUAGCCGGUGAAAAUCCGUUACAUAUAUCAUAUGCCUAUUUUGGGAAUUAGAUGUAUGGUUUGUAUUGUACACCUCUAUAACCUUCUUUCCACAUCUAGUGCACGCAUCAUAACCAUUUUUGUUUCAUAAUCACCUUUAGACUCAUCAUUUUAAGCUAAAUUAUGACUUAGAAUUAUAGUAAUACUACUUAAAAACUCCAUAUCCCCACGAACACCUUCCAAUCUGUUAUUAUGUAAAAAGCAAAAAAUAAAGUUUAAAUAUGAAGGAGAUCAAGAUAGAGAGUACUUAUGCAUCAUAUUAGAAGAUUGUAAUAUUGAAACUAACAUUUUCUUGUGUUCGUUACUCUAAAAAAUGGCUGCACUAAUAAACAAAUUAGAUAUGUUCUCAUAAGAUGAAACUCCACCUAGAAAAGUGCAAAAAAAAUCAAAUAAAAAAACUCUUUUUAUGUACGAAGUAAAUAUUAGACUAAUAGAACGAAUCAUUCCAAAAAUUGAGUGUAGCAAACUAAUUAACUAAAAUAACACCAAUUUUUAUUUAUUUAUUUAUCAUAAAAUCUGAUAAUUUAUGAGCUUGAAGUCCAAACAAAAUAACCUUAAGCAUAUACCCCUACAAUAAAAAAGUAAUUUCGUUAAAAAACAAACGUACACCAUAUAUAUAUGAGAAAUAUCACAUUAAAAAACGUUUAAAAAUUCACUCUAUGUUGCUUAAAGUCAACUUCAUGUUAUGACUUGAUGGAUUAGAAUUAGAUGUGUCUAGAAUACGUCGUGAUAUGAUAUGUCCGAUAGCAUCUACACAUGUACAAAACAAUAAUAGGAAUUAUAUGAAUUAUUUAAAGAAUGUACAAAACAUAAAAUAACUAACCCAAACACAAAUUAAUCAAGCAAGUUUGCUGUAGAAUUGAAGUAGAGUCAACAAAAACAAAGGCAUGAAGCCGACCUGUAAAUGAGAACAUUUUGUAAGAAGAGUUUUCCAGUAUAACACAAUUUGUUGGUCUAGGCUACUUAUACUAAAACAUUCACUUUUUGCAGCCAUGUUUGGGUUUUGUAUUACAUAAGUUUCACUUUACUUAUAAUAAUGAGAGCGAUUGAUAACACAACUUUCUUAUUUUGGGUAUAAAUUAGCUCAUCCUCAACACACGAACCUUAAAUGUUGUAUCAUGUGAUACGGCUCCAAUGUCUUGUAAUUAACUUUGGCGGUUGAUACUAUUAUGAAAAUAAAUGGUUAACAAAUGCAAUUAAAUACAAUCAUAUAAACGUCCAAACAUAUCAAUGUACUUUGUUAAAUUAUAUGAGAAAUUGCUAAGUAAUAGCAAUAUACUUUGCUUUUUUUUUGUCUUUUUCCCUAUACACUUUAUGUAAUGUGCAGAAGAGACUAAAAUAAUCUAACUACCUAAAAUACCCCUGCCCUAUGAAGAUGUUGUUUAUAUUUCUGAAUCACCCAUAACUUCCAUGUUUAUGAGAUUGAGGAAAAAAAAAUACACGUUGCUUUUUUUUUUUUUGCAUAAAAAGUGGGUCCAAUACAGUCAUCGGGUUGGAUUACCCCCGGCCCAAUCAGUCAUCAGAGUAGAAUCCCACUAUACAACGAGUCCAAUUAGUCAUUGAACUAGUAUACCCUCGGGUCCACAACCAUCGGGUAGGAUUACCCCCAGUUUGUUGGCUCACGCACAUAAUAGUAAAGCCUCAACCUCAAGCCAUACUAUGUCGAAAUAUGCAAUAGAUAAACAUGUAAACAAUCAACAAGGAACAUGCAGAUCUACAGUUCAUUAUCAUAUAGCACAUCGUAUAUACCAUGGUAUAUAUCUAACAUCUGACUACACCAUAACGACAUCCUAUAUACCAGGAUAUAGAUAUAACAGAUCACUACAAUUAAUGACAUCCUAUAUACCAGGAUACAGAUCUAACAUAUCACUACAUCAUAACAUCUUAUACCAUGAUACUGAUCUAACAAAUCACUACAGCAUAACAACAUCUCUUAUGCCAUGGCACAUAACCUAGUGGGUUGACAUUCGUGCUUUAGACCCACUUGUAAAGUGAGGAAAACCCACCUCUCAUAUUGAAAACAUAGCUGAACAGGACACUACUCUGCAACUCAAUUCCACUAGUCACCUAUGCAGCCAAUAAUGACCAAACUCGACCAUAACUCGAAAUAACAAAAUACCCCUCGGACCAACUUUGUUAAAAUCCGGUCAAGGGUCAAAUAGUUAACUGAGUUUACUCAGGCUGAAUACGUUUUGUGUACCCAGGAUGUACGAUUAGCAUAUUCAAGAUCUAUAUCAGGGCUCCCAAGGGAGUACACCUGGAGUACUUGGAAAAAUGUCAUUUUCCCAUUAAGUGUUUAUUGCAUUAAGUCCCUUCCUCCAAAUGCGGAUCUAACCCUCAAAUAUCAUUCCUAACAAUAAAGUUUCAAUCUUUAUGGGUUUGCAUGACUAGAAGAUGACAAACACAUAAAUCUUAACUUCAUAUUGUGAUAUGCUAACAAUAUAGUAAGCUCACACUUUUUAUUUUGUAUUUAUUUUCAUAUGCAGUAGAAAGUUAUCAUCAUUAUUACAAUUAUUAUUAAUAUUAUAAAUUAUGCACCUCAAAAGUUGUUACAGCUGGAUUGUUUCAUGUGUUUGGGGAAGAUGUUCCAGAGCUUCGGAUAGUUGCUUCUAGUGAAACCAACCAAGGGACGGUAUGUGUAUAUUAUACUAUUAUUCCAUAACACAUUUUAAACAUCAGCGGUUUAUUAUUAUUAUUUUGAACAUAUAAAAAAUGUAUGAAUAGAUUGAUUGAAUUCAAGGGUACUUUCAAGUAUUCUUCAACUGCUUUGAGAUGUUUUUUGCAUAUAUGAAGGUGAAGAAGAUGUUGGUUCUGAGGAUGUUAAAUCCAUGGGGAUUCACAAAUUUGGUCUUGGAAAAUUAACCCCAACUUACCUAUUAUUAUAUUAUUAUUAAGUGGUUUUUUAAUUCUUAUUAUAAUGUAUCAGUUAUUUUUUGUUAUUACAAACAUGUUAUAUUAUAUAUGUGUGGUUUUAGUAUAGCAGAGUGAAUACAAACAAAUGUUGACAUCAAUGGUAGCAUUCUAAGGACCAUAUUUGUUAGAAAAGGAGGUGGUGGGGCCUUAAGAUGGAGUUAUUUUUCAAGAUGUUUUUUGUUUUAAUCUUUCCAUGGAGAAGUAAAGUAAGCAAUGAAUGAGUGAAUAAUGAAUACUCUUUUGAUGGAUUUAUAUUUGUUAGUUUUAAAAUGUAGAUUUGAUAUGUGUUAUAAGAUUUUUUUUUGUGUUUAAUAUGUAAUUAUUUUUAAUUUUUUCAUGAAUUUAUAUUUUUUUCAUAAUGCCAAAACUUCUCGUUAACCUAACACAUAAAAUCUUUUGGUAAUCUAUUAGUGAGUUUUUCCUAGGUUCCAUCAGUAAUCCGUUAUUGAGUUAUUUUUUUCAGUAAUCUUUUGGAAAAAAAUAUUUUCAUCGGUGAUUGGUUACUAAUUAUCCACGGAAAAAUCCGUUGCUAAAAUUUGUCGUAGCCGCCAAAAAUUCGUUACAUAUAUGAUAUGCAUUUUUGGGAAUGACAUGCAUUAUCAAACCAAGGAUAGUCUUGCCUAAUUCCUUUGAUUGUUCCAAGUAAAAUAAACUUACUUUCCUGUAACCAUAACAAAAGUAGAUUAAUAAAACUUCGUAUGUCAAAAAAGAUAAUAAAUAACUUUAAAGAUGAUAAUAUACCUACAAUGGCUUGAUAAUAUCACAAACGUUUUUUAUUUCAAAAGCACCUUUAAACUCAUCAUGAUAUGAAAAAGUAUGACUCGGAAUUACAGUUAUACUACUUUUAGGCUAUUUACCUUGAUGAAAAAAAUAAGUUCAAAUAUGAAGGGGGUUAUCUGAAAAAAAAAAAAUAAGUUCAAAUAUGAAGGGGAUCAAGAUCAAAGUUAUGCAUCGCAUUAAAAGAGUGUAAUAAUGAAACUAACUUUUUCUUGCAUUCAUUAAUCUCAAAAAGGUCUUCAUUAAUAAAAAAAUUAGAUGCGUCAAAAUAAGAUGAAACUCCACCAAGACCAGUAACAAAAUCAAAUAAAUAAAAACUCUUUUAUGUACGAAGUAGAUGUGACAACCCGAAAUUUUGAUCAAAACACGGUGUAUUUAUAGAUAGUAUAAAACAUCAUCACAAUAUUGUUAUAGUAGACAUUUGAAAAAUUUAUUGAAAAGGACUAAAAUUUCUAGAAAUCUCAAUUUACAUGAAGGAUGUUUGGAUUAAGAAGUUUGAAAUCACAAGUAUGUACUAGAAAUGUUUAAGUUGGACCGAAAUGCCCUAAAACCUAGAGGCCUCGCAACCAAAAAAAUUCCCUUUUCCCUCGGACCGAAAACCCUCGCACACAUAGUUCUCGGUUGGAACCAAGAACCUAGUUCUUGGCCUGAUUGGACUGAGAUCUCGGUGGACUAAGGACCUCCUAACUUUACAUCUCUUUAACUACCGUAUCUCCGUACCCUAUAUACAAAUACACACCAAGUCUCAUGAAUGACACCUAAAUAACCACCAAACAUCCACACCCCAUCACCUUUCCCUCUCCUAUUUAACUCUCGGCCGAGAUUGAAUUUAUCACACUCUUCACAUCUCUUUCUUACUCCAACUGCUUCUUCUCUCCAAGAACAAGAUCGAAAUCCCUCAAGGCUUAUCCUAAGAAUUUUGGUGAGUAUUUUUGAAACCCUCUAAGGAUAUAAUACAUUUUCAUGUAAAUUUCACCAUUUUUACUCACUUUUUUUUCAUGUGUAAAACCGUUAGGAAAAUCAAACCUCCAAAGAAGACCAUCAACUCUAUACAAGAAGUUAGGCUCGAAAUCCUCAUCUUCUUCCUGCAAACCAUCGACAAAAUCCUCAAGGUGANNNNNNNNNNNNNNNNNNNNNNNNNNNNNNNNNNNNNNNNNNNNNNNNNNNNNNNNNNGGGGGGGGGAUACAAGUCAAAAUUAUUUUUCUCGUGGAUAUUAGCAUGCUUUAUUCUUAUUGUUUGAACAUGAAAUGAUAUAUCGCCAUUCUCCCUUUCUUUUAUUGCGACGUCUUUCACAAAAAUGAGGGAGCAUGAUUUUCCUUCCCCUCUUUCUUCUCAAUUUCUUUAACUUUUGAACCUAGCAACAUAUACUGUUAGAGGGUGUGAUGGUUAAAAGAAAAGAGAUCAAACCGGAGACUGAUUUGGUCACAAAGGGUUAUCAAGUCUUUUAAUUUACGUGCAUAUGGAAGGGCCCGCAUUAUUAAUGAAGCUUUGAAACUACUAUCUGUUGGGUCAUAGUAUAUUGCUUCACAUGUCACAGCCUGUAAAACGCGAGUGUGUAUGAUUGUGUGUGUGUGUGUGUGAGAAAGAGAGAAAGAAAGAGAUGCCAGUGUGUGUAUGAGAGAGAAAGAGAGUAAGAUGUACCUCAGAAAGCAAAUGAAUUCCGAGAAUCUAAAGUUCUUGAAUUCUUUUUUCAGUAACAAAAAGAUAGAAAAUCGACAUUGUUCAAGUUCUUGAAAUCUUUUUUCAGACGUUCAUCAUCACACCAACUUAAAAGACCAAAGGAUUCAUGUAAAGAAACCCAUUUAUCUUGUACAGUUGGAAGUAUUGUCGUUUUCUUUUUGUGUAUGCUCUUCUUCAAGUAGCCAAUAUCUUCAGAACUCAGAAUCCCAGAUUCCAUUCUGUCAUUCCACUGUUUAAAAACUUGGAAAAACUAACAACACAUGAAACAAAAAAUGUUAUUGGAUGUAUAUGUUUUCACAUAUCUAUAUAUGUAUAUGCAUGUACACAUCUAUAUUCUCAUGUAUAUGCAUGUACACAUCUGUUUUGACCAAGAAAGAAUACUAAAAUUCUUCAAAAUUUUUUGAAGAAGACAGCUACAACACAAUAACUAUAUUUUUCAGAUGGUUAAACAGGUUUUUGGUGAAGUGUUGUAUCUUUUGGUCCCAAAAAUGAAAUGACAUUGCAUAUUUUGAAUAAAAUAUAAUCUAUUUUGAAUAGAAUAAUUGAUAACACAGAGUAUUCUAAAAAAAAUCAAAGAAUUACCAACUUUGCAAGGCGACCUAAAUUUCGAAGGAUCAUAGUCUGCUAACAAAACAAACGCAUUACCAAAUCUUUUUAGUAUGAAAGAUAUAAGAAACAUGACAACAAAAAACAAAACAGUAAGUAAACCUACAAAUUUCUCUUUCUCUUUUGAUCCAGUAGCAACUUUAUUUUGCCACUACAAGAAAAUUUCGAUUUAGCUACCAAAAAAUUAUGUAGCUAAAAGCUAAAAUUCCGUAGCUAAACCUGAAUAACUACAGAAGUUGCUACGGAAUUUGUCAAUGUGCUUCCGUAGGUAUAUUUCUUGUAGCAGACUGUUUAGCUACAAAAUUAUAGUUUCUGUAGCAGUUUUGCUACGUCGUUUAUUUCGUAGUAAUUUAACUACAACACACUUCCAUAACAACUCUGUAACAAUGGGGUGCGUAGCAAAUUCCGUAGCCAUUUCUUACGUAACAAAUUCCAUAGCCAUUCGUUUUGUAGCAAAUUCCGUAACCAUUUGCCUCGUAUCAAAUUCCGUAGCCAUAUGUUACGUAACAAAUUUCGUAGCCAUAUGUUUCAUAACAAAUUCCAUAGCCAUUUGUUUCGUAACAAAUUUUGUAGCCAUUUUUUCCGUAGCAAAUUCUAUGGUCAGUUGUUCCAUAACAAAAAUAGGUUCCAAAUUAAACUAACUCAUAACGAUAAAAAUAUUCAACAAAAUCCAAUUUCCAUUUAUAAUAUUUGUUGAAAUAUAUAAAAAUGAAAUAAAUUUAAUUUUAAUAGUUACAUAGCUUUUUAUAGAUAUAUUACAUAAUUGAAAAUCCUUUUACAUGGUCCAUAAUCAUUAAAAUUGAAUAUUGAUUACAAAUACACAAACUACCUCAACAAAAAUGACAUAACCUGCAAAAUCAAAUUUAUAAACAACUUGAUUAACAUUCAAAUCUCUUGUAUGAAAUCUCAUAAUGUCUCUAGUUUUUGACCAACUAGAGAUUUAAAAUCUAAAAAUAAACAAAAAAUUUGAAAUAUAAUCACAGAGGAUUUCAAAAAAACUGAAUUUGCAUACUAGAAUUUUUUUAAUGGUAGUAUUAGAAGUUGUUUAUGAUCUUAUUAUUGAUAUUGCUCCCUAAUUCCAAGAAACCAAUUUGUUUGUNUAUAUAUAUAUAUAUAUAUAUAUAUCAGUCAAAUUUCGACUCUUUUCCAUGAAAAUGAGGUAGUGACUCUUAAAAUUAACUGCAUGUAAUGUAUUUUGCAUGAUGAAAAUUUAUGCAUACUUGAAGCAAAUCUAUCUAUCUUUGACCAACUUAUAAGGUAAUCUAAUACCAAAAAUUCAAUAAGCUGGAUCCUGUGAAAUACAAAGUAAACAUGACCAAACUAUUCAUAACCCAAAUAAUAUUCUUGCUAAAUAAUACCGGUCAUGAGUAUCAACAUUGCACAUGAGAAACAAGAAACAUAUCAUGUUGCAUUCAGGGAAAGGACAAAGAGAAGAUAAUAAGAAUAGAGCAUAGGUUUUAAAUGGAAAUAUGCAAGGGUUAACUUCAAAAUGAAACAAAAAGGAGAUACUCAAAAUAAGGUCUACAGCUGGGUGGGACCAAUUUGCAAAAUUAGCAUAAUCUAGCUGCAACAAUAGCACAUGCAGAAAGUAAAAGGUGGAAGAUAAGAGUUGCGUCACAUAGUCGGUAGAAUAAGAAGAAUGAAAAAUGGGAAGAAUUCAAUUAAUUAGCAAAACACUCUUACAUACGAAAUAGUAUCACAUAACUCCACAAGAAAAUUAGCUGAAGACUUACGCUGUUCAAUCUCCUCAUCAUUAUGCUUUGCAAAAUGCAAACGGUAUACACAAUCAAGUUGCAUUUUCCCAGAGUAAUAAGAUAAUGGAAAGUUAAAUAACACAUGGAAGCCUAAAUUAAGAACAUAAUUUGGAUGAUAAUUGUAGUAAUCCAACAUGAUCCUUUUGUGGAAUUGGAACCCUCACUUCUUCUUUUUCUUCGUUCUUUCAGUCUCGUUGCAACAACAAUUCCAAAAAUUACCUUAAAAAACACUACAGAUGAUAAUUUGAGUUGAUGCCAUACUAUCAAUGAAGGCAUUGUAUUGGUGAAUUGUAGUGAAGCAUCAACCAGAAAAGAUGAUGACAACGGACCCUACAAAAAUUACCAAAAGAACCCUAAUCCAGUGUUAUUUAGGGCAAAUAAAGUAAAGAGGCAUAUAUACCAACACUAAAACAUCAUUCAGUAGCUUCAUGAACAAAAACGAAAACACAAUUACAAACAAAGAAUUGAACAAUUGUGUAAAUGGAGAUGGAAAAGAAAGUUUAUAUGGAAAAACAUCAAAUAUAAUUUCACCUUGAAGCCAAUAUUAGAGUAGGAGAUGGAAGUUGUAAUAAAUGAACACUUUGAAUUUGACAUUCCUCUCAAAAAGCAGAAAAUUAUUUGUAGGUUAAGAAAAAAAAGUCAGCCUUCUCCAAUUUCGUUCUCUGUUGACAAAGGAAUUGAAAGCUACUAAUUAAAUGGAGAAGAGAAAUGAGAAAUUAUGCCAGUAACUAAAUUCGUUUCUUACCUUCCAUUUCUUGCACAUUAUGAUCAUACCUUGAACGACCUGGUAACGACGGACAUAAUGGUCGACAAAAGAACCACCGGAGAAGGCGAGAAGCGAAAAAGGCUGAUGAAAACGGACGACCAGCAGCGAAGGAGGGUAGCCGUGUGGUGGUAGAGGUGGCGGCGGCGACAGUUGUGGCCGUGACGUUUGUGUUCAACAGAGGUCGGGGGUGUGAAGCGUUUUCGCAGAAUGAAAUCGAUCACCAUGUACAUGCUUAGAUGAAAUCGAAGGAAGGAGGCGGAGAAAGCAAAGGGAAAAACCUAAUUCGAAGGUUAGGAGGUGUAAUCUAAGGAAAGGUGGGACAUUUGAUUGGAAGAUAAGGAGGGGAACCGAUGGGAGGAGCACAACAUGUCCAAAAGGGAAAAACCCUAGUAGACGAAGAGAACACGUGAGCAUGCAUUGACCAGGGACGAGACCAAGGACUAAGCUGUCAAUCCCUCAAAAAAUACCAUGCCUUAAUGAAAACAUCACAACUACAAGGACAAAAUGUGACAAAAUCUUCAAAAUCAUACGGCUAAUGUGUAAAACUGGAAAAAGUUAAUGGCCAAUGUUUAAAACUAAGAAAAUUAUUGUUGCUAACUUGUUCCACUUUAAAGAAUAAGUAAAAAACUUAUUAUUAUUAUUAUAUAUAUAUAUAUAUAUAUAACAAAGUAAUGAUAAUAAGAACAAAUAAAAAACUUAUAAUAAUAUAUAAAGAGCUUUAUUCAUCAUAAUUAAAUUAUAAUCAUAACACAAUUAAAAACAAUAUAUUUUAUUUGGUAAAAUACUUUUUUAUUUUACUACGGAAGUAUAUUCCAUAACUAAUUGACUACGAAAUAUUCCGUAGUCAAAUAGCUAUGGAUUUAGACUUUAUAGCUAUUUUACAAAUUCAAAAACAACUUAGAUACACAAAUAACAACAACUAACCUUUCCGUUACAAAUUACGUUGUAGAUUAGCUAUAGAUUUUUUUUGUAGCAAAUAUUUGUCACAAAGUAGCUACGAAUUUCUAUUAUGUAGCAAACUAGCUACGUAUUUUUAUUCCGUAACCGAUUUUUGUAGCCAACUAACUACGAAAACGGAUUAUGUAACAAGUUCCGUAGCAAAUUAGCUACAACCAACAACAAUGUAGUAUAUUUCAUAGUAAAAUAGCUACAAGUUUUGAUUUUGUAGCAACAAUUCAAGAUUUAGCUACGGAAAUGCAACUCCGUAACGAUUUCCGUAGAAAAAUAGUUACGGCCAACCAUUUUGUAGCAUAUUCCGUAGUAUAAUAUCUACAGAGUUUGAUUACGUAGUAACUUUUUGUAGUUAUUCCUAGUUUAGCUACGGAAUGUAACUUCGUAGCCAUUUCCGUAGCAAAAUAGCUACAACAAGCCAUUUUGUAGCACAUUCCGUAAUAGAAUAGCUACGGAUUUCAAUUCCGUAGCAAGUUUUCGUAGCUAUUUAGGAUUUUUCUUGUAGUGUGCCCAGAAAUCAAAACAACAGGCCCGAUAUCUGGUCAAACAUUUCCUGAAGUCUAUUCACAAAUUCUUUUCGGUUACAAACAACUCUUGACAACCAUAAAGAUGAGUGUGGGAAAUACACAAUAAGAGGCUGCACAACCUUCAACACCUGCAAUCAUAAUAAGAUAAUUAACAAACAAACACAAUACUUGUUUUACUUUUCAUUUAUAUGUCAUAAUGAACAUAGUCUGAACUACAGAAAGAAGCAUGUAUGCAACCUCGGGUAAUGCCUGCAUUGCAAUAUAACAGUCUUUAGCUUCAGAAUCAAAAUCACACGCAAUAUGCUUAGCUACAUAUAAACAACAACAUUUACAUUUCCAUCUUCAUCUUCAUUACAACAUUCAAUAAUGUUGUUAGAUAUACAAAAAGAAAAUUACCAAAAAACCAAUAUAUUGAUGGUUUUGCAGAUUGAUCAUCGUGUUUUGUGCUAUCAAGGAUAACUGCAACUAUUUCCCCACUAAUCUCAUAAAUCUCCCCACGUUGACCGGUGCCUAAAGGUCUAAAAAAGAAAAUAAAAUUACCAGAAACAGAUUAACACCAAUAACUCUAUUUAUAUAGGAUAUGUUUUAUAACAACAUUCACAAUCAUAAAAAAGUAAAUCCAAAAGCAAAUCAAGAAAGAAAGAAAGAUUGAAGUACAUGAAACUAUUGGAAUCUUGAUAUACAUACAUUUAUCAAUAGUUGUUUUUCUUUUUAAUUUUUAUUAUUAUUUCAUACAACUUACCAACUCACCUGCGUGAAAUAACUAUAUAUGCAUUUGUGGGACCAUCAAAAGUGGCUAUCGACCCUAAUUUUAUCCUGUGAUGCAUUCAACUACUAAUUGAACAUAACGUAAUGACAACAACUAUGGUUUCAAAUUUCAAUAAUUGAGUUGAUUUUAAGGUAUUCAAUGGACUUUACACAACAAGCAAUAUCAAAUAAAGUAAUUGCACCAACUAAUUGGGAGAGAAAUAACUGAAGAAGAAGAAGACAAUAACCUGUUAUCUUCUUCCACAAGUACUGAAGGCCCAACAUACUUCACUCGAUCCCCUGGUUUAAACCAUAUAAAAAAAAAUUAGGUGUUUCCAAACAAAAAAGAAUUUAAAGUUAUCUACUUAGUAGAAAAUGAAAAUCUACCUUUCUUUAAAGGCUCCUUUGUGUCCUCAGAACACUCGGUGUCCUAUUUUGAUGAUUCAGGAGGAAUCUCCCCAACAACAGCGAUGUUCUGGUCUAUAUAGAAGUGUGAAAUUAAAAUUUUGAAAUAAGGUAAUUAAUUAGUUACAAAUGUACCCUUAUCAUGUAAGGUCUUACUUUUGUAAAAUCGUCAAGGUUCCCAGGAACAAGUUUCUUGAAAGAGAAAUGAAGGAGAAGAAAGGAACAUGAAUCGAUACCUUAGGCUGGAGCAAAGUUUGUCUUGAGGUUCCUCUUCUGUCUUUUCCCUCGACGGUGACUCAAAAAUCCGACAACCCUACACAAUAACUAGAACAACUCCCUCUGUAGCCACUAAGACAAACAAAUGGAAGAUUAGGGUUAUUUUGGGAUGCUAAGGGUUUGGUUAGAGGGGAUGUAAGAACUAAAUAUAUGAGAAAUCGGACCUAACAUAAGAGCCUAAGGGGAUCUCUACAUCAAAAUGAGGCUUUCAUCUUAAGGGUACCUGAUGUCAACAUGUGGUUGCCAAUUAGUGUCUUUUUUUUCAUGUAGAGUAUGUAGUUGGAUGUUUUAAUUAAGAUUACAGCUCAAGUUGCGUUGGACGAACGAAGAAGGGUUAGAGGUGCUGGAUGUAGGUGAGCAUGAAGGCCUUAGGGUUUCUUUUUAGCUAAUUCAAAGAUUAGCAUCGAUAGAAGAAGGUGAAGGCAUCAGUAGAGGGAACAACGNNNNNNNNNNNNNNNNNNNNNNNNNNNNGACUAAGAGAGGAGCAAAUAGGCCGGGGGGGGGGUGUUAAAUUUUGGGAUGCCAUUUCCCGUGACUAUUAAAAUGCGCGUUUCAUUAAAAGAAUUAUAAAACGACAUGUUUGGAUGACGCGUAUUUCAUAAUAAGCGCCCUUCGUGGUUUUUUUUCCUGAGACACUAAUUUUAAGGCACGAAAAUUGCGCGUCCUAAACUCUUCAAAUUUCUAAAGAUUUGACAUUAUUUUUAGGUGACGCCCUUUUUCGUAUCAUUAAUCCGUGCGUGUUGUAGAAAGCGCGUCAUUAAAGGUUUGUUUUCUAGUAAUGUGGACAUCGCAAUUAAGCCUAGACAUUUAUGUAAUCAUAUCUAGGGUAAAUAUCGCCUGAUCAACUAUAUUUAUUCGAGAUAUGACCAACAUAUGUUUAGGANAAUUAUUUUGAUCUCAAACAAAAGCCUUUAUAUAUAUAUAUAGACACACACACACAAAAAACACUCUAGAACGAAACAUAAAGAAUUAAAAUACUAUAGGAGUAUUUUAACAUAUUAUAUACCUUUCAUGUAUUUUCUCGUACUUAUAUUCUUAUAUAGACAUGAUGGCAGUAUUUCAGAUUCCAGGAGAUCCCUAUUUCCCUAACCAGGGGAAUGGAGGUUGGAUCGAGGAGGAUCCCGAGGAGAUCUUGGAAGAAGAGCCCGAAGAAGAAGAGUUUGAGGAUGAGCCAGAGGAUGAAGAGGAGCCGGGAGAAGAGUCAGAUGCAGAGUCGGAGGUUAUCAACUGUCCAAAACUGAAGGUAGAAAUGUUCUGGGGAAGACGAUGUCAUAAAUAUCGCAACCAAUGUACAUAGUAAGCAUAGUAAACACAAAACAUUACAUUACAUAGAAUUAUUACAUUUGUUUGAAAUCGAAGUGUUACAAGUGUCAUACAUAUAUAUCAUAUGAACAAAAGUUAAGUCGAAUCUGAUAAGCGCUCCGUCUUCUCCACAAGAUCGCGGGUACCUGUCUAAUGUGGACCUGAGAGUACAAGUAGUUUGAAAAUCAACAUAAAGCUGGUGAGUUCAUAAGAGGUUUGUUUUCUGAAAAUGUACAAGUUUCCUUUGGUUUUCAGAAAAAGUUUGUUAUCCAAGAAAAUCCCUUAUUUUCUUAUAAGUAUAGUUUAGUUAUCCGUUUGUUAUACGAUCCGGUUAUGUACAGUUUGUUAUCCCAAGAAAAACCCUUAUUUUCCUUAAAAGUAAAGUUUAGUUAUCCAUUAGUUACACGGUCUAGUUAAGAACAGUUCAAUUAUCCCAGGAAAAACCCUUAUUUUCCUAAAAGUUUGUGUUUGAUUAUUGAAUACAAAUGUAAUGUACAAGUAUCUACCAUAUUUAAAUUGUUUGUGUGAAGUUUCCUGAAAGCCUCGGUAUCCUUGAAAUGUAUGUUAGUUUUAACACGUAUAUAAAACUAUUGUGUGAAAAGUAAACUAUUUCUUAAGGUUAUUAGCUUACUAAAUUCAUUAUUACCAACAUGUAAAUCUCUGUAUCUAAAUUCCGAGUUCCAUAACCAUACGAUAGACAAAAAAUGGCAAUAAGUAGUCCAUUAUCCAUUUAUGACUUUCGUCACCCUUGAACCUUUUGGUUCGGCUGUAGCUAGCAGCCAAGUGCGGGAUAGUCAGCCCUGUAUAGAUCUAUAAAGUCAAGUCACACUCUCACUCUAGGAGAUUCUGGUUAUUGGGGUGGUCCUGCACUUGCGUAUCUCUGUGGAGUGUUAUAGAGGACGUGUCUCCAAUUAUCAAGAUUAACGAAUUUACAAAUAAUGUGGAAAAUCCUGUUUUAAAUUCUAAUUACAAGGGCGGUCCUCCGCUCGCGUAUCUCUGUGGAGUGUUACCGAGGACAAAACAAAUGUAUUAAACUAAUGCUUUUAACAGUAAUAAAGUGGAAAAUCAUGUGAGAAACAUAUAUUAUAACAAUAUAUAACAAGAUUUGAAAACCAACUCUUCAAAUCAAACAAUUGGUUAACACGGUUUUGAUUGUUAAAAGCAUGUGGAAUAUGAAACAUUUCAAAUGAAAUAAUAAGUUUGAGUACAAGCUAUACUUGUACUUUUGCUUGUAUUCCCCCCCCCCCCUGAAAGCAUUGAAGAACGCGGAAAAAGGUGUAGGGGUAUGAACUCACCGGUUGAGAAGCGUGUUGGUUUGGGUGCUAAACAUCAGUUUGGGGCUUGCAAAUGUACAAGAUUUCUAUGUAGUAUGAAGAGAUACAUAAAAUGUAUCUAAUUAGGCCUUGAUAUAUUACUUAAAACAAAUAAACAUUCUGAGGCGCAAAAACACUUCAAUUCAAGUGUUUGAGUGACCCGGGUGACAUCUAUGUACGUAUAUAGCUUGGAUAUGGAGUUUACUCUUCAAGAGUAAACUCCUAAGGGAGUUUACGGCCCUAAUGACCCACUACCCAUGAGUUUACGGCCGUAAACUCAUGGUGAGGUGUUCUAUGGUGCUAAAUGGUCUAAUAUCACUUGGGAAAAUUAGCUAGGAUAAAAUCUAGGGUAUAGGAAUGGAUUAAACCAACAUAUGGACCAUCUAAUGGAGUUUAUGGCAAUAAACUAAGAGUCUACGGCCGUAAGCUCCCCCACACACCUUCCUUUGAUGUUUUGGUGGUCCUAGGUCAUUUACAAGUGUUUCUAGCUAAAUCUACAAGCCAUGGAAUGAAUUUAAGGCACCAUUUUACUAAGUUAUACGAGUUUACGGCCCAGGAGCCCAUCCUUGGGGGCUUUACGGCCGUAAGCUCCUAUGGGGGUAGUUUUCAUCAAGUUUAAGGCCCCUAACCCAAUUGUGGUUGCUUCUAGACUUUAUUCCAAGGAUUAUGAGGUGUUUAAGUGGCAUUUUAACACCUUAAAAUGAGUUUACUCCCCAUGAAUUGGUGUUUACGGUCCAAGCAUGUGCUUGGGCUGUAAACUCAUGUUUACACCUUAAAUGAUGAGUUCAAGGUGUUCUAAGUCCAAUUUGGUAAGCCCUAAGUCAUAUCUAAGCUCCAAAUGUGUUUUGCAAGGGUUUUAAGGCUCAAAAACCCCAUUUUCAUGUGUCCACAGCCUAAGGCUAUUCCAGGGCUAUAAACACAUGUUUUAUGGUCCUAUUCCAUGAUUUUAAAACGAAAUUGAAGGCUAAAGAUGUUAUACUAUGAGUUAGGGUAGUUACCUUGAUGAUUUGGAGCUUUAAUUUGAUGAUUUUGGACCUACAGCUUGGAUUGGAGGAGAGAGAGUAUAGAGGGAGUGGAAAAGGCUUCAAAUGAGGCUCUCUCAACUUUAUAUAUGCUUAAAGUUUGAGACAUUGUGGAAUUCUACCCGAUACAGAUGUUAAGCGAGGCUUUUGGUCGCACCCGAUUAAGUUGUCGUAACCCGAUAUGGUCGAAACAAAAAAAUUUCUAAUUAACAGUUUGGGGCGUUUUCAUGAGUUUCUAGCGUGUUUGGAUACCAAUUAAGAUAUAAUGGAAGACUCAAAAAUAAUUACUUAAUUUAAAAACUUAAACAGAAACAAUUCGAAAAAGAUAAAUUUUAUGGACGGAAACGGGUUACGGCGAUGGAGCAAACUUCGGGUUAUCACAAUGUUGCUAGCGUUCUCGCGAACUGACUUGGCUAUCAGUGACCUAUGACCCACUAGGAGGAAGAUCUACAGAGGUGGAGCCGAACCCAGUGCCAAUGCCCUCCAUUCGGUAUGGAGUGAGGUUUCUAUAACCUCAACCACAAGUAACCGGCUAACAGAGCCCUCUCAGUCAUGAUUCGACGAAUCUUGGACAUUGGAGAUCCGACCAGGGUAAUGACAAACCAAGUUCUGGAGUUGAGAGUUGCUAUAGAAGUCACGGAUGCAUGGACUCGAGACUUGGAGAGAGUCUACUAUCCCAUGGACAGACUCUUUGAGGACCUUAUCACUAAUCGAGUGGAGGUAAGGGAAUAUCAGGAGAGGCAUUCGACUCUCAAAAAGAGAGUGGUCGCAGCCGAUCGUCGGCUAGCAGAGCUACAGGGCUCCUCGACUUCGUCUAAGAGACCGUAGGGGACUACCCGUCGUGAGUAGGAUACAUCCUACUCACAACUUGUUGUAGAAUUGGUUUAUGGGUAUGCGUUAGUGCUACCCUUUAUCCUGUAUGUAGGACCGGCCCUACGUCUAAGUGAUUACACUAUUCAGAGGGUCGUUAUGCUGCCAAAUUGUAUCUUUUAAUGUAGUUUACACCAUCUUAGAGGUCAAUCUUCCCAAAUUUAUGUUCUAGGACUCUAUUUUCAAUGAAAUGGAUAUGUAUCUCAUUUUAUUGGAUUUUGUUGUCUGUUAUGUAUUUUCUUUUCAUUUUAUUUUGUGUAGUAUAAUUUCAAUUACAAGUACAAAACAACCCUCAAUAACAACUAGACUCGAUACAUAUAUGAAUGAGAUGUUCCAUAACAGUAGUGUACGAAUCAUAACUCAUAUCAAAAGCAUAUCCUCAUUCCACUUGUGGCAGAAAGAUGCUGCCACAAAGAUAUAAUAGACAUUUCAACAAUGCCACAAUGCCACCACCACCACCACCACCUCCACAAAUGGACCCUGCAAUGUUUUAGGCUGAAAUGACAGCCACUAUAACUGCUGCUAUGGUCCAGAUCAACCACAAUGGUACAAAUGGAAACGAUAAUGGAAACGGGAACGGGACGGGUAGUUCCAACCAAGGGGACAGCCAGGGACCUCAGGUAGUGUGCAUCUACAAAGACUUUACAGACUACGAAUCCAAUCCCUACAAUGGAAGCAGAGGUGUUAUUUCUUUAACACUGUGGUUUGAGAAGACAAAGUCAGUAUUUGAAAUCUGUGACUGCCCAGAGGAGAGCAAAGUCAAAUUUGCACCCUGUACUUUCACUGAUAGGGCCCUUUCGUGGUUGAAUGGCCAUGUCAAGGCCCGAACACUCCUGGUGGCAAACUAGAUGACAUGGGAGGAUCUCAAGCUUUUGAUGCUUGAAGAGUACAGCCCAAGGGGCGAGGUAUAGAAGCUAGUAUAAGAAUUUUGAAAUCUCACUAUGAAUGGGACAGACAUUGUAGCCUACACUGCCAUAUUCAUCAACUUGGCGAUUCUAUGCCUUAGAAUGGUCACUCAUACGAGCAAGAAAGUAGUACUUGUUAUCUGGUGGCUAUCUCCUCAAAUUUAAACGUAUGUUAUUGCUGCUAACCCAAUAACAUUCGACAGCGCCAAGCGCCUUGCUCAAAGGCUCGUUGACCAUGGAAUACAAAAGGACAUAAUGAUUCCCGCCCUCGAACAGAACAAGGGAAGGGAUAACAAGAGGAUGUUUGGAAACAAGAAGAAGGGGCAACCAACUCAGGAACCCACGAAAAAAGAAAAUAUUGCGGCGGUUCAUGCUGCUACGGCCCCUGCCACAACAAGACCCACCAAGCCAUAUGCGGGUACCCUCCUAAAGUGUGAUAAAUGUAGCCUUCACCACAAUGGAACCUGUCGGGAGAUGAAAUGUACAAACUGCAACAGUAAGGGUCACACUACCCGAUACUGCAGAGCACCCACACAACAGGCCACCCAACCCACUAAUACUAGGGUGAGCCAAGCGUGUUAUGGUUAUAGGAAGAUGGACCACUACAAGAGGAGCUGUCCAAAGGCCAACAACUACAAUACUAGAGGAACGGGAAGAGUCCUAGCAAUAGGACACGAGGAGGUGAUGAAAGAUCCUGUAGUGGUCACCAGUAUGUUCCUCCUCAAUAACAUUUAUGCAUUCAUACUAUUUGAUGGUGGAGCGGAGAGAAACUUUCUGAGUCAUAUGUUUAAACAUUUACUCAAAACAAAACCCUCAAAUACUAAAUGAAACAUUCAUAUAGAAAUGACCAAUUAAAAAACUGAAGCAACAAAUGAUGUAUUCAUAGGAUGCACAUUAACUUUGAACAAUCACUUCUUUCAAAUCGACUUAAUGCCGGUUACCAUAGGGAACUUUGAUGUUAUCAUCAGCAUGGACCAACUAAUUCCUCACUGUGCCAAUAUUAUGUGUUAUGAGAAGGUUGUUCGCCUUCACCUACCAAUUGACGAAACCUUGGUCAUAUAUGUUAGAUUAGGUGUCUAAGCCCAUAAAUAUUUUGGUAUAUACUUGACCCGGUUACGAGCAUGGUCCUUUUGGGUUGCCUUCACCAUGGCAACUGAUAGGAUGAAUUGUGGAGAAAGAAGAUUAAUUUUGAUUUAUUAAUAUGUUGUAAGAAUAAUGUAUUAAUUAAGAAAUCAUAUUAUUUAAUUAGUAUUGAUCAGAAAUUAAUUUGGUGAUCAAAAGAGAUUGAUUAAAUUAAUGGGGACUGAUUAUGUAAAUCAGUAAUAUUUAUAGUUUGGGCUCGUAGACCUUAUUGGUAUAGGUUGGAUGAAAUCUCUAUGAGAGUACAUAAAGAUUUCCUCUAAGGCUUGUCCAUUAAGGAGUCCAUAUGUUGCUUAGGGCCUAAGCAAGGCAAUUAGGGUUUCCAAGUUCAUAACCCUAGAAGCCUUAACUAUAAAAGGAACCCCAAAGGCUCCCAAAGGUGACCGAAUGAUUUCUUGGAGAGUCCUAGAUUUUUAUGAUGGCUAUUCCUCUCUCUCAAAUUCUUCUUUGUUGCUAGUGGUGUUUGUGACUCUAUUAGAGGUGCAACACUUGGGGAACUAAGAUUUCAAGAGUUAAGGACAUUGUGGAUUGUUCUUGUUAUUGCUACAUAACAAGUAAGGUAAGAUUCCAAACCCUUAUUUACAUAUGAAUUUCCUUCUUAGACAUGUUAUAUUAGGGUUUAUGCUUUGGAUGAUUGUUUGCAUGUAUUACUUGAGGAAAACCUAGAUCCAAAGCGUUAGGGAUGCAUUUACACCAUAGGAAUGUUGUAGUGCUGAAACCCCAUAAGUGGUAUCAGAGCUAGUGUGAAUCGUUGAAAGCUGGAAAAUUUUCGUUUUUGCUUUCUGCUUGAUCACCACGAGGUGGUAAAAGUCACCAUGACGCGAACUCGGUUAUGAUGGCAGAUUUUUCGGAUUUUGGCUAAAAUUAUGUUAGGAUAAUUACCAUAAGUUAUUUUACUACUUAAAAAUUUGAUUUUUUCAUAUAGUAAUGGAUUUCCUAAUCUAAUUGGCAGAUAAUGGUCAAAAUUUAAGAUAAUUACUAGAUUAUAUGAUAAACUAAUUAUUUGUAUAUUUUGAAUUGUAUUUAUCUUGCCAAAUUAAAAUAGAUUAGUUCAAAUUUAGAUAAUGGUAAAAUUAUAUGAUUAUUUAGUUUUUUUUUUAAAUUUGAUCUAGAAUGUUUUGAAAAGUUUCAAAACCUACCCUCAAGUUUUGGAAUUUAAAAUUUGAUUAAAAAGUUUUAAUUCUAAAAAGUCAAAUUCUAAAACCCUUGAUAUUUUGAAUAGUUCAAAUUUCACCCUUAUGGUUUUGUUAAAUUAAUUAAUUAUUUAAUUAAAAGAGAGAAUUAAUAAACCCAUAAUGACAUGGUUUAAAUUUAAUUAAAUUAAGAGUCUAAUUUAUUAAUAGAUUAACUAUCUAGUAUUUUAAAUUUAUUAAAUACACCAUUAUACUGUAUAAAAUUAAAAGUUUAAUAUAUUAUAUAUGUAUAAGUAAAAGUCAGUGUUACCGUUAGUAGGCAUCAUUGACGAAGCUGGUCUAUAAGGGGUGUUUAAGGAAGCGGCCUAUAAUAUGAUCGUCAUUGGGUAUCUACUCUUACCUACCACAUUCUUGACUAGUGAAGGGUCGUUAGCCGAACGGGUAGGAUAGGACACAACCUUCCAUUAUAAGUAUAAUCAAAUGCGAAGUAACUAAAUGCCUUUUACAAAUUCCCAAAUCUUAAUUACUUAAGGAAAAAUGUAAAUUUGGUGCUAAUCCAUGAAAUUGCACAUUGCACCUUAUUGUCAUUAGUGGAUCGUGUGUGGUUAACCGGCACACUAAUAUGGGACCAGUGAAGGAUGGCAAUGGGUAGCUCGUAGAUUAUGAUAGAUCAAUGGAACAUGUGUGGUUAACUGGAACAUUGAUUAGGAUAUAUAUGUCAUCGAGAGUACCAAGCUAAUUUGCAUGGUUAUUCACACAUUGUUUGUGAUCCUUGGUAUCCCAGUCACAAACUUCAAGGAAUUUCAAUUCAUUUAAAACCUAAUUUUCAAUUUUCCAUUUUAAGGGUAGGAAUUGGUAAAUCGUCAUUUACCUACCUUCAAAUAUUUUGCAAUUGGAUUAUAGCAUCACUCUUCCUAAUUGCAGAAUAUUGUGUUGGAUCCUAACCUUGAUAUUUCAUUUGGGCGUUAUAUCAAGGAUUAUUAUCAUCUAACUUGAACUUUCUCCCGUUUUGUAGAUGUCAAAUGACUAUGGUCUUCCCAAAUCCUUUGGAAAAAGUUUUCCACAUGAAGAUGAUGUUCCACAAUUGGGUUAUGGAAAUGGAAAUCAUGAUUCACUUCCUCCAUCCCCUCCAAUAAUUCUCCCUGACCCACAUGUUCGAUGACUUGAAAUGUUCAAGGUCACUCAAGCCCUAUUGGCAAAGAAACACAAAGUUGGAAAGCUUGUAUGUGCUCAUGUCUUGGAUAUAAAGUUGCAUAUUGAUAGGUUAGGAAUGUUGGGUGUCGAUGUCUUAAGGAAGAUGGUUGUUGACUUCGUUCUUCAAUUACUUCCUGACUCAUAUAGUGAGUUCGUUAGAGAGUAAUAUAUGAUGGACCACGACAUGACCCUCAUUGAUCUUAACUAUUUGCUUAUUGCUGCUGAAUCAGCAAUGAUUUGGCGCACUGCUCAAACAAAAUUGACUAGUAGAUCAACCUCCCAAAACUUCCAUGGACAUUAACAAUGGCAACAUCGGAAGUCCAAAAAAGUCUUCUCUACCCAUUGGAAAGGGAUUGGCCAAGGUCAAACCAUAUGACCGGAUAGUAAAGAGAAAGCUUGUCCCAUGUGCUAUUCCAAAAGAGUCCAUUUGUUUUUACUGCCAAGAGAAGGGGAAUUGGUUAUGAAGAUGCCAUACUUACCUGAAAGAUAAAAAGGAUGGGAGAGUCAAGAUGUAUGAGUCAGUAUCAGGUAAAAUCCACUAUCUAAAUCUAUUAAGUUCAUAUUUGUAGAUUCUUAAUACAUGGUGUGAUAAGAUUGCAUUUUGAUAUUUUAUAGGAUUGAAGAAAAGAAAGGAGGCUUAAACGAUGAGUUGAAUCUGAUCGCGAAGAGAUGGAUUUCAAUCGCAUGGUUCGAUGAUCAAAAUUUUGAGCUGCUUCUUAGGAGUUAUGAUAGAUUUCUUAAAAAUAUUUAAUAACAUAGUUUUCAUCUAUAAUUGCAUUGUAAGGACAAAUUUUUUCGUGUUUUAUUAAUAAAAUAAAUUUUGUUUUUGUCUUAUUUACAUAUAUCCUUGCAAUGACUUUUGUGAAAAUUGAUGUUUGUAUGAUUCUAUUGCUACCUAUAUUGAAAUGGAUGUGAUUCCUAGUUAUGUUAUUUGUGGUAAUGUCGAAAUUUUACAAAUUAGGAAUGUUUCUCAUCAGAAAAGUUUCAAUUGGACAGAAAUUUGGAAUCAUGCGACAUGUAUUGUGUGAUGAAUGAGAACAUUUGCAUUUGGGAAAUUAAGAUAAUUCCUUGUUCACAUAAGUAUGUGAAUCAAGUGAAGGACUAAAGGAUCUAGUACGCAUUGUUGUGCACUAGGACAAGUCCAACACAAAGAACGAUAGGUAUAUUCGUCAUGAUUUGCUAAAUGUUUAGGAAAGAUGUUUAUACUUACAAGGUUAAGUUUAAUUCUGAAUCGUUGAAUAGGUUUCAAUGUAAAACAGAACGAAUAAGAAGAAUCAAUUAGGUUAAAUGAUGAAAGUUUCUCCAAUCUGAAAAGAAGGGAGAGCUCUUAAGUAUCGUGCUUUAUGAUUAACUUAGUGAUUUUGAAACCGUGUCAGAAUUGAUCCUCUAUGGACACCUUAGUACACUAAUAUGGCUAAGAAGAGGAAUCAGAAAUUGUUGAAAUCGUUAAAUCAAAACGUGAAUAAUACUUCGUUCCAAAAACAAGUCUUAGAGUGGUACUCCAAGAUUGUGCAUUGAGUGAAACAUCUUUAGUAGGUUUAUAAGACUCAUCAAAUUUGGAGUAAAAAAUGUUUUUAUUGCUCUUGCGCAUUUGUAAUUGGUAGUUGUGAUGUUUUAGAUAAGACAAAGACCAAGUACGAUCAAUUGUGUAGAGUGUUUAUCUUAAUAGGAGCCUGAACUGUCUCUUGAAUAUUUGUUUGUCAAGGAAUGUUUCUUGACAAGAGAAUCUUAUAUGUCAAGAGGUCAGUGGGAGUCUAAAUGAUCUUGAAAAGUCUCGAGAACUAAUCAAGAGUAAACCUAUUGUUAAACACUAGCACACAACUUGUGGUUUGUGACCUAUCGUGUUGACACAUUCUUCACUACAAGAAAAAGACCCUUUUACGAUGCGCAAACCACGGCACUCAGUGAUUUAUGUUACGCAAAGGAGAGUGACGUUAAAAAAGUGUCGUAUCUUCAAAAAAUUUAAGGAUUUAGGUCACGUAUUAUGGGGUGUCCUUAAAUUAGUGUCUAAACUAAAAAAAAAAACAAGCACUGAGGGCACCUAUAAUAAAAUGUGCGUCGUCUAAUGACGUCGCUUUAUAAUUUUUAAUGGAAUGCGCGUUCCGUCUUUCUAAUUGUGGGGGGAAAUGAAAUCAUAAAAAACUAAACACCCCGCCAUCGUUUUCUCCUUUCCCUCUUCCCUUAUUAUCGUCAUCGUUUUCUCCUAUUUUUUCCCUCUUCCCUGAUUAUCAUCUCUCUCGGUCGCUACCUAGGGUUUUUAUUAAAUCUUGAAUUAAUCGACUUAGGUAAACAAAGGUCAAGCGAACCAGGAAAGGGUUUUCAGUGAAAUCUACUAUUACUCUUUGAAAUCAGAUCCAAUCCUACCUUCCCCCAAUCCUUCUUGUCUCUAUCGGUCGCGACCUAGGGUUUUUGGUGAAAAGUUGAAUUGAUCGACUAGGGUAACCAAAGGGUAAGCGAACCAGGAAAGGGAAGUAAUAAAUCCAAGACUCACUCUCAAAUCGAUUCUACUUGACGAGGUUUUAAUUUGGGCUCUCUACAUUCUCAUCAAUUCUACUUUCAUUCAAGCUUACAUUAGUUUUUCUAGUAUCCAUUAACUGAAGGGGUAUUAACAUCAGUCGGAGGCACUCCUUAAACAUUCAAGAUCUCAUAAUUUUAUUUAGUCUACAUCUGAGUUGCAAAAUGAUAGAGGCGUUCAUGCAACUCCCAUAAAAUGAUAGAGGCGGUCAUGCAGUCUGCUUCAAAGGGCAAGGUUUAAACCAUUCGCCAAGGAUAUCUUUCCAAAGUGCUCCGCAAACCUCAGGGGCAACUGGAAACGAAGGUUUUUUGUUCUCGAUAGCCGAGGAAUGCUCUACUACUACUGCAAACAAAAUAGCAAACCAUAUGUAACUCAACUUCCUUUACAUUAGUUCAGCCUUUGGUUCACUUAUUCUACAUUUAUAUUUUUAAUUUCGACAACAGGGCUCCAGCAGUCAAAUCUCUGGUCAGAGGAAUAGCUCUGAACUCGGUCAUGGCUCGCUAAGUUGUUGGCUUUCUUCCCAUCAUCAACAUGGUGGAGGUGGAGUACUUAAUGAGAAAUGUAUAGGUCAUCACACUUGUAACCUCUUGAGUUCAACAAUAAAGUUGAUGUUGACCAAUCCGACCUCAUGUUUUGCUUCAGGAUUAUUUCUCCCACAAAAAUUAUACUUUGCAGGUAGAGAGCACCAUUGACCAUAUGGAUUGGAUAGAGAAUAUAAUAGGAGUUAUUUCCUUGUUUCUAAGCUCUUAGGUUUCCGAGAGGGUGAGUAAUCUAGUUCGACAGACAUAUGAAAUUAUGAAUAGCAAAUCUCUUGUGUUUAUGUUUAUGUUUUCAGUGUUUAUCUGGUAGUCCUAUGUUUAUGUUUUAUGCUCUCAUUUUAAUUUUUUUUGAAGGUUUUACAAGUCUUCUUCUGAUAAGCCCCAACUUCUUUAUUUCUGUAAACCUAGUCCUUUUGAUUCCAUAGCUGUGAAGGAAGUUCAUCCAUGCAAAGGUUUUAUCUUUGUUCUAAUUUAUAGUUGUAUUGUGGUAGCAUAGUUGACCAGCUCUUACAAUAUGGUGCCAAUGUAAAUGUUCCCGAUUCAAGAGGCCAGACACCACUCCAAUUUAAAUGAAUUAGUUUUUUUAAUUGUAAAUUUACAUUAUGAUUCGGUUUUCAACAGUUGAUAGUUUGACUGUGGAAUCAUUGUUGGAGCUUUUGGAUGAAGAUAGCCCAAAAGAGACCCCAUAAAGAAUCCUGGUUUGCUUUCUCUUUCCCUGAACAGUUAACUAGUCAAAUUCAUGUCUUUCUUCACAUGUUUAUGUUAUCUUUAGUUGAUAUUCUUUUUGAGUUAUCGUUGUUGAGUAAGUUAAUUGAACAAAUUAAGUAGAUUAUAGGUGUAGUUCAAAAGAAAGUAAAUGCUCUUCGUGAGUUAAGACGUUUAUUGUCUAAAUCCGAAUAUCCUCCUGUUNUUUACACAUUCAUAUCCAUUUUGUUGAAGAUCUGAUACCCCUCUUAUCUACAGAGCAGUUCCCAUGAUGAGCAGGUAAUAAACAAUAAUAAUAUUAGUAAUGACCUUCUUUCUUUUUAGCAUACCCUUUUUAAUAUGUUUUAAUUUUUAUUCUGGAUCCAUAAUAUAGUUGCUUGAAGCAGCUUGGUGUGUUACAAACAUAGCUGCUGGAAAACCUGAAGAAACAAGAGCUUAAUUGCCUGCAUUACCUUUACUCAUUGCUCAAAUUGGAGGUUAGUGUUAAGUACUUAGUUUUUAAUCUUUCUUGAUUUUUUCAUAUCACUUCAAUGGUGUAAUUCUAAUUUUGUAAUUGUUAUCCAGAAAAGAGUUCAGUGCCUGUUGCAGAGCAGUGUGCAUAAGUAUUAGGAAAUGUUGCAGGAGAAGGUGAAGAACUGAGACAAAUUCUGAUUUCUCAAGGGGCAUUACUUCCUCUUGGAAAAAUGACGUUGCCAAAUAAAGUUUCAAUAGUUAGAACUGCUGCUUGGGGAUUAUCAAAUUGCAACUAUAACUGACCUGCAACUCAACAUGUUGGGUAGUGUUUUAUCCCUGCUAGUAGUCCUUAUAACUUGUGUUGCUUAGACUGUAUCCUUGCUUUAAAUAUUUUGAAUCAUAAGGGUAUUUAUGUCUUUUUCACACAUGAGAGAUCAAAAUCAAAUCCUUGUCCCACCUUUUUGGGGUGAGGCAAAAUAUUUCAAUUUUGUCCCAUUGACAAGCUUUCUAGGCCUUUUUAAUGGUGAGAAUCACAAGGGUAUUUAUGUCUUUUUGCAUAGGACAAAAAAUUACAAUAUGUUUUAUUUUUCACAGUGACAUAUGCUAUGUUAUGUCAUGUGGGACCCAUAUGUUGAGUCUUAACAGAUCUAUUUCAGAUGACAAAUACAAUCCAAAAGAAAUACAAGGUUUCAUCAAAUCAACUUAUAUACGAAAAGUCAUUGAACCAUAACAUAAUUAUCUCAUGUAAUCAUCAGUUCCGUUCCCUUGCUUAUUCCAUUCCAUUCCUCAUAUAUUUUUCUCAUUGUCUGAUUGUUUUAUAUUGUUGAGGGAGAGAGAGAGAGAGAGAGAGAGAGAGAGAGAGUGAUCCUUUGAUAAAUGUAGAAUAUGAGGUAUUUGUGGGCUUUCAUUUCAUUAAUCUUGUUCAUUAUACAAUUAUGCUUCCAAGAUUAGGACUUUUGUGAACCUUUCUGUGAUUCUUUUCAGGGUUUGAAGGAAAAAUUGAGCCAAGUUGCACGCUCAAUUGGCCAACAACUACCCACUUAUAUGUUAUAAAUGCAUCCACCUCAAUGAUUUGAGUCUUUGUUUUUGUUUUUCAGUUUGAGUGCUCUAACGUAGUUUAUUUUUUGGUGUUUUAUAUAUUGCAGCUAAUACAAUAUAUUACAAGGUACAUUACCUAGAUGACCCAAAAUUCACACUAUAUAUAUAUAUAUAUANAUAUAUAUAUAUAUAUAUAUAUAUAUAUAUAUAUAUAUAUAUCAUUAUGAUAUUUUCUUUAUAAAGAUUUGACCUUUUUCAUUUCAAUGAUAUUAGGUUCCAUGGGAAGAAGUUUCUGAACUUGUGGGGAGUAGCAGAGUCUUUAUUAAGAAAGGAUAUGCAUAUGUUGCUCUAAACCAGGUGAAUAAAUAUUAAAUCAUCAUUAUUUCAUUUAAUAACAAUGUAGUAUAACUUUAACAAAUAACAAAAAAUUCUUCAAUUCAUGUUUCUAAUCUCAGGUUUCUAAUCUGGACACAACAAACAGAUUCGUUUGGAGAACAAUAAUGUUCGCAACAGGGCUAUGAGAAAUCCGGAUGGAACAAAAUAUGUAAGUUUAUAUUGGAUUGGAGUUCCAAGCAGUGUACAAGUAAAGUUAUUUUAUUUGGCAAUUAAGUUGUUAUUUUUUAUCUAUCGUACAUACUUAUGUGUGUUUUCAAGGUCUUUUAAUUGUUUUUUUGGUCUAAAUGAAGAAGAUAUAUAGAGAAUUGGUGCUGAUUUGAUGCUAUUUAAAGAUGAUUAGGUCAUUAAAAUAGUUUUUGGACAUAUUUGCCCAUGUUGUUGGUGGAAACUAGCUUGUUGUGCAGAUAGCCAAGGAUGUAUGCAAAUUCGGGGACUUCAAUACUCCCACUUGCUUAGUUAUAAGGUACUUCUAAAGUUCCAGGUGGCAAUCCAAUGACAUGAAGGAUCCGGUUAUAUAGUUAGGGAUGUAGUAUCAUGUCAUAUAGUUAGGGAAAACCCUUUAAUAACAAUGUAUUAUAAGAUCCCCUUAAUAUCAAUGUAUUAAAAUUUUUUGAUAACUUGUUUGACAUGAUGUUAUUGGAUGAAGUUGAUUGUUUUGGUAUAUAUUUGUUUACAUAUUUUUGUAUUAUGCGUAAAUGAGUAUCAUAAAGACGCGUCGUAAAUGCAUAUCGAAAAUGGUUACUGAAGUUUACAACACGCAAAUGCCUGUCAUCUUCAUUUAUGACAGGGGCUUCCUUGAUACACAUUGCAUGUCAUAAAACACGUGCGUCGUAAGGUUACGACACGCAUUUGCCCGUCGUCUUCCUUGAUGACAGGGCCUUCCUUGAUACGCAUUGCGCAUCAUAACUGCGCGUCAUAAUUGUGUGUCAUAAAUGUGCAUCGUAAAUGCGCGUCAUAUAUAGACGACGCGCAAAAGUGCGUCGUCUCUCUUUAUGACAGGGCCUUCCUUGACGCGCAUUUGCGCGUCGUCUGAGCGCUUUACGACGCGCAAUGAGCGUCGUAAAAGGCCUUUAUUCUAGUAGUGCUUGUUUCUGUGCCCAUUCCAUUUAAAGUUACUAUGCAUAUGGGUCUUAUGAGUUCUCAUUUGAAUGCAUAAAGGUAAAGCACCCUAAUCAAUGAAAGUUCAUUGAUUUGUAUGGGUGAUCUGCUCAAUAACCUAGAAGAUAUGGUAGGCCCUUGUGCUGCCAUGCAAUAAGAAAUUAAAAUUGAACAAGUUCAGUCUAUAUGAGUUUGGAUUUGUCAAAAAUGUUGUCUUAUGAUUAUGGUUAUGAGAAAUUCACAUGGAUGGGAACACAUACACGAUAAAAUCUAAGUGAUAAGGUUUCUCUUUAUUUCUUGAAACUGAUUGUGAAGAAACGCUUUCACUAGGAAGAUUUUAAGGAGAUAACAAUUGUGUAAAUUGCAUUCUCAAAUUCGAUUAUGACAACGACAUCCCUCUUCAUAGUUCGAAUUGUGAGAUUUGGCAAUUAGUGUAAACAUUUUGAACUUAUUGAUAUAAAGUUAUGAAAUUGCUUAGACACAUAUAUAAGCUUUCUCAUAAAAGGUUUAUGAGCAUGGAUAAAAGCUUAUCGAAGUGUUUCGUAUCAGAAAUAUGAACUUUUGGUAAGGAAGUCAAUAAAUAUUGAUUUCUUGAAAGUCUAGCUAAUUUCUGAAUACAUGUCAAAGCUAGUGGGAGCAUAAGUGUUAUGUUGAGAAUUAUCAUGUUAGUAGGAGCAUGAUUAUUAUGUUGCGAUUUAGCAGUGUUAUCUAUAGAAACAAAAGUUUCAUUAUGCAAAGUUGCAGAGGUUGAAAAAUUGUUUUGCAAUAAUUAAGGGACAGGAACUUAUACUUCAUUUCAAAAUCUAAAAUAUUAGAUCGAGAAAUUUUAAUAAAAUUUAGUCAAAGGACAUAUAUGAAUGGUAUGUUGAAAAGAUUCAACAUAAUGGAAUUAUAUAUAUAUAUAUAUAUAGCAAUAUUAUAGCAAGAGACUAGUAAAGUAUCAUGUCUUUAUGUAAGACAUUAUGUAUUGUAUCCCAUACGCUUCGGGUAUAGGAUUGUUUGCAUAUGUUGUAAUAUUUAACCGUUUUGUCUAUUCCAAAUGCCUAGAGCGUUAAGAGGGAAAAAGGACAAGAAUCAGAUAUGACUAAAGUAAGUUAAACAACUGUUAAGUACAAUCUAAGGUUCGCCAAGGAUUGGUUACUUGUGAGCAGUUGGAAGUGUAGUAAUGGAUGGACCAUAUAAACAUUAUUAUGAAUACAUAGGAUUCUAUUCAGAAUGUGUUGUCAUAUGGCAAUAUGGAAAUGUUUCCAUAAUGAGAGUUGGAUAUUAAGGAUUCAUGUAGAUUAGAAACUUUUAUUGAAACAUCCCAAAAUCACAAGCCAAAAAUUUCAUUUGAAAAUAUUACUAAAACCAUAAUAUUCAACAUCAUAUAGAAAAACCGUAAGUCAUGUAUCUCAAGAUAUUAUAAAUAUGUAUCAUAUCACAUCAGAUGUCAAAUCAUGUCAAAUAUCAGAGUGUAACUCCCAUGAUAAAACUGUGGUGGGUGCCAUGCCAUCAUCCCGAGCCCUUUACCCUGAUAGCUAAAGUAUCUACAACCAAAACUGAAACCGUAAGCACGAAGCUUAGUGAGCUCCCCCAAACUACCACAUACCGUACAUAACAUAUAAAGCACAUACUAGGCCUUGCCCACUGCAUCAUACCGAAUCCCAAAACUAACUAGGGCCUCGUCCUCUGCAUCGGACCGAAGUCCUGAACUAACUAGGGCCUUGUUCUCUGCAUCGGACCGAUGUCCGGAACUGACUAGGGCCUUGCCCUCUGCACCAAACCGAAGUUCGGAAUUGACUAGGGCCUUGCCAUCUAUAUUAGACCAAAGUCCGGAACUGACUAGGGCCUCGCCCUCUGCAUCGGACGGAAGUCCAGAACUGACUAGGGCAUCGCCCUCUGCAUCAGACUAAUGUCUAGACCUGACUGAACAUAGCAUAUGUAACGACCAAAAAUUUCAAAACAAUUAAAACUUUUCAAAAACAACCCAUUUUAAUAACGUUGUUACAAAAAGGUUUUCAAUACAUUAUUUAACAGAGCAUUACCCAGGUCCAUUUCAUAAAACACCAACGCGAGGAACGAUACGAUCACGCCUUUGCCUUGCCACAGUCUCCUGAGAACCUGAAAACAUAAAACAACAACUGUAAGCCCAAAAGCUUAGUGAGAUACCCCCAAAAGACCAACCACAUAUACGCCCUUCCAGGCCACGACCUUCCGGUCCAAAACAUAUUGCCUUCCAGCCCAUAACAUAUUGCCUUUCGGCCCAUAACAUAUUACCUUCCGGCCCACAACAUAAAAAGUAUGCAUAACAUAACAGAACAUAGAACAACCAUGCAUACCGGGUCACACUCCAGACCAAGCAACCGUGCACAUAACAUAUAAUCAUAUAACAGUUCACAGUCAGCAAACCGAUCAACAUAUCACAUAACAUAUCAUUACCCUAACCAAGAUACCACCCUAGCCGAUCACUAGCAUAACCUCACCCUAUGACUCAACCAACAUACUAAUUACACACAUACGCCUUUCCAGGCCAUGACCUUCCGGACCACAUCGCAAUGCCUUCCGGCCCACAACAUAUAAUGCCUUCUGGCCCACAACAUAUAAUGCCUUCUGGCCCAUAACAUAAUGCAUUCCGGCCCAUAUCCCGCAAUAUCAUAACAACAGACAACUACCCGGAUUUCCAUACGAUAAAGGGUCGGCCUAGGUGCCUUAAACCCUAUUGAUAUAGUGAGGAUAACUCACCUCGAAACUGCCGGCUGAAAGGAUAAGAUCCCGCUGCUACAAUCUCCGACACGAACUCCUCCACUGAACACCAAAACACUCAACUCUAUAAAUACCCUUAAUUACCAAAAUACCCCUGAAAGACAACUGGUCAACCCUUGGACAAGGUCAAGGUCAACCCCUGUCUGACUCUACUCGCUGAGUCAACCCGAUGACUCGCCGAGUCCCCGUACUAAGAACUUCCCUCAACCCGUGACCUAACUCGCCGAGUCGCCCCAAGACUCGUCGAUUCCAACAACUCUGAGUCCACUCGUCCACAACUCACCGAGUUAUCCCUUGACUCGCGGGUUCUCGAAUCAACUAGAAAUUAUACGGACUCUUCGACAAGACUCGCCGAGUCCACGAACAGACUCGCCGAGUCUAAGGCUACCUUCAACCUACUCGCCGAGUUGUUCAUACAACUCGCCGAGUUCCAGGCCAUCUUCAUCCAACUCGCCGAGUUGUUCGUCUAACUCGUCGAGUUCCAGCUCAUCUUCAAGCAACUCGUCGAGUACACCCAUGUGACUCGCCGAGUACCACCGGUCUGAAUCCAUACAGAAGCAUUCCAGACCAUGCAAUUGAUCCAAAACAUAGAUCUAGCCUCCUACAACUCAUCCAUCACGUAAAGUGGCAAGCUUUACGUGAAUCCAAAGAGAUCUAUGCAUUUUGCACAUUAGGGUUAAGGUUUGGGACAUGAUAGCUUCAACCAACACUCGACACAGGGACUUUCAUGCAUUCCAACUCUUCUCCAUUCCAGAUCUGAGGUAGCAACCUCAGAUCUAACCUCUAAACUCCAAUACAUCCAAAGAUAUGAUCUCUAAUACCCCCAAAAUGAUGCAUCUAGGAAAUAGCAGCUCAAAAACGAGAUAUUACCUCAAAAGAACGCCCCAACUGCAAUGUAACUCAAUUCCAAGCAAAGCCCCUUGCUCCAAGCCUCUUCUUCUCUAAGAUCUCUUCAACCACCACCUCUCCAAGCUCCAAUUUGCUCAACAAUGGGGUUUCUCCACGAAAUUAGGGUUUCUAGGACUCAAGGGGUGGUAAAGAGGCUGGGAAGGAAACAUAAUGUUCUUUAUAUAGGGCUCAACCCCUAGAAUUAGGGUUUUCUCCACUCAGCGUCUACUCGCCGAGUCCAUCUCAUUGACUCGCCGAGUCGGCUACUUAACAUGCAACCAAAUCGCGACUCUACUCGCCGAGUCCAUCCAUGGACUCGCCGAGUCUCUCUUUCCCAAUUUACUCUUUUAGCCCUUCAACUCUACUCUUGAUAUUUCGGGAUGUUACAAUUCUCCCCCACUUAAAUUAGGCUUCGUCCUCGAAGCCUAUAGCAAUUCAAUCCCAAAGAUACUCCCACAACGCGCCACCUGGCCUUAACCGGGCAAAGUUCCUCAAGGUAUACCCAUCGAAACUCAAACACACUUUCUCUUUCCUUACGGUGUCCUGACCACCGUCUCGAGCCGGGCACCGGCUGUACCCUCUGAUAAUCACACUCAACAACUGAGAAUUACCCAUGAAGCAGCACUACCCCAAAUCUCAACAAUCACUCGUCCCAUAAGGGCUAGAAAGCCAUGAACCAUCGGAUCCCCGAUCCGAAUCCCACUCUAUCCAUUACGUGACGACGGAAAGACCCAUUCUCAAUCUCAGAGCAAGUCCCACGAGUUCUCCUCUUGCAAUCACAUACACAUGCUGAACUUGCUCCAGCACCCUCAGGUUGGGAAAACCCGAUACAAUGAUGAUAUCUACCAACAUCCCCCAGGAUGAACCACUAGUACAUAUCCAAUACCCUGAUCAGAAUCACACUGAGAGCCCAAGACUCUCUCCCUGCAUCCCUUCCGAGUCUCUUGGCUCUACAUCUACGGAAAUCCCUCUCGUGUCGCCAGCAGACAUCUCAUCAUGCUGUCAUUCAAUACCCCCAUCGUAAUCCAUGCUGCUCAAUGACCACAGUCGGACCACUCCGACCAUAACUCUACACUGCCGCUUUCACUUCCGUGAAUGUGCUCUUCCUCUCGGAGCUACACUCCUCUCCCUAUUUCCUUACGAAGGAAAUCCACUUGGCUGCCUUGUCACUACGACAAAUGCCACGGUGCUCACCUAACGCUGCACCACCCUUUUAUAGCGCAUCUGCUAUCCACACAACACAUAUGCCCUGAAUCUGCUCGCAAGGACUCUCGAGUCCAUGCACCAUCUCUACUAAUCAAGAUCAAUACUCGGGGCCAGACCUUCUAGUGCUAACACAUCACAACAUAACCAACCCAUUUCCUCGGACCGAUCCGAUAAUACCUGCAGAGUCUUCAACAUGACUAGUCCACCUCACCAGGUCUUCAAUCUGGAUGGACCGUCCUCCCGAGCCUUCGGCCUGACUGAUACGCCUUCCGGCCUUCACUCUACCCGGACCGCUCAAGCAACACUCAUCAUUCCGAGCCAUCUCCCCGGGAAUCCUCCGAUGCAUACUGUUCUCGCCCUCCAGGGGUUCCAAACUCUAUCUUCAUCAUACAUACUCAAUUCCGGCCUGUUUCCAGGUCCUCCACACUCAAAUCCCCUAGGUCUACAUUUUGCCCCGCACGCCUGCCACUUACUCAUACCAGCCCACGCCCUUGGCUGACGGAAACACUGCUGAAUCCAAAGCAGCUAAACAACCCCUCCUGACCAUCGCCCUACCGAAGAAUUUUCCAAUUCUCCCCCACUUAGAGCAUUGACUGACAACCACCGGUCGUCAUUACCGACCUCGCUAAACAUCCACACACAACACAAUCACUAACACGCGAACUGCGACCCGCAAGCAUGAGCACCCUUCACAACAGCACACAUCAACGUUGAUUGACCCGAGCUCGAAAGAAACUCAAGAUGCAGCUAAUCCACUCUUCAAAAACAAUACUAUCCAACCCUCUAAUCGGACGCCAGGUUACCGCAAUAACCCCCACGAAAGAUAUCCAACGAAAUCUGCCAUACCAAACCCAUAACCACAAAGAACGACGAAUGCCACAUGAAGAUACUAGAACAUAAACAAUACUACACAAUAAUCACAAGAUAACAAGACAUCAAGAAAGAAACAUACCCGCGGUUGCAUCCGGCACUGCUCUGGCCUUCCCUGCUGACAGUUGAAACGCAGGACCCUGAGCUCUUGGGGGCUCCGCUCCAUCCUGACCUCCACCUGUGAUCCGCAAAGUGGCCGGUACUGGAGCCUGCACCGGUCCUGCAAUAAGCUGUGGGCAGCUGACCCUCAAGUGUCCCACCUGACGACAACGAUAGCAAAUCCUUAAACCUCGGGCCUGCGCUGACUGUUGACAAUCCCUCGCAUAGUGCCCCUCCUUUCCGCACUUGCGGCAUGCACCACCGGACCGAAAAAAUCCGGCGUGACCCUUUCCACACUUCCCACAAGUGUGACUACCCUGCUCUCCUACCCUGGAAUCGAUGGUCUUGGACCGUUUCGGCGCCGGCUGCGACUGCACCGGAGCCUGCCUCAACUCACGCAUCCGCAACUCAAUCUCUAACUCAUGCCGCCUGGCGGCCUCCUGCAAUUCCAACAAGGUCUCGCACCUCUCCGUAGACACCAAAUGUCUGAUAUCCCUCUUGAGCAUACUUAGAUAUCGGGACAUCUGUGCUUGCUCCGAAGCAUACUCAGGGCAAAACAUCGCCCUCUCAGCGAACAUUCUGGUGAUCUCUGUCACCGACUCCGAACCCUGCUUUAGCUCGAGGAACUCCUGAGCCAAUCUUUCUCUCUCAACCCGUGGAAUAUAACGAGCGCUGAACAUCUCUCUGAACUGAUCCCAUAAAACCGCAGCUCUCUACGUACCCGAGUAUGACCCCGUGGUCAAUCUUCACCAAUCCUUGGCCCCGAGCCUUAACAGGUUCAGAGCACACCUCACCCUCUGAUCAGUAGGGCAUGAACACAUGAAGAAACACCCCUCCACGUCAGAUAACCAUCUCAUAGCGACAAUCGGGUCAUGAACUCCAUCAAAGGUGGGAGGCUUCGUAUUAUCGAAGUCCUGAUACUGAAAACCCCGACUAACUCCUCCCCCUGCCGCUGCUACAGCNNNNCAGCCGUCUCUGUGAGAGCUGCAUAGCCCUCAUCAAAAUACUCAACCAUGGCGGUCUUGAUCGACCCGAACAAUUCCGACAACUCGGCCCGAAACAAUGUAGCAACGUCAUCAUGCAGGACCUCACGAAUCCAAGCAUCCAGCUCGCACGAGCUCAUCUGACCAACAACCUCGGGUGGCACAGACCCGCCCAGAACUCCCUCUCCUACUCCUGAUCCUGACUUGGAUCCACUCCCAGCAUGCCUCGGGAUCUCCAUACUGAAAGACACCAGAAAAUCUCAGACACUUCCCACAAUCCUAGGAUCCAACUCUCUCAACCCAACCCUAGAGAUCAUGGUUUCCCUAAUCCGCGUAUGGGUCCUGUGCUUUCAGUAGUACGGGCCCAUACUACCUUCCACACCUACCCAUAUUUGUAUGAAGUACUACCACAACGCCCUAGAGAAACAUGCAUAACAACGCUCAACCCUCACCACUAGAGGAACACUGAGAAUCUCCCAUAAGGAACCCUAGGCUACAAGCAUCACAAAUCAGGCAACAUUAUCAUGAAUUCCUGAAGAUCCCUAGCCUAACUCUAGCGUGCUGUUCUAUCAAAGCUUAAUAAAACAAAUGUCAUGAUUGGUAAUUUGGGGUUACUUACUGGCUCCGGCUGAUCGUACCUUUGCGUCCUCCUUUUACUUAAUUUAAAAACCAUUUUAAUUUCUCUUUUAAAACCUUCCUCGAUUUGAGACUGGAGUCACACGAGUGUUCCUCCAAUUCACUCAAACCAAGGCUCUGAUACCAACUUGUAACGACCAAAAAUUUCAAAACAAUUAAAACUUUUCAAAAACAACCCAUUUUAAUAAUGUUGUUACAAAAAGGUUUUCAAUACAUUAUUUAACAGAGUAUUUCCCAGGUCCAUUUCAUAAAACACCAACGCGAGGAACGGUACGAUCACGCCUUUGCCUUGCCACAGUCUCCUGAGAACCUGAAAACAUAAAACCACAACUGUAAGCCCGAAAGCUUAGUGAGAUACCCCCAAAAUACCAACCACAUAUACGCCCUUCCAGGCCACGACCUUCCGGUCCAAAACAUAUCGCCUUCCGGCCCAUAACAUAUUGCCUUCCGGCCCAUAACAUAUUGCCUUCCGGCCCACAACAUAAAAAGCAUACAUAACAUAACAGAACAUAGAACAACCAUGCAUACCGGGUCACACUCCAGACCAAGCAACCGUGCACAUAACAUAUAAUCAUAUAACAGUUCACAGUCAGCAAAUCGAUCAACAGAUCACAUAACAUAUCAUUACCCUAACCAAGAUACCAGCCUAGCCGAUCACUAGCAUAACCUCACCCUAUGACUGAGCCAACAUACUAAUUACGCACAUACGCCUUUCCAGGCCAUGACCUUCCGGUCCACAUCGCAAUGCCUUCCGGCCCACAACAUAUAAUGCCUUCUGGCCCACAACAUAUAAUGCCUUCCGGCCCGCAACAUAUAAUUCCUUCCGGCCCAUAACAUAAUGCCUUUCGGCCCAUAUCCCGAAAUAUCAUAACAACAGACACCUACCCGGAUUUCCAUCCGAUAAAGGGUCAGCCUUGGUGCCUUAAACCCUAUUGAUAUAGUGAGGAUAACUCACCUCGAAACUGUCGGCUGAAAGGAUAAGAUCCCGCUGCUCCAAUCUCCGACACGAACUCCUCCACUGAACACCAAAACACUCAACUCUAUAAAUACCCUUAAUUACCAAAAUACCCCUGAAAGACAACUGGUCAACCCUUGGACAAGGUCAAGGUCAACCCCUGACUGACUCUACUCGCCGAGUCAAACCGAUGACUCGCCGAGUCCUCGUACACAUAACUUCCCUCAACCCGCGACCUAACUCCCCGAGUCACCCCAAGACUCGUCGAGUCCAACAACUCUGAGUCCACUUGUCCACAACUCACCGAGUCAUCCCUUGACUCGCCAGUUCUCGACUCAACCAGAAAAUAUUGGGACUCUUCGACAAGACUCGCCGAGUCCAAGAACAGACNAGACUCGCCGAGUCCAAGACUAUCAUCAACCUACUCGUCGAGUUGUUCAUACAACUCGCCGAGUUCCAGACCAUCUUCAUCCAACUCGUCGAGUUGUUCUUCCAACUCGUCGAGUUCUAGCUCAUCUUCAAGCAACUCGUCGAGUACACCCAUGUGACUCACCGAGUACCACCGGUCUGAAUCCAUACAGAAGCAUUCCAGACCUUGAAAUUGAUCCAAAACAUAGAUCUAGCCUCCUACAACUCAUCCAUCAUGUAAAGUGGCAAACUUUACGUGAAUCCAAAGAGAUCUACGCAUUUUGCACAUUAGGGCUAAGGUUUAGGACAUGAUAGCUUCAACCACACUCAACACAAGGACUUUCAUGCACUCCAACUGUACUCCAUUCCAGAUCCGAGGUAGCAACCUCAGAUCUAACCUCUAAACUCCAAUACAUCCAAAGAUAUGAUCUCUAAUAUCCCCAAAAUGAUGCAUCUAGGAAAUAGUAGCUCAAAAACGAGAUAUUACCUCAAAAGAACGCCCCAACUGCAAUGUAACUCAAUUCCAAGCAAAGCCCCUUGCUCCAAGCCUCUUCUUCUCUAAGAUCUCUUCAACCACCACCUCUCCAAGCUCCAAUUUGCUCAACAAUGGGGUUUCUCCAUGAAAUUAGGGUUUCUGGGACUCAAGGGGUGGUAAAGAGGCUGGGAAGGAAACAUAAUGUUCUUUAUAUAGGGCUCAACCCCGAGAAUUAGGGUUUUCUCCACUCAUCACCUACUCGCCGAGUCCAUCUCAUUGACUCGCCGAGUCGGCUACUUAACAUGCAACCAAAUUGCGACUCUACUCGCCGAGUCCAUCCAUGGAGUCGCCGAGUCACUCUUUCCCAAUUUACUCUUUUAGCCCUUUAACUCUACUCUUGAUAUUUCGGGAUGUUACAACAUAACAUAAUCAUAACAUAUAACAAUAACACAUAUACUACAUACUGCAUCGGAUCGCAGUCUGAAACACCUAACACAUACACAUGCACAAAUCACAAAGACAUCAAGCAUAUUGAACUAGUUCUCUGGACCACCCCGGCAUCGGACUACAGUCCGAAACUACUGCUAUCUAAAUGGGCCGGCAUUGUGGCCGUAGACCCGUUCCUACUGGAAGUAAACUCACCUCGAAGAACUGAUCGCUGAAAAUCCGAGUGAAGGAUCCCUGGCUGCUGUCCCGGUUGCUCUCCGACUAUCAUGACCAGUAAAACACUUAAUCAAAACGAGGAUCCUUGUAUGGGUGAAAUGGCUAUUUUACCCCUGCUAUGGUGUGGGUCCUAACCAAGGCCCAAACCCGUUACUUCAUUCUGAGUACACUAAUGGCCCACCAAAGGACAACUAAUGACCCUAUUUUCUAAAUUGGGCCCAGCUCCUCAUAUGUCCCUACAUAUGCCCAAAAUGCCAUUGGCCCAUACUCUGACUCCUGCUGGCCCACUAAGGCGCAACGUCCAAAUACAGCCCACACCGAGACCCAAAUACCCAAGGUCCAAACUAACUGAGUUACGCGAGGCGUACUCCGAAGUACGCUUAGCGUAACUAUUCGAUAGCGAGUACAUUGGGCGUACUCCCAUUUACACUCAGCUUAAUUCCCUGUUAAGUCGUUUCUCUAUUAAAUGUUUAAUAUUUCGAGUCAAAAGCUACAAACUUAGAACCAAGUCUUAUGCCAUGCUUUAAACCGUAAAGUUGCUUACUUGAUGGCUUACAUGACUCACAUAAUCUCAAACUUUAAAAACAAUAAUCUAUUUCCAUGGAAGUGGCUAGAUCUCAUGAAUGACUUCAUGAAAGCCUAAAAGAUUGAAACUUUAUUUCUAAGAAACUGUUUGAGCCUCAAGGAAGGCAACCUCAAGCUCAAAAACGGAUUCACAAGAUCAAGGUCCAACCUUUGGACCUAGAGAGGUCCAAAACUCCCAAAACCCUAGAUCUAGAAUAUGAGGAAGAAAGUUAAGAUCUUUAUACCUUCUUUUGUAACAAAAGAGUGAGCUUGGUCCAAAUAAGAAACCAGGGGGAGGCUAUAAUGAGGUUUAUAUAGUUGUUAAAUCCUAAGUUAGGGUUUUCCUUAUCUGUUCACGUACGCUACGCGUACACUUUGGUACGCUGCGCGCCCUCGAUUCUAACUGAGACCCAUUACACCUCGCCUAUGCCCGGGCUACGCCCAACGUAAGUCAUCUCGGCGGCCCAAGACUUUGGUCCAAGUGCAUAGUUCAAUCCAAUGCUCCUAUUAUCCAUACUUGGCCCAAUUAUAAUUUAAGUAAAUUAAAUAAUUAAUACCUCGAAAGACGAUCAUUACAAAUCACCCCCACUUGAAUCAGACUUCGUCCUCGAAGUAUGCUGCUACUGUAUCUGAAAACAACUCCGGACAAUGCUCUCUCAUCUCCUCUUCGGACUCCCACAUCCACUUUGAACCCUUCCGGUGUUGCCACUGCACCUUUAUUAGCUGGACUACCUUGUUCCUAAAAGUCUUCGUCUUCCGAUCCAAGAUUGCAAUAGGUCUCUCAAUGUAAUUCAGGCUGCUAUCAACCUGAAUAUCCUCCAAUGGUACAACUGUUAACUCGUCCACCAAACAUUUAUGCAAUUAAGAUACAUGGAAGGUGUUGUGGAUCUGACUGAGCGUUUCUAGAAGGUCCAAAUGGUAAGCAUCCCAACCCACCCGGGCCAAAACCCUGAACAGACCUAUGAAUCUGGGGGCCAGCUUGCCCCGCUUCCAGAAUCUGAUGACACCCUUCCAGGGUGACACCGUUAGGAGGACCAUAUCACCCACCAAUAACUCCAUGUUCGAACGCCUCCGGUCGGUGUAACUCUUCUGCCGACUCGGAGCAGUCUGGAGCCUGCUACAGACUUGUUGUAUCAACUAUGUUGUCUUGAGCACCACCUCCUUACUUCCCAUAACUCUAUGACCGACCUCACCCCAACAGACUGGGGUCCUACACUUCUUCCCAUAAAGCAUCUCAAAGGGAGAUCGUCCUCUCGCUCUGUCCAUCUGUCUGAGGGUGGAAAGCAUUGCUGAAAUGAAGACGAGUACCCAUCUCGUCGUGAAACCGUUUCCAAAACAUGGAAGUGAACCGGACGUCUUGGUCUGACACCACCGAAACAGGCACUCCAUGACGUGCCACUACUGCUCGCACAUAAAUCUCGGCCAACUUCUCGGCCGAGAUGCUCUCCUGGAUCGGUAUAAAAUGCGUACUCUUGGUAAACCGAUCCAUGAUGACCCAAAUCGAAUCAACCCCUCGUGUGGUCUUGGGAAGCUUAGUAAUGAAAUCCAUGGUGACAUCUUCCCAUUUCCACACGGGAAUAUCUAACGGCUACAUAUUGCUAUGGGGUCUCUGGUGCUCUGCCAUGACCUUCCUGCAGGCCAGGCAUCUCUCCACAUACUAAGCUACGUCCCGCUUCAUGCUUGGCCACAAAUAAUAGAGUCAAAGAUCUUUGUACAUCUUCAUCGCCCCUGGGUUGAUGGAGAACCGAGACUUGUGAGCCUCACGCAUCAACACUUCCCAUACUCCACCCCAGUACGGUACCUAGACCCUCCUUUGCAGGGUCAAUAAUCCUCGACUAUCAUAAUCGAAGGAGGCUACUCGGCCCAUGAUCGUCUUACACUUCUGCCUCUCUUCCUUCAGGCCCCCGACCUGUCCCUCUUUAAUCUGCUCCAACAAUGUUGUAAUCACUGUCACACUCAGGCAUAUAUCCCUAAUCGGGGCCGCUACCGCUUUGCGGCUCAGGGUGUCGGCCACUUUGUUGGCCUUGCCCGGAUGGUAAAGGAUCUCACAGUCUUAAUCCUUUACUGAUGGACUAGUGUCUAUGUCCAUUACUUGACCUGAUGGUGCAUGGUCCUUCUAGGUUGCCUUCACCAAAGCAACUUGAUAGGAUGAUUUAUGGAGAUGAUAUUAAUUAUGGUUUAUUAAUAUAUUAUGAGAAUAAUAUAUUAAAGGAUAAAUCAUAUUGUUUAAUUAAUAUUGGUCAAGAAUUAAUGAGAAUUAAUUUUGUGGCUAAAAAGAUAUUAAUUAAAAAAAGGGGACUAGAACUGUCAAUUGUGUGAUAGUUGAAUAUUGGGCUAAUGGACUCCAUAGAGAAUGGAGUGGACGAAUUCUAUGGGGAAACCCACUAGAAAUUCUCCAGGGCUUCUAAGGAGGGAGUCCAUGGGCUGGUUAGGGCCUAUGCGGUCAGAUUAGCGUUUCCUAGUUCAAAACCCUAAUAGCCUCUAAGGACCCCUAGGGCACCAAAAACCUGGCUAACUGAUUCUUUAGGGUUUCUACACGUUUUUUUGGUGCCUCUUCUCUUCUCCUUCUUCAUCCUCUUGCUCUUGGUGUUUUUGAGUCAUUAGAGGUGUGACAUUUGUGAUACUAUGCUUUCUAAAGCUAAUCACAAGAAGGAAUAGAUUGUUAUUGCUACAUAACAAUCAAAGGUAAUUUCUAAACCAUUAAUUGGGCUCAUAGUAUGAUAUAUAUAGGGUUUAUGGUUUUAGAUGAUUAUUUCAUGAUCAUUAGACAAACUAGAUCCAAAGCUUUAGGGUUUGCAUGUACACCAUAGGAAUGAUUUAGUGCUCAAAACCCAUCAGUGGUAUCAGAGCCUGGGCUGUUUUUUGAUGAAUUUGAUGCAUAUUUGAUCGUUUAUUGCUUGAAAAUUGAAUUUUCUGCUCUCUGCCAGACUGACUCGGCGAGUUAGUGGAUGAACUCGGCGAGUCCAGUCCCUGACUCGCCGAUUCCCGGGGUCAUACAGAGGGAAAAUUAGGGUUUUACGCUCGUUUUGUUAUGGGAUAGUUACAAAAACAAUUUUUUAUUGAUAAGAUUUGGAUUUUUGUGAUAUUGGGUGAUUAUCCUCGAAAAAAUAGUAAAUAAUUGUUAAUCAAUCAAAUAUUUGUUGCCUUAUAAGUUAAUGUUUAAUUAUUUUAGUUAUUUGGUGAAUUAUCUUGCAAGCAAUUGGACUAGGUCAAAAUUAGAUAACCAUAUUUAAUUGUUAAUUGCCUUAUUUGAAUUGUUGAUCUAGAAUAUUCUUGAUAAUGUUUUGAGAAGUUUCAAGACUUGCCCUCUAGUUUUGGAGUUUAAAAUUGAUUGAUUAAAAGUUUAAUUUUUGAAAUUUUAAAUUCUGAAAACCCUAAUUUUUGAAAAAGUUCAAAUUGCACCCUUAUGCUUAUAUUAAAUUAAUUAAGUGUAAAAUUAAAAGAGAGUUAAUAAAUCUAUAAUGAUAUGGUUUACAUUUAAUUAAAUUAAAAGUGUAAUUUAUUAAAUUUGACCACCUAGUACUUUAAAAGUGUAAAAUACACCCUUAUACUAUAUAUAACAUUAAAGCUCUAAUAUUAUCUAUGUAUAACUUAAACUGCUUGUCUUACCUUUAGUAGGCCGCAUUCACGAAGCCGAUCUAUAAGGGGGUAUAAGGUUAUGGCCUAUAAAAUGGCCGUUUAAUGGGUGUCCACUCUUACCCACCGCUUCCUUGAUUGGUGGAGGUUCGUUAGCCGAACGGGUAGGAUAGGGAAACCCUUCCCAUUAAAAAUAUAAAGUAACUAAAUGUUAUUACAAAAAUUUCCCAAUCUUAGUUACUUUAGGCAAAAGUGAAUUUAAUGCAAUUCCAUGAAAUUACACUUUGUACCCUAGCGAAGACAUUAGUGGAGGGUGUAUGGUUAACCAACACACUAAAUGGUUCUAAGCAAAGGUAGCAAAGGGUGACUUAAUGUUUUUCAUUGUUCGGUGGAGCGUGUAUAGUUAACCGGCACAUCGAAUAGAUGACUGUAACAUUGGGGGCACCAUGUAUAUUUGCAUGGUUAUUCACACCCUGUUUUGUGAUCCUCGGCAUCCCAGUCACAAAUGAAGGGGCAUAUCAAGAUUUAAACAUGCCAUUGAAAAGUUCAAUGAAUCUCAAAGGAUAUAGUAGUUUUUCAAUACAUUUAAAACCUAAUCCCUUUUUCGUUUUUCAUGGUGGAAAAUUCGUGAAUUGUCAUUCACUUACCUUCAAGUGUUAUGCAAUUUGAGUUACGACAUCCCUCUCCCAUGUUGUAGAGUAUUGUGUUGGCUCCUAGCCUUAAUAUCUCAUUUGGGUGAUUUAUUAAGGACUCAAUCAAUCAACUAACUUGAUUUUUCUCCUGUUUUGUAGAUGUCUGAAUCUGACCGUGGUUUUCCCAAAUCCCAUGGAAAAGGUUUUCCUGCUCAAAGUGAAAGUUUGUUACACAAUGAGGUGAGAGAUCGAUCCCUGCAUUGUGGACUAGCUUGGUUUCACUUCCUCCACCACCUCUUGUUGUUCUCCCAACCCCACAAGAUCAAAGAAUUAAAAAGUUAAAAAUCACUCUAGCCCUGUUGGCAAAGAAACAUGAAGAUGGAAAAUCUGUGUGUGCUCACGUCCUAGGGAUGAAAUCACACAUCGAUAGGUUGACAAUGUUGGGUGCAUCUUUUCCAAAGAAGUUGGCUAUAGACUGGGUUCUUCAGUCACUGCUUAAAUCAUAUUAUAAGUUCAUAAGAUAGUAUUAUAUGAUGGAUCUUGGCGCGACCCUCAUUAACCUAAGUUACAUGCUUAUUGCUGCUAAAUCAAAAAUGAUUUGGCAAAGUAAUUAAGCAUAUAUGUCUGGUAAUUCAACCAACCAUGCUUCCGUGGUCGCUCAAGGAAAACCCACAUGUUUCUACUACCAAGAGAAUGGGCAUUGGAAAUAAAGUUGCCCAGAGGACCUAAGGAAUCUGAGAGAUGGGAGAGUCAAGAAGUAUGGAGCUACUUCAGGUAAUAUCCACUAUCUAACUUCUUUAAGUUCCUAUUUAUUGAUUCUUAAUACAUAAUGUGAUAAGAUUACAUUUGAAUGUUUUGCAGGAUCAGAGAAAAGAGAGGAAGCUUGAUGGAAAAGCAAGAUGAAUCUGAUAACGAACAAAUGGAUCAUAAUCGCAUGGAUUCGAAGAUCAGAUUUUGAGCUUAGAAAGUUAUGAUAGAUUUAUUAGGAAUGUUUGAUUACAUAGUUUUUCUAUUGAUUUAGCAUUGUAAGGACAUGUUUUUCCGUUGCUUUUAUGAAUAAAAUAAAAUUUUGAUUUGUCUUAUAUAUAUAUAUAUAUAUAUAUAUAUAUAUAUCCUUGCAAUGAAUUGUUGUGAAAAAUUGAUGUUUGUGUAUUUCUGUAAAUGGAUGUGAUUCUUAGUUAUGCAUUUAUGGUAGUGUCAAAAUUUUCUAAGUAAGUAAAGAUUCCCAUCACCCAGGUUUCAGUUAGAGAGAAACUUGGAAUCAUAUGAUUUGAAUCAUGUGAUGUAUGGAAAUCUUGGUACUUAGGAAAUUAAGACUAAUUCCUUGAUCACACAAGUAUGUGAGUCAAGUAAAGGACUAAAGGACUAGAACACAAUGUUUUGCUCUAGUCAAGUCCACUACAAAUAACAAUGAGACUAUUCGUCAUAAUUUACCAAAACUCUGGUAAAUGUGGUUAUACUUACAAGAUUAAGUGUAAUUAUGAAUCAUUGAAAAGUUUCAAUGAAUGGCAGAACGAAUAAGAAGAAUCAAUGAAGGCAGAAAGAUAAAAAGUUUCUCAAAUCUAAGAAGAAGGGAGAGUACUUUUAUAUCAAUUUUAUGAUCGUCUUAAUGAUUAAGAACAAUAUCACAAUUGAUCAUCUAAGGACAUAUUAGUGCACUGCUAUGGCUAAGAAGAGGAAUCAGAAAUUGUUGAAAUGGUUAAAUCAAAAGGAUGAGUCAUACUUCGUUCCAAAAUCAAGUCUUAGAAUCAUACUCCAAGAUUGUGAAUUGAGUGACACACACUCAUCUAAUAUGAAGUAGAAAAUUGUUUUUCUUACUCUUGCACGUUUGAAACUGGUAAGUUGUGAUGUCUAGGAGAAAACAAGGACCAACUAAGACCAAAUGUGUGUAAUGUUUGUCUUGAUAUAGACACACACCAACUCUUCGAUAUUUGUUUAUCAUGAAAUGUUUCUUGAUAAGUGAAUCUAAUAUGUCAAGAGGUUAGAGGUCAGUGGGAUUCUGAAGAUCUUGAAAAGAUUCAAGAACUAAUCAAGAGUAAACCUAUUAAACACUAGCACACGACUUGAGGUUUAUAAACUACUGUGUUGACGAAAUUGUAUUUCUAUGCCAAUCCUGUUAAGUGAUUAUGCAUAUGAGUUCUAUGAGUUCUCAAUAGACUGCAUAAGGCAAGCACCUUGUUCGAUGAAAGUACAUUGACUAGCAUAGGUGAGCUGCUAGAUAACUUGGAAGCAAUGGUGGGACCCAUGAUGGCAAGAAAUUAAGAAUGAACAAGUUAUGUCCAUAAGAGUUUGAAUUCGUCACAAACAUUAUCUUUCAAGUAUGGUUAUGGCAAAGUCACAGGGAUAGGAACACAUACACCAUAAAAUCUAAGUGUCGUAAGUUUUCUCUCCUUCAUGAAAAUCAUUGUAAGGAAAUGCUUUCACUAAGAGAGAUUUUCAGAAGAUAGAGAUUAUGUAAAUUGCAUUCUCAAAUUCGAUUAUGAUUUCGGCAUCCCUCUUCAUAGUUCAAAUUGUGAGAUUUUACAAUUAAUCUGAACAUUUGGGACUUAGUAAAAUAAGUUCUGCAUUAGUUUAGACACACAUGUGAGCUGUCUAAGGAAAGGUGUGUGAUUUUGAGAAGCUUAGAUAAAGGCUUAUCGAAGCAUACCAUAUUAGAAACAAUGAACUUUGGAAGUCAAUAAGUAGUGUUUUUCUAGAAGUUUAGCUGGUUUCUUAAUACGUGUCAAAGCUAGUGGGAGCAUAAGUGUUAUGUUGGAAUGGAUAUAAUCAUCAUGUUAGUGGGAGCAUGAUUAUUAUUUAAAAAUUGCAAGUUGGCAAUAUUAAUUAUAGAAAAACAAAAGUUUCACUUUUCAAAGUUGCAAGGGUAGAAAAGUUUUUUUGCUAUAAUUAAGGGAGAGAAUGCUAUACUUCGUUUCCAAUCUAAAAGCUUAGAUCGAGAAAUUUUAAUUGUAUUUAGUCAAGGGUAUAUCUAUUAUUUGCAUUCUCAAAGUACAAUUAUGAUUACAACAUCUCUCUUCAUAGAUCGAAUUUUGAGAACAUGAUGAAUACAAAUAUUAUUACAAUAUUAUAAUAAGCAACUGGUAAAGUAUCACUUUUUUCAUUGUGAAUUGUAUGCCAUACCCUUCGGGGAUAGGAUCGAUUGCAUACGCUUUAAUAUUCGACCGUUCUAAACUUUUCCAAAUGCCUAGGGCAUUUGGAGGGAAAAAGGAAAUAGAACUGGUUUUGACUAAAAUAAUUAAACAACUGCCAAGGACAAUCUAAGGUUCCCCAAGGAUUGGUCACUUGUGGACAGUUUAAAGUAUAGUCAUGGAUGGACCAUAUUGACAUUAUUAUGAAUAGAUAAGAUUCUAUUUAUAAUGAGUUGUCAUACGGAAUAUAUGGAAAUGUUUCCAUAUUAGGAAUUGUAUAUCUAGAAUAAAUGCCUAGAUUAGAAACUUUUAUGCAAGAAGGAUGUUUAAAGGAGUGUACUUUUAAUAUGAGACUUCAUGACUAUGUAAUUUUCUUGUAAUAAUCUACAAUAGAGUAUUUUGUAACUUUAUUGGCUGAGUGUUGGUGACUUUUGUGCCGUGACAUAAGGAAAGGACUGUUGCAUAAAAUGUUAGAAUCUAACGUAUUCUAGUAGUGGCAAGAAUUUUUUGUUCUUAGACUAAUGGAUUAGGAACUGUGAAAUGAGUGUGAUUGAAAAUGUUAUUCAAUUAUACUAUUUCACAAAGUAAGGGCCAUAGGCAAACAUUGUGUGCAUGCUAAGAGCAUGGGACUAUUGUAGUUAUAAUUCAAGUAAGAAGUUGAUUACCCGAAACAACAGAUGAUGAGUAAUCAAUAUGGUGAUUAAAUAAAAUGUUUUCUUUAUAUACUCAAAGGUUUCAGGCCAUAUACGAUUAGUAUUAUUCUUGUGUUUCACUUUGCAUGUUUUGACUUCCCGAAUAAUAUGAUUACUCAAACCCUCCACAGUCGCUCAUUCUUUGGAAGUAGGAAUGAAAGAAGACUGUCAUGAAUCUGACUGUAGAUUUCCUAAAGUGUUUUAGACAUAGCAAAAUUUGUUGCAGGGUUCAUGAGUGUUGCUAUAAGAUUAGAGUGUUGGAAUAAACCCACGCUCAAUUGCAUCGCUUCAUGGAUUUUAUCACCAGUGAUUGGUGAGACGAUAAGAUCUUAUAUUAUUGAAACCAAGAUGUGUAAGUUGUAUCUUGUGAGUCAGUUUCAUAAUGAUAAUAUGUAAACUCACAAGUAACUUGGUGUUAUAAAACAUAUUGUUUUUUGUGAUUCAGUGAGUGAGUGCAAGCGAGCAUUGAGACGAAGUUUAUUCGUUCCUUUUACCCAAAGUGGAAUACAAGCGAUAUAUGUGGGCCCUCGAUGAUUUAGUGAUGACACCCUAGGCGCUUGGCCAAGCCGGGACUAAGUUGAUGUGUUCAAUUGUAGUCUGUUGUCAGUCGUCAUAAAUUUGAAGUCGAGAACCAAUAUAUGGUAAGGGAGAAGGGUUUAAAUCCGUGUCCCAGUUCAUACCAUAUCCAGAAUCGAGGAAUAUAUGAUCCCUUAUCUAAAUGACACGCUUCUGAUAAGAUCAUGUUGGGUCGUGUUUUGUAUAAUAUGUUGCGUCUAUUGGGCUCGUUAGCUAGUCCGUUUUGUAUCUCCGGUAUGGGCCUUUCCAUCCGUGAGUUUAGUAGGGUUUAAUAUAAAUAUAGGUGCUUGCAUGCAUCUUAGGUUAACGAUAGAAUAGAACGAUCAGAACAUUAUUCAGAAGUUUAUUAUUAUCGUUCUUAGAACCCUAAAUCCUCUACAGCAGAAGUUCUUAGUCGAGCUCUACUGAGGAUUGUUUGAUUUAAUCAUUCGACAUAUUUUGAUCCACACUUGUCUUAUUUAUUGUUUUGUGUUCAUCGCAAUACUUGUGUUUGUUUAAUAACUUAUCAAUUGGUAUCAGAGAAGGAGGCUGUGUAAUUCAUACACAUCUUUUCUGUGAAAAAGGUUGCGAUUAGGGUUAUUCCGCAUUAACUAAUAUUUAUUGAGCCGUCAUCCCAUAAUUGACGUAACUCAGCAUUUAUUUGUUUUACCCUAAUUUAAUAUAUUACAAGUCUGAUCUUUCAAACAGGUUAUUCGAUCAAGCAUGGACGAGUCACAAUCAAAUCCCAUUAACAUCUCAAACAAUAUUGGAUCAACGAUGAAGAUUCCCAUCCUUUACACCCAGGAUUACGAAGUCUGGGCACAUCACUUUGAAGAUUAUGUCAUUGGAUCUGAGGACAAUGGAUAUCUUAUUUGGGAAGUAAUAGUGUCUGGACCAUUCGCUCAUUCAGCAACGUCAAGAAUCAUUAAAACUCAGAAAGAGUAUAAUGAUCUGUUGAAAGACGUAAAAGAUAUUGCCCAAGACGAAAAGGAUAAAUUUCAGUGCAAUAUUAAAGCGUUGAGACUAAUUAGAUUUGCUCUUCAAUCAGAUACUUUCAGGCUAGUGAGUUCGUGCAGCACAACCAAAGAAAUAUUGGAUAGGCUGCGAGAGCUGUAUUCCACAAACGAAGAUCUCGAGCAUUCCAUUCAAACCUUGCUCUUGUCCGAGUUUGGUGAAUUUAAGCAGAACCCUGAAGAAACUGUGACUCAGACGUUCGAUCGCUUCAAUCAUCUUCUUAGUAAGAUGAUUAAACACGAUAUUGAAAGGAAGUUGAUUGAACAAAAGGUUACGUUUUUUAACAGUCUUACAUCUGAGUGGAGAGCUAUUGUGUCCACUGUUAAAGCACAUGAGCAAUUCAAAUCUUACUCUUUGGCAAAGCUGGUAGGGAUUUUGAAAUCCCAAGAAAAGAUUGUCUUGCAGGAGAAAAAUGUGGUUUCGAGCUUGGGAUCGUUGGCCCUUCUGUCCAAAAGCAAAGGUGUAGUGGAAGAUGAAGACCUUAACUUGGAAGACUAUGACCUUACCUCAGAAGACUAUGAAAUGAUGGUGUCAAACCCUAAGAGGUUCAUCAAGAAGAGGUUUCCUACCAAUAAGAACUGAAAUUGGCAGGGAAUUUAUAGUUCUGAAAAGGUCAAGGAAGAACCGAAGGCAGAAGAACCAAAGAAAGAACUGAAGGCUGAAGGAGAAUCGGGUGUGAACUGCUAUUAUUGUGGAGGAAAGAACCACUAUGCCAAUGACUGUGUCCUAAAGAAAAUGGCAGAAAAGGAUGAGGAGAAAGAUGAAGAAGCAAUGUUAAUGAAAAAGCUGGAAGAGAUCAAGAGAAAGAAAACUGUUACUAACCCUUCAAUGAAUGCUUUAAUUGUGCAGGGUUCGGUAGCGGAUGAUGAGUUCGGUGGCGUGGAGGUCCGGUCAACCGACUCUGAGGAUGAUGAAGUCAGGAAGCCUUCUCAUGGAAAGGCUUAUGUUGCGAAAGAUGAAGGAAGCGGUGGAAAAUGCGUGAUGGUGUCGGAUGUAUCUCAUAUGAGGGGAUACAACACAGACGGUGGGAAUGAAGACACGAAGGAGCGAGAGUAUCUGUGCUUCACAACAAAACCUCUCAGUGUGCAGUUUAAUGAGCUUGAUGAAUUAAUCAAGAAGGUACAAUCUAUUUUUUUUCAUUCAAAGUCCCACAAAACUCAUUUGAAAAAGAAUUAAAAAAAUGUAAAUUCAAGAAUCUCUCAUCUAGACAGCGUUUAACGCANAGACAGCAGUUUAACGCAAACACGGGUCACCAAUUCUAACCUAACUGACCAAAUCAGCAGGGUGUCUUCAAAGAGUGAGGAACGGAGGAUGAGGAUCGAGCUGAAGGAGUCGGAGUUAAUCAAAUCCAAGGACGAAAAUAUUUAUUUACAAAGAGACAAUUUGAAACUUUUAAAAAAGAGAAAUGUCUUUUGUUUAAUUGCUAAGCGUCUUUACACUAAUAUCACUCAACUUCAUUUAAACUGUGAAAUUUGGCAGAAAAUUCAUCGUAUGAUUUUGCCCUUCCUUGUGUUUAAGGAGGAUGAAAUUGACGCUGAAGCAUAUAAUUGUGAAAGUGUAGUUUCGUCUGAGGAUGUAAAUCCAACAUAUAUGUAUGGUCUGGAAAAAAUCGAAUCUUUCAUAAAGUCCAAGGACCAUAAGGACAUGCUGAAAAAUCUUUUGGAUGAAAAUGAUAAACUGAAACUAAGGACCGAAACCAUACAAAAGUUUGACUCAUUGAAUGCCAACUUGAGCUCAGAAAAUAAAAUUGAUAUUGAAAAUGCAUCUGAGCUUAAUGAGGACGCUGAUAUGAGUGAAAUUUCUGUAGAGGAUGUAGUUGACUGUUCUGAGUUUGUCAAGAGCGAACCCGAAAACCAAAAAAUCUUAUUUCAGAAAAUUAUGUGGAGUUUGCUCGUCUGUCCCAACAAAAGUCCCCGAUCCUUGAAGAAAAGGUUGUUGUAUACCAAAAGGUAAGGACGACUCCAAAUCAGGUGUAUGAGGUCACAGGUGUAACCGAACAUCAGACAGCCGAACUCACAGCCAUUGUAAACGAAGAUAAUGCUGAUGGUUGUGAUGAGUUCUUCUGGUCUGCUCCUAUCGAAAACGCUGACGAAACCGUUGGUCUAUCAGAAAGGACGUCCUGGAAAACCAAAGGCAGAUAUGUGCCAGAGCCUUUGAAGAAGCCUGAUAGCUUCGAUGUGCCAAGUACUAGUGGUACAAAAGAUGUGCCUGAAGAUAAAGGAGUUUCUGCAAAAGAAGACACUCCUUCAAGCGAAACAUCAUCAGUUCAAAGUGAACCAGCUGACAAAAAAGAAAAAACAAAAAGCGAAUAUCCAUCGUCAGCCGAAGCAACUGAAAAAUAAAAAACAGCAAAGAAAUCAGAGAUACAAGAAGAAUCUCUCUGAAAGAAAACAGUUUUGGCAAUCACAAAACGCCCAUUUCUCUUAUCAUGACAGAAAUUCAAAGUCAGAGAGAAGUGUUAUUGGAUCGCAAGAAGUUUAUAACAACCGAAAGGAGAAGUUAGGUUCUGAGUGUCAUAACAACCGAAAGGACAAGUUCGGGUCUGAAAAAUAUGACAACUGAAGGCGAAGGCUCGGUUCAGAGAACACAAGCUACCAAAAGCAUAAGUUCGGUUCCGAGAGCAAAAUCAAACAAAGUUCUAGGUUUGGUCCCACUAAUGAUCAAAAACAAAAGGGUCACUUAGAACCUCAAGUCAAGAAAACAUCUCAGUAUAAAUUCUCUCGUUCUACUUCUUCUAAUUCUUCUAAUUCCUCUCAACCUCAUUCUAAAUUCAAUUCUGUUCGCACUCAAAAACCUAAAUCUUCAACAGAUCUGAAAGGAAAAUCGAAGAUUUCAUCAGUCAAAACAGAUCAAAAUAAUCCCAAAGUCCUGAUGCCUAAACUAGAAUCCAAACCGACAGUAACAAAUCCCAAUAAAAUUAAGGUUUUCACCAUUAAAAAGAACGAUGAAACAACGUUAAUAAAAAGAACAUAUCUUGUUGACAUCUCUCUUACUAUUCCUGUUCCUGUGAAACGCUCACGUGGACCCAAGAAACUUUGGGUUCCUAAAUCUGCUUAAUUUUUGCAGGUUAUCAGUGACGAGCAGUUUGACGAAGAAUGGUAUAUUGACAGUGGCUGCUCGCGUCACAUUACAGGAAGGAAGGAAGAGCUGAGGGAAUUUUUGUCUCUUUCAAACGGUGGAAAUGUCAAAUUCGUGAACAACUCAUUCGGCACAAUAAAAGGAUAUGGAAUGAUAACAAAAUGGUGAUUUUACGAUUAGAAAGGUUGCAUAUGUUGAAGGACUCCAGCACAACCUCAUCAGUGUAUCUCAACUUGUUGGAGGUACCGGUCUCAAGGUCUCAUUCGACGAUGAGGGUUCAAAAAUAAUUUAAAAGAAAACGAAAAGGGUGUUUCUCAAAUCUGAGCGCAAAGGCGAAAUGUUUCCCCUGAAUCUCAAACCCAUCAAACGGAAUCCAACUAUCUGCCUGUUAUCCAAAGCACAAUCUGACGAAAGCUGGCUGUGGCACCGAAGGCUCUCUCAUCUCAACUUCAAGGAUAUCAAAAAACUUGUCAUUAAAGGUCAUGUUCGAGGUCUUCCAUUGCUCAAGUUCGAUCGACAACAUUUAUGUGCUGCAUGUGAAAUGGGGAAGCAGAGUCGUCAAAGUCACCCAUCAAUUGUAAACACUAAAGUUGUUGAACCACUAGAGUUAAUUCACAUUGAUUUGUGUGGUCCAUCAUCUAUCGAAAGCAUCGGCGGUAGCAAGUAUAUUCUUGUCAUUGUUGAUAACUUUUCGCGUUUUACAUGGGUGUUCUUUCUGAAGUACAAAUCUGAAGCAACUCUCAAGCUAAAGAUGUUUAUCAAGCAGGUUGAAGUACAACUGAAGAAAGUCGUUUGCAACAUCAGGAGCGACAAUGGGCUGGAGUUCAAAAAUAAAGAAUUCGAAGAAUUCUUGGCCGAAAAAGGAACCAGUCACAACUUCUCAGCUCCCUACACCACUCAACAAAACGGGAUUGUCGAAAGACGAAACCGAUCUUUGUGUGAGGUGGCCCGAACCGUGCUAAGUUUUGCUUCUUUACCUUUAUAUUUUUGGGCUGAUGCUAUUGCUGUAGCAUGUUUUACGAAGAACAGGUCAUAUCUCAAUAAGCGCUUCACUCUCACUCCUUAUGAGAUCAUCAACAACAGGAAGCCAAAUGUCAAAUUCUUCCAUGUAUUCGGCUCACGGUGUUUCAUCUUCAAUUCUAAAGAACAUUGUAACAAGUAUGAUGUCAAAGCCGAUGAAGGGAUUUUCCUAGGCUAUUCUCUCACUUUGAAAGCCUACAGGGUAUUAAACAAGUGCUCGAGGAAAAUAGAAGAAACUUAUUAUGAGACUUUUGAUGAUAGCUACGUCAAAAAGCUAAAGGCCACCGAAGACACAGUUGUAGAAAUCUUUUCUCAAACAGGCCAAGUCACAGCCUCGAUCGCAAACCUAUUUGAGAAGUUUGUCGAGUUAUUUGAUGAACCAGAGAAGGCUACUCUCUCUGAAGCCAGUGCAGCAAACAACAAAGUGGAUCAUCUGAAGCAACUCAUCGAAGAUGCUGCCAAGCAAAUGAAUGAAGGAGGAUCAAGUUCCAACGAACCUCUACAGUGCGAUGCUUCAGUUGAGGGGGAGGAUCCAUCUUUCUCAUCACAGCCGAUCACACAUGUUGAGGGGGAGAACAGUUCUCAAGCUAAUCCCGAAUGCCCAGCAGUACCCGAAGGUGCUACAACACUCGAAGGUGCGUCAACACCUAAAAGCUUGACACCACCCGAAACCCCUGUAGCUCCGGAAACUCAAGACACACCUAGAAGCUUAUCUGUCAAGGGGGAGAAUGCCGAUAUGCUUUAUGAUGAUGAUAGUCAAUCUGAACAAGAAGAGAUGGUAAACGCUGAAUUGGAUCCAUCUUAUGAUCCAAUUUACCCUCCUCUUGUUAAAUGGACCAGAGAUCAUCCAAUUUCACAGGUUGUCGGUAGUGUCUCUGAAAAGGUCCUGACCCGAUCACAACUAAAGGCAAAAGCAAACUUCCUUAUUCUCAAAAGUAGAGUUCUACAUGUUUAACUCCUUCGUCUCAAAAGUUGAACCAAAGACAGUUAAUACUGCUCUUGAUCACUCCGAUUGGGUUCAAGCUAUGCAAGACGAACUUAAUGAAUUCGAAAGGAAUAAAGUUUGGCGCGUCAUUCCACAAGAAAGGCAACGUGAUACGAAACAAAGCUCGUCUAGUGGUGAAAAGAUACUGUCAGGAGGAAGGAAUCGACUAUGAAGAAACUUUUGCUCCUGUAGCUACGCUGGAAUCCGUUCGAAUAUUUCUUUCCUAUGCUGCACACAAGAACUUUGAGGUCUACCUAAUGGAUGUCAAGUGCGCAUUUCUAAAUGGAGAACUUGAAGAAACGGUGUACGUGGAGCAACCUCCUGGAUUCGUCAAUGAAAGGUACCUUAAUCACUGUUAUAUUUUGGACAAAGUGGUAUAUGGACUGAAACAAGCUCCGAGGGCCUGGUAUGAAACGCUAACCAAGUUUUUAAAGAUGUCCAAAAUCAAACAAGGUUCGGUUGACCCAACCUUCUUUCGUAAGAAGGAAGGUAACCACCUUAUGAUUGUUCAAAUUUAUGUCGAUGAUAUCAUCUUCGGCUCAACGAAUCCUAGCUUAACGGCUGAAUUCAGAAAGCUGAUGGAGACUAAAUUUGAAGAGCUCAAUGNAACUUUUUCCUUGGUUUAAAUAUUAGACAGGGACCCGAAGGCAUCUUUAUUAACCAGGAAGCUUACACGAAGACUAUCCUUGCAAAGUUUGGCAUGAUGGGAGACUCAAAGGUUAAAGUUCCAAUGGCGUUCGGAACCAAGCUCACUCCAUCCUUGGAUGUGACAACCCGAUAUUUCUGUUGGAUUAAUGUCUAAGUCGAUAACUAUAUUUGGUAAGACUUNNNNNNNNNNNNNNNNNNNNNNNNNNNNNNNNNNNNNNNNNNNNNNNNNNNNNNNNNNNNNNNNNNNNNNNNNNNNNNNNNNNNNNNNNNNNNNNNNNNNACUUCGAGAGUAGAUGAGUAUGUCAUUAAUGAAGACGAUGACGAAUUGAUCCAAGGACGACACACCCUAUUCAUCAGAUCCAUGAAUACUGCGGGUGCGUUAGUUAAUCCGAAUGGCAUCACUACAAACUCGUAGUGUCCAUAACGAGUUCGGAAAGCAGAUCUAUCUUCGAGAAGUAGUUGGCUCCAUGAAGUUGAUCAAACAAAUCGUCAAUGCGGGGCAAAGGGUAUCGAUUUUUAAUGGUAAGUUUGUUGAGUUCCCUAUAGUCGAUGCACAUGCGAAACGUUCCAUCUUUCUUCUUGACGAACAAGACCGGUGCUGCCCAUGGUGAGAAGCUUGGUCGAAUGAAUCCCUUCUUAAGAAGUUCGUUAAGUUGACUGGAAAGUUCCUGCAUUUCAGCCGGUGCAAGANAGCCCCUGGCACUAAGUCGAUUCUGAACUCGACUUGGCGUUGUGGUGGCAAACCGGGAAGUUCUUCUGGGAAUAUGUCGGGAAAGUCGCGUACUUCUGGGAUUUUCUGGAUGUCUUUUAGUUCUUGACUGGUAUCGACGACGUGUGCGAGAAAUGCAUGGUACUCCUUCCGUAAGCACUUCUGGGCUUGAAUGCACGAAAUGAUGCGAAGGCUUGUACUGGGUUUGUCGCCGUAGAUUAUUAAAGUUUCGUUGUUAUAAAGGUUAAGACGAACUGCUUUUUCAAAGCACAUAAUGUCGGCACGAAGAAGACUCAACCAAUCCAUACUGAUGAUAACGUCAAAACAUUUAAUUGUGACCGGCAUCAGAUCUAUCUUGAAAGUAUGGCCAUCUAAAGUUAAAGCACAACCUACGUAUAUGCAGUUUGUACUCUCUGUUUUCCCGUUAGCCAUUUCUACCGUGAGUGGAUAAUCUAAUGCACAUGGUUUUUGUUUAAACAGGAGUGCAAAUUUGUGACUCACAAAACUUUUCUCGGCUCCACUAUCGAAAAGUAUGCAAGCAUAAGAGUUAUCGAGGAGGAACGUACCAGUAACUAUCGUUGGAUCAGCUACUGCUUCCUCGUGGCCUAGAGCCAUAACUCUUCCCACUCCUCCAGCCAUCCCUGCUUUAGGGCAGUUCCUCUUGUAAUGGCCCACUUCGCCACAUCCGUAGCAAGCNGGACCUAGGCGGCUUGAGCUGUUGGAGCCUUGCAGUAACGAGCGGUGUGCCCCUUUCUAUUACAGUUAGAGCAGAACAUCUCCCUGCAAGGUCCGUGGUGGUGGAAGUUGCACUUGGUGCACUUCGGAAGAGUUCCAACAUAUGACUUUGCUGGUAAGGGGUUCACAGGGACAACAUGAGUCACUGUGGCAGCAUUGAUCGCCACAAGUUGUUUGUUGGAGGAUUCUUGCGAAGUCCCUCUUUUCCUCUUAUUCCACCCCUUUUUGUUGAAGUCGGGGUUGGACUUUUGUGGUAUAGAUUUAGGGAUUGUUGUAUUCUGAGGUUUCCGGUGAUCGAUGAGGGAUUGUGCCAGUUCCUUGGCACUAUCAAAGGUAAUAGGCCUGGAAGCGAUCACACUUGACUGGAUCUGGGGCGACAGUCCCCAGAUAUAUCUUUCGAUCUUUUUGCUCUGGAGAGCAACCAUAUCAGGGCAUAAGUUUGCCAAAUCACAAAACCUAUUUGUGUAGGUAGUGAUGUCGGAUCCUACCAUUUGAAGACCCCAGAAUUCUUGCUCGAGUUUUUGUAUUUCACCUCGAGGACAAUAUUCUUUCAUCAGCAUGUCUUUCAACUUUUCCCAGCCGAUGGAAUACGCCACCACCAAAGUUAGAUAGUUAAUAUGGCUGUUCCACCAUGUUAGUGCUCGGUCAGAGAAGGUACAAGAUGCGAACUUGACCUUGUUGCCUUCUUGGCAUCCGCAGAUCUCGAAGACAAAUUCCAUCUUCUCAAUCCAUUGUCUCAACACCAUAACACCCCCAGUUCCAUUGAAGUUGCGGGUUUUGGCGUUAGUGAAAUCCUUGUAAAAGCAUUCCCGAGGGUGUCCAUGGCUUUCGCCGUGGUUCGAGGGUGGUGCACCUGUUCCCGAUCCACUAGGGACAGGAGCGUUGAUUGCUGACACAACCGCUGCAACUGCUGUUGUGAAAGUUGCCUGAAACAUAGUGGCAUCGAAAGGAUUUGGUGGUUGAAGGGGUACAGGCAGUGGUGGAGGUGGUGGUAUCGGUGUUUCGUUGAUUGAUUACGCCUUGUACUUCCGCGUGGCAGCAUCUUUAACUAUAAGUUUAAAAGAUGACGACAUGGAUAAGAAUAAAUGAUAAAUGAAUGUGCCCCAUGGACUAAUCCCUAUAGUUCAACAACCGAAGGAAUAGCUAAGAUAGAUGACUGACUAAGGUACUUAUAGUAAGACCAAAUACCCAUAUGGUUUUUCUUUAUGGUUGUGUUGGUAAGUUUUUAGACUUGUUGCCAUAUUACAACCAUUCUUGGGCAUAUUCUAAUCACUCCUCGGACCAGCAUAGUUGAUCAGGCUAUGCCAUUCCCAAGACUGACCAUAUAUCCCCAGGCUUACUUGUAAUAUUCAACAAUUGUAAUACUUUGUUCUUGUCGUUGUGACACUGAUUUUAGUAUGAAUGCAGGCACGUAUACUUUGUUAAAUAUUUUAUUAUUUAAAAGUAUAACUCUUAGACAGAGUGUUUUGAUCCCAUGUAUUUAUAGUUAGUAUAUCUUUUAUGGGUUGAUAUACUUAAUUCACUAUAAACAAUGCUCUGAUACCAAUCUGUCACACCCCAAAACCACGAACGGCGGAAACGUUCAGGGGUGGAGGACGUCAUGUACAGUAUCACAACAGUGUAAUAUAAUAAACAAGCAACAACAUCAUCCAUUGCAUUAUAAGUAAAGUUUUAAUACAUGUGUGUUCUUUCAUUGUAGUAAGACACCAAAAAUAUACAAUCAAAAUAAAAGACGAGACUUGUCUGCUCCGUCUUCUCAAAACCUGGCCUUCGUACCUGUCUACUGAUGACCUGAGAAUACAAGUUAUUUUGAAAGCGAGUAUCAGCUUUAAAGCUGGUGAAUUCAUAAGUAUAUAAGUGUUGUUGCCUUGUUUGUGAAAAUCUGUUAUGAAGGCCAUGUAAACCUUUAAAUGAGAAUGUUGAGGUAAGUAUGAAAUCCCUAGAAAAACCCUUAUUUUCUAUAAGUAUGAAAUGUAGUCUUCUACCAUGACCCGAAUGUUCUGUACGUAUGAAGUGUAGUCUUCUACCAAGACCCGAAUGUUUUGUUUGUAAAAUGAUAGUUUUCCUUUAAUUGUUUAGUACUAAAGUACUUAGUCUAACUCAUCGUUUAUGUGAAAGUAUCACAAAAUAAAGUAAACAGUAAAAUGUACUACUGUAAGUAUUGUCACUGGGUACUAGGACCCACACAGCCUAGGUAACUGUUAUCCCGAGGUACUAGGGUUAACACUACCUAUAUAACCUAAUGAACAUCCGAAGAUUGUCCAAUUGUCCUCUGUAGCAGCAGCAGGUGGGAGGAAGGGUUAGUCCCUGUAAAGGUACUCCUAGUAUAAGUAAUAACCGUAGGCAUCUUUAGAUGUUCAUUACCCACUGUCGCUAACAGAUGGGUUCCGGAAUGGUUAGUCCCGUCCAUAUAUCCCGAGGUACUGGGGAUAGAGCCCUAUUCUAGAUAUCCCGAGGUACUGGGGAUAUGCAGGAUAAUUUACACAGAAGGUACUAAUAAAUUAUCCUCGCAAUUUGUGAUACAAAUAUUCAAAUAAGUAUACACAGGUAAAGGUAUCAACGUAAAGGUACUCAUGUAAUGUGUUCAUGUAUCAGGUAAACAUAUGUAAAGGUACUCAUGUAUCAGGUAAGGUACUAGUAAAGACUCAUGAAUGAACUGACUCUUGUGUGAUUCCUUGUAAUAAUGUUUUGUUAUCUUCAAAUUAUCCCUAUGAUAAUUUACUGUAAUCUAACUAGUUGAUCAUGUAAGUUUACACACUCUUACUACUCAAGGGUGUGGGAAAACUAUAUGAAAGAUGCAAACUUAUAACAUCAAUACAUUUAUAAGGGUAUAAGUGUAUAUGCAUAGUUUAGUUCAAGAAUGAAAAAUGGUUUUGUAAGACAUCUUAUGUCUUUUGAAACAAUGAUUAACAAUAACCUGAGGUCAUUUCAAUAUACAUUUCAAAGGUAAAACCUUUGAUAACAAUGUGUUCUUAAGAUUUGAAACCAAUUCAUGCAUCACAUUUUGUAGUAUGUGAAAACUGUUUAUAAAAAUACGUAUCAAUGAUUUAAUAACAUGUUUGUUUCUACUUGUAUUCCCCCUACUAAAGCAUUUAAAAUCAUUUAAAACAUUGAUUAGGGGUAUGAACUCACUUNAAAUAGAAUGCGAGGCUUUCCGAAAAAAAUGCUCAUUUCUCUCCUUUCUCUCACGAUAUUGCCUUGAUUUCCGUGCCUGUUCAAACCCGAAGCUCUGGUCUUUUUGCUCAAGUCAUGAGGAUCGAUUUUACUCCCGAGAUUCCCGAGAAUCCCGAGAAAAAUCCAUUUCCCGAGACGAAACUCUGCCCGAUUUUCCAUCUCGCUAUCUUCAAACUUCCAAGUGAGUUCAUACCCCUAAUCAAUGUUUUAAAUGAUUCUAUAUGCUUUAGUAGGGGGGGAAUACAAGUAGAAACAAACAUGUUAUUAAAUCAUUGAUACGUAUUUUUAUAAACAGUUUUCACAUACUACAAAAUGUGAUGCAUGAAUUGGUUUCAAAUCUUAAGAACACAUUGUUAUCAAAGGUUUUACCUUUGAAAUGUAUAUUGAAAUGACCUCAGGUUAUUGUUAAUCAUUGUUUCAAAAGACAUAAGAUGUCUUACAAAACCAUUUUUCAUUCUUGAACUAAACUAUGCAUAUACACUUAUACCCUUAUAAAUGUAUUGAUGUUAUAAGUUUGCAUCUUUCAUAUAGUUUUCCCACACCCUUGAGUAGUAAGAGUGUGUAAACUUACAUGAUCAACUAGUUAGAUUACAGUAAAUUAUCAUAGGGAUAAUUUGAAGAUAACAAAACAUUAUUACAAGGAAUCACACAAGAGUCAGUUCAUUCAUGAGUCUUUACUAGUACCAUACCUGCUACAUGUGUACCUUUACAUAUGUUUACCUGAUACAUGAACACAUUACAUGAGUACCUUUAUGUUGAUACCUUUACCUGUGUAUACUUAUUUGAAUAUUUGUAUCACAAAUUGCGAGGAUAAUUUAUUAGUACCUUCUGUGUAAAUUAUCCUGCAUAUCCCCAGUACCUCGGGAUAUCUAGAAUAGGGCUCUAUCCCCAGUACCUCGGGAUAUAUGGACGGGACUAACCAUUCCGGAACCCAUCUGUUAGCGACAGUGGGUAAUGAACAUCUAAAGAUGCCUAGGGUUAUUACUUAUACUAGGAGUACCUUUACAGGGACUAACCCUUCCUCCCACCUGCUGCUGCUACAGAGGACAAUUAGACAAUCUUCGGAUGUUCAUUAGGUUAUAUAGGUAGUGUUAACCCUAGUACCUCGGGAUAACAGUUACCUAGGCUGUGUGGGUCCUAGUACCCAGUGACAAUACUUACAGUAGUACAUUUUACUGUUUACUUUAUUUUGUGAUACUUUCACAUAAACGAUGAGUUAGACUAAGUACUUUAGUACUAAACAAUUAAAGGAAAACUAUCAUUUUACAAACAAAACAUUCGGGUCUUGGUAGAAGACUACACUUCAUACGUACAUAACAUUCGGGUCAUGGUAGAAGACUACAUUUCAUACUUAUAGAAAAUAAGGGUUUUUCUAGGGAUUUCAUACUUACCUCAACAUUCUCAUUUAAAGGUUUUCAUGGCCUUCAUAACAGAUUCUCACAAACAAGGCAAUAACACUUAUGUACUUAUGAAUUCACCAGCUUUAAAGCUGAUACUCGCUUUCAAAAUAACUUGUAUUCUCAGGUCAUCAGUAGACAGGCACGAAGGCCAGGUUUUGAGAAGACGGUGCAGACAAGUCUCUUCUUUUAUUUUGAUGUUAUAUUUUUGGUGUCUUAUUACAAUAAAAGAACACACAUGUAUUAAACUUUACUUAUAAUGCAAUGGAUGAUGUUGUUGCUUGUUUAUUAUAUAACACUGUUGUGAUACUGUACAUGACGUCCUCCACCCCUGAACGUUUCCGCCGUUCGUGGUUUUGGGGUGUGACGUUGGAUAAGCCAUCAGUUGAUAUUACGCUGUAUCGACAGAUGAUCGACUCUCUGAUGUACCUUACUGCUAGCAGGCCUGAUAUAAUGUUCUCUGUUUGUUACUGUGCUAGAUUUCAGGCGAAUCCUCGUGAACCUCAUAUGCUUGCAGUGAAGAACAUACUCCGCUUUCUCAAACGAACUACCUCUUUAGGCCUAUGGUAUCCAUUCAACUCAGGCUUCUUCGUUCAAGCCUACUCAGAUGCAGACCUUGGAGGUUGUGGACUAGACAGGAAAAGCACCACGGGAGGCUGCCAAUUCCUUGACGAGAAGUUGGUUAGCUAGCAAUCAAAAAAACAGACUUGUGUGUCUCUGUCUACCGCUGAAGCAGAAUACAUCGCAGCUGCCUCCUGUACUUCUCAAGUGAUUUGGAUCCAAAGUCAACUCUGGGACUAUGGACUCAAUAUGAAAAAGAUCCCACUAUAUUGUUACUCUGAAAAUGCAACUAGGAUCUGUCAUAACCCAGUGCAACACUCCAAGACUAAACACAUAGCACUGAGGUAUCACUUCAUUAAUGAUCAUGUGGAAGAUGGGAACGUCGAAAUUCAUUUUGUUUGCACCACUUAUCAACUGGCUGACAUCUUCACCAAAGCUCUUCCUGAAGCAUCUUUCAACAAAAUACUACAAGGGCUACGUAUGAUGGAAUCAGAGUCAGUACCAAAAAUUACCUCUCCAAUUCAAAAGUAAGAAGCGAAAUAGACCGAACGUUCGGGUUCGGGUCUUGUACUAAUGUACCGAACGCUCGGGUUCGGUUGCAUAAUCUGCUUUUCGCUCAUCACUGAAAGGUAGUUUUCUUGGUUGUAGAUCUUAUGUAUACUUUUUCCAAAUGCAUUUAUCUUAUUGUCAAAGUUAUUCUCUUUUUCAAACUUAUUUUCUUUGCCAACCAAAAUCAACCGAACGUUCGGGUUCGGUUCCAAAAUUUUUUUCACCCGAAAUAGACCGAACGCUCGGGUUCGGUUCCAAAGUUUUUUUUCCAACCGAAAUAAACCGAACGCUCGGGUUCGGUUCCAACAUUUUUUUAUUCAUUUUUUUUAUGUCUUAUUUUUUUUAUUUAUUAUCAAAAAUUCCAAAAUUAUUUUUUUUUUCAUAAAUUCAAAAACUCCAAAAAUAUUUGGUUAUUUAUUUUCUUUUUGGCUUUAAUUUUAUUUGAGUGUUCGUUUAUGGGGAAAUUGUUUAAUUAGCUAAGUGUCCCUAGAAGCAUGUUGCUGUAUGUGUCCAAAGCCUCCACUGAUUCUGAGUAAUAAGCCUUACUGACUUGGUAUAAACAAACCUUGUCUUCCCAAUUAGGCUUUCUUAUUUACUCUUAUCAUGAGCUACCUAACUCUUUUCUCACAUGAGAUAUGAGUUUUCUGCGUGGUCCUAUUUUUCACAGCAGAGGUACUUUGGUUUCUUUACAACAUCUACAUCGCAUUUCUCCAUCACAUUCGUUUCACAAACGUAACCCUUGAGACUCUUAGAAAUUACCACUAAGGUUUAUGGUUACACAAUUUAUGUGUUUAUGAUCUUAGUUUCGUUCCACUAAGAGCUAAGUGAAACCCAAAAUUCAAUACCCAAUACGAAUUGACGGUGAACAAUUAAUUUGCUCUAGUUUUCACUAAUGAGUUGACGGACGUACCUCCAUGAAAUCUCAAAAUUUUCUUUUGUGUGAUUCCUAUGAAAUUGUUAAAAACAAUAACAUUUCUUCCCUUGGGAUCCAGUUUUAAAUUUUUGUUGAGAUUUUGUAUAUAAAUUUCCUAGCCAAGUUAAAUUAUCUCCAACCUACUUGUUCAAUAGACUACACCGGUCUCACAAGUACUUCGUUUGAUUUCUAUCUUAUAUCAAGAUUAGGAAUUUUCAAUCGAAGCGAAAGCCACCCUAAUAAGCCUAAUUAAAAGAAGCUUUUCAACCCUUCUUAAUAAGUGUUUGAUCGUUAUUCAACGGGAAACCACACGAACACUUUAAGGUCUCUCUUGACUUUGAAGGAAGAGAUUCGUGCCCGUGAUCAUUUGUUUCGUGUCUUUAUUGACAUCACAUAUUUUGCCAAAAGUAUUGCUUUAUUUCUUUUCUUUUACACCCUUAGCACAAAAAUCUUUGAUUUUCCAAAAUUCAAGUUCUAUUGAUUACAGGUAUUUUAAUUGGAUUAGCGGUUCAUUAAAGGCUAUGGUUGAUUUUAAUCCAUGUGGACGAAUUUCUAAAAAGAUGCCGUUACAAUUUAAAGGGAUAAGAUGACGACAUGCUGACUCAGGCGGGAGUCCAAUCGAUUUGAUUUCAAACAGCGCUAAAAGGGAAAGUGUGCGAAUCGAAACCGUUUCAUCUCCAUAAGGCGCAAGAGGGACGCGUGUGAAUCUGAACCGUUUCGUAUCCAAACGGCGCCUGAUGGGAAGGCGUGUUACUAGGAGCCUGACGUUCUCUCUCAUCCGUGAUCCUCGGCAACUCCAAUUGUCACGCAUCAGUCAACUCCGAAAAACUCUUUGGUUUUCAAUCGAAGAUUUGGGAAGAUCUUUCUCUCUCCUUACCACCAGUAUAAAAGGCGACAUCAUACAUCGUUUACCUCUUUACUACAAUUAAAAUUCCCAGAGAGCGAGAAAUCCUUAAUCCUUCACUGUUCAUCAUCUUCUUCACUUUCUUCAAGCAAUGGCAGAUUCAUCUUCUGUUCACACAACAUCCCACAUUUUACCCAUUCGCCCACAGCAAAGCCUAAUCAUCGAUUUAACGCCUCAUGCUUACGACGCAUUCAUGUUCCACAUCAUUGAGUGUUUGAAGUUUUCUCUGAUCGCUCCUGCACUUACAAGAGCUGAGACUGUUUCGAUGGAGUUCUUGUCACAGAUCUUUGCGACCGCUCACUACGACAAGGUCAUUGACAGAAUCUUUUUUAAUGUCUUUGAGCACAAGGCGUCAAUUUCAAUGCAAAGGUUUUGCUCACUGUUAGGGUUUGAACCUGAUUCUUCGAGGGUUAACCCUGAAAAGAUUCCAAUGGGUCACUUGUUCAACAUGUUCUACAACAUGGGUUACAUGGAGGUGCUUACUACUGUCACGAAGUUCAAGAAGUCUUGCCUACAUCCAAAGUGGAAUGGGAUGUUCACUGUUCUCUUCAAGGGGUUAUCAGAAAGAAGUGUUGGAUCUGAAGGUGCCAGCGGUUUAUUUCUCUCCAUAAUGUAUGGUAUCUAUAAUGGCAUCAACAUGGAUUAUGGGUCUGUUCUAUGGCAACAACUCAUCCAGAGUCUCUCCUCUACUUCCAGGCAUUCAGAGAUUUUUUAUGCUAGGUUCUGGACUCUUAUCACGAAAUGGGUGAUGGACAAGUACCACGUCCCCAUUUUCGUUGGUGCUCCGAUGUCUUCGAUUGGUACCUUCCAUACCAUGAAGAUCAUUAUGUCGGACACUUCAAAGUUUCCGUUCAACGGUUCUAUUCCGGAAACCAUGUAUGUAGAUGUUCCUGCUGAUAGCCGGAUCAUCAGAACGUACAAGGAAUUCAGACGUUCUGGUCCGAGGGAUCUUACUCCGGAGAUGUUGAAGUCCAUACAUGACGCCGACAAGCCUGCUCCACAAGGCAAGAAGGCUGAUAAGGGGAAACAGGUGGCAAAAAGAGCAAAAGGCCCGUCUCCAAAGAAGUGGAAACCCACCAAGGCUGCUCAGUCUCCGUAGCAGAAGAGAAGAAAAACUCAGCCGAGGCGAAAGCUUGUUAUCGCUUCCUCCUCAAGCGAAUCUGAGGGUGAGAGUUCAGAUUCUGAUGACUCUCCACGUGGCAACACUCCACCCAGAUCUCCUACCCCUGAAGUUCAUGCAUCUACUUCUCUAAUUUCCUCUCCACCUAAAACCAUUCCUAUUUCUAUUCCCCCCAUAACUACCACUACUUCAAUACCACCCACUUUCAUCCCUAUACCACCACCAAUAUUCACCGACGCAACCACAACAACCACUGCAGAUGUUAGAGCCAACGUAUCUGAUACGGGGGUUCAUACUGACGGAACCAAAUCCACCUCAGCACCCGAAACCACUCCAGCACCCAAAACUACACAAGCACCCGAACCUACACCUACACCCGAAACAACCCAACCCGAACCUACCCAUACUACUGCACCACCAGCUUCCCCAACACCACUUUCUCCUGGUCAUGCUUCAUAGGGAGAAGAACCACUCCUUGGCGGGGAGGAUAUGAUGUUUGACUCAGUCUACUAUAGUCCGUUUCAAGUACAGAGUGAUGACGAUGACGACGCUCCUGUAACCAAGCGACAUCUCAAGGAGCUCCAUGACAAGAUUGACUCACUCAUCGCCUCCUCUUCCACUUCUCAUUCAUCCCUUUCUGAAGACGCAGUUUAGAAGAUUGUUGACGCUUUCUCCAAAGCUCAGCAAGAUUCCAUUGCUUCUGCAACCUCAGCCAUCGAUGCCUCAACAAAAGCCUGUCAGGCUGCGACCGAAAAAGUCAAUAAACUAUUUACUGAUGCCUCUUCCCUGUUAAAGUCUUUACAGGAGAGUGCCAACGCUGCCAAGACUACGCUGGAACCUAUUGUUCACCAGCUGGCAACGUCAGUCUCAACUGAGUUGAAGUCCUUCGCUUCAUUUCGUCAAACUCUUUCAGACGACAACUCAGCAUUUCGCACAACCAUUGACAAGCGUCUCUCGAAGCUAUAAGAAGAUUUGGCUAUCGAGAACUCUCUUAUGGAUGUUCUAGCCAGGAAGACCACCGCUCUGAAGGUCAAGAGCAUUCAACUCUCCAAUUCUCAACAGGAGAUUGAGUCUCUUCGGUCUGAAAGGGAGGUGAUAAAGUCGUGUGUUUCGGAUGUCCACUCUGCCAUCUCCAACAUCCUCGAAGCACAUGAUCCCAUUCUGAACUAUACUGUGAGGCGUGACCUUGCAGAGAAGCUCGCUCCCGCCCUUGCCCUACUCAGCAAAAUCGAAGGGCUACUUGAUUUCGUGUCCAUUCCGAAACAAGGGGGGAAGAAAAUGUAGUUAAAGAGACAAUCACUGAAUUGUUGAAGCGAAAAAGUCGAGACAAUGAUGCUGAUAUCAGUGCUCGUGUGGCUAGAGAGGCUGAAGAAGCCGAACGAAAACAGAAGGAAGCCCACGACCUUCUUGAGAGUAGGAAAACUCUUUUUCCUGCUUGGACUCUUGAGAGGAUGAUAAAAGAAGCCAUUGACACACCGAGUAUCUUGUGGCUGGAACCUGUAAUCUCUCUUGAUUGUUCCAACACUGUCGACUCUCAGUUUGACAUGCCACUGACCCGAAAGGCGUUCAUCUUUCAUGCCUUCUCCAACGUUGCAGAGUUCCCUCAUCCUCAUCCACAGGUUGAUCGGGACUUAAUCAAUUUUUAUCUGAAAGCUGCUCAACCUCAGUAUCAGACUUGGAGCGCUCAGAAAAUUGUCAACGUUCGGGUCUUGAAGCCGUAUAGUGAAGGGAACUUCAUCAACAUUCGGUUCAAGGUACUUCGGGGAUCUGCCAAAACCGAACAUGCUAUUUCCCUUACAGAUCUUCCCAACCUUAAUCCCCAUGAUUGGAUUAUCUUGCACAACAUCCUUCUCACUAACGAAGCUGAAUACGGUCCGAUCAUCGACCAUUUCAAGAGGAUGCUCGUGUGCUACAUCAUGCAAGUUGCACUAAUGGAUCAGGAGAUUGCGAGUGUAUUUAAGAAGAAACCUACAAUUUCUCCUAUUGGCCCUGCCAGUGAUCUCAACCAAAUGCAAAUGGGUAAAAUUGACUCGAGAAGGAAUUCGGUCAUGUUUACCAGGAACGAAGGACAGAAAUGUCUUUUCGCCUUGGCCGAAAAACACCUCUACACCACUGGCUGCUUAGAGCAUGUUUUGGGGAUCAUCCACAGAUACAAGCAGAACACAGCGGAUGAUGUCAAGUACUUCAAUGACAUGAUUCAAUGGUACAUUCGGUUCAGACAGACUAUUCUCGCGCUAAUCUUUCGUCUGUUUGAUACUACGAAGAAAGUUCCCGCUGCUGGCCCAAGCAAGAAGAAGUAGUCUCGCUCCAAUUUGACGCAAAGGGGGAGAUUGUUGGGUCAUGUUUUGUAUAAUAUGUUGUGUCUAUUGGGCUCGUUAGCUAGUCCAUUUUGUAUCUCUGGUAUGCGCCUGUCCAUCCGUGAGUUUAGUAGGGUUUAAUAUAAAUAUAGGUGCUUGCAUGCAUCUUAGGUUAACGAUAGAAUAGAACGAUCAGAGCAUUAUUCAGAAGUUUAUUUUUAUCGUUCUUGUAACACUAAAUCCUCUACAGCGGAAGUUCUUAGUCGAGCUCUGCUAAGGAUUGUUUGAUUUAAUCAUUCGACAUAUUUUGAUCCACACUUGUCUUAUUAAUUGUUUUGUGUUCAUCGCAAUACCUGUUACAAAGAUCUAAUCGAUCUUCAAGUUUGUUUAAUAACUUAUCAGAUCAGAGUUGACAGCGGCUUUUGAAAGCUUUGAUUGCGGAUCAGGAUCUGAAGUCAUACACAAAAUAGUUAUUAGACUUAUCCAAGUGGGAGACUAUUGGAUUAGUGUCUAAGUCCAUAAAUAUUGUGGUAUGUACUUGACCCAAUGGUGCAUGGUCCUUUUGCGUUGCCAUCACCAAUGCAACUUGAUAGGCUGAUUUAUGGAGAUGAGAUUAAUUAUGAUUUAUUAAUAUAUUAUGAGAAUAAUUUAUUAAAGGAGAAAUCAUAUUCUUUAAUUAAUAUUAGUCAAGAAUUAACGAGAAUUAAUUUUGUGGCUAAAAAGAUAUUAAUUAAAUAAAGGGGACUGCAACUGUCAGUUGUGUGAUAGUUGAAUAUUGGACUAAUGGGCUCCAUAGAGGAUGGAGUGGACAAAUUCUAUGGGGAAACCCACUAGAAAUCGUCCAUGGCCUCUAAAGAGGGAGUCUAUGGGCUGCUUAGGGCCUAAGCAGUCAGAUUAAGGUUUCCUAGUUCAAAACCCUAUUAUCCUCACAUAUUUAAGGACCCUUAGGGCACCAAAAACGUGGCUAACUAAUUCCUUAGGGUUUCUAGACGUUUUUUUGGUGCCUCUUCUCUUCUCCUUCUUCAUCCUCUUGCUCUUGGUUGAUUGUGAGCCAUUAGAGGUGUGACAUUUGUGACACUAAUCUUUCUAAAAGCCAAUGACAAGAAGGAAUAGAUUUUUAUUACUACAUUACAAUCAAAGGUAAUUUUUAAACCCUUAAUUCGGUUCAUAGUGUGAUAGAUCUAGGGUUUAUGGGUUUGGAUGAUUAUUGCAUGUUCAUUAGACAAACUAGAUCCAAAGCUUUAGGGUUUGCAUGUACACCAUAGGAAUGAUGUAGUUCACAAAACCCAUCAUUUAACACGUCUAACCACCGACGAUGCCGCAUGUUCAGAUUCGGCUGAUGCAUGAGGUACCUUAAACUCUUGUGAUCCAUGUCGAUGGUACAACGGACCCCAUCGAGGUAAUGCCGUCAAUUCUUGAGGGCGAACACCACUGCCCCCAGCUCAAGAUCAUGUGUCGGAUAGUUAGCCUUGUGAGGGAUCAACUGUAUCGAGGCCUAAGCUAUCACAUGCCCUCGCUGCAUCAAUAUUGUUCCCAAACCUAAGAUCGAAGCGUCACAGUAGACUACAAAGUCGUCCACUCCCUCUUGCAGGAUAAGAACCAGUGCCUCACACAAUCGUCGUCUAAGGGUCUCAAAUGUUCCUUGCUGCUCAGGCCCCCAGUGAAACACCACCGACUUCUUGGUCAGUCGGGUGAGCGGAACUGCUAUCUUCGAGAAAUCCUGGAUAAAUCUCCUGUAAUACCCUGCCAAACCCAGGAAGCUCCAAAUCUCAGAUGGAGACCUUGGGACCUCCCAUGGCAUCACAUCCUCAAUCUUGGCCGGAUCUACCGAUUGACAAGGUGUCCUAGGAACUGCACCUCGCGCAACCAGAACUCACACUUGGAGAACUUUGCAGAAGGUCUCUCCUUUCUGAAGGUCUCAAGCACCUCCCUUAAGUGCUCCCCAUGCUGCUCCCGAGUCUUGGAAUACACCGAGAUAUCAUCAAUGAACAUUAUCACAGACCGAUCCAGCAUCGGCUUGCACACAUAGUUCAUGAGGUCCAUGAAUGUGGCAGGAGCGUUGGUGAGCCCAAACGACAUCACCACAAACUCAUAAUGACCAUAGCGGGUCCUAAAAGCUGUCUUCUGCACAUCCUCAUCCCUAACCCGCAUCUGGUGAUAUCCAAAGUGUAAAUCAAUCUUGGAAAACCAAGAUUCUCCCUGAAGCUGGUCAAACGGAUCAUCUACCCUCGAUAGGGGGCAAUGGUUCUUCACCGUUACCUUGUUCAACUCCCGGUAAUCUAUAUACAUACUGUGACAACCUGGUAUUUCAACUCUACGUAAUGACCUAAAAAGUCAAGUAUAGUAACCAGUUUUGAUAUAAGGAAAUAAACUUGGAAAAUAAAAUGUCCAAAAAUCUCAAAUUAAUUACCUACUAUGUUAGAUGACAUUAAACCGUGAUCGUACGAAAAAAAAAGAACGCCCAAAUCUGACUUCGUAUAAAGAUGUUAUGAUUUUUACAAGUUCGGCUUAGCGACAGACAGCUAAAAACUCGAAACGGAGAUCGAGCUACUUUUGGCCGGAAUGACCCAAAUGAGAAUCAAAGGUCUCGACAAUGGUUUUGCAACGGUAAAAAGUCUGGAAAAAACAGACGUCAGAUAAUGAAGUUAUGAAUUUCUAACGAAAUUUUCUUACCGCGACCUUUUAAAAAUAAAUAAUAGAAAUAAUUUAAAAAUUUGCCGACGGAAUCUAAACGAAAGUUGUAGAGCGUAGUUUCACCUACGCGUGGAUAUAAAGAACGUCGAAAAUGGAGUUCGUAUGAAGAAGAUAUGAAUUUUUGAAGUUUAUUAAAUAAUUAAAAUAUAAAUUUUAUUAUUUAACUUUAGUAUUAUCCGAAGGAGGAGUCACCAGGUCGAUCCGAGUUACGCCCAGCGUAUGCUCGUACGCCCAGCGUACUCGAGGACUAGGCCUCGGAUCGUCCAUGUCGCCCCUAUGCGAGGCUAUGCCCCGUCCCAUCCGAUGGUCCGAGGCAGUCGAGGAAGAAGUCACGCAUGACGCACGUGAUCGUACCAAGGCGGGUCCCACCCCCUAUAAAAGGGAUGCGAGGGUUCCGAAGAAAAGGGCCAAUUCCUCUCAUCUUUCUUGCGUUUUUGCCUCUUUUUCCGUGCGCGUACUAUCCCGAAUCCCUGGUUUCCUUGCUCAAGUCCCGAAGGUCAUUUGUGCUCCCGAGAUUCUCGAGAAUCCCGAGAAAAUCCGCUUUCUCAAGUCGAAAUUCUGCUCGGUUUUCAUCUCGCCUUUUUCGAUCUUUCAAGUGAGUUCAUACCCUUAUAAUCCACACUUUUAAAUGUUUUAUAAAUGCUUUUAUAUGCUUUUAAAGGGGGAAAUACAAGUAAAACACACGACUAUUAUCGUGUCUUAUAUAAAGUUUCAUUAUACACUUUUUAUAAACAAAAUCAUAUGUGAUUUAUAACUAGUAUGGGGAAACUUUCAUAUGCAAAAUAUAUCACGAUAACAUCAUAUCUUUUGAAAUCAAAAAUGUAGUUAUAUAUGUAUAAAUCAAACACUCUGUUUAUAUUGUAUGUAUAUGUGUCUAUCUUAGACACUAUAAAAAUUAUACUUUUCAUAACAAGUGAGCAUUUUACUAGGGAUUACUAUACAAACGAGACACACUUAAAGAAAACUAUAAUAGGUAUAGUUUUACGAGAACAUUACGAACUUUUACAUACUAGAAACACUAUUUUCAAGAAGUCACUUUCACAUACAAGAACAAAAGAACAUUUUUACACGUAAAUCUGUUUUUAUACUAACUUUUGUGAGACAUUAACUUCACGUACGUUCGAGUACACAUUUCAAGUCAUGUAUUAUAUACCAGAAUCCCUUGGAGGGGGAGCAUGGUGUUUGUGUAUAGAUCUAUAUGGGCUUGACAACCCCGCACCCUGACUGUUAGCUACAAUACACCAUUUGGAGUGAAAAACGUCAGAACAUUCCAACGCCUGAAGAACGUUGCGUAUGGGCAUUCCUAGUCAAUAGCAUGGUUAUAAAAACUUACAUGCGGUAUUAAAAAUACAUUGAUUUAUGGGGUUUUUCAUACGUAUUGGAAAUUUUAUACGUACAUACAUUUUUCUAGAAACAAACAUUGGUCUUAAUAGAGGGCUACAUUUAUGCUAGUAGAAAAUAUGGGAUUUUCUAGGAACAAACAAACAAAAACAAAACAUUUCAUUUCAUACAAACGUUGUCAUUUAAUACUUAUGAAACUCACCAGCUUAAAUGCUAAUCUACUCUUUCAAAACUACUUGUAUGUCCCAGGGAUUCAGUAAUUACAGGUAACAAACAGCUUUUGAAGAAGGGACGCUGCGACGCCAAUUUAAAGUCAUAUUUUAGCAUCAUAUUGUAAUUGGUUUUGAACAUGUACCUUUUAACAAUGUAAAGUUUCAAUUAUAUAUAUGAUGGCUGUAUUGAUUUCUUUACUAUGUCAUCCGCCCCCGAACGUUUUCCGCCGUUCUGGUUUGGGGGUGUGAUAGAUAGGUAUCAAAGCAAUGUUUAUAGUGAACUAAGUAUAUCGAACCACAUAAGAUAUAGUAACUAUUAAUGUUUAAGGGACUAAUAGUCUCUGACAAAACAUUUUUUUUGGUUUACGCCUAAGCCGCGUUUCGUUUAACUUAAAUUGCUAGUUCAUUUAAGUACAAAUACAUGCAUACAGCAACUUAUUUUCAUGAUUAUAACUAUACAAGAAGUAUUUAGACAAGUUGGACACUAGGAUUAAGACUCGAUAUAUGUAAUCAGAUUUGGGACAAAUAUAGCAUGAUCAACUACAUUUGUCCGAGAUUGUACCAAUGUAUAUCGAGGAAUGUUCGUAGUGAACAACAAGUCAAAACUUACCAAAACAUCACGAGAAUCAAACACACCAAUUUAAAUACUAUAGGAGUAUUUAUUACAUAGAAUAGCUUAACAUACAUGUUUAGUCUUACAUGUUCCAAACAUUACUCGAUUCUUAUAACCCUAUUCUCGUACAGUUAAAUGGCUGGAUUUCACCACCCCGGCGACCCAUACUAUCCCAACCAAGGCAAUGGGGGACGGAUCGAAGAGGAUCUCGAGGAGGACAAGGAACCCAUAGAAUUGGAUGAAGAGGAUGACUCCGGUACCGACUCCGAGACGGAAGUGAUGAACCCACCACCCGGAAAACCUCCCGUCUUCGUGAGAAACUUUCAAGGACCGAAUCCCGUCUGGGGAAGUCACCUGCACCAUUGGAGCUAGCAACAAAGUCUACGCCCUCCCUACGACAUGUGUCGAGACUUCUACGAUGUCUGCGGCAGGGGUUCAGCCGAUCGAGCACUCCCCGUCAUGGUGGGCAAACUAGCCAACUAGUCCUACCAAUCCGGAGUUCAAGCUAGCCGGAUUAGGGAAGUCAACGUGGAAGCCCAGGUUCACACUUCCGACAUCCGUGGGCUUGACUGUGCUCAGGACAAUGCCCAACUCCAAACCGAGGCAUUCCAAGCGCAAAUGAUUGCAGCCCUCUCCGAAUUUAGGGAACAACAAGCUGCCUUUGACAGGCGUCUUAUGGAAUCAAAGCAAUCAGAUGCGGAGUCAAGCUCCAAGCGCAACCUACGACACAAUUAGUGCUUGCCAAAAUCCCAAAUUUUGUUAUAAGUUAGGACCUCGACUAAAAGUUUUAUUUUUCUUAAACUUUGUAACCGGAGACCCUUAUAGGGGUCAAAUUUUUGUGAUCGUUGUAUCAACUAUUAUAUUAAUAUAAUUGGUAUGCUAUUACUACUACAUUGAGUAUUUCGUUUAAUCCUUAAAAUGCUACGGAGAAACCAUAUGCUUGUUUCAAAUAUUCCGUCUUACGAAUAACUUUCAUUCUUCUAUCUUUGAGACUCACACUAUCAUCUGUUAUUGAACUAUAACGAUUUAGUUCAUGAGACACAUUCAUUUUUUAUGUUAUGGUAUUCUUAUCUUUAUCUUUUCAACCUAUAGUUGAAGGAUGCCUCCGCGUAGAAACCUGAGACGAAACAAUGGUGGGGAAGCACCUCUACCACCGCCGCCUCCACCUCCUCAAUUUGAUGCUGCCAUGUUCCAAGCAGCAGUCACUGCCGCUGUAGCGGCUGCCAUGUCACAGACCAAUACCCCUGUUACUACUGGNCUGGCACACUUCCUUCCAACCAUGGCGAGAGUCAUGGGCAACCCCGAGAAUGCACCUAUAAAGACUUUACGAAUGCCAAACCCUGGAUGUUUAAUGGAACUGGUGGUGUGAUGAUUCUGAGGUAGUGGAUCGAAAGGACAGAAUCAGUCUUUGAAAUCCGCUCCUAUCCCGAGCACAGCAAAGUCAAGUUUGCAACCUACACACUUACCGAUUGAGCUUUAACAUGGUGGAAUGGCCACCUUAAGGCACUUACACUGAUAGUGGCGCAUUUAAUAAGCUGGGAGAGCUUAAAAAUUUUGCUGAUGAGAGAAUACUGUCCACGAGGAGAGAUUCAAAAACUCGAGCACGAACUCUGGACUCUUGAAAUGAUUGGUACCAACAUAGCAACGUAUACCAACAAAUUCUGCGAUCUGGCAAUCCUUUGCCCAUAUAUGAUUGCUCCUGAGAGCUAGAAAAUAGAGACAUACAUUUGUGGACUGUCGCCCCAAAUUUAGUCGAGCAUGUUACCUUCAAAACCAGAAACUUUUGAAGCCAAAGAUCCUGCAUGUGACAUCCCCAUAUUUCUUGGCUAGAAAAGACCGAUUUAAUUUAUGCUUUUUAAAAUAAAAUCAGAGAAAUCUUUUUAUAAGAUAUUGCGGAAUUGGUCCCCAAACAAUAUAUGAUAAAAGUUUAUCAAAAUCCUUCAUUAAGAAGGUAUAUAUUUUCCAUAUAUAUCUCAAAACCUCGGGAUGUCAUGUUCCGAUACAGAUCAAAAGCAUAAACAAGACAUUAUAAGCCUUUCAACAGUUAUUUACAACUAUUGGCCUAUAAUCCAAAAAUCUCUCGUCAUCCUCCGACUAUGCUCGGGGUCCACUACCUGUAAUCAUAAAACUGAUCGGGUCAGGCUUGGGAGCCUGGUGAGCAUAUAGGGUUUUCAACCCACAAUAAUAAUAUACUUAUUAAGUUCACCAAUUAACAGUAUUCUAAAAGGCGCGCCAUGGCGCGCGCCAAGGCGCGCAAUGGCGUGAGGCGUGGCUCCGUCGUUACGAAAAGCCUCAUAACAUUUGCUGUUAGGCGUGGCGCGUGGCAAGGCGUGAUAUGGCGCGCCAUGGCGUGUUAUGGCGUGUGUUUUUUUGUUUGAGACAUGUUUUUUUGCUCUUUGUUACGUAUUUUCUAAUUGGAGAUACAGGUAUUGUGGUUUUCGUUAAAUUUUUGUUACUAGUUAUUGAUCUAACACUUAUAAAAAGUAGUUAUAUUUAAUAUAAAUUUAUAUUUAUCUGGUAAUAUAAUUUUAAAUUAAUACAAAAUCGCCGCCUUACAUCACGCCUUGAAAAACGCCAUGGCUCGCCAUGGCUCGUUAAGCUUGAGGCUUGACCUUGCCGCCACGCCACGCCUCACGCCAUUUAGAACCUNUCAACAAUAACCCUGAUUACCCAUUCCCGUUGUCCUCACUUUACGUCCCUAAACACCUAUCACAAGGGACCUAGCCUAAGGAUUAUCAUCGGGAUGGACACUACUGCUAAGGGGUUUCCUCAGCCAUACAUGUCCUUAAGGCAACCAUGAGGGGGAUGAAGUACGCCAAUGAACAUUUAAUUCAUCAACACCUACAAGUUGCGAACAUGCUAGUGUUCCACUGGACUAUCUAGAAAGUCCGUGGUCGUUAUAUAUACUUCGCUAGAUGACUAGAAAAACAACAACAACAACAACAACAUCAACAUCGAGGCCUCUCACCAUUUUAACACACAUCAACUAUUUCAUCUACCCAUGUUCUACCCAACAUAUUUUGUAGAUAAAAAGCAUAUACAGUUUAAAACUUGUAUAAAACAUCAAUUCAACAGUCACCUCGAAUAAACAAUUAGCAUAUUUACACAUAACACGUAUUUCAAGAUAAAUUCUUCAUAUCUAUGUGUAAAUUGAAAGUAACUACACACUCACGUAUUUUGGUGAAAAUCGGGCAGCAAUUCGUUUCCUAAAACGAUCGUUUCUAAUAAAACCGGGAGUUUUAUUGAGAAACCGGGCUCUGCGAAAGGUCGGGCUUCGAAACCGAAAAGAUAAAUUUUCCGGGCUUCUCGGGCACUUCGUGGGGUAUUCCGGGCUUUACAAUUGAUACCGGGGCUUUGCGGGAUGUUAAGAUGAAGAAAAUAUGGGUUUAGGGGUUAAAGGUGACCAAAUUCCAAAAGUAACCGGGAACCCUCGCAGGUACCCUUCUAUUUAUAGGGUCCGAAGUUCUGAUCCAAUGGCUGAGAAGUCUCCUGAUCCGACGACUAAGAAGGCUCGCAGAGGGGGUGGCUCGCACAUGGCACGCAUGGCUCGCACAUGACUCGCACAUGCGAGGGCUCGCUGGCGGCUUCUAAGUGGACCGCAGCUUGCUAGCGCACCUGCGAGGCUCGAAGCUAGACUAUGCGAGGCUCGGACACACGCGGCAGCUGGGCGAAGCUUCGGCUGGGGAGCUGGCUGCUUCGGAUUGGGCCUCCUCCUCGGUCGAAUCAGAAGAGGACACGUGGCUCGCAUGACUCAGCAGCCUCGGUGACUCAGCAGCCUAAUGACUCAGCAGCCAGGUGACUCAGCAGGACACGUGUCACUUUCUAAGCGAGGGUGACGUGGCAAUUGUGACUAUGCGAAAUUUCUCGGUUUUCGCGCCAAAACUUCUAAAAUCCAUAACUUUCGCAUACGAGCUCCGUUUUUGACGUUCUUUAUAUGCACGCGUAGCUAAAAUUACGAUCUACAACUUCNGAGGCUCGGACACACGCGGCAGCUGGGUGAAGCUUAGGCUGGGGAGCUGGCUGCUUCGGAUUGGGCCUCCUCCUCGGUCGAAUCAUAAGAGGACACGUGGCUCGCAUGCCUCAGCAGCCUUGGUGACUCAGCAGCCUGAUGACUCAGCAGCCUAGUGACUCAGCAGGACACGUGUCACUUUCUAAGCGAGGGUGACGUGGCAAUUAUGACUAUGCGAAAUUUCUCGGUUUUCGCACCAAAACUUCUAAAAUCCAUAACUUUCGCAUACGAGCUCCGUUUUUGACGUUCUUUAUAUGCACCCAUAGCUAAAGUUAUGAUCUACAACUUCCGUUUAGACUUCGUCGGCUAAUUUUGAAUUUAGAUUUUAUAUUAUUAUUUUUAACAGACCGGGACAGGAAAUCCGUUAAAAAUUCAUAACUUCUUCAUCCGACGUCCGUUUUCGUCAGACUUUACCGUUGUGCUCCUAAUGACGAGACCUUCAAUUCUCGUUUAGGUUGUGUUGGCUAAAAAUCGCUCGAUGUAAAAUUCGAUUUUUUAGCUCUCUACUGCUAUGCUGAAACUUCAAAAAAUCAUAACUUCCUCAUACGAAGUCAGAUUUGGGCGUUCUUUUUAUCGAACUUCUCGGUUUAAUGAAUACUACGACUUUCGUUUAGAUUACUAAGGCUAAAAAGUAGUUUAUCAAAAACUCACUUUUUACGACAUUCAGCACCGUGGGCUUAUCUUACACUUUAAUUUUGACGCUUAUUUAUAUUCUUAAUUAAUUAAGCCCUAAUAAUUAAGCAUAAAACACAUAAUUCACAUAAUAUUCACAUAAUUCCUUUUCAUUUCUUCAAAAUGAGUUACAAAGGUUAACCUAGACUAUCAACUCAAUAUAAAUGCCUAGGCUAGAAACACUAGUGUUACAAUUCUCUCCCCCUUAGGAUGAUUCCGUCCCCGGAAUCACAUAUCACCAAACGACUGCGGGUAGCGACUCACCAUGUCACUCUCCGUUUCCCAAGUGAGAUUUGGUCCAUUCGUAUGUUUCCAGCGCACAAGCACUAAAUUGACCAUCUUGCGUCGUAACUUCAUAGUCUUAAGGUCAACGAUUGCCUCAGGUUCUUCGAUCAACCUCUUGUUUUCAUCCAACCUUAACUCAUAAAUCGGACUUAUGUCGGGCACAUCUCCUGUGAACUUUCUCAAGUAACACACAUGAAAGGUGUUAUGAAUACCCUCUAGGUCUUUCGGUAACUCUAGCUUGUACGCUUGAUUCCCGACCCUCUGAAGAACUUUAAAUGGUCCAAUAAACCUUGGACUCAACUUCCCUCUCUUACCAAAUCUUAUCAGUCCCUUACACGGCGAGACUUUAUUUAAAACCGAAUCUCCAACAUCGAAGGAUAUCGGUUGUCUUUUCUUGUCAGCAUAACUCUUUUGUCGAUCUUGAGCAGCUAAUAUCCUGUCCCUUAUCACUUUCAACUUUUCAGUAGUCUCAUGUACUAUUUCAGGUCCCAUAAACUGCUUUUCCCCAGCUUCCAGCCAACAUGAUGGCGUUCGACACUUCUCCCCAUACAAAGCGUGAUAAGGUGCCAUCUUAAUGCUUGAGUGGAAACUAUUAUUAUAGGAGAAUUCUACUAAAGGUAAGUGUUCAUCCCAGUUACCUUGGAAUUCUAGGGUACAUGCUCUCAGCAUAUCCUCCAAUGUUUGAAUCGUUCGCUCGCUCUGACCAUCGGUUUGCGGAUGGUAAGCUGUACUCAAACACAACUUGGUACCCAAUUCCUCUUGUAGACUCCUCCAAAACCUUGAGGUAAAACGGCUAUCACGAUCGGACACAAUCGUUAACGGAACACCGUGAAGCCUCACAAUUUCCUUCACGUAAGAAUUCGCAAGUUUAUCCAUAGACCAUUUCUCUUUGGCUGCUAUGAAAUGCACACUCUUAGUGAAGCGAUCAACGACCACCCAAAUCAUGUCGUGACCAUUCCUUGUUCUGGGCAGUUUAGUCACAAAAUCCAUGGUGAUGUCUUCCCAUUUACCCAUGGGUACGGGUAAAGGUUCUAAACUCCCAUACGGUUUCUGAUGUUGUGCCUUAACCCUAGCACAAGUUACACACUCGGCCACAUACUUAGCAACAUCGAGCUUCAUCGUCGGCCACCAAUAAUAGGGUUUUAGAUCCCUAUACAUUUUCGUACUGCCGGGAUGAAUUGAGUACAUGGUCUUGUGAGCUUCUUCCAUCAUAAGAUCUCUUAUUCCGCACGUCUUAGGUACCCAAAUUCUAUCUUGAAAUACCUUCAACUCUUGGUUGUUUGUUCCGAACACUAACAUUUUGCCCAAAUGUUCUUCCUCUCGGUCAUUUUUCUCUAAAGCUUCCUCUUGAGCUUUCUUUAUACUUCCCAUAAUUGUCAAGACAACUUCAAUUGUCAACGCUCUUGGCCUUUUCUUUUCAAGGUUUACCUUCCGACUGAGAGCAUCGGCAACAACAUUUGCUUUACCAGGGUGGUAAAGUAUCUCACAGUCGUAGUCCUUGAGUAACUCUAGCCAGCGUCGUUGCCUCAUGUUCAAUUCCUUCUGAUUAAAGAGAUAUUGGAGACUCUUAUGAUCAGUGAAAAGUUUACACUUGGUGCCAUAAAGAUAAUGCCUCCAUAUCUUUAAGGCAAAUACUACUGCUGCAUACUCCAGAUCAUGAGUUGGGUAGUUCUUUUCAUGCUCCUUCAAUUGCCUCGAUGCAUACGCGAUCACUUUAUCCCUUUGGGUCAGAACACAACCUAACCCAACUCCGGAUGCAUCGCUAUAAACUGCAAAGUCAUCAACUCCUUCAGGCAAUGAAAGAAUCAGUGCUUCACACAAUCUCUUCUUCAACUUCUCAAAGGCUUCCUUAUGCUUCUCAUUCCAAGCAUAAGUGGCUCCUUUGUGGGUCAAAGCUGUUAAUGGAGUAGCAAUCGAAGAAAAGCCUUGGAUAAACCUUCAGUAAUAUCCAAUUAAUCCUAAAAAGCUUCGAAUCUCCGUAGGACUUUUUGUUUCUUCCCACUUCAUUACAGCUUCAAUCUUUGCUGGGUCGACCAUUAUCCCUUCUUGGUUAACCACAUGACCUAAAAAUUGGACUUCUUGAAUCCAAAAUUCACACUUGGAGAACUUUGCAUACAACUUCUCCUUUUUCAGGACUUCUAGCACUUCACGCAGAUGCUUUUCAUGCUCCUGCUUGCUUUUCGAAUAAAUCAAGAUAUCAUCUAUGAAUACUAUCACGGAUUUAUCUAAGAAUGGUUUACAAACCCUAUUCAUCAAAUCCAUGAAAGCUGCUGGGGCAUUGGUUAGUCCGAACGACAUAACCAAAAAUUCAUAGUGUCCAUAUCUCGUUCUAAAAGCAGUCUUUUCGAUAUCCUGCUCUCUCACCUUUAGUUGAUGGUAUCCCGACCUAAGAUCGAUCUUCGAGAAAUAGCUCGAACCCUGCAACUGGUCGAACAAGUCAUCGAUCCUUGGCAACGGGUACUUGUUCUUUAUCGUCACUUUGUUCAGCUCUCUGUAAUCGAUGCACAUUCUCAUGCUUCCGUCUUUCUUCUUUACAAAUAACACAGGGGCUCCCCAGGGUGAUGAACUAGGUCGAAUGAAACCUUUGUCCAAUAACUCCUGAAGUUGUGUCAUAAGUUCUUUCAUUUCGGUUGGCGCUAAUCGAUAAGGUGCUUUCGCUAUCGGCGUCGUUCCUGGUAACAAGUCGAUACGAAAUUCUACUUGUCGAUCAGGGGGCAAUCCGGGAAGAUCUUCGGGAAAGACUUCCGGAUAAUCACACACCACCGGAAUAUUCUGCACCUCCUUCUUUUCCAUCUUGGCAUCGAUCACGAACGCUAGAUAUGAUGUACAUCCCUUGGCCAAACACUUUCUGGCUUUCAUUAGGGAAAUGAUUCCAGAGUUUACUCUGCGUUUGUCUCCGUACACCAUAAACGACUCUUUCCCUGGCGGGUUUACUUUUACUAUCUUCUUUCUACAUAGUAUUUCUGCAUCAUUGGCGCUAAGCCAAUCCAUUCCUAAAACUAUGUCGAAUCCAUUUAACUCGAUAGGCAAUAAUUCCUCUUGGAACUUAUUCCCAUCCAAGUCAAUGAGGAUGUUUUUCAUACGAUGGCUAACAGGUACAAACUUGCCACUAGCAAUCUCGACUAUUAUAGCAUUAACUAGCAUAUCUACAGGCAAAGCUAGCUUUCUACCAAAUUCAUGCGAUAUAAAGGAGUAAUUGGCUCCAGAAUCAAACAAAAUUUGGGCAGGCAAUUCGUUUACGAGAAAGGUACCUGAAGCGACAUCGACUUCUUCUUUUGCAGCUUCGAGCAUCAUCUGGAAGGCUCUCGCCUUCGGCUUUGGUGGUAGAUUGGGUUUUGCUGCUUCCUUCUUCUUCGGGCAGUCCCUCAAAAUAUGCCCUUCUUCAUUGCACCCAAAACAUACGUUCUUAUUGAAGGUGCAUUCAUUGGCAUAAUGCCCUGGCUUUCCACAUUUGUAACAAGUGACUUCCAUGCUGCACUUCCCAGCAUGUUUCUUCUUACACUUGUCACACCACUUGGCUUCGGCUCCUCCUCCAAACUUUCUUGAACCAGUCUUCGAGAACUUGUUCUUUUAUUGGAACCUGAAGUUCCUUCAAACUUUCUCUUUUCGCCAACUUCAACCUUGCUGGCGGCUCUCCUUUUUAUCAUAUCUUCAACAGACUUGGCAGCCCAGAUAGCUGCCUCCAAAGUAAGUGCCUGACGUACUGGCACCACAUACUCCCAUGGAAGUCCCUUUGCGUACCUGUCUAUUUUUGCCAACUCAUCUGGGAAAAUACGCAAAGGAAACUCCAUUUUGUCUGAGAAGUUAUUUGUAUAUUCAUCAACGGUCAUACUCCCUUUCCGCAACGUUAGAAAUUGGUUUUCUAACUCAAGUACGUUUUGGGCCGAGCAGUACUUGCCCUUGAAGUGCACUAAGAACUCUGCCCAAGUUAAAUGCAGUUGCUCAUUAGGGCUUAGGGUUUUCCCUAAAGUGCUCCACCAACGGACAGCACUACCCCUGAACUGACGUAUUGCAAACAUAGUUUGUAACUUGCCUUGGCAAUCACAAGUCAUGAAAUCCAACUCCAUUUCCGAGAUCCAGUCCAAUUUACUCCGACAGGAUCUUCUUUUCCAUUGAAGGUCAAUGGCUUGCAAGUCAUAAAGUCCUUAUACUUGCACCCAUUUCUAUCCACUCUACCCUCAUGGUUAUUCCUCCCAACCACAAGCGGCUCACUAUGACCAACCGAUUUGCUAUUGUUCCCUUCUUCAGAUCGAUCGUCAUUUAGUUCAUGUUGUUCAACUGGAACUGAAGGUUCAUGCCUGUCGUUCAACAACAUUUGCCUCAAUUCCUUCCUCUGUUCAGCCAACAUGGUCUGAAUCAUAGUUCGUACUCCAGCCAUGGUGAUGGGUUCGGGUGCAGCUCCUACUAUAGGCACCUGUUCCACCACUGGAGGUUGAGGUUGUUGGUUUUUGUUUGCAUUUCCAGCUCCACUCCGAGUUCUUGCCAUUACAAUCUAUAUAACGAAUAAGGCGAAAUUUAGGUCUUUAUCCUUGUUAGACUUGUCAAUUCCCUUAUCACUCCGAAACGUUUACAUGUUAGUUCUAAUCUCGUAUUCAUACGCUUAGAAUCCUACACACAUAAGGUUUCCAGAUCCGGUCGGCAACAGACCAUAGAUCCGAACAAAAAAUGGCACACAUGGCAAACACAUAGCAUUUAGCACAUAAGGGCGUUUUAGGCAUCUUCCCUAAAAUAAACAAGUGCUCGUGUCUAAAAUAUGGUAGACACUCAUGUCACAAUCAUCACUUAGCAUUUGUGACAACCCGAUAUUUCAACUCCUUGUAACGAUCAAAAUGGGUCAAGUAUUGUAACCACUUCUGAAUAAUAAAAAUUUAUUUUCAUAAUAAAAUGUACAAAUAAGUUCUAUUUAAUUUCCUUCUAUGAUUAAAUGUCUUUGAACCAUGAUCGUACGUGAAAAGAACGCCCAAAUCCGACUUCAUAUAGCGAAGUUAUGAUUUUUCUUAGUUCGGCUUAGCAACAGACAGCUAAAAACUCGAAUCGGAGAUCGAGCGACUUUUGGCCGGAAUGACCUAAACGAGAAUCGAAGGUCUCGACAAUGGUAUUCCAGCGGUAAAAAGUCUGGCAAAAACCGACAUCAGAUAAAGAAGUUAUGAAUUUUCAAAGAAAUUUAUUAAAUAAAUUAAUUAUUUAUUUUAUUCAAAAUUCGGAUAUUAUCCAAAGGGGAGUCAGCGUUCUCAGCCGAUAUACGCGCUGCGUACCCCUGUACGCCCCGCGUAACCGAGAGGAUUGGCCUCUGAUCGUCCACGUCGCGCUAUCCGAAGAAACCGACCCGUCCGACCCGUCCGAAGCCCCGACCCGUCCGACCCACCGUCCCAUCCGACCUGCCGUCCCAUNNNNNNNNNNNNNNNNNNNNNNNNNNNNNNNNNNNNNNNNNNNNNNNNNNNNNNNNNNNNNNNNNNNNNNNNNNNNNNNNNNNNNNNNNNNNNNNNNNNNNNNNNNNNNNNNNNNNNNNNNNNNNNNNNNNNNNNNNNNNNNNNNNNNNNNNNNNNNNNNNNNNNNNNNNNNNNNNNNNNNNNNNNNNNNNNNNNNNNNNNNNNNNNNNNNNNNNNNNNNNNNNNNNNNNNNNNNNNNNNNNNNNNNNNNNNNNNNNNNNNNNNNNNNNNNNNNNNNNNNNNNNNNNNNNNNNNNNNNNNNNNNNNNNNNNNNNNNNNNNNNNNNNNNNNNNNNNNNNNNNNNNNNNNNNNNNNNNNNNNNNNNNNNNNNNNNNNNNNNNNNNNNNNNNNNNNNNNNNNNNNNNNNNNNNNNNNNNNNNNNNNNNNNNNNNNNNNNNNNNNNNNNNNNNNNNNNNNNNNNNNNNNNNNNNNNNNNNNNNNNNNNNNNNNNNNNNNNNNNNNNNNNNNNNNNNNNNNNNNNNNNNNNNNNNNNNNNNNNNNNNNNNNNNNNNNNNNNNNNNNNNNNNNNNNNNNNNNNNNNNNNNNNNNNNNNNNNNNNNNNNNNNNNNNNNNNNNNNNNNNNNNNNNNNNNNNNNNNNNNNNNNNNNNNNNNNNNNNNNNNNNNNNNNNNNNNNNNNNNNNNNNNNNNNNNNNNNNNNNNNNNNNNNNNNNNNNNNNNNNNNNNNNNNNNNNNNNNNNNNNNNNNNNNNNNNNNNNNNNNNNNNNNNNNNNNNNNNNNNNNNNNNNNNNNNNNNNNNNNNNNNNNNNNNNNNNNNNNNNNNNNNNNNNNNNNNNNNNNNNNNNNNNNNNNNNNNNNNNNNNNNNNNNNNNNNNNNNNNNNNNNNNNNNNNNNNNNNNNNNNNNNNNNNNNNNNNNNNNNNNNNNNNNNNNNNNNNNNNNNNNNNNNNNNNNNNNNNNNNNNNNNNNNNNNNNNNNNNNNNNNNNNNNNNNNNNNNNNNNNNNNNNNNNNNNNNNNNNNNNNNNNNNNNNNNNNNNNNNNNNNNNNNNNNNNNNNNNNNNNNNNNNNNNNNNNNNNNNNNNNNNNNNNNNNNNNNNNNNNNNNNNNNNNNNNNNNNNNNNNNNNNNNNNNNNNNNNNNNNNNNNNNNNNNNNNNNNNNNNNNNNNNNNNNNNNNNNNNNNNNNNNNNNNNNNNNNNNNNNNNNNNNNNNNNNNNNNNNNNNNNNNNNNNNNNNNNNNNNNNNNNNNNNNNNNNNNNNNNNNNNNNNNNNNNNNNNNNNNNNNNNNNNNNNNNNNNNNNNNNNNNNNNNNNNNNNNNNNNNNNNNNNNNNNNNNNNNNNNNNNNNNNNNNNNNNNNNNNNNNNNNNNNNNNNNNNNNNNNNNNNNNNNNNNNNNNNNNNNNNNNNNNNNNNNNNNNNNNNNNNNNNNNNNNNNNNNNNNNNNNNNNNNNNNNNNNNNNNNNNNNNNNNNNNNNNNNNNNNNNNNNNNNNNNNNNNNNNNNNNNNNNNNNNNNNNNNNNNNNNNNNNNNNNNNNNNNNNNNNNNNNNNNNNNNNNNNNNNNNNNNNNNNNNNNNNNNNNNNNNNNNNNNNNNNNNNNNNNNNNNNNNNNNNNNNNNNNNNNNNNNNNNNNNNNNNNNNNNNNNNNNNNNNNNNNNNNNNNNNNNNNNNNNNNNNNNNNNNNNNNNNNNNNNNNNNNNNNNNNNNNNNNNNNNNNNNNNNNNNNNNNNNNNNNNNNNNNNNNNNNNNNNNNNNNNNNNNNNNNNNNNNNNNNNNNNNNNNNNNNNNNNNNNNNNNNNNNNNNNNNNNNNNNNNNNNNNNNNNNNNNNNNNNNNNNNNNNNNNNNNNNNNNNNNNNNNNNNNNNNNNNNNNNNNNNNNNNNNNNNNNNNNNNNNNNNNNNNNNNNNNNNNNNNNNNNNNNNNNNNNNNNNNNNNNNNNNNNNNNNNNNNNNNNNNNNNNNNNNNNNNNNNNNNNNNNNNNNNNNNNNNNNNNNNNNNNNNNNNNNNNNNNNNNNNNNNNNNNNNNNNNNNNNNNNNNNNNNNNNNNNNNNNNNNNNNNNNNNNNNNNNNNNNNNNNNNNNNNNNNNNNNNNNNNNNNNNNNNNNNNNNNNNNNNNNNNNNNNNNNNNNNNNNNNNNNNNNNNNNNNNNNNNNNNNNNNNNNNNNNNNNNNNNNNNNNNNNNNNNNNNNNNNNNNNNNNNNNNNNNNNNNNNNNNNNNNNNNNNNNNNNNNNNNNNNNNNNNNNNNNNNNNNNNNNNNNNNNNNNNNNNNNNNNNNNNNNNNNNNNNNNNNNNNNNNNNNNNNNNNNNNNNNNNNNNNNNNNNNNNNNNNNNNNNNNNNNNNNNNNNNNNNNNNNNNNNNNNNNNNNNNNNNNNNNNNNNNNNNNNNNNNNNNNNNNNNNNNNNNNNNNNNNNNNNNNNNNNNNNNNNNNNNNNNNNNNNNNNNNNNNNNNNNNNNNNNNNNNNNNNNNNNNNNNNNNNNNNNNNNNNNNNNNNNNNNNNNNNNNNNNNNNNNNNNNNNNNNNNNNNNNNNNNNNNNNNNNNNNNNNNNNNNNNNNNNNNNNNNNNNNNNNNNNNNNNNNNNNNNNNNNNNNNNNNNNNNNNNNNNNNNNNNNNNNNNNNNNNNNNNNNNNNNNNNNNNNNNNNNNNNNNNAUAUAUAUCAAAACCUCGGGAUGUCAUGUUCCGAUACAGAUCAAAAGCAUAAACAAGACAUUAUAAGCCUUUCAACAGUUAUUUACAACUACUGGCCUAUAAUCCAAAAAUCUCUCGUCAUCCUCCGACUAUGCUCGGGGUCCACUACCUGUAAUCAUAAAACUGAGUGGGUCAGGCUUGGGAGCCUGGUGAGCAUAUAGGGUUUUCAACCCACAAUAAUAAUAUACUUAUUAAGUUCACCAAUCAACAAUAACCCUGAUUACCCAUUCCCGUUGUCCUCACUUUACGUCCCUAAACACCUAUCACAAGGGACCUAGCCUAAGGAUUAUCAUCGGGAUGGACACUACUGCUAAGGGGUUUCCUCAGCCAUACAUGUCCUUAAGGCAACCAUGAGGGGGAUGAAGUACACAAAUGAACAUUUAAUUCAUCAACACCUACAAGUUGCGAACCUGCUAGUGUUCCACUGGACUAUCUAGAAAGUCCGUGGUCAUCAUCUAUACUUCUCUAGAUGACAACAACAACAACAACAACAACAUCAACAUCAAGGCCUCUCACCAUUUUAACACACAUCAACUAUUUCAUCUACCCAUGUUCUACCCAACAUAUUUUGUAGAUAAAAAGCAUAUACAGUUUAAAACUUGUAUAAAGCAUCAAUUCAACAGUCACCUCGAAUAAACAAUUAGCAUAUUUACACAUAACACGUAUUUCAAGGUAAAUACUUCAUAUCUACGUGUAAAUUGAAAGUAACUACACACUCACUUAUUUUGGUGAAAAUCGGGCAGCAAUUCGUUUCCUAAAACGAUCGUUUCUAAUAAAACCGGGAGUUUUAUUGAGAAACCGGGCUCUGCGAAAGGUCGGGCUUCGAAACUGAAAAGAUAAAUUUUCCGGGCUUCUCGGGCACUCCGUGGGGUAUUCCGGGCUUUACAAUUGAUAUCGGGGCUUUGCGGGAUGUUAAGAUGAAGAAAAUAUGGGCUUAGGGGUUAAAAGUGACAAAAUUCCAAAAGUAACCGAGAACCCUCGCAGGUACCCUUCUAUUUAUAGGGUCCGAAGUUCUGAUCCAAUGGCUGAGAAGUCUCCUGAUCCGAUGGCUAAGAAGGCUCGCAGAGGGGGUGGCUCACACAUGGCUCGCAUGGCUCGCACAUGGCUCGCACAUGCGAGGCCUCGCUGGCGGCUUCUAAGUGGACCGCGGCUUGCUGGCGCACCUGCGAGGCUCGGAGCUAGGCUAUGCGAGGCUCGGACACACGCAGCAGCUGGGCGAAGCGUCGGCUGGGAGUUGGGUGCCUCGAUUGGGCCUCCUCCUCGGUCGAAUCAGAAGAGGACACGUGGCUUUCAUGACUCAGCAGCCUCGGUGACUCAGCAGCCUGAUGACUCAGCAGCCUAGUGACUCAGCAGGACACAUGUCACUUUCUAAGCGAGGGUGACGUGGCAAUUCUGACUAUGCGAAAUUUCUCAGUUUUCGCGCCAAAAUUUCUAAAAUCCAUAACUUUCGCAUACGAGCUCCGUUUUUGACGUUCUUUAUAUGCACGCGUAGCUAAAAUUACGAUCUACAACUUCCGUUUAGACUUCGUCGGCUAAUUUUGAAUUUAAAUUUUAUAUUAUUAUUUUUAACAGACCGGGACAGGAAAUCCGUUAAAAAUUCAUAACUUCUUCAUCCGACGUUCGUUUUCGUCAGACUUUUAAGCGUAGUGCUCGUAAUGACGAGACCUUCAAUUCUCGUUUAGGUUGUGUUGGCUAAAAAUCGCUCGAUCUAAAAUUUGAGUUUUUAGCUGUCUACUGCUACGCUGAAACUUCGAAAAAUCAUAACUUCCUCAUACGAAGUGAGAUUUGGGCGUUCUUUUUAUCGAACUUCUCGGUUUAACGAAUACUACGACCUUCGUUUAGAUUACUAAGGCUAAAAAGUAAUUUAUCAAAAACCCACUUUUUACGACAUUCAGCACCGUGCCGGUUUGGUCGCGAAACUUCGACAGGUCAUAACUUCUUCGUUAUAACUCGGGUUUUGGUAUUCUUUAUAUCCCCAAAAUCCUUGUUUUGACCACUGCAACAUUAUGUAAAGAUAUCGGGCUUAUCUCACACUUUAAUUUUGAUGCUUAUUUUUAUUCAUAAUUAAUUUAGCCCUAAUAAUUAAGCAGAAUACACAUAAUUCACAUAAUUCCUUUUCAUUUCUUCAAAAUGAGUUACAAAGGUUAACCUAGACUAUCAACUCAAUAUAAAUGCUUAGGCUAGAAACACUAGUGUUACACUGCACAAUCUCUUAUUGAUCACGGAAGUCAUCAGAACUCGACAAUUUCUACAUCAGAACCACAAAAAGGAAACAACAACAACAAUAAUAGGAAGAGAGGAUGGAAUAAAGGGAAGGGUGGGUCCUCCCAAGAAUCCUCGAAGAAACAACAACUAGUUACAGUGAAUGCUGCUACUGUACCUACUACCGUUCCGACAAAUCCACACCCAACAAAGCCUUAUGUGGGUAACUUUUCAAAGUGCACCAAAUGCAGUUACCACCACAAUGGGCCUUGUCGGGAAAUGCAGUGCUCCAACUACAAAAGAAAGGGACACACUGUCCGUUUCUGCAGAGCCCUCGUAAAGCCGAUCACUCAAGUUCCAACACUGGUGUAGGCCAAGCUUGCUACAGUUGUGGUGAGGUGGCCCACUACAAGAGAAACUGCCCUAAGGCAGCGAAUACCGGCGGGGUGGAAAGAGUUUUGGAUAUAGGCCACGAAGAAGUUGUAGUUGAUCCUACAGUAGUUGCUGAUACGUUUCUUCUCGAUAAUUCAUAUGCAUGCAUACUGUUCGAUAGUGGAGCGGACAGAAGCUUCGUGAGUCAAAACUUUAUUCACUUACUUAAACAUAAACCUACCAUUUAGAAAAAUCAUUCAAUAUAGCAAUGGAAAACGGAAAAACGAAAAACACUAAGCACUUUAGACGGUCAUUCUUUCCCAAUCAACCUCAUGCCGGUCCAAAUUAAAAGUUUCGACAUCAUAGUCGGCAUGGAUUGGUUAAGUCUUCUUCGCGCCGACAUCUUGUGCUUUGAAAAAGCAGUUCGUCUUAAUCUCCCUAACGACGAAACGUUAGUGAUUUAUGGCGAAAAUCCAGUACAAACCUUCGCAUCAUUUCAUGCAUCCAAGCUCGAAAUUGUUUGCGGAAGGAUUAUCAUACAUUUCUUGCACACAUCAUCGAUACGAGUCAGGAAGUAAAGGUCAUUAAGAGCAUUCUAGAAGUAUGCGACUUUCCUGAUAUCUUUCCAGAAGAACUACCCGGAUUACCACCGCAACGUCAAGUCGAGUUUAGAAUCGACUUAGUUCCAGGGGCUACCCCAGUAGCAAAAUUGCCUUUUCGUCUGGCACCAGCAGAGAUGCAAGAACUUUCCGGUCAGCUUAACGAACUCCACCAAAAGGGAUUUAUUAAACCAAGCUUCUCACCUUGGGGAGCACCGGUCUUGUUUGUAAAGAAGAAAGACGGAUUGUUCCGUAUGUGCAUUGACUACAGGGAACUCAACAAAUUUACUGUCAAAAAUUGAUACCCUCUGCCCCGCAUUGACGGCCUAUUUGAUCAACUUCAAGGAGCAAACUACUUCUCAAAGAUAGAUCUACAAACCGGAUAUCACCAAUUACGCGUACUAGAAGAGGAUAUUCCCAAGACAGCCUUCCGAACCCGUUAUGGACACUAUGAAUUUAAAGUGAUGCCGUUCGGAUUAACCAACGCACCAGCAGUAUUCAUGGACCUAAUGAAUAGGGUGUGCCGUCCUUACAUGGAUCAUUUCGUCAUCGUCUUCAUCGAUGAUAAACUUAUCUACUCCCGAAGUAAGGAAGAGCAUUGUCAGCACCUACGAAAAGUCUUAGAAACCUUACGUUCGGAGAAGCUCUAUGCGAAGUUCUCUAAAUGCGAAUUUUGGAUUCGAAGAGUCGAAUUUUUAGGCUACGUUGUUAGCGAGAAGGGGAUACACGUGGACCCUUCCAAAAUUAAGGCCAUUGAGAACUGGUCGGCACCAAAGACGCCUACAAACAUUCGUCAAUUUCUAGGUCUCGCUGGCUACUAUCGCAGAUUCAUAAAGAAGUUCUCUAGCAGUGCGAAACCUCUUACUACACUAACCCAUAAAGGCAUGGCCUUUAACUGGGAAGCAAAACAAGAGAAGGCGUUCCAAAAACUAAAACAGGCCUUGUGCACCGUACCGAUAAUAUCCCUCCCCAAAGGGAUAGAAGAUUUUGUAGUGUAUUGCGAUGCAUCCAAUCAAGGACUUGGUUGUGUUCUUAUGCAAAGAAGGAAGGUUAUUGCCUAUGCCUCCCGUCAGCUUAAGAUACACGAAGUAAACUAUACAACACACGAUCUUGAGUUAGAAGCAGUGGUUUUUGCUCUGAUGAUCUGGAGACACUACCCUUACGGAACAAAUAGUACUAUCUUCACCGACCAUAAGAGCCUUCAACACAUUUUUGAUCAGAAGGAGCUCAACACGCAACAACGACGACGGGUCGAGCUACUCAAUGACUACGAAAGUGAAAUUCAUUAUCAUCCUGGCAAGGCCAAUGUGGUAGCUGACGCCCUUAGUUAAAAAGAAUACACUGGUCGGAGAGUCAAAUCUCUGACUAUGACUAUCCAUUCCCACUUAUCCACACAAAUUAAGGAGGCUCAACUGGAAGCUUUGCAACCUGAAAAUGUGGCGGGUGAAUCCCUAAGAGGAAUGCAAAAGAAUCUAGAAAUCAAGGGUGGCGGAGCAUAUUAUCUCACGGACCGUAUCUGGACACCGAAACAUGGUGGUUCCAGAGACAUAGUCAUGGACGAAGCACAGAACACGAGGUAUUCCAUUCACCCAGGUUUAGAUAAAAUGUAUCUAGAUCUUAAGAAACUGUACUGGCGGCCUAACAUGAAAGCAGAAAUUGCUACCUUUGUAAGUAAAUGCCUUACUUAUGCUAAGGUUAAGGUCGAGUAUCAGAAACCUUCAGGAUUACUACAACAACCGGAGAUACCGGAAUGGAAAUGGGAACGGAUUACUAUCGACUUCAUAACCAAGUCGCCCAAGACGACGGGUGGACUCGAUACCAUAUGGGUCAUCGUCGACAAAUUGACCAAAUCCGUGCAUUUUCUACCAAUCAAGGAGACUGUCAAGAUGGAAAGGCUUACAAGAACUUACAUAAGGGAAAUAGUGCGACUGCAUGGUGUUCCAGUAUCCAUUAUCUCCGAUAGAGAUAGUAGAUUCACUUUAAGGUUCUGGCAGUCACUACAAAGUUCCCUGGGGACUAGGCUAGACAUGAGUAUAGCCUACCGUCAACAAACAGAUGGGCGAGGUGAGAGACUGGUACAAACUUUGGAAGACAUGUUGAGAUCCUGUGUGAUUGACUUUGGAAAGGCAUGGGAUAUCCAUUUAACCGGCCUUGUCUAAUUUUCAUACAACAAUAGUUAUCAUACGAGCAUAAAGGCUGCUCCAUUUGAAGCCCUCUAUGGUCGUAAGUGCAGGUCCCCUCUGUGUUGGGCUGAAGUUGGCGACACACAGUUAGCUACAGGACGAGUUCCUGAAAGCACUCUCACCGGUCCAGAAAUAAUACGAGAAACGACCAAGAAGUUCGUUUAGAUUUGUGAACGACUGAAGGCCUCUAGAGACCGACAGAAAAGCUAUGCUAACCAAAGGAGGAAACCUUUGGAAUUCCAGGUAGGAGACCGUGUUCUAUUGAAGGUCUCACCGUGGAAAGGCUUAAUACGCUUUGGCAAGCGUGGAAAGCUAAAUCCAAGAUACGUAGGGCCUUUCGAGAUUCUCGUUAGAAUCGGCCUAGUAGCUUACAAGCUUAAUCUACCACGUGAACUUAGUAACAUACAUCCAACCUUCCACGUCUCGAACUUGAAAAAGUGUCUGUCCGAUGAGACUCUUGUUAUUCCACUCGACGAGAUCGAGAUCAAUGAGAGCCUCAACUUUGUGGAAGAACCGGUAGAAAUCAUGGACCGAGAGGUCAAACAAACGAAACAAAGUCGCAUACCCAUCGUGAAGGUUCACUGGAACGCCAAGCGAGGACCUGAAUUUACAUGGGAACGCGAAGAUCAGAUGAAACAAAACUACGCUCAUGUUUUUCUAUGAUUCACAAGUAUCUUUCUUACUUUAAAUUUAGGGACGAAAUUCCGUCUAACGGGGGGAUGAUGUGACAACCCGAUAUUUCAACUCUAUGUAAUGACGUAAAAAGUCAAGUAUAGUAACCACUUUUGAUAUAAGGAAAUAAACUUCGAAAAUAAAAUGUCCAAAAAUCUCAAAUUAAUUACCUACUAUGUUAGAUGACCUUAAACCAUCAUCGUACGUAAAAAGAACACCCAAAUCUGACUUCGUAUAAAGAAGUUAUGAUUUUUCCAUGUUCGGCUUAGCGACAGACAGCUAAAAACUCGAAACGGAGAUCGAGCAACUUUUGGCCGGAAUGACCCAAAUGAGAAUCGAAGGUCUCGACAAUUGUUUUGCAAUUGUAAAAAGUCUGCCAAAAACAGACGUAAGAUAAUGAAGUUAUGAAUUUCUAACGAAAUUUUUGUUGGAUUAGUGUCUAAGUCCAUAACUAUUUUGCUAUGUACUUCACCCGAUGGUGCAUGGUCCUUUUGGGUUGCCUUCACCAGAGCAACUUGAUUGGAGAAAUAAAUAGAGAGAGAGAGGUUAUUAUAAUUUAUUAAUAUGUUAUAAGAAUAAUAUAAUAAAGGAGAAAUCAUAUUUGUUUAAUUAAUAUUGGUCAAUAAUUAAUUAAGAAUUAUUUUUGUAGUCAAAUGUAAUUAAUUAAUCUAGAGGGGCUGAAUUGUAAUUAUGUGAUAGUUACAAAAUAAGGUAACGAUUAUCUUAUUAAUAGGUUGGAUGAAUUUAAGGUGAUAAGGCCUUAGAAUUCGACUAUGAUGAGGGUCUUCAAGGCUUAUCUUAUGGUUACAUGGUGGGCAAGCAACUAGAUAAAGAUAAGGACUAAAACUGUAAUCUCUACACCUAUAUAAAGACCGCUAAGGCUCAUGAAUUCGUCAAAGCCUUCCCAAGAAGUCCUAGGGGCGAAUUCUAACACCUCUCCUCUCUCUUUAUACCUUCUCCAUUUGCUCUUGGUGUUUGUAAGCCAUUAGAGGAGUGACACUUGUGACUCUAAGCCUUCCAAAGUCAAUUCAAGGAAGAAUUAGGAUUGUUAUUGCUACAUAACAAUCAAAGUUAUGAUCUUAAACCUAAUUAUAUGUUAAUAUCGAUUUCCAUAUGCUAGAAUUAGGGUUUAUAGUUUUGGAUUCAAAGCAUGUACAAUAGAAAAACCUAGAUCCAAGCAUUAGGGUUUGUAUGAGCACAUAGGAUGUCUUAUGACAAAAAGCCAUCAGUGGUAUCAGAGCCUAGCUUUGUUUCAAUUGUAUUGAUGCAUUGUAUAUUUGAAAAAUUCGAUUUUUGGUGAUUUGGAGGCUGGACUCGCCGAGUCCAGAGCUGAACUCGCCGAUUCCAAGGUAACUCGAGGAGUCCAGGCUUCACUCGACGAGUCAACUCGUCAGAUAGAGCUUAUCUCGGGAUUUCUUGNACCAUACGCUUCGGGUAUAGGUUCGAUUGCAAAUGCUUUAAUGGUUGACCAUUCUAAAAUUUUCCAAAUGUCUAGCGCAUUUAGAGGGAAAAGGGAUUAGAAUCAGUUUUGACUAAAAUGAUUAAACAACUAUGAAAGGACAAUCCAAAGUUCGACGAGGAUUGGUCGUUUGUGAGUAGUUGGCAGUAUAGUAUUGGAAAAUAUGGAAAUGUUUCCAUAUUGGAUGGACCAUAUCGACAUUAUUAUGAAUAGACUAGAUUCUAUUAAGAAUAAGUUGUCAUAUGGAAAAUAUGGAAAUGUAUCCAUAUUGGGAAUUGAAUAUUGAAAAAUCUAUGACUAGGUUAGAAACCUUUAUGCAAAAGGAUGUUCGAAGGAAUGUACUUUGAGUGAGAAACAUCAUAUCUAAGGAAUUGUCUUGUAACAAUCUCCGAUAGAGGAUUUUGUAAUGUCAUUGGCAACAGUCUUUGCGACUUUGGUGCAGUGACAUUACGAAAGGAUAGUUGCAGAAAAUGUUAGAAUCUAGCAUAUUCUAUAAGUAGCAAGAAUUUGAUAUUCCUUAAUUUAUGAAAAACGGAUUUGGAAUUCUGAAAUGAGAAGGAUUGGAAAUGUGUUCAAUGUGAUCUAUUUCACAAAGUAACAACCACAGGUAAACAUUGUGUGCAUACUAGGAGCAUAGGACAAAUGUUGGAAUUCAAGUAAGAAGUUGAUUACACGAAACGACAAAUAAUGAGUAAUCAAUAUGGUGAUAAAUAAAAGGCGUUUUAUUUAUACUCAAAGGUUUGAGGCCAUAUGGGAUUAGUGUUAUUCUUGUGUUUCACAUUUGCAUGUUUUGACUUCCAGAAUAAUUGAGUUUAUUAAGAAUAAUCGAAUUAUUCGAAAGGGCCACAGUUGUUCAUAUGUUGGAAGUAGAUAUGAAUGAAGACUGUCGUGAAUUGGUGUGUGGAUUGUCUAAAGAGCAUUAGACAUAAGCAAAUGUUUGCUGCAACGUUCAUGAGUGCUUAUGAAUGUGAUUUGAGCAUUAGAUUAAACCCACGCUCACUUGGAUCACUCCAUGAAUUGUAUCACAAGUGAUUGGUGAGACGAUAACAUCUUAUAUUCUUAAAACCGAGAUGUGUGAGUUGUAUCUUGCAAAUCGGUUGCACAUUGAUAAUAUGUAAAUGCACUAGUAACUUGGUGUUAUAAAACAUAUUGUUGUGUGUGAUUCCCUGUGUGAGUGCAAGCGAGCAUUGUAUCAAAGUUUAUCAAUUCCUUUUAUUCAAAGAAGGAUAAAGGCGAUAUCUUUCGGCCCCUCGAUGGUUUAGUGAUGACAAAUGUAAAUGCUCUGCCGGGCUAUGGCUAAUUUGAUUUGUUCAGUUAGUCAGUCGUCAUAAAUCGGGAAUCGAGAUAUAGUACAAAGAGAAUGAUUUGAAAUCACAUCUCAAAAGAUAUCUAGAAUGUAUGAAUAUAUGAUCCCUUAUCUAAGGACACGCGUAUCUGAUAGGAUCAGAGUUGACAGCGGCUUUGGAAAGCUACGAUUGCAGAUCAGGAUCUGAAGUCAUACGCAUAAUAGUUAUUAGACUUAUCCAAGUGGGAGACUGUUGGAUUAGUGUCUAAGUCCAUAACUAUUUUGGUAUGUACUUGACCCGAUGGUGCAUGGUCCUUUUGGGUUGCCUUCACCAAAGCAACUUGAUAGGAUGAAUUAUGGAGAGAAAGGAUUAAAUAUGAUUUAUUAAUAUAUUAUGGGAAUAAUAUAUUAAAGGAGAAAUCAUAUUGUUUAAUUAAUAUUAGUCAAUAAUUAAUUGGUAAUUAGUUUUGUGACUAAAAGAGAUUAAUUAAACUUAAGGGACUGGAAUUGUAAUUAUAAGAUAAUUGCAAUUUGGGCCAUGGAUUGCCUUUUAUUAUAAGGUGGACGAAUUCUAAUGGGGAAGCCCAUAUGAAGUCGUCCAAGGCUUUAAGAAAAGGGCUCCAUGGGUUGCUUAGGGCUUAAGCAACCAAAUUAGGGUUUCCUUGUUAGAUAACCCUAAUAGCCUUACUAUAUAAAGACCCCUUAUGCCUCAAAAACGUGGACAAGCAACCUUCUAGGGUUUCACACGUUUUUGGGCAGCCUCUAACCUCUCUCCUCUUCAUCCUCUUGCUUAUGGUGUUUGUGAACCAUUAGAGGAGUGACACUUGUGACUCUAAGCCUUCCAAAGUCAAUUCAAGGAGGAAUUGGGAUUGUUAUUGCUACAUAACAAUCAAGGUAAUAUCUUAAACCUAAUUAUAUGUUAAUAUUGAUUUCCAUAUGCUAGAAUUAGGGUUUAUAGUCUUGGAUUCAAAGCAUGUACAAUAGAGAAACCUAGAUCCAAGCAUUAGGGUUUGUAUGAGCACAUAGGAUGUCUUAUGACCAAAACCCAUCAGUGGUAUCAGAGCCUAGCUUGGUUUCAAUUGUAUUGAUGCAUUGUAUAACUGGAAAAUUCGUUUUUUGGGUUUCUGGAGGCUGGACUCGCCGAGUCCAUGGCUGAACUCGCCGAGUCCAAGGUGACUCGACGAGUCCAAGCCUGACUCGACGAGUCAACUCGUCAGAAGGAGGGUACUUCGGGAUUUCUUGCUGUUUUUGCUUAUGGAUAGUUACCUUAUCAUGUUAGAUCAAUAUUAAUCCGAUUAUAUGAUAUAUUUGACUAUAUUUUUGAUCUAAUUGAAGAUAUUUAUCAAUUAAUAAGAUAAUUGUUUCCUUAUGUGAUAAUUGAUUAAUUAUUUUGAUUAAAUUGAUAAAUUGUUUUGCAAGAAAUCAUUAAAUAAAUCAAAUAUGGAUAAUUAUGUGAUUAAAUGUUAAUUUAGAUUAUUUGUUAUUUGAUCCUUGUUGUUAUGAAAAGUUUCAUAUUUUCCCCUUUAGGUUUUAUAGUUUAAAUUUGAACCCAAAAGUUUUGUUGUUUUGAAAUUUAAAUAGUUGAAACCCUAAUGUUUUGAAAAAGGUUUCAAAACUUGCCCUCAAGUUUUGGAAUUUAAAUUUUGAUUAAAUAGUUUAAUUUUGAUGUAUAUUUAAAUUCUAAACCCUAAUGUGUUGAAAUGUUUCAAAACUUGCCCUCAAGUUUUGGAAUUUAAAAGUUGAUUAAAAGUUUAAUUAGGAAUGUUAAAUUCUAAAACUCUAGUAUUGUUUUGAAAAAGUUCAAAUCACACCCUUAUGGUUUUAUUAAUUAAUUAAGGUGUAUAAUUAAAAGAGGUUUAAUAAAUCCAUAAAAGUUUUGGUUUACAAUUUAAUUGAAUUAAAAGUAUAAUUGUUAAAUUUGACCACCUAGUAUUUUAAAAGUGUAAAAUACACCCUAUACUAUAUAUAACAUUAAAAGUCUAACAUUAUAUAUAUGUAUGAGUAAAAGUCAGUCUUACCGUUAGUAGGCCUCAUUCACGAAGCUGGUCUAUAAGGGGUGUUUAAGGAAAUUGCCUAUAAAAUGGCGAUUGAAUGGGUAUCCACUCUUACCCACCGCACUCUUGACUAGUGGAGGGUCGUUAGCCGAACGGGUAGGAUAGGACGAAACCUUCCAUUAUAAGUAUAAUGAAGUAUAAAAGUAACUAAAUGUUUUCAUAAAAUUCCCAAUCUUAGUUACUUAGGCAAAAGUGAAUUGAUGCAAUUCCAUGAAAUUACACUUUGUGCCCUUGCGAAGACGUUAGUGGAGCGUGUGUGGUUUACCGGCACACUAAAUGGUUCUAAGCAAAGGUAGCAAAGGGUGACUCAAUGUUUGUCAUAGUUCGGUGGAGCGUGUGUGGUUUACCGGCACAUCGAAUAGGUGACUGUAACAUGUGAGGGCACCAUGUAAGUUUGCAUGGUUAUUCACACCCGCUUUGUGAUCCUCGGCAUCCCAGUCACAAACUAGAGGGGCAUAUCGAGAUUUAAACAUGCCAUUGAAAUGUUCAAUGAAUCUCAAAGGAUCUAGGAGUUUUCAUAGAUUUAAAACUUAAAUUUCUUUUUCGUUUUUCAUGGUGGAAAUUAGUGAAUCGUCAUUCACUUACCUUCAAAUGUUCUGCAAUUUGGGUUACGGCAUCCCUCUCCCGAGUUGUAGAAUAUUGUGUUGGGUCCUAGCCUUAGUAUCUCAUUUGGGUGAUUUACUAAGGACUCAAUCAAUCAACUAACUUGAAUUCGUUUUCUCCCGUUUUGUAGAUGUCAAAGUUCGACAACUAUGGUCUUCCCAAAUCCCGUGGAACAAGCAUUCCACAUGAAGAUGAUAUUCCACGAUUCGAUCGAGGAACAAGAAAUCAUGCUUCACUUCCUCCACCUCCUCCAAUUAUUCUCCCUAACCCACAAGUUCAAAGGCUUGAAAAGUUCAAGAUCACUCAAGCCCUUUUGGCAAGUAAACAUAAAGAAGGAAAGUCGGUGUGUGCACACGUCCUAGGGAUGAAGUCACACAUUGAUAGGUUAAGAAUGUUGGGAUCCGUUGUCUGUGAGGAAAUGGCUGUUGAUUGGGUUCUUCAGUCACUUCCUAACUCAUAUAGUGAGUUCGUAAGAGAGUACUAUAUGAUGAACCGCGACGUGACCCUUAUAGAUCUCACCUAUAUGCUUAUUGCUGCUGAAUCAGCAAUGGUUUGGCGCAAUAGAAAAGCAAAGUUGAUUGGUGAAUCUGCCUUCAAGACCUCUAUGGAUAUAGACAAUGGCAACGAAAGACAUGCUAUGAUCGAAAAGUUUGAUCAUAAGAGAAAGGCAAUGUCUGAAGUAGUUCCAUGUCAUGUUCCAAAAGAGUCAAUUUGCUUUUAUUGCCAAGAGAAAGGGCAUUGGAGACGAAGCUGCCCCAUUUACCUAAGAGAUCUAAGAGAUGGGAGAGUCGAAACGUAUGGCUCUAAUAUAGGUAAAAUCCAUUAACUAACUCUUUUAAGCUUCUAUUCUAGAUUCUUAAUACAUAAUGUGAUAAGAUUACAAUUGAUGUUUUGUAGGAUCGAAGAAAAGAAAGGAAGCUUAAGGGAAGAAGUGAGCAGAAUCUAACCGUGAAGGAAUGGAUUUCGAUCGCAUUUCUCGAAGAUUAGAUUCUUGAGCUACUACUUAGAGUUAGAAUUAGAUUGCUAAGAAAGAUGUAUUAGCAUAGUUUUUCAAUGAAUUGCAUUGUAAGGACAAAUUUUUCCGCAAUAAAAUAAAUUUUGAUUUUAAAUUUUAUUUAUUUAUCCUUGCAAUGGCGUGUAUGAAAAAUUGAUGUUAAAAUGUUUCUAUUAUUAGCAAUAAUGGAUUUGGUUCUUAUUAUGUUAUUUAUGGAAAGUCGAGAAUUUACCAAAUAGGGAGAGUUUCUCAUCGCCCAAGUUUCAAUUGGACAGAAACUUGGAAUCAUGCAACUUGGUUGCACGAUGAAUGAGAAAUUUCAUAUUUGGAAAUUAGACUAAUUCAUUGACAAAGUGUCAAGUGAAGGACUAGGAGAUCGAGUACACAAAGUUGCGUGUUGAUCAAGUCCACCAUAAGAGUAACAAAGAUAUUCGUCAUGAUUUACUAAAGGUUUAGUAAAUAUGAUUAUACUUAUAAGAUUAAGUGUAAUUCUGAAUUGAUUGAAAAGGUUUAAAUCAAUAGCAGAACGAAUAAGAAGAAUCAAGUAGGCAGAAAGAUAAAAGUUUCUCCAUUCUAAGAAGAAGGGAGAGUACCUUUUAUGCUUUAUGAUAGGUCUUAAUGAUUAAGAACCAUAUCUCAAUUGAUCCUCUAAGUGAGUCUUAGUACAAUUGUAUGUCUAAGAAGAGGAAUCAAGAAUUGAAGAAAUGGUUAAAUCAAUAAGUCAAUCAUACUUCGUUCCAAUAACAAGUCUUAAAGUUAAGAUUGUGACAUUGAGUGAAAGGUAUUAAGAAGGUUUGUAACUUUCAUUAAAUGUGGAAAGUUGUGAUGUCUUGGAUAAGACAAAGACCAACUAGGACCAAUUUAUGAAGUGUUUUGAUAAAAGCUACACUAACUCUUGAAUAUUUGUUUGUCAAGAAAUGGUUAUUGACAAGAGAAUCUUAUAUGUCAAGGAGUCAGUGGGAGUCUUAAUGGUCUUGAAAGGUUUCAAGAACAAAUCAAAUAAACCUUAUCGAUCAUCACUAGCACACGAGUUGAGGUUUACAACCUAUCGUGUUGACAUUAUUUUGAUUCUGUGCCAAUCCAAUCGAGUUAAUUAUGCAUGUGAGUUCUAUGAGUUCUCAUUUUGAACGCAUAAAAGGCAAAGCACCUUAAUCAAUGAAAGGUACAUUGAUAGGAAAGGGUGAGCUGCUUAACUACUUGGAAGACAUGGUGGGCAGCUGUGCUACCAUAAGGCAAGAAAUCAAGAUUAAGAAAGUUCGGUCCAUAUGAGUUUGAAUUUGUCGUAAACUUUGGUUUUAACAAAUUCACAUGGAUAGGAACACAUACACCGUUUAAAUCUAAGUGUCAUAAGAUUUCCUCCUUCAUGAAAAUGAUUGUGAGGAAAUGCUUUCACUAAGAAAGAUUUUAAGAAGAUAGUGAUUGUAAAAUUGCAUUCUCGAAUUCAAUUAUGGUUACGGCAUCCCUUUCCAUAAUUUGAAUUGUGAGGUUUGGCAAUUAGUCUUAAUUGUUUAGACACACAUAUGAACUAUCGAAGGCAAAGGUGUAUAAGUUCAAGAAGCCUUGAUAAAAGAUUAUCAAAGCACUAAGUAUUAGAAACAUGAACUUAAGAAAUUCAAUAAGCAUUGUUUUUCUGAAAGUUAAGAUGUUUAUGAAUACAUGUCGAAGCUAGUGGGAGCAUAAGUGUUAUGUUUUAUAAUAAUCAUCAUGAUAGUGGGAGCAUAAAUGUUAUGAUUGUAUGAUUAUUAAGGAAAGUAUUGCAAGGUUAGCAAUAUUAAUUAUAGAAAACAAGAGUCAUACUUUGCAAAGUUGUAAGAGUUGAAAGGUUGUUUUGCUAUAAUUAAGGGAGAGAAUAUUAUGCUUCAUUUCAAAUCUAAAGGAUUAGGUUGAGAAAUGUUAAUAAAUUUAGUCAAAGGUACAUAGUGUGUUCUUAAAAUUUCGAUUAUGAUUACGGCAUUCCUCUUCACAAUUCGAAUUUUGAGAACAUAGCAAAUAAAACAUUAUGCGUCGUGUCCCAUACGCUUCGGGUAUAGGAUCGAUUGCAAAUGCUUUAAUGUUUGACCAUUCUAAAAUUUUCCAAAUGUCUAGCGCAUUUAGAGGGAAAAAGGACUAGAAUCGGUUUUGACUAAAAUAAUUAAACAACUAUCAAAGGACAAUCCAAAGUUCGACGAGGAUUGGUCGCUUGUGAGUAGUUGGAAGUAUAGUAUUGGAAAAUAUGGAAAUGUUUCCAUAUUGGAUGGACCAUAUCGACAUCAUUACGAAUAGAUAAGAUUCUAUUAAGAAUGAGUUGUCAUAUGGAAAAUAUGGAAACGUGUCCAUAUUGGGAAUUGAAUAUUGAAAAUCUAUGUCUAGAUUAGAAACUUUUAUGCAAAAGGAUGUUCAAAGGAAUGUACUUUGAGUGAGAGACAUCAUAUCUAAGGAAUUGUCUUGUAACAAUCUCCGAUAGAGGACUUUGUAAUAUCAUUGGCAAUAGUCUUUGUGACUUUGGUGCAGUGACAUUACGAAAGGAUAGUUGCAUAGAAUGUUAGAAUCUAGCAUAUUCUAUAAGUAACAAGAAUUUGAUAUUCUUUAACUUAUGAAAAACGGAUUUGGAGUUGUGAAAUGAGAAGGAUUGGAAAUGUGUUCAAUGUGAUCUAUUUCACAAAGUAAGAACCAUAGGUAAACAUUGUGUGCAUGCUAGGAGCAUGGGACAAGUGUUGGAAUUCAAGUAAGAAGUUGAUUACCCGAAACGACAAAUAAUGAGUAAUCAAUAUGGUGAUAAAUAAAAGGCGUUUUAUUUAUACUCAAAGGUUUGAGGCCAUAUGGGAUUAGUAUUAUUCUUGUGUUUCACAUUUGCAUGUUUUGACUUCCAGAAUAAUUGAGUUUAUUAAGAAUAAUCGAAUUAUUCGAACGGGCCACAGUUGUUCAUAUGUUGGAAGUAGAUAUGAAUGAAGACUGUCGUGAAUUGGUGUGUGGAUUGUCUAAAGAGUAUUAGACAUAAGCAAAUGUUUGCUGCAACGUUCAUGAGUGCUUAUGAAUAUGAUUUGAGCAUUGGAUUAAACCCACGCUCACUUGGAUCACUCCAUGAAUUGUAUCACGAGUGAUUGGUGAGACGAUAACAUCUUAUAUUCUUGAAACCGAGAUGUGUGAGUUGUAUCUUGCAAAUCGGUUGCACAUUGAUAAUAUGUAAAUGCACUAGUAACUUGGUGUUAUAAAACAUAUUGUUGUGUGUGAUUCCCUGUGUGAGUGCAAGCGAGCAUUGUAUCAAAGUUUAUCAAUUCCUUUUAUUCAAAGAAGGAUAAAGGCGAUAUCUUUCGGCCCCUCGAUGGUUUAGUGAUGACAAAUGUAAAUGCUCUGCCGGGCUAUGGCUAAUUUGAUUUGUUCAGUUAGUCAGUCGUCAUAAAUCGGGAAUCGAGAUAUAGUACAAAGAGAAUGAUUUGAAAUCACAUCUCAAAAGAUAUCUAGAAUGUAUGAAUAUAUGAUCCCUUAUCUAAGGACGCGCAUAUCUGAUAUGAUCAGAGUUGACAGCGGCUUUGGAAAGCUACAAUUGCAGAUCAGGAUAUGAAGUCAUAUGCAGAAUAGUUAUUAGACUUAUCCACGUGGGAGACUGUUGGAUUAGUGUCGAAGUCCAUAACUAUUUUGGUAUGUACUUGACCCGAUGGUGCAUGGUCCUUUUGGGUUGCCUUCACCAAAGCAACUUGAUAGGAGAAAUAAAUAGAGAGAGAGGUUAUUAUGAUUUAUUAAUAUGUUAUAAGAAUAAUAUAUUAAAGGAGAAAUCAUAUUUGUUUAAUUAAUAUUGGUCAAUAAUUAAUUAAGAAUUAAUUUUGUAAUCAAGUGUAAUUAAUUAAACUAGAGGGGCUGAAUUGUAAUUAUGUGAUAGUUACAAAAUAAGGUAAGGAUUAUCUUAUAUAUAGGGUGNUUCGACUAUGAUAAGGGUUUUCAAGGCAUAUCUUAUGGUUACUUGGUGGGCAAGCAACUAGAUAAGGAUAGGGACUAAAACCCUAAUCUCUACACCUAUAUAAAGACCCCUAAGGCUCAUGAAUUCAUCAAAGCCUUCCCAAGAAGUCCUAGGGAUGAAUUCUAACACCUCUCCUCUCUCUUUAUACCUUCUCCAUUUGAUCUUGGUGUUUGUAAGCCAUCAGAGGAGUGACACUUGUAACUCUAAGCCUUCCAAGGUCAAUUCAAGGAGGAAUUAGGAUUGUUAUUGCUACAUAACAAUCAAAGGUAUGAUCUUAAACCUAAUUAUAUGUUAAUAUCGAUUUCCAUAUGCUAGAAUUAGGGUUUAUAGUUUUGGAUUCAAAGCAUGUACAAUAGAGAAACCUAGAUCCAAGCAUUAGGGUUUGUAUGAGCACAUAGGAUGUCUUAUGACCAAAACCCAUCAAUUUUCUUACCGCGACCUUUUAAAAAUAAAUAAAAAAAAAUUUCAAAUUUUGCCGACGGAAUUUAAACGAAAAUUGUAGAGCGUAGUCUCACCUACGUGUGGAUAUAAAGAACGUCGAAAACGGAGUUCGUAUGAAGAACAUAUGACAUUUUGAAGUUUAUUAAAUAAUUAAAACAUAAAUUUUAUUAUUUAACCUUGGUAUUAUCCGAAAGAGGAGUCACCAGGUCGAUCCGAAUUACGCCAGUUUACGCUCGUACACCCAUCGUACUCGAAGACUAGGCCUCGGAUCGUCCACGUCGCCCCCUAUGCGAGGCUAUGCCCUGUCCCAUCCGAAGGUCCGAGGCAGUCGAGGAAGUUGUCACGCAUGACGCACGCGUACGCCCAGCGUACUCGCGUAUGCCCAGCGUACCGAGGCGGUUCCCACCCCUUAUAAAAGGGAUGCGAGGGUUCUGAAGAAAAGGGCCAAUUCCUUUCAUCUUUCUUGCGUUUUUGCCUCGUUUUCCGUGCACGUACUAUCCCGAAGCCCCGGUUUCCAUGCUCAAGUCCCGAAGGUCGUUUGUGCUCCCGAGAUUCCCGAGAAUCCCGAAAAAAUCCGCUUUCUCGAGUCGAAAUUCUCUUCGGUUUUCGUCUCGCCUUUUUCGAUCUAUCAAGUGAGUUAAUACCCUUAUAAUCCACACUUUUAAAUGUUUUAUAAAUGCUUUUAUAUGCUUUUAAGGUGGGGAAUACAAGUAAAACACACGAUUAUUAUCGUGUGUUAUAUAAAGUUUCAUUAUACACUUUAUAUCAACGGAAUCAUAUGUGAUUUAUAACUAUUAUAUGGAAACUUUCAUAUGCAAAAUAUAUCACGAUAACAUGAUAUCCUUUGAAAUGAAAAAUGUAGUUAUAUAUGUAUCAAUCAAACACUUUGUUUAUACUGUAUGUAUAAGUGUCCAUCUUAGACACUAUAAAAAUUAUACUUUUCAUAAUAAGUGAGCAUUUUACUUGGGUGUAAAUACAAACGAAACACACUUAAAGAAAAAUAUAAUAGGUAUAGUUUUACGAGAACAUUACGAACUUUUACAUACUAGAAACACUAUUUUCAAGAAGUCACUUUCACAUAAAAGAACAAAAGAACAUUUUUACAUGUAAAUCUGUUUUUAUACUAAGUUUUGUGAGACAUUAACUUCACGUACAUUCGAGUACACAUUUCUAGUCCUGUAUUAUAUACCAGAAUCCCUUGGAGGGGGGCAUGGUGUUUGUGUAUAGAUCUAUACGGGCUUGACAACCCUGCGCCCUGACUUUUCGCUAUAGUACACCAUUUGUGGUGACAAACGUCAGAACAUUCCAACGCCUGAAGAACGUUGCGUAUAUGCAUUCCUAGUCGAUAGCAUGGUUAUAAAAACUCACAUGGGGUAUUAAAAAUACAUUGAUUUACGGGGUUUUUCAGACGUAUUGGGAAUUUUAUACGUACAUACAUUUUCUAGAAACAAACAUUGGUCCUCAUAGAAGGCUACAUUUAUGCUAGUAGAAAAUAUGGGAUUUUCUAGGAGCAAACAAACAAAAACAAAAAAUUUCAUUUCAUACAAAAGUUGUCAUUUAAUACUUAUGAAACUCACCAACUUAAAUGCUGAUCUACUCUUUCAAAACUACAUGUAUAUCCCAGGGAUUCAGUAAUUACAGGUAACGAACAACUUUUGAAGAAGGGACGCUGCGGCUCCAGUUUAAAUUCAUAUUUUGGCAUCAUAUUGUAAUUGGUUUUGAACAUGUACCUUUUAACAAUGUAAACUUUCAAUUAUAUAUAUGAUGGUUGUAUUGUUUUCUUUAUUAUGUAUUCAUUUGUUACGCUACCACAUGAAGUCAUCCGCCCCCGAACGUUUUCCGCCGUUCCGGUUUGGGGGUGUGACACAUACGGUGCGACCCGUCCUUCUUCAUCACGAAUAGGAUCAGGGCUCUCCAUGGAGAAUUGCUCGGCCUGAUAAAUCCUUUGUCUAGUAGAUCUUGCAGCUGCAUAGACAAAUCCUGUAUCUAGGGAGGAGCCAGCUGAUAUGGUGCCUUGGCUAUCGGAGCCGCACCAGGAACCAGCUCAAUCCUGAACUCAACCUGUCUCUCAGGAGGUAUACCAGGUCAAUCCUCUGGAAACACAUUUGGGUACUCUUGCACCACUGGUAUAUCAUCGACUGUCGCCUUACCCUUCUCCCAAGCAUCCAUAACAUAGGUGACGUACCCGGCACAUCGUUGCUGGAAGUAGCGCCUCGCUCUCGCUGAUGAACAAAGAAUCGUUCCGUGUUGUGGAAUGUCGCCCUAAAUCACUAACCCUCCCCCACUUGGAGUGCGGACCCUUACCAACUGCGGCUCACAAUCAAUCACUUCCCCAUUAGGGCUCAGCCAAUCCAUACCCAUUAUAACUUUAUUCCCUCGCAAGGGAAUAGGAACCAAAUCCACUGAGAACUGCUCAUCAAAUAACCGCAACGAGCAUCCCCUAUAUAUUCUCGCAACGCUAACAGUCCUAUCAUCAGCUAUCUCAACCUCAAGUGGGAAAUCUAGCUCCUCUGGAGCUUUGCUAAACCGCUUGCUAAGCGCAAGCGAGACAAGUGAUCGGGUAGCCCCCAAGUCAAACAAUAUUGUAACUGAAAUGCCGUUCACUAAGAACGACCCUAUACACAAACACAUAACCAUAAGAAACUAUCAAUAUAAAACAUAGAUAAAAGGAAAAUUCAUAACUGUCACCAUGUCAGGAGUCGCUCGCACCUCCUCUGCUUUCAUCUGUAAUGCUCUAAUCUUCGAAACUGGCGCCUCAUCCCGACCCUGACGGCUGUCUGUAAUCCUCAAUGUUGCAGGGGCAGGUGCCACUACCUUCCCUGCUACUACUAAGCUUGGGCAUUGGGACCUCUUAUGGCCCCUUUGAUUGCACUGAAAGCAAAUCAUAUCAGAUGCUGAGGUGGGAGUCAUAGUAGGAGUAGCUGUAUAAUCCUUGCUCAUGUUACCAGUCCAACCGCACUUGUAGUAGCCAGAACUCCCUGCCUUGCACACUCCAUCACGCAACCUCCCACACUUGCCACACUGAUUGUGGCUCAAUUGUCCCCUAGAUCUGUGAUCCGAUUCUUUAGGCUUUUUGCCUGAACUCCAUGUGCCAGAUACCAUCUCUGGCUUCCUCUUCCUCUCCAUCUCUAAAUCAAUAUCCCUCUCAUGAGCCCUCACAAUCAUGUCGUCCAUUGUUUUACAGCUAGACCGACUCAUAAAUUGUCUGAUAUUACUCCUCAACAUCUCAUGGUAUCAGGCCUUCUUCAUUUCCUCGUCUGCUGUAUACUAAGGAACUAGAAGAGCCCUCUCCCUAAACUUGGCGGUAAUCUUCGCUACUGUCUCCGUCGUCUGCUAGAGAUCCUGGAACUCCAUAGCAAUCUGCUGCACCUCGACGGUCAGUGCAAACUCAGCUCUGAACGUGGUCGUGAAAUCAGCCCAGGUCAUCACAUCAAGGGUUGUGUUAUCCCCGAUGCCAUGUCCGACCUCCUCCCACCAAUCAUGUGCCCUGCCCUUCAGAAGACUGGAUGCAAGUCGGACAUUGUCCCCCUCGGGACAUCUGCUAGAGUGGAAAGCGUUGGCCACAUCAGCCAACCAUCUGGUACACAUAAUGGGGUCUCGGCCCCCCUGAUAGCCUGGAGCUCCAUAAGCUCUGAACUCCUUGAAGGUCAAAGUACUUGCCCCCGUCAAGGCUGCCAUGUUAGUACGGAAGGUGCUCAACCUCUCAUCGAGAAUCUCUUGAAUGCCCUCCUUGACCGUACCAAAGAUCAUAGUAGUCUGCUCAUCCAAAUGCUCGGCCCCCGAGCCUGAACUUGAUCCCUCUCCAGCACCUAAACUGCCGACUGCUAGUUUAGGGCGUAAAACCACCAUUCUGAAACACAAUGCAACAAUGUCAGAAACACUGAUAUAACUAGAAUGAUCACAUGUACUACGAGUUCCCUGGUCUCAUCUCAGCCUUCCCUCAUUCGAGUACGGAUCCUCUGCUUUCAGUAGUAUGGUCCCUACUACCUUCCACAUCUAUCAGUACUUUCCUCAACAACUGCCUCGAUUCCACCAAGUCCCUUUUGCUACUACUGCUGAUCUCUUGCUAAUCUAAUCCUAGGCUUUCACUAGGGUCAUCACCAACCAACUCUCUGCCAUCAGCUGCAUAAGAAGUUGUUGCUUUAUUCCCCAACUAGGUGGCGAAUACUAUUACAUAUUACUCAGACUAGAUAAUUCUUCGAAUAAGAGAUCCUACCCUACAACGGUUGGACUCAAACAAGAGCUGUGAAAUAGAGCUAGACCUAACCUUCUGAAAUUAUUAUAUAUAGCUUAUCAGAUUCAUUUACUAGUUAGUAAAAGACAACUAGAACUCUUAAAAGCACAAAGCAAACAACAUUCGAGCAUUGAGGACACAUAAUCAAGCAUAUACUACUCUGGCUAUCAUACUGACUAAUCUGUACUAACAUGUAGUUCUCAUAAAGUUGAUACACAUACAAUAGGCACACAAGGCAUCAUUCCUAGAUUUUUAGCCCUAAACUAUCAUGCAAUUCUCAUAAAGCUGAUACACAUACAAUAGGCACAUAAGGCAUCCUUCCAAGAUCCUUAGUCCUAAUCUAGCAUGCAGUUCGCAUAAAGAUGAUACUCAUAUAAUAACAUGGACUUUUAUGGGUAAUUUGGCUGUACUUACUCGAGCUCGGCUGAUCGCAUGCACCACAACCUUUUUUUCUUUUUUAAAACUCUUUUCUCUUUUUUGUUUCUUUUUCACAAAAUUUCUUUUGAAAAUGUUUUUCUUUUGAAAACCUUUUACCAUUUCCAUACCUUGAUUUUAGACACGCCCGAUAGUCUGUCUGAAUCCCUCAAACCAGGUCUCUGAUACCAACUUAAAACAUCCCAAAAAUACAAGCCAAAAAUUUCGUUUGAAAAUAUUACUAAAACCAUAAUAUUCAACAUCAUAUAUAAAAACCAUAAGUCAUGUAUCUAAAGAUGUUAUAAAUAUGUAUCAUAUCAUAUCAGAUGUCAAAUCAUAUCAAAUAUUAGAGUCUAACUCCCAGGAUAAAACUAUGGUGGGUGCCAUGCCAUCAUCCCGAGCCCUUUCCAGUGCUAGCUGAAGUACCUAAAACCAAAACUGAAAUUGUAAGCACGAAGCUCAGUGAGCUCCCCCAAAAUACCAUAUACCAUACAAUAACAUAUAAAGCAUAUACUAGGCCUUGUCCACUGCAUCAGACCGAAGCCCAAAAGUAACUAGCCUCGCCCUCUGCAUCGGACAAAAGUCCGGAACUAACUAGGGCCUUUCCUUCUCCAUCGGACCGAAGUUCGGAACUGACUAGGCCCUUACCCUCUGCAUUGGACCGAUGUCCGAAACUGACUAAGGCCUCGCCGUCUGCAUCGGAACGAAGUCUAGAACUGACUAGGGUUUCGCCUUCUGCAUCGUACCGAAGUCCGGAACUGAUUGAACAUAGCAUGACAUAAUCAUAACAUAUAACAAUAACACAUAUACCGCAUACUGCAUUGGACCGCAGUCCGGAACACAUAACACAUGGACAUGCCUGAAUCACUAAGACAUCAAGCAUACUGAACUACUACUCAGGACCACCUCGACAUCAGACUGCAGUUCGAAACUAUUGCUAUCUAAAUGGACCGACAUUAUGGCCGUUGACCCAUUCCUACUGGAAGGAAACGCACCUCGAAGAAUUGAUCGCUGAAAAUCUGAGUGAAGGAUCUCUGGCUGCUGUCCCGGCUGUUGUCCUGGCCGCUGUCCGGCUAUCAUGACCAGUAUAACACUUAACCAAAACGAGGAUCCUUUUAUGGGUGAAAUGACUAUUUUACCCCUGCUAUGGUGUGGAUCCUAACCAAGGCCCACAACCUUUACAUCUUUCUAAGUCCACUAAUGGCCCACUAAGGUCCCAAUUUUAAAAAUUGUGCCAAACUCCUCAUAAGGCCCUACUUAAGCCAAAAAUGCCUUUGGCCCAUUCUCUGACUCCUACUGGCCCACUAACACCUAUGGUCCAAAUACAACCCACACCAAGGCCCAAAUACCUAAGGUCCAAAUUGACUAAGUUACACUGGGCGUACUCCAAAGUAUGCUUAGCAUAACUGUUUGAUGGUGAGUACAUUGGGCGUACUCCCAUUUACGUUCAACGUAGUUCCCUGUUAAGUCCUUUCUUUAUUAAGUGCUUAAGAUUUCGAUUCAGAAGCUACAAACAUAGAUCAAAUUCUUAUUCCAUGCCAUAACCCAUAAAGUUGCUUACUUGAUGGCUUACAUGAAUCACAUAAGCUAAAACUUUAAAAACAAUAAUCUAUUUCCAUGGAAGUGGCUAGAUCUCAUGCAUGGCUUCAUGAAAGCCUCAAAUAUUGAAACUUUAUUACUAAGAAAGUUUUUUGAGCCUCAAGGAUGGCAACCUGAAGCUCAAAAACGGAUUCACAAGAUCAAAGUCCACCUUUGGACUUAAAGAGGUCCAAAACUUCCAAACCCUAGAUCUAGAAUAUGAGGAAGAAAGGUAAGUGCUUUAUGGCAUCUUAUGUGAUAAAAGGGUGAGCUUAGUCUAGAUCCUUGAGCUCAAGCUUCUUCUCCAAUCUUUCCUUUCCUUCUUCACAACUUUCUUCCACUAAUAACACUCACAAAAGCAACUUCACACAAUGACAAGGGGUAGGAAUGAGUUAGGGUUUCCUUGUGGGUGAGGAGGCUGAUAAGAAACCAGGUGGAGGCUAUAAUGGGUUUUAUAUAGCUCUUAAACCCUAAAUUAGGGUUUUCCUUGUGUAUUCACAUAUGUUCCACAUACACUUUGGUACGUUGCGCCUACGUGUGUGAACCCCCGAUUCUAUCCGCGGCCCAUUACGCCUCGCGUACGCCCAGGCUACGCCCAAUGUAAGUCAUAUGGGCGGCCCAAGCCUUUGGUUCAAGUGCAUAAGUCCAAUCCAAUACUCCUACUAUCUAUACUUUGCCCAAUUAUAAUUUAAGAAAAAUGAAUAAUUAAUACCUUGAAAGACGAUCAUUACAGUUAUGCAGGAAGGACGUUCAAAGGAAUGUACUUUGGGUUUGAGACUUCCUGUCUAUGGUGUUGUCUUGUAAUAAUCUUCAAUAGAGUACUUUGUAUUUUCAUUGGCAAAGUCUUGACGACUUUGGUGCUAUGACAUUACAAAAGAUCAUUGCAUGAAAUGUUAGAAUGUAACAUAUUCUAAUAUUUGCAAGAAUUUGGUAUUCUUACACUUGGUAUUCACAAAGUAAGAACCAUAGGUAAAGAUAGUGUGCAUGCUUGGAGCAUGCGAUGACUAUUGUUUCAAUACGAGUAUGAAGUCAACAAAAACAAAACCAUGAAGUCGACCAAUAAAAUCAAAACAUUUCUUAAGAAGAGUUUUCCAUUGGAACACAAUUUAUUGAUAUUGGAGAAUAAUACUAAACCUUCACUUGUUGCAGCCAAGUUUUCGUUUUAUAUUACAUAAGUUCCUCAAAAUUUUAGAAGAUGUUGAACCUGUUGAGAUUACUACUUAAAACACAAGCUUCGAUUUUUGUGCCUAGUAAAAAAUAGCAUGUUAUCAAAUAAUGUUCUAUAUGUAAACAUAAAUAGAAAACAUUGAACACAAACUGUUCAUCCAUAAUAAUUAGUUUGAUUGAUAACACUUCUUUUUUGUGUUGGUUAUAAAUUUCUUUAUCCUCAACACUCGAACCUUAAGUGUUGUAUCAUAUGGUACUAAUCCAAUGUCUUUUCAGUGAAUAACUUUGGCAGUAAACUAUAACAUCCAAACAUAAGGUAUUGUCAUAUUGCUUUUAUGUUUAUCAAAAGUUUCACAAUUGGUCCCUUGAGGAAAAAGGCUUGCAUUUUGGUCAUAUACUUUGCGUACUUGAGGGUACACGCAACUUACUCGUGCAAUGUGGAAACACAGAUGAUCUGCUAGUAUGUUGGGUAUACGUAUGGUAUGUUGGGCGUACUAGCGCAUACUCCAACCCCUAAUUUUAAGGACAGCUCCAUAUUUAAAAAAAAUUAUAUCCCCUUUGUACUAUCUUUAUUAGCCACCAUUCCGUCCUGAAAUGCUAAUUUUGAGUCUAAGUUCUUUGCUUGAGUUUUGGGAGCUUAUUAACUAGAAAAGAAGGACGUGUUACUUGCAAGCUUGUACAUACAAAAACCCUUCCUCAUUGUGCAUCUUUCUCAGCUAUACGGUUUAUACCACGACGAGUUUUCUAUUUGAUCUCCAUGGUUGAAGUUUUAUGAGCUUUUUAUGUCCAAGAUUGAACCUUUAUGAGUUUGACCACUCCAAGGAAUAUUAGUUAUCUUUUCAUGCAUUUUAUGACUUAUAGAUUCCUAAAAAUGGUUGCCUGAUCAAUCCCUAUGGCCCACGCAUGAAUAAAGUAGCUUAGAGUUUUGUUCGAAGCUAAAGUUCGUUUCAUUGGGUCCUUCCUAGACAUGAAAAGCCAAAAUUCAAUGAGUUUAUGGGUUAAGAAACUCUAAGAUGGGUAAUAUUUGAAGUUUGCUUAGAUGUCUUAGCAGAUUAAGACACAAAAGAUGGUGAAGUUGAAUCAAAGUACACCGGGCUUACUCCUAGCUACGCCCUGCGUAACCAGUGUUGGAUUAGUGUCUAAGCCUGUAACUAUAUUUGGUAUGUAUUUAUUAAUAUAUUAUAUGAAUUAUAUAUUAAAGGAGAAAUCAUAUUGUUUAAUUAAUAUUAGUCAAGAAUUAAUUGAUAGUUAAUUUUGUGACUAAAAAACAUUUAUUAAACUUAGGGGACUGGAAUUGUAAUUAUAAGAUAAUUGUGAUUGGGCUAUGGAUCACCUUGGUACAUAGGUUGGACGAAUUCUAUGGGAAGCCCAUAAGGAAUUCGUCCAAGGGGUGUUCUAAAGGGAGUCCAUGGGCCGCUUAGGGCCUAAGCAGUGAAGUUACAGUUUGCUAGUUGAAGACCCUAAUAGUCUCACUAUAUAAAGACGCCUAUGGCCCCAAAAAAGUGGUGAACUUUCUUGGAAGAACCCUAGGUCGUUUUAGGUGCUCCUCUUCCUUCUAAUAAGUCAUUGUCUUGCUUGUGGUGUUUGUAAGCCAUUAGAGUAGUGACACUUGUGACUCUAAGCUCCAAAGAAAGAAGAUUGAGGAGAUUCAAGCUAUUCUACAAGAGGUAAUCAUCUUGAUCUGCUCUUAUGUGAUAAUUUCGAAAUGCAUAUGCUAGAUUAGGGUUUUUGAGCCUUGGAUGAAUUGCAUGUACAAUAGAGAACCCUAGAUCCAAGCUUUUGGGUUUUCAUGAGCACAUAUGAUGUUCUUUUGUAUAAAACCCAUCAGUGGUAUCAGAGCCUUGAUUGGUUUCUGUUGUAUGUGAUGUAAUGCUUGUUUAUCUGCUGAAAAUCGAGUUUCUGGCCUCUGCCCGACCCGACUCGGCAAGUCGGUAUAUGGACUUAGCGAGUCAGCCUAACUCGGUGUGUCGAGGUAUUGAGUCGACGAGUCCGUGAGUCAGGCUGUCGAUAUUUCGUGAUUUAUUACUGUUUUACGGAAGGAUAAUUGCUAAAAUCAUUUUCUUAUGAUAAAAUCCAAAUUUUAUUAUUUUUAUGUGAUUAUCCUUACCAAAACAAAAAGAUAAUUUCAAAUUGUUUGAAUAAUAAUUUCCUUAUAUGAUAAAAUUUUAUUAUUUAAAUUAUCUUGUAAAUAAUCUUGAUUUGGUUAAAUUUAGAUAUUCAUUAAAUUACUUGUUUAAUUUAAAAUUAUUUGCUAUUUGAUCCUUUGGGUUUUGAAAAGUUUGAAAGCUUGCCCUCAAGUUUUGGAAUUAAAAUUUGUUUAUUAAAAAGAUUAAUUUUGUAAUAUUUAAGUUCUAAACCCUAAUGAUUUGAAAUGUUUCCAAACUUUCCCUCAAUUUUUGGAACUUAAAUUUUAAUUACAAGUUUAAGUUUAAAAUGUUUAAUUCUAAAACCCUAAUUUUUAAAAAAGUUCAAAUUGAACCCUCACUGUUUUAUUAAAUUAAUUAAGUGUAUAAUUAAAAGAGAGUUAAUAAAUCCAUAAUGAUAUGGUUUACAUUUAAUUAAAUUAAAAGUGUAAUUUGUUAAAUUAGACCACAUAGUAUUUUAAAAGUGUAAAAUACACCGUUAUACUAUAUAUAACAGUAGAAGUCUAAUAUUAUAUACGUAUAACUUAAACUGCUAGUCUGACCAUUAGUAAACCUCAUUCACAAAGCCGAUCUAUAAGGGGGUAUAAGGUUAUGGCCUAUAAAAUGGUCGUUUAAUGAGUGUCCACUCUCACCCACCGCUUCCUUGAUUGGUGGUGGGUCAUUAUCCAAAUGGAUAGGAUAGGGCAAACCCUCUCCUCAUUAGAAGUAUAAUGAAUGUUAAAGUAACUAAAUGUUUUACAAAAAUUCCCAAUCUUAGUUACUUUAGGAAAAAGUGAAUUGAUGCAAUUCCAUGAAAUUACGCUUUGUACAUUUGCUAAGAAGUUAGUGGAGCCUAUGUGGUUAACCGACACACUAAAUGGUUUCUAAGCAAAGGUAGCAAAGUGUGACUCAAUGUUUGUCAUAGUUCGGUGGAGCAUGUGUGGUUAACCGGCACAUCGAAUAGAUGACUGUAACAUUGAGGGCACCAUGUAAGUUUCCAUGGUUAUUCACACCCUAUUUUGUGAUCCUCGGCAUCCCAAUCACAAAUUGAGGGGCAUAUCGAGAUUUAAACAUGCCAUUGAAAAGUUCAACUAACCUUAAAGGAUCUAGUAGUCUUCAAUACAUUUAAAACUUAAUCUCUUUUUCGUUUUUCAUGGUGGAAAAUUAGUGAAUCGUCAUUCACUUACCUUCAAAUGUUCUGCAAUUUGAGUUAUGGUAUCCCUCUCCUAAGUUGUAGAUUAUUGUGUUGGGUCCUAGCCUUAAUAUCUCAUUUGGGUGUUUUAUUAAGGACUCAAUCAAUCAACUAACUUGAUUUUUUCUCCAGUUUUGUAGAUGUCAAAGUAUGAAAACUAUGGUCGUACCAAAUCCCGUGGAACAAGCUUUCCACAUGAAGAUGAUAUUCCACAAUUCGAUCAAGAAAAACAAGAUCAUGCUUCACUUCCUCCACCUUCUCCUAUUGCUCUCCCUAACCCACAAGCUUAAAGGCCUGAAAACUUCAAGCACACUCAAGCCCUUUUGGCAAGUAAACAUGAAGAAGGAAAGUCAGUGUGUGCACACGUCUUAGAGAUGAAGUUACACAUUCAUAGGUGAAGAAUGUUGGGAGUCAAUGUCUGUAAGAAGUUGGCUGUUGACUAGGUUCUUCAGUCGCUUCCUGGCUCAUCUAGUGAGUUCGUAAGAUAGUACUAUAUGAUAGACCACAUCGUCACCGUCCUCGAUCUCACCUAUUUGCUUGUUGCUAUUGAAUCAGCAAUGAUUUGGCGCACUGGAGAAGCAAAGUUGUUUGGUGGAUGUAACACUCGUGUUUCUAGCCUAUGCAUUGAUAUUAAGGUGAUAUUCUAGGUUAACCUUUGUAACUCAUUUUGAAGAAAUGAAAAAGGAAUUAUGUGAAUUCUAAGUGUUUUAUGUGUUUUAUGCUUAAUUACCAAGGCUUAAUUAAUUAAGAAUAAAAAUAAGCGUCAAAAUUAAAGUGUGAGAUAAGCCCGAUAUCUUUACAUAAAGUUGUAGUGGUCGAAACAAGGAUUACAGAGAUAUAAAAAAUACCAAAAUCCGAGUUAUAACGAAGAAGUUAUGACCUGUCGAAGUUUCGCGACAAAACUGGCACGGUGCUGACACUACUUUUUAGCCUUAGUGAUCUAAAAGAAAGUCGUAGUAUUCGUUAAACCGAGAAGUUCGAUAAAAAGAACGCCUAAAUCUAACUUCGUAUGAGGAAGUUAUGAUUUUUCGAAGUUUCAGCUUAGCAGUAGAAAGCUAAAAACUCAAAUUUUAGAUCGAACGAUUUUUAGCCGACACAACCUAAAUGAGAAUCGAAGGGCUCGUCAUUAGUAUCACAACGGUAAAAAAUCUGAUGAAAAUGGACGCCGGAUGAAGAAGUUAUGAAUUUUUAACGGAUUUCCUGUCCCGGUCUAUUAAAAAAUAAUAAUAUAAAAAUAAAAUUCAAAAUUAGCCGAUGAUGUCUAAACGAAAGUUGUAGAGCGUAAUUUUACUUACACAUGCAUAUAAAGAAUGUCAAAGACGGAGCUCGUAUGCGAAAGCUAUGGAUUUUAGAUGUUUUUGCACAAAAACCAAGAAAUCUUGCAUACGUGGACUUCGGCCACGUCACCCUCGCUCAAAACGUGCCACGUGUCCAAAAAUGUUGUUGAGUCAUUCGAGCUGCUGAGUCAUCCGAGCAACUGGCCUUAUCCAAAGUGGUCCAAUAGCGGUGCGACACGUACCCUCUUAGCACAUGGUCGAGCCCUCGCAAGCUGCUACGAACCCACCCUACUUUGGACCUAGACCUCGGUCCAAUCACACACUGACAGCGAGCCCCUCGCAAGCGCAGACCAUGUGCGAGCGAUGUGCGAGCAACCCCUUUGUGAGCUUCCGGGUCUGUGACGCGUGUCUUCCCUCCUGACCGUCCGAUCAGAAGCCUUGCCCCAAUAAAUAGAAGGGUGCGAGACCUCCCAGGUAACUUUGGAAAUUUGUGACUUUUCACCCUAAAUCUCAUAUUUCUUUCAUAUUAACAUCACCCAAAGCCCCGGUAUUGAUUAUAAGCCCCGAAAUAUGACAGGAAGCGCCCGAGAAGCCCGGAAAAUUUAUCUUUUCGGUUUCAAAGCCUGACCUUUGCAGAGCCCGGUUUCUCAAUAAAACUCCCGGUUUUAUUAGAAACGAUCGUUUUAGGAAACGAAUUCCUGCCCGAUUAUCAUCAAAUCAUGUGAGUGUGUAGUCGCUUUCAUCUUACACCCAGAUAUGAAGUAUUUCCUAUAAAAUACAUGCUAUUUGUAAUUAAAUUAAGUGUUUAUUUGAGGUGACUGUUGAGUAAAUGUUUUAUACAUGUUUUAAACUGUAUAUGUAUUUUAUCUACAAAAUAUGUUGGGUAGAACAUGGGUAGAUGAAAUAGUUGAUGUGUGUUAAAAUGGUGAGAGGCCUCGAUGUUGUUGUUGUUGUUGUAGUCAUCUAGCAUAAUAUAGAUGACGACCACAGUCUUUUCUAGACAGUCCAGUGGAACACUAGCAGGUUCGCAACCUGUAGGUGUUGAUGAAUUAAAUGUUCAUUGGCGUACUCCAUCCCCCUCAUGGUUAGCUUUAGGACAUGUAUCGCUGAGCAGACCCCUUAGCAGUAGUGUCCAUCCCGAUGAUAUUCCUUAGGCUAGGUCCCUUAUAAUAGGUGUUUAGGGACGUAAAGUGAGGCCAACAGGAAUGGGUAAUCAGGGUUAUUGUUGAUUGGUGAACUUAAUAAGUAUAUUAUUAUUGUGGGUUGAAAACCCUAUAUGCUCACCACGCUCCCAAGCCUGACCCACUCAGUUUUGCUGAUUAUAGGUAGUGACCUCGAGCAUAGUCAGAGGAAGAUGAGAGAUUCUUGAUUAUAAGUCAGUAGUUGUAAAUAACUAUUGAAAGACUUAUAAAAUCUUGUUUAUGCUUUUGAUCUUUAUCAGAACAUGACAUCCCGAGGUUUUGAUAUGAAAUGAAACUAUACAUUUCUUAAAGAAAGGUUUUGAUAAAAUUUUAUCAUGUUUGGUUUUGGGGACCAAUUCCGCAACAUCUUUUAAAAAGAUUUCUCUAAUUUUCUUUUAAAAAGCAUAAAUUAAAUCGUUCUUUUCUGGCUGAGAAUUUAGGGGAUGUCACAGUGGAUCUGGCUUCCAAACCUCUAUGGACAUAGGCAAUGGCAACGAAAGGCAUGCCACGGUCACAAAGUUUGAUCAUAAGAAACAGGGAAAGUUUGAAGUAGUUUCGUGUGCUGUUCCAAAAGUGUCAAUUUGCUUUUAUUGCCAACAGAAGGGGCAUUGGAGACGAAGCUGCCAUAUCUAACUAAGAGAUCUAAGAGAUAGGAGAGUCAAGACGUAUGGCUCCACUUCAGGUAAAAUCCAUUAACUAACUCUGUAAGUUCCCAUUUUUUGAUUCUUGAUAUAUUAUGUGAUAUGAUUGCAUUUUUUUAUGUUUUGUAGAAUCGAAGAAAAGAAAGAAAGCUUAAAGGAAGAAGUGACCCGAGUAAGAUCGCAAAGAAAUGGAUUUCGAUCGCUUGGAUUCAAAGAUCGGAUUUUUGAGCUGCUGCUUUUGAGUUAGGAUAGUUUGCUAAGAAAUGUAAUAAUAUAGUUUUUCAAUUGAGUUGUGUUGUAAGGACAAAAUUUUUCCGCAAGAAAAUAAAUUUUUAUUUUGUUUUAUUUAUUUAUGCUUGGAAUGACAUGUAUAAAAAAUUAAUGUUUGUGUAUUUCUAUUAUUAGCAAUGUUGAAAUGGAUGUGAUUCUUAGUUAUGUUAUUUAUGGUAGUGUCAUAAUUUUCUAAGUAAGGAAGGAUUCGCAUCGCCUAGGUUUCAAUUGGACAAAAACUUUGAAUCAUACAACAUAUAUUGUGUGAUGUAUGGAGAUCUUGGUACUUAGGUAAUUAAGAAUAAAUCCUUGUUCACACAAGUAUGUGAGUCAACUGAAGGACUAAAGGAGCUAGUACACAAUGUUGUGCACUAGUCAAGUCCACCAUAAAUAAUAAUAACGUUAUUGGUCAUGAUUUACUAAAGGUUUAGUAAAUGUGGUUAUACUUACAAUAUUAAGUGUAAUUCUGAAUCAUUGAAAAGUUUCAAUGAAUGACAGAACGAAUAAGUAGAAUCGAUAAAGGUAGAAAGAUAAAAAGUUUCUCCAAUCUAAGCAGAAGGGAGAGUACUUUUGUAUCGUGUUUUGUGGUCAUCUUGGUAAUCGUAGGAACCAUAUUACAAUUCAUCCUCUAAGAACACCUUAGUUCACUAGUUUUGCUAAGAGGAGGAAUCGAGAAUUGUUGUAGUGGUUAAGUCAAUAAGAUGUAUCGUACUUCGUUCCAAAAUCAAGUCUUAGAGUCAUACUCCAAGAUUAUGACUUGAGUGAGAUAAUCUUAAGUAGGAAUGUUCUUACAAUUGCACAUUUUGGUAAGUUGUGAUGUCUUGAAUAAGACAAAGACAAACUAGUAUCGAAUUACGUGUAGGUUUUGUCUUGAUAUAGACACACACUAACUCUUGGAUACAUGAUUUUGUCAAGAAAUGUUUCUUGAUAAGAGAAUCCAAUAUAUCAAGAGGUUAGUGGGAGUCUGUAACGACGUGCAAAUUUAAAACAAUUUUUCAUUUUUCAAAUAUAACAUUUCUCAUAUAAAUCAUCUCAAACACAAGUGUAUCAAAUUUUAUCACGGUAAAACAUAUCCCAGAAUCCCAAAUACAAGAUCCCAUGUCAGUGUGUACAAAUCAUGACGGCGCCUACCCGCAAUACUCACUAGUAUCUGAAACGCAUAUCACAUAACACGGUAAGCAUAAUUGCUUAGUGAGUUCCCCAAAAAUUCUACAUACAACACAUAAGCUACUUGAGGCUAUAGCUCUACGAGACCUUCCGGUCAAUGUGUCUCAGGGGCCUUCCGGUCCCACAAUCUAAGUAUACCUUCCAGUCCUACGCUGUUGACCUUCCGGUCCAUACCAUAUUCAAUUUUCGGUCCAUCCAUUGCUGACCUUCCGGUCCAUACCAUACUACUCAUAACAUACAUAACAUAUACAUAUCACAUAGAAACAUAUAUCACAUACUCGUCAUAGCACAUAAUACCUUCCGAUCACGCAUAAUUACCAUCCUAGGUGAAGUAUAGUGAGAAGACUCACCUCGUAUGAUGUCUAAUAACACACAUGAUCGAAUCCCUGAACUCGAAACAAUGACCUAGCCCCCGCCUAAUUACAUAAAGUAAUUAUCUAAAAUAAAUAAUGGCUCUCAAGGCUAGAACAAUCCCUCCCCAUGUUCUUUCAGAAGGCGAAAAGACCAUUUUACCCCUCUAAUGGUCCAAAAGUCCACACGUUGACCAAACCCUAAAAGUCAACAAAAGUCAACUGUAGGGAGUUACACUGCGCACACCAACUCUGUAGGCGGGGCGUACUCCACCGUCAUCCAGAAUCGGGGUACUCGACCCCCUACGCGGCGCGUAUUAAAAUUACGCCCAGUGUAAUGCCCAGUUUCAUUCUUUCGUGAUUUUUGGUCUGUAUAGAUUAAGAUACAAGCUGAUAUCUUAGAUCCAGGCACUCUACUGUGUCCUAACCCGUAACGUCGAAACCUUUAAGCCUCACCAAUCACUUCAAACACAUAUCCUCUUUCCCCAUUAAGCCCUAAUCUCAUGCAUGACUUAGUUUUAAAGUCCAUGGAGCUCCUUCGCUCAAAAAGUCUCCACCUUUGGGACUUAAACCCUAAAAAUGCUCCUGUAUGAUGUUCAUAACAAAAGAGUGGUAAAGUUUGAAGCUUUUUACCUUUGUGAGAAGCUCUCCUCUCUUCUUAUUUCAUAAGCACACAAAGACACUUUCAAGCUCAAAAACACACACACACACACAAGUUUAGAACGAAUGUUUAGCACCUUUAAGGUUUCACUCACUGGAAAUUGUGGCACGGAUGGAGACCAUAGCAUUCCUUUUAUAGUGCACAAGUCUCAUUUAGGGUUUCGUGACUGAGCCCAGUACGCCCAGCAUACUGGGUAGCAUCCGCGUCAAGAUCACGCUCAUGAGUACGCGCAUCGUACUCUUUAGUACGCCCAACGUACUCAUUUGCUACCAUUUUCUUCCAUUGGUUGGUUUUGACAACUUUGGAAAAGAAGAGGGAUUAAAUAGUUAUACCUGAUUUCUGCAUGUUACAAUUCUCCCCCACUAGGAUCAGACUUCGCCCUCGAAGUCUCACUCUGCAAAUAACUUUGGAUGCUGCUCCCAUGUCUCCGACUCCGACUCCUAAGUUAGCUUGGACCUUAUCCGAUGUUGCCACUGGACCUGAACCAGAGGCACCUCCUUUUUCCUCAGAACCUUGAUCUUCUGAUCCAAGAUCGUGAUCAGCCUUUCAAUGUAAUUUAGGCUCGCAUCCACCUGAAUAUCCUCUAGUGGCACUAUCGCUGUCUCAUCGGCUAUACACUUCCUCAACUAGGAUACGUGGAAGGUAUCAUGGAUCUGACUCACUCCUCGGGUAGCUCUAAACGGUAUGCUACCUUGCCCACUUUAGCGAUCAACCUAAAAGGACCAAUGUAUCGGGGCCCUAGCUUGCCCCUCUUCCUGAACCAGAUCACUCCUUUCCAAGGAGAUACCUUCAAGAGUACAUAGUCUCCACCCUGGAACUCGAGCUCAGAUCGUCGCCUAUCUGCAUAACGCUUCUGGUGACUCUUGGUCGUCAUUAACCUCUUUCUGACCUACUGAAUCUGCUUCGUCAUCUUAAGCACUAUCUUAGUGCUACCCAUCACUCGUUGCCCUACCUCUCCCCAACGGAUGGGGGUUCGACACCUCCUCCCAUAUAAAAGCUCAAAGGGAGGCAUACCAAUACUUGAAUGGUGGUUGUUGUAAGAAAAAUCAGCCAAUGGUAGGUAUGUAUCCUAACUUCCACCGAAGUCCAUGACACAUGCUCGAGCCAUGUCCUCAAGCGUCUGAAUUGUCUGCUCACUCUGUACGUCCGUCUAAGGGUGGUAAGCAGUACUGAAGUACGAUCUCGUAUCCAACUCCUCAUGGAACUUCUUCCAGAACCUGGAAGUGAAAUGUACAUCUCGGUUUGACAUAAUCGAGAUCGGCACUCCAUGCCCUGACACGACCUCUCUCACAUAUAUCUCUGCCAGUCUCUCUGCAGAACAGCUCUCAUUGAUAGCAAGGAAGUGAGCGCUCUUCGUCAACCAAUCCACAAUCACCCAAAUCGCAUCAACAACCCUCGCGGUCCUCGGCAAUUUGGUGAUGAAAUCCAUAUAAAUAUGUUCCCACUUCCACUGGGGAACCUCUAGCGGCUACAACUUGCCAUGCCGACGCUGGUCCUCGGCCUUGACAUGCGACUGGUCAAGCACCUCUCUACAACCUACGCAACAUCCCUCUUCAUACAGGGCCAUAAAUCAUCUCUCUUCAGGUCCAAAUACAUCUUAGCGGCCCUGGGAUGGAUCGAGAACAUCGAUCUGUGUGCCUCCUCCAUCAAUAUGCUACGUGCCCCGCCCAUAAACGGCACCCAAAUCCAACUGUGAAUGGUCAUAAGCCCUCGGCUAUCCGUAACAAGGUUGGACACCUGCCUAAUCACUAGCUCUCUCUUGUGGUUCUCCGGUCUCACAACCUCUGCCUGGGCCUCUCAAAUGGUAUCCAAUACCAGAGUCAUCACCGUCAUCUUCAUGCAUAUAUCUCGAAUCAGGGCACUCUCCACCCUGCGGCUCAGAGCAUCGGCUACCACAUUAGCCUUGCCCGGGUAGUACAUGAUCUCAUAGUCAUAAUCCUUUACAACAUCUAACCAUCUCCUCUGGUACGUGUUCAGGUUAGGUUAUUCAUCAGAUACUUCAGACCCUUGCGGUCCAUGUAUAUGGUACACCGAACCAUAUAGAAAUAAUGGCUCCAUAUCUUAGGGCGAACAAUACAAUCCCCAACUCCAAAUCGUGGGUGGGAUACCUCAUCUCAUGGGGCUUCAACGGCAUCGCUGUGUAUGCUAUCACAUGCCCUCUCUACAUAAGCACCGCACCCAACCCUGAUAUAGACGCGUGACAGUACACCACAAAAUCCUACAUUCCCUCCGGAAGGGCUAACACUGGGGCUUCACAUAAUCUCUGGUGAAGAGUCUCAUACGAGGUCUGCAGCUCGGGACACCAAGAAAAAGCAACGCCCUUCUAGGUCAAUCUGGUGUGGGGAAUGACAAUCUUGGAGAAAUCCCUGAUAAAUCUUCAAUAGUUGUCGGCCAACCCCAGAAAACUCCUGAUCUCGAUGGGGGAUCUCUUCACCUCCCAUCUCAUAAUAGCCUCAAUCUUGGCCGGAUCCACCAAUAUCCUAUUCUAAUUAACGAGAUAUCCCAAGAGCUGGACCUCCCAUAACAAGAAAUCACACUUGGAGAAUUUGGCAUAAAGCCUCUCCGAUCUCAAUACUCCAAGAAUCUCCCUCAGAUGCUCCUCAUGUUGCUCUCUGGAUCUCUAAUACACUAGAAUAUCGUUGAUGAACACAAUCACUGGUCGAUCCAACAUCAACUUGCAUACUCGGUUCAUGAGAUAAAUGAACGUUGUUGGUGCAUCGGUGAGCACAAAAAGGCAUCACCAUGAACUCGUAAUGCCCAUAACGAGUCCAAAAUGCCGUCUUCUAAAUAUAAUCAUCCCGCACUCUCAUCUGGUGAUAUCCAGACCUCAAGUCUAUCUUGGAGAACCAAGAAGCUCCCUGCAACUUAUCGAACAGAUCAUCGAUCCUCGGUAGCGGAUAACGGUUCUUGACCGUCAACUUGUUCAACUCCCGGUAAUUGAUGCACAACCAGUGUGAACCAUCCUUUUUCUGGACAAAAAGGAUCAGCGCUCCCCACGGCGAGCUACUCGGUCGAAUGAAUUCCUUCCGCAACAGCUCCUGAAGCUGUGAGGAUAACUCCUGCAUCUCUGGUGGCGUAUGGCGAUAUGGUGCCUUGGCAAUAGGCGCCGCCCACGGAACCAAAUCGAUGCGAAACUCCACCUGCCUCUCGGGAGGCACACCCAAAAACUCAUCGGGGAAAGCAUCCGGAAACUCUCGCACUAUUGAAACUUCAAUGACAUAACUCGGCCUCUCUACAGCAACAUGAGUAUCCAUCACAUAGGCUACAAACCCUCUAUAGCCCUGCUGUAGAAACUGCCUCACUCGGGCAACCGAGAAAAAUGUUGACCUAGAUCAGGUACCCUCACCAUACACCAUAAGUACUUUCCUACUAGGGUCUCGUAUAGUCACCAACUGACGCUCGCAGUCCAUAACAGCUCCGAAUCGGCUCAACCAAUCCAUGCCCACGAUAACACAGACAGCCCCCAUCACAAUCGGUACCAAAUCUAUCGGGAACUCAACAGCAAAAAUCUCGAGUACACAUCCUCGAAUUUCAUCAGUAGCAAAAACCACUCGCUCAUCAUCUUUAGAAACCCGCAGAGGUUGACUCAACACCUCUCGUCGGGUACUGAUGUGCUGACUAAACGCUAAUGACAAGAAAGGUCGACUCGCACCCAAGUCAAAUAACACCAAAGUAGGUACAAAAUUCACAAGAAAAAUACCUAAACAUAUCACAUAUAAGAACCAUAUAUAUAAACAAAAGAAUAAUCAUAAGAUGACAUACCAGCCACAACAUCAGGUGUUGUGCGGACCUCCUCCACAGUCAACUAGAAGGCUCUGCCGCGAGCCUUUGGCUCCUCGGCCUUCACGGGCCGACACUCCGUAGCUCGAGCGGAAGAAGGCGCAGAUCCCUGCACUGAUCCCUAAAUCAACUGCGGGCACUCGACAUUGCUAUGGCCAGUCUGGUUGCAAUGAAAGCAAAACUAGAAUCCCUUGGGGAAAUCCAUGGCUAUAUGCCCCUCCUUGCCACAUUUGUAGCAAGCACCUGCUCGAAAAACUCCAUCAUGUCCCUUACCGCACUUCCUACAAGUGCGACCGUUCUGGCCUCCAGAUCUCGUAUCGGCAGGCUUUGCUGUUGGCUGCCGGCUGAGACUGCAUCGGCCGCCUGUCCCUCCUCUGAGACUCGGCCUCCUCCCUGGCCUGAGUCUCUAUCUCAAUUUCCCUCUUCUAAGCAUUUUCUUGGAGCUCGGAAAAUUCUCGGUACACUGAGUUCGCCACGAACUCCCGAAUGUCCCUCCUCAGUAUGGUCAAUAUUGACUCAUGCAUGCCUACUCGGUAGACACGUGCUCAGGGAAAAACAAUACCCUAUCAUGAUACAUCUGCGUGAUAAGCGUCACAGACUCCGUCCCUUGCUUAAGGGACAAUAACUCCUAGGAAAAACUUUCCCACUCCACCGGGGGAACAUACUCGUCCUUGAACAUAGUGGUGAAGCUCUCCCAUGUCACCGCGGUAAGUUCUACAUGAGUAAAAUCUGCCGUCACAAACUUCCACCAGUCCUUCACUCCGAAGCGAAGCUGGUUCAGCGCAAACCGUACUCUCAAAUGUUCCGGACAACAACAAGUGUAGAAACAUCCCUCAAUGUCAGAGAUCCACCUCAUCACAGCUAUCGGAUCAUGUGUCUAUUCAAACUCUGGUGGCUUCCUGUUGCUGAACUCUUGGUACAACAACGAGUCACCCCCUUGCGGCCUAGCAGCAGCAGCAGCCUUCAUUAGAGCAUCGUAUCGCUCGUCGAAUGUCUCAAUCAGCAUGGUCUUGGUAGAACCAAGCAUCUCUAAAAUCUUUGCCCGUAUGGCUGUGGCCACCUCCUCGUGGAUCAUCCUACGGAUCUCCUCAUCGCUAGUACCACUGGUACCACUGCCUCCUGGGUUUUGGCAUGUCCCUACCAUGAUGCCUCUGAAAUAUGAAAUAAAAUAACUAGAGACUCGACCGAGAUUACUCACACUCGAUCAACCAUUCCUAUUUGUUCCUUAGCAACCUAAGGAUUCUUACUUAAAAUGUUUACUGAUGUUUCUUCCGAGGAUGCGGUAAGCAGUGACGUCUCAUACGCCCUGUACGCCCCGCGUACGCGAGGCCUCUCAGCCCCUAUAAAAGGGAUGCGAGGGUUUCCGGAAAUUUUGCUCAUUCUCUCUCUAUUUUCUUGCGUUUUGCCUCAUUUUCCGUGCCCGUUCAAACCCGAAGCCCUGGUCAUUUUGCUCAAGUCCCGAAGGUCGAUUUUACUCCUGAGAAUCCCGAGAAAAAUCCGUUUCUCGAGAUGAAACUCUGCCCGGUUUUCCAUCUCGCUAUCUUCAAACUUCCAAGUGAGUUCAUACCCCUACAAACACACUUUAAAUACGUUUUUAAAUGCUUUUUAUACUCUUUUAGGGGGGGGGGGAAUACAAGUAAACACACGACUAAAAUCGUGUGAAACAUCGAUCUUUUGAUAUACUUUUCAUACUGUCGUUUUAGCUAUCGUAGGAAGUUAUUUUCAUGCAAAACACCUCACAACACAACUUUACCCUCUUGGGAUACAAUACGUUUUAUAGAUAGAAAUAUGUUUUAUUUAUACGUUUACAUACAAAUACAUCAUAUCAAGGGUAACAUUCUUUACUAAAUCAUUUUAUGCAUUCAAAGAACAUAUUAUUUAUGCUUUGUCAAACAUUGUGAGAAGGAUAAACUAUGCAUACAAAACUAUUACUUUAAUACAGACUUAGUUGAGAAUCCGUGAGACGUGUACGUCUUCAAAUACUGCCUUUUUAUUAGAAAGUAUCGCUACAAGUCAUGUCUAUAACCAGAGUCUCCCGUUCGGAGAACGUGUCAAAUGUGUAUAGAUCUAUACGGGAAGUCAUGAUCUCGCGCCCUGACUGUUAAGCUAAAGUCCUUCCUUUGGGGUGACAGUUGUCAUAACGAUACGACGCCUGAAGAACGUUGCAACAGGCAUAUUAUGUUUAGUAUGGUUAUAAAACUCAUCGGAUAUACAAUUAUUAUAGUGUUAUGUUUUUAUGAACGAGUAGCUAUUAAAUAUAUUCUUCAUCUAACAAGUGCGAUCUUCGUAUAGCUUUAUUAUAUAAAACUAUGACACAACUUUCAAGCACGUCGGUUGCUUGCGAUUUUCGGUCUUAGAGGCUGCCAGUUAUGUUAGGAAAAUAAGGGUUUUUCCUAGAUACAAACCAAACAACUAAUAGGAAAAUAAGGGAUUUUCCUGGUGCAAUUACUUACAACUUAUGACACGAACAUUCAUAUGCAUUUCAUACUUUUAUAAGAAAAUAAGGGUUUUUCUUGGAAAACACAACAAUUCAUAUCUCAACCAUUAGGGAAAAUAUGGGAUUUUCUGGAUCUAAUACAUUCAUUUUCAACACAACAAAUCAUAACUCUUUACAUUUGAAACACUGCGUUUUUCUGGAAAACAUACACGAACUUUCGAAUGGCGUACAUUUUCUCAAAACACUACUUAUGAACUCACCAACUUAAUUGUUGACACUUUUUCUUUGAAAUAACUUGUAUUCUCAGGGAACCGCUAAGCAGAUUUGGAAAUCAACUUUUGGAGAUUAACGUGCUGACGUUAAUUACUUCUUUUGAAGGAUGUUUAUGUAUUUAACUUUUGAACAUGUAACGAAUACAACUAUGUAAACAUUUUGGAAACUUUAAUAUAUAUGGUGGUGUGUACUUUCCUUUCUAUGAACUGUUAUGAUACUGAAUAUGACGUCCUCCGCCCCNCCCCCCCCGAACGUUUCCGUCGUUCUGGUUUGGGGGUGUGACAGCAUAUCUUAUAAUAUCUCAUAAUACAUAAUUUAAGGGUACUUUGGGAAAUCACCAUUCAGGCACUGACUGAUCGUACAUACUGCUCCUUUUUGCUUUUUCUCAAAAUCUUUUACUCUUCUAAGAAAAAUUGUUUCUUUUAUGAAAAAAAUUUUCUCAAAUCCUCAGUUUGAGUUCAGCUAUGCCCGAAGGUGCACCCGAAUCCCUCAAACCAUGGCUCUGAUACCAACUUGUAACGACGUGAAAAUUUAAAACACUUUUUCAUUUUUCAAACAUAACAUUUCUGAUAUAAAUCGUCUCCAACACAUGUGUAUCAAAUGUUAUCACGGUAAAACAUUUCCUAGAAUCCCAAAUACAAAAUCCUAUGUCAGUGUGUACAAAUCAUGUCGGCGCCUUCCCGUGAUCCUCGCUAGUACUUGAAACACAUAUGACAUAACACGGUAAGCAUAGAUGCUUAGUGAGUUCCCAAAAUACUACAUAGAGCACAUAAGCCACUCGAGGCUAUAGCUCUACAAGACCUUCCGGUCAAUGUGUCUCAGGGGUCUCGGUCCCACAAUCAGAGUAGACCUUCGGAUCCUACUAUUUUGACUUUCCGGUCCAUACCAAAUUGACCUUCCGGUCCAUCCACUGUUGGCCUUCCGGUCCAUACCUUAUUAACCUUCCGGUCCAUACCAUACUACUCAUAAAAUACAUAAGAUAUACAUUUCACAUAGAAACAAAUAUCACAUACUCGUCAGAGCACAUAAGACCUUCUGGUCACACAUAAUUACCAUCCUAGGUAAGGUAUAGUGAGAAGACUCACCUGAUACGAUGUCUAGUAACUCACGUGCUCGAAUCCCCGAUCUCGAAACAAUGACCUAGUCCCCGCCUAAUUACAUAAAGUAAUUGUCUCAAAUAUAUAAUGGCUCUCAAGGCUAGUCCAAUCCCUCCCCAUUUUCUUUCAGAAGGCUAAAAGACGAUUUUACCCCUCUAAUGGUUCAAACGUCCACACCUUGACCAAACCCUAAAAGUCAAUGAAAGUCAACUAUAGGGAGUUACGGUACGCAUACUAGGUCUGUACGCGGGGCGUACUCCACGGUCAUCCCAAAUCGGGGUACUCGACCCCUUACGCGGCACGUACUGGGAUUACGCCCAGCGUAAUGCGUAGUUUCAUUCUAUCAUGAUUUUUGGUCUGAAUAGAUAAAGACAUAACCUUAUAUCUUAGAUCUAGGCUUUGCAUGGCUGUAAAGGUCACUAAUCACUUCAAAUAGAUAUCCUCUUUCACCAUUAAACCCUAAUCUCAUGCAUGACUUUGUCUUAACGUCUAACAUUAGAUUUUUAUGGAUCUACAACACAAAAUACACUGAAAUGGGGUAGAUCAAGGUCCAUGGAGUUCCUUUGCUAAAAAAGUCUCCACCGUUGGGAGUUAAACCCAAAAAAUGCUCCUAUAUGUUGUUCAUAACAAUAGAAUGGUAAAGUUUGAAGCUUUUUACCUUUGUGAGAAGCUCCCCACUCAAUUUAGCUCAAACCUAGAAGAUUGGACUCCAAUCCUUCCUCUCCAAGGCCCUAUCUUCUUCUUCAUAAGGACAAAAGAAACUUUCAAGCUCAAAAGCACACACACACAAGUUUAGAACGAAGGUUUAGCUCCUUUAGGGUUUCACUCACUAGAAAUGGUGUCUGGGAUGGAGACCAUAACAUUCCUUUUAAUCUGCACAAGUCUCAUUUAGUGUUUCAUGAUUGAGCUCAGUACGCCCAACGUACACUAUGGUACGCCCAGUGUACUAGGUAGCAUCUACAUCAAGAUCACGCUCAUGAGUACGCGUAACAUACUCUUCAGUACGCCCAACGUACUCAUUUGCUACCAUUUCCUUCUAUGGGCUGGUUUUGACAACUUUCGAAAAGAAGGGGGAUUAAAUAGUUAUACCUAAUUUCUAAAUGUUAUAGAGUCUAAAGGUCUUGAAAAGUUUUAAGAACAAAUCAAGAAGUAAAUCUAUUAGACACUAGCACAUGACUUGAGGUUUGUAACCUAUCGUGUUGACAAAAUUUUAUUUUUGUGCCAAUCCAAUUGAGUGAUUAUGCAUAUGAGUUCUACGAGUUUUCAAUAGACUGCAUAAGGCAAGCACCUUGUUCAAUGAAAGUACAUUGACUGGCAUAGGUGAGCUGCUAAAUAACUUGGAAGCAAUCGUAGGACCAUUGAUGGCAAGAAAUUAAGAAUGAACAAGUUAUGUCCAUAAUAGUUUGGAUUUGUCACAAACAUUAUCUUAUGUUUAUGAUUAUGAAAAAUCCACAUGGAUAGGAACAGAUGCACCAUAAAAUCUAAGUGUCAUAAGGUUUCUCUCCUUCAUGAAAAUGAUUGUGAAGAAACGCUUUCACUAAGAGAGAUUUCAAGGAGAUAGCGAUUAUGUAAAUUGCAUUCUAAAAUUAGAUUAUGAUUAUAGCAUCCAUUUUCAUAGUUCGAAUUGUGAGAUUUGGCAAUUAUUCUAAACAUUUGGGACUUAGUAAUAUAUGUUCUGAAUUAGCUUAGACACACAUGUGAGUUGUCUAAGGAAAGGUGUGUGAUUUUGAGAAGCUUAGAUAAAGGCUUAUCGAAGCACAUCGUAUUGGAAAUACGAACCUUGGAAGUCAACAAGUAUUGUCUUUUAGAAGUCCAACUAUUUUCUAAAUAUGUGUCAAAGCUAGUGGGAGUAUAAAUGUUAUGUUGGAAUGGAUAUAAUCAUCAUGUUAGUGGGAGCAUGAUUAUUGUUUAAGUAUUGAAAGUUGGCAAUAUUAAUUAUAGAAAAACAAAAGUUUCAAUUUGCAUAUUUGCAGGGGUUGAAAAGUUGUUUUUUUGCUAUAAUUAAGGGAGAGAAUGUUAUACUUCGUUUCUAAUCUAAAAGCUUAGAUCGAGAAAUUUUAAUUAAAUCUAGUCAAUGAUAUAGUUAUUAUUUGCAUUCUCAAAGUUCGAUUAUCAUUAUGACAUUCCUCUUCAUAGUUCGAAUUUUGAGACACGACAAAUAGAAAUAUUAUGACAAUAUUAUAGCAAGAAACUAGUAAAGUGUCACACCCCCGAACCAGACGAUGGAAAUGUCUGAGGGCUUGUGCGUGACUUCAUCUUGAAAUAUCAUUACAGUGAAUAUAAUUGAAACAUAACAUCAUCAUCAUCACACAUGUAAUAUAACAACAUUCAUUGUUUACAUGGAGUAUUGUAUUUGAAUAUUACAUGCCAAAAUAGUAAGAGUAUGAUGAAACAAAAUAUAACACAAUAUCCAUUAGUUUGUUUCGUUCAUCCUACUUCAACGGUUUCCUGAGAAUACAAGUUAUUUUGAAAAACAAUAAACAUAAAAAUGUUGGUGAGUUCAUAAGCAUGUUUGUGAAAAUGAUUUGUAUAACUUUGAAAACCACUAGAAAAUCUGAUAUUUUCUGAAAACUAUUUAGUGUGUUUGUGUUAGAUCUUGUGUUAAUGCAUGUAUGUUAUUGUUAUUUGAAGGUAAAGAGAAUGUAGAGAGAUUGUAAGAGUAUGUAAAGAGAAUGUUCCCAGACAACCCGAUGUUGCCUGCAAAAAAAAGGUCUUCUGUAAACUUCAUAACAUUAAUUCCUCUAAGCGAGCCAUCAUAACCAUACUAAAUAAUGACAAUUUCACCUGUCUUGGCGUCGAUGGACGCCGGUUUUGACUUUGAUUAUAAGGUUUUUGUCACCCUAGACUGAGUUAGUCUAACUGUAGCGAACAGCUCAGGUGUGGGGUACCAUCCCCGUAUAGAUCUAUACACAAAUCCUCGUUCUCCCUCCAAGAGACUUUGGUUAUAACUAAAGGCUACGAUCGUACACUUAAUAGGUGCCAACCGACAAAAACUCACUACAUCCUUAAUCGAUUUUACACGAAGAAAAAAGGUAUAAACUCCUUCCAGGCCCAAUUAUCCAUGUAAGUGAACCACUAAGGCAUCGCUAAACAUGUAAAUCAUUUCAAGAACCAAAUGGAAUGAGAUUAUAUAACAUGGGCCCAAAAUAUAUAUGAAAGGACAACCAAGGCCCAUUUCACAUGUAAAGUAUUUAUAGGCCCAAAUAGCACACUAAUAGUAUCCAAGGUCCGUCGCACAUGUUAAUGGGUCAAUGAGGCGCAAUAAUCAUAUACAGGACCUCUCACAGAUAAACAUGGGCGACUAAAGCCCAAUAACCUAGAAAAUGAUCAAAUUAAUCCGUUUAUUGGUUUAUCGUUGGUUUUGGUUCAAGUAUUCACUAAAAUAUCAAAAGGAAGAAAAACACAUAUAAAACUCAUUCCUAGGCCCAAUAAACAUGUAAGUGGACCACUCAGGUCCACUAUACGUGUCUAUUAUUUCCAGGCUCAAAAGGAAUGUGAAUGUCUAUCCUAAGCCCAAUAUACAUGUAAAAGGAAACUAAGGCCCACUAAACACGUAUAUUAUUUCCAGGCCCAAUAAGGAUAUGGAUAUCUAUCCCGAGCCCAAUAUACAUGUAAAAGGACACUAAGGCCCACUAAACAUGUAUAUUAUUUCUAGGCCCAAUAAGGAUAUGAAUAUCAUCUUUAACCCGUUUGUUAUUGUUUUGUUUAUUUAGCUUGAUCAUUUACAUAAUUGAUAUCCAAAGCCAACUUUUUGUAAAAAUGACGUUCUUGGCCUAAUAAGCCAAAAUUUUGCGAUUAAAGCCCAAUUUUGUAAGAAUAACACUUUAGUCUCCAUUUUUGUUCAAAACUUGUGUUGAUGACUAGUAUGUGGUAAAAAUAACAUUUAUAAACUCAUUUUUGUCAAAAAUAUCAUUUUGGUUUGAUUUUUGUGAAAAUGCACAUUUUUCUGGUUUUUGGCUUUUCCGACCUUGUUUUUAGAAAAUUUGUAUAAAACUCAUCGUAAGUCGAAAUUUGGAUCCGUAAAUUCUGGAAGUUUGGAAAUUUUGUCUAGUUUGUUCUCAGUUUUUGUCAUAAUUUUUUAUGGCCCCAAACUAGUGUGAAAUUACUCAUCUUCACAGGUUGGUCCGAAAUUAUUUCAAAUAUGAUAGACAGUUUUGGAAAAUUCGUCAAAAAUUGUAAAAAAAUCGUAUGAAAACGUGAGAGUAGUCAUUUUAAAGUUAUAAAUAUGAAUGUUAUCCAUGUAAAACAGUUGUGAAUAAUCAUUCAAUUUGGAGUGUCAAAACAGUCCGAGAUUGGACCAAAACUUUUCUGUCAAGGUUUGUUUUCUGAGUUUAGUUUAUACAUCUUUGAACAUAACACUUAUUUUUGCUAUAUCAAAUAUAAAAAUCCCAGAUCUACAUUUUUACAUGUAAUACUUGUGAUAAAACAUACUUUUCUCAAGAUUCAUUUGAAGAUCCUAGUGAUAAACUUCAAGUUUCUUAACAUAUUUUUAGAUUAGUGAAGUAAUCAACACAUAAUCACCAAAUGUUUCAAGAAAACACACAUAAUCAUGCAUAUACACAUAGAUCUACACAAUUAAACUUGUAUUCUCCCCCAAAAACAAGUAAAAACCAAAAACAAGGGGGUAUGAACUCACCUUGAGGUUUGCUUCGAUUUUGAUGAAGAGAUAUGAGAAGAUGAUGUUGUUUUUGGACUAGCUUACUUCCUUGAAAAGAUCUUGAAGAUGUGGAUGGUUCUAAGAACAUAAUCCACAAACAUAUGGAUGUAAGAGGAUAUCUUUGAAGAGAUCAAGAAGUUAUAUCAUAGAUCUAAGUGGGAACUUACCAAAGUUGAUGAUUUUGAAUAAGAAUUUCUUGAAGUGUCCUCUAAUUCUCGAAAAUUUAGAGGAGAGUGUUGGAGUGUUCUUGUGAGCUUUCCUUAAGAGAUUUUUAAGUAAAAUAAGUGUGUGGUUGUGAUUUUUGGCUCUGUGGCCGAAUUAAAGAAGAAUAGGAGGGGAAGAGAUGACGCUUGCCUAGAUACAUGUGAAAAUUACAUUGUUGUAUGGUGGUUAUGGUGCAUGGGUGACCACCAUGUAACAUUGAGGUGGCACUUGCAAAAUAAACCACCUUUUCUCCUUUUCUUUUGUAUGCAUAAUGUGGGUUGGGCCGAGAUUUGGUCUAGUAAGAAAGAAAUUGAGGAGAUUUGAGCCUUUACUUGAAUUAUUCGAAUUCAUGAAGCCCAAAAAUAAAUUUUCGGCCCAUUGGGGCAAAUGAAAUCUUUUAUGGCCCAAUAAGGCUCAUUACAGAUAAGAUGGAUUAUUUUAGGCCCACAUGGCCCAAAAUGCUAAAUUUUUAUGAAUGUGGUCCAUUUAGAGCCCAAUUAGGGUUUCUAGGCCCAUGAUAUUCAAAUUGAAGGUUUAUUGGUCCAUUAGGCCCAAUAAGAUAAUUCUAGUUCAUAUUAAACUUGAAUCGGAAUUUUAGAGUUUCAAACUCUUUGUUGAACAUGAAUUCCGAUCCACACUUGGCGCUCCAUCGAACCUUCACAAUCGGAAUGCGGCAUUGUUUUGUACGCUUUACUUCCUUAUCCAAUACAUCAACUGGUUCUUGGAUGAAAAGGAGAUUCUCGUUUACUUCGAACUCUUUCUAAAGGAAUGAUAUGAUUUUUGCCUGAUAGACACUUUUUCAGAUUCGAUACACUGAACAUAGGGUGUACGUUGAUGAGCUCUACAGGCAGCUACAGCCUAUCAAUCUUUGGACCAAUCCGAGCAAGAAUCUCGAACAGUCCAAUGUAUCGCGGGUUUAGUUUUCUCGUUUCCUAAAGCGAAUCAAUCCUUUCUUGGGAAAGAAUUUCAAUCGUACCAAGCCUGCGACUUGGAAUUCCAUAGGUUUUCGUUAUUUGUCAGCAUAACUCUUAUGUCCUUCUCGUGAUGCUUAAAGUUGAGUUCUGAUUUUGGAUUAUCUUCUCUGUCGUUUCGCGAAGGGUUUCUGGUCCCGUGCGGGUAAUGGCGAGUGAUCCGCAUUUUCGACCAUAAAGAGUCUCGAAAAGAGCAUCCUUGAUGCUCAUGCAAUAGCUAUUAUUGUGUGAGAAUUUAAUCAAGGGCAACCGGGUAUCCCAUGACUUGCUGAAUUCAAGCACCCAGACUUGUAGCAUGAAAUUGAGUGGUUGAAUGGUUCAUUUGCUUUGGCUAUUGGUUUGAGGGUGGUAAGCAACGCUCAUACUUAGCUAUGUUCCCAUAGCCUUCUGAAAUGACUGUCAAAGUCUUAUAGAAAUCCUGUUAUCUCGAUCCGAGAUAGUAGAUACCGAUAUUUCAUGGAGUCUCACGAUCUCCUUGAUAUAGAUCCAGGCUAGUCUAUCCAUCUUGUUAGAUUUUUGUAUUGGCAGGAAAUGAGCGGAUUGUGUUAACCUAUGGACGAUCACCCAGAUAACGCAAACUCAACUCUUAUAACAAUAAGCUUCGUCUUUUGACUUUGAGAGUUUUAUCCAUCCAUGUAGUGCUUUCUUCGUGAUAUUAUCCAGCUUUGAUGCUUUCAAGGCUGGUCGUAGAUGCUGACAGUGUUUGUUCUUGUUUCAUGAGCAGAUGAGUAUGCUAUUGAUGAAAAUAAUGAAAAGGCUGACUAGGAAUGGUUGAGAAAACUCGGUUCGUAGGAUCCAUGAAUACUGUGGGAGAAUUCGUUAGAUGCAAGGGUAUCACAAUGAAUUUGAAAUGGUCGCGACAAGUUCGGAAAGCAGUUUUUCGAAUGUCCUCUCCUCGGACUCGAAGUUGAUGAUAACCGGUUCUUAGAUCUAUUUUAGAGAGGUAACUAGCUCCUUGGAGCAUAUUCAAUUUCCUAAAAUCGAUAUACCUUCUGAAGGAUCCGUCUUCUUGAAGAACAAGAGCGGAGCUCUCCAGGGUGAGAAGCUUGGUCCUAUGGAUAUUUUGCUCAAAAAUUUUCUUAAUUGAGUGGAUAACUCGUGAAUUUUCGGCGGGAGUCAACCUAUAGGGUGAAUUGGCAAUUGAUGUGAUUCCUGGUAUGAGGUCGAUUCGAAAUUUAACCUAUUUCUUGGGGUCUUCCCUGAAGUUCUUUAGGAAAUACAUCCGGAAAAUCCCAUGCUAAUGGAAUACCUCGUAUGCUUACUUCAUCCUUGGUCUUGUCCAUACCAGAGUGAGGAAAAUGUAGUUCUUCUAGUGCAGGCACUUUUGUGCCUUGAUGUACGAGAUAGGACGAGGAUUGGCUCCAGGAUUAUGACCAUGGAUUAUUAGAGUUUCGUGAUUAGGAGGUGAAGGCAAACGACCCUCUAGCGACACAUAGUAUCAGCACGGUGGGGACUUAACCCAACCAUGCUAAUUAUCACAUCAAAACUCCUAAUAUUUACUGGCAUUAAAUUUAUUUGGGAUGAAUGGUUGUUUAGUGUUAUGGUGCACCGUACAUGAAUAUCUUUGGUUAAUACGGUUUUUCCCAUUAGCCAUCUCCACCGUCAAGGCUUCGUUUAGCUUUUCGGGUUGUUGUUUCAGUAAGCAUUUGAAUUUGUUACUAACGGAGCUUCGCUCAGCUUCACUAUUGAAUCAGAGAUAAGCGAAAGAGUUGUUAAGUGGGAACGUAUCAGUAACAACCGUCGGGUCUUGGACUGCUUCGCCUUGGCCCAACGUCAGGACUGUGACAUCCCCAAUUUCACGCCCAGAAAAGACCGAUUUGUUUAUGCUUGCUUUUAAAAUUACAGUAAUCUUUUAAAGAACACAGUUGCAGAAUUUGUUCCCAAAACAAAAUAUGAUAAAAAUUAUCAAAGCAUUUCUUUAAAGAAAUGUAUUUUCAUUAUAUAACAAAAUCUCGGGAUGUCAUGUUCAAUACAGACCAAAAGCAUAAUCAUAACAAAGUAGACCUUACAACAGUUAUUUAUAUCUACAGGCCUAUAAACCAAAAUCUCUCGUCAUGUCCACCAACUUAUAAUCUUGUGCCAUUACCUGUAAUGCAAAGAAAACUGAGUGGGUCAGACUUGGCAGCCUGGUGAGCAUAUAGGGUUUUCAACCAACAAUAAUAUAAUUAUUAUAUUUAAUUAUUACACAACCAAUUCAAAUACCCACCCCCAUUAUCUCCAUUUAUUUCUAAAAGAUUUAUCCUGAGAACCAAUUACCCUUCUCCCAUUCAUUCCUAAGGAUUGCCCUAAGGAACUAGCACAAUGUCUAGUGCUGCCAAGGUUCUUAGAUUACCUCUGGUGAACAUGAAAUUCACAAUAAGUAAUCAACACCUAGCUCAAGAACACCUAAUGAACAGUUAGUUCCAACAUUACGCAAUGAACACCUAGUUCACAAACACUUAAUGAACACUUAGUUCAAUUAUCCGUGAUGAACACUAACUUCAAAUAUCUAAUGAACACUUAGUUCGUAUAUCCCUGGUGAACCCAAUCACCUAAGGAGCAUAGAGAAUGAAAUCUCUUAAUUCAAACAACUUGAUAAUAAAGUAUAUCUCGAUCCUGCGAAACCACUAAUGUUAUAAACACAUAUAAAUUAUAUUUCUAAAAUAAUAUAUCCCAUCCCGUCGAUCCCAACAUACUGACCCUACACAAUGAUCUUACAAGAUCUAGCCUAAGGAAUCGAUAUGAACCACAAACUGACGAAGCUGCUUUGGAAAUUCCCUACCAGCAAACGAGGAUCAAUAAAGACAUCAAAUGAGGGGAAUGGAAUAAGUUUCACCACGAACCUUCGUUUGUAAAAGAAAGAACCACAAGACAGUUAAGUCAGGGAUAGUUAUCUAGAUAACAAUGCCUAGGCGUGGUCUGACUAUCAUGAGGUAUUAUACCCCCAGACUCUACCUAUCCCAGCAUCGAACUUUGCCUAGUAGUGGCCUGAAUACAUGAGGUAUUUCACCCCCAGGCGCACCCUAUCUAGCAAUAUAACACCAGACAUACCUAUCAGUGGUCUAUUACCGACACACUUUAUUAGGCAGUCUACGAAGUUCCCUUAAUUACUUCGUGAAAGAAAACGCUGACAUAUGAAGCUCUGUCGAUCACCUCAUAAAAGAAACGCCGACUCCAAAGCUCUCUCAAAAUAAAAGUACGGAGAAAUACUACUAGAGUACUCCUGUACGCUCCCGUAACCGACACACAAAAUUGUCAAAAAGACUUUGUACAUGAUAGUACUUUUGGCACAUUAUAGUACUUUGAUAUGCGAAAGAAUCGUACCCGAGAACAUAAUAUUACCUUGGCACAAGCAGCACCCAAGACACAUAGCUUUGAAAAAGACUUCGUACAUAAAAUGUACUUCUGUACGUAGGACGUACUCCACCGAUCAUCAAUCUCACAACACACGUACUCUUAAUAAGAGGCUACCCAAUGUCCAAACUUAAUUGAACUAAACAUCCUUAUUUAAGCCUUAACCCAUCACCAGGCAAGCCUACAAUGCUUAUAAUCAAUUUUCGAUAUUAACUCCGUUUAGGCAAUGCUAACUAGUGUAUACUUAACACAGAGUUUUAAGUAAUAAUAUCAUAUAUUCAUAUCUUAACACAUAUUGAACCAUAACUGAUUUACACGUUGUAUAUUAUCAAAUAUAUCUAACCCGUAUUUCGGACAAUAACAAAUACUUUACAUACAUAUGUACAUUUCAUACUUUAAUCAAUCCACGUAUUAAAAUCACGUUCCUAAAAGGGACUAUAUGUAGUUCUAAAAUACAUAAUCCGUACUCUUGGAUCUUAAAUUUUCCUCAUUACCUAAUCCAUAUUCCCAGAUCUAAAACUAAUCUCUUGAUCUGAUCCAUACCCUUGGAUCUAAAACUAACUUUAUGCUCUGAUCCAUAUUCUCGGAUCUAAAACAAUUUUAUGUCUUCAUCCUUUUAUCUCAUGGUCCAACCCACCUUUAUUCACCUACCAACAACCUCAUCUACUCAUGUUCUACCCAACAUAUUUUUAGAUACAAAAUACAUAUAUAGUUUAACUCAUUAAAACAUAUAUAAUUUGUCCAUUCCGCAAUCAUCUCAAAUAAAAAACAAUAUAUUAUACACAUAGCACGUACUUCAUAGCAAAUACUUAAUAUUUAUGUGUUAGAAGAAAGUGACCACACACUCACUUCAUUAGAAGAUGAUCGGACAGCACUACGGCUUGUAGAAGUAGUAUUCUUCGGUAGAUCUGAAAGAUACUCACAAAAAUUGGCUUCUCGUGGGCAGAGCAUCGGCUCGGGAAUUUCACUUCUCGGGAUCUUCGGGGCUUCAGGACUUGCUUCAGGUCUCGGGAAUGAUACCGGGGCUUCGGGAUAUUUCUUGCACGAAAAAUAUGCAAAAACGCAAGAGAAAAGGAAGAAAUAAGCAAAGAACUCGGCUGCACUCGACUUCCAUUUAUAGGGGGCUGGAACAACAAAUUACGUUGGGCGUAAUUCCAUGUUCCGCUGGGCGUAAUGUGGAUCAGCUUGCUGACUCCCCCCGUGGAUAAUAUCGGUUAUUUUAUAUUUAAAUUAAAUAUCAAAAAUAUUUAAUAAACUUCAAAAAUUCAUAUAUAUUCCUCAUACGAACUCCGUUUUCAAUGUUCUUUAUAUCCCCGCGUAGGUGAGACUACGCUCUACAACUUUUAUUUAGACUCCGUUGGCUAAUUUUGAAUUUAUUUUUAUUAUAUUAUUUUAGUAGGCCGGGACAGGAAAACUCCGUUAUUAAUUCAUAACUUCUUCAUCUGACGUCCGUUUUUGCCUAUCUUUUUAUCAUUUCACUACAAUUGAUGAGAUCUUCGAUUCUCGUUUAGAUUGUUUCAGGUAAAAACUGCUCGAUCUCAAAUCGAGUAUUCAGGCUGCAUAUUUCUAAGCUGAAACUUACAAAAAUCAUAACUUCGUCACACGAAGUCAGAUUUGGACGUUCUUUUUAUGCACGCUCACGGUUUAACGAACUCUACGACUUUCGUUUAGAUCGCUAAGGCUAAAUAUCGCUCUAACGUACAUUCACUAUUUACGUCGCGCUGUGUCGUGUCGGUUUUGUCGCGAAACUUCGACAGGUCAUAACUUCUUCGUUAUAACUCGAAAUUCGGCGUUAUUUAUAUGCACGGAAACCUUGUAACAUAUACUAUAACUUAGUUAAGAUUAUUCAUUCUAAAUAAUCUUUCAUCAAAAAUUCAUUUUUGACGCCUAUCGUCUCUAAAUUGACUAGCCCGGAUCUACGGGCGUUACAAUUAUCUCCCCCUUAGGAUGAUUACAUCCUGGAAUCAUCAAAGAAAUAGGACUUGCAUAAUGAUUCCACAUGUUACCUCUUCAUCCUAAGAAAUAAUUGUAACUUCCAUGUUUCCACGAAAGAGUAUUUAACUCUAUGGCUUUCUUGACCGCAGAAGAUGCCCAAUCUUGCAUCUGCUUAUCGUACUAUGUUGUCCUUUCAAUUGUGACCUUCAAGUUACCAAAUAAGUCCUUAUUGUGGACUCCUUCUUCUUCUCAGGAUAAAUACUUUCCUUUAUCUAUUGUAACAAACCAAUGGUCAUGCUCUAUUGACCUCUCAUCGCACGAUGCGACUCUUAGACAUGGUCUUUAAAAAAGUUAAAUUCCAGAAUGGAAUAUACCUUCCUUCAUAUUCUAAUGUGAUAUGAUCACAUUUUAGCAUGCAGCAUUUCUACAUGCAAACUUCUUUUAACAACAAGUGCGACACUAUCAAUCGCAUUAACUUCAACCUUUUAACUUAUGUCAGAUGUUGCUUCUAACUUGGUCCUCUAGACCACGUAACAUACUCCUCGUAGUCGAACUCAAAUUCAAAUAUGACCACUAGGGUCGGAACAUGAACCGUCUUACUAGUAAUUACCGAAACAAUGGUAAUGACAUACCAAAAUAAAAUGGAAUCAAUCACCAGCUUCUUGGUAACCUUAUGACUUUCCCUGAUCCAAGUGCGAGUCUUGUGCUUCCGGUAGUAUAUGUAUCUACUACCUUUCACACCUACUCAUACUCGUCCCAAGUAUUGUCCCGCAGUUGACCAAGUCACCAUACAAGAAAAUCACAAAACAAUUUAACACAUGCGAAUGUGUCUAAAAAAUCAUAAAAAUUUCCCUAGACUCUACUAGGACUUCCCUAUUGCGUAUCAUCAAUCAUUAAUUUCCACUUCCACUUGAUUGGUGAUGGAAAUUCCAGACGAUGGGACAACUUCAAGAAUUACACCAAUCGUUCCAUCAUCCUGCCAAUCGAAGGUGUACUCCAUACGUACUAUACUCCCCUAAACAUAUUGUUAUUUUAUAUGGAAUAUUCUAAAGGCAAGAUACCACUCUUACGAUAUCUUCCGAUAGGUGUCACUCACUAUCAUAAGCCUUCUUUAUUUCAUCCAUUUAUUCAAUUCUCUACAAGUCUUCACUAUGACCUUUUGUACAUCCAAACAGACAUUCGGUGUACCCAGCGAGAAUUUAAGAUAAGAAAGCUUUAAUUACGAUAGACCUAUAAUUCUCCUUAUCACCCCGAAACGUUUACAUGCUAGUUCUAAUAUCGUAGUCAUACGCUUAGAAUCCUAAACACAUAAGGUUUCCAGAUCCGGUCGGCAACAGACCAUAGAUCCGAACAAAUAAUAGCAUCAAUAUAGCUAUCACACAAAACAUUUAGCACAUAAAAGCAUUUUAGGCAUCACUCCUAAAAUAAACUAGUGCUUGUGUCAAUUUAGGUGUACUACCUAACAUAUUUUAGACACACUCCUCACAAUCAUUACUUAGCAUUCUAAGUUUAAGUCUAGAAAUUUCCGACAAAUUCCUAAUUCGCUUAAACUAAUGCUCUGAUACCAACAGUUGCGGAAUUUGUUCCCAAAACAAAAUAUGAUAAAAAUUAUCAAAGCAUUUCUUUAAUGAAAUGUAUGUUCAUUAUAUAACAAAAUCUCGGGAUGUCAUGUUCAAUACAGACCAAAAGCAUAAACAUAACAAAAUAGACCUUACAACAGUUAUUCGUAACUACAGGCCUAUAAUCCAAAAUCUCUCGUCAAGUCCACCAACUAAUACUCUUGUGCCAUUACCGAUAAUGCAAAGAACACUGAGUGCGUCAGGCUUGGGAGCCUGGUGAGCAUAUAGGGUUUUCAACCAACAAUAAUAUAAUUAUUAUAUUUAAUAAUUACACAAUCAAUUCAAAUACCCACCCCCAUUAUCUCCAUUUAUUUCUUAAAGAUUUAUCCUAUGAACCAGUUACCCUUCUCCCAUUCAUUCCUAAGGAUUGCCCUAAGGAAUUGGCACAAUGUCUAGUGCUGCCAAGGUUCUUAGAUUACCUCUGGUGAACACGCAAUUCACAAUAAGUAAUGAACACCUAGUUCAAGAACACCUAAUGAACACUUAGUUCCAAUAUUACCCAAUGAACACCUAGUUCACAAACACUUAAUGAACACUUAGUUCAAUUAUCCCUGAUGAACACUAAGUUCAAAUAUCUAAUGAACACUUAGUUCGCAUCUCCCCGGUGAACCCAAUCACCUAAGGGGCAUAGAGAAUGGAAGCUCUUAGUUCAAACAACGUGAUAAUAAAGUAUAUCUCGAUCCUGCAAAACCACUAAUGUUAUAAACACAUAUAAAUUAUAUUUCUAAAACAAUAUAUCCCAUCCCGUCGAUCCCUAUAUACUGACCCUAUACAAUGAUCUUAUGAGAUCUAGCCUAAGGAAUCGAUAUCAACCACAAACUGACAAAGCUGCUUCGGAAAUUCCCUACCAGCAAACGAGGAUCAAUAAAGACAUCGAAUGAGGGGAAUGAAAUAAGUUUCACCACGAACCUUCAUUCGUAAAAGAAAGAACCACAAGACAGUUAAGUCAGGGGUAGUUAUAUAGAUAACAAUGCCUAGGCGUGGUCCGACUAUCAUGAGGUAUUAUACCCCCAGACUCUACCUAUCCCAACAUCGAACUUUGCCUAGCAGUGGCCUGAAUACAUGAGGUAUUUCACCCCCAGAUGCACCCUAUCCAACAAUAUAACACCAGACAUACCUAGUAGUGGUCUAUUACCGACACACUUUAUUAGGCAGUCUCCGAAGUUCCCUUAAUUACUUCGUGAAAGAAAACGCUGACAUAUGAAGCUCGGUCGAUCACUUCAUAAAAGAAACGCUGACUCCAAAGCUCUCUCAAAAUAAAAGUAUGGGGAAAUACUACUAGAGUACUCCCAUACGCUACCGUAACCGACAAACAAAAUUGUCAAAAAGACUUUGUACAUGAUAGUACUUCUGGCACAUUACAGUACUUUAGUAUGCGAAAGAAUCGUACCCGAGAACAUAAUACUACCCUGGCACAAGCAGCACCCAAGACACAGAGCUAUGAAAAAGAAUUCGUACAUAAAAUGUACUUCUUACGUAGGACGUACUCUACCGAUCAUCAAUCUCACAACACGCAUACGCUUAAUAAGAGGCUACCCAUUGUCCAAACUUAAUUGAACUAAACAUCCUUAUUUCAGCCUUAACCCAUCACUAGGCAAGCCUACAAUGCUUAUAAUCAAUUUUCGAUAUUAACUCCAUUUAGGAAAUGCUAACUAGUGUAUACUUAACACAAAGUUUUAAGUAAUAACAUCAUAUAUUCACAAAACAACUAUUUCAUCUACCCAUGUUUUACCCAACACAUUUUGUAGAUAUAAAAUACAUAUACAAUUUAAAUCAUUUAAAACAUGUAUAAAAAUCUUUCACCCGGCAUAGACAGCAAGUAUUCAGACAAUAUGCACACACAGCACGUAAUUUAUAUUAAAAUACUUCAUAUCUAUGUGUAAGAUGAAAGGGACUAUGCACUCACCUGGAAGGUGGUGAUACAGUACUCGGACAACGCUUCGAUACUCUCAAAACAAUUUCCUUCUAUAAAACAGCGAAUUUUAUCGAAAACCAGAACUUAAUUGGAGCAGCGUUUCGAAACCGAAAAACUCCUUUUCCUCGGGACUCUGGGAGGCUCGGGGCUUCCCUAGGGUGCUAAGGGGCUUAACUAUGGUUUAGGGGUGGUUUGGGGUUUUAAAGAGAGAAAGAGGUUAGAGAGAGAAGUGAAAAAGGUGUGAAAAUUGAUGAAGUCUUGGCCUCCUUUUAUAGCCCUAGGAGGCCUCGGUACGCUGGGCGUACGUCGGACCUACGCGGGGCGUAGCCAUCGGAUAAGAGUGCCAGCUUCGCACCAGCUGGCUCGCAACGUCGGAAGAGAUAAGGCGAGGGUACGCGGGGCGUACUGGCUUCGGACGCGGGGCGUAAGCGAAGGCGACGUGUUCUUCAUCCGAAGCGAGCCGUGAUCAGCAAGCGAUGGCCCAGAUGCAGCCACGUCAUCCAUCUCGCAUCAGAUUUCACAAUUUCCACUCCCGACUUCUAAAAAUCAUAACUUUUGCAUACGAGCUCCGUUUUCGACGUUCUUUAUAUCCACGCGAAGGUGGGAACAUACUCUACAACUUUCUUUUAGACUUUGUUGGCUAAUUUUGGCUCGAUUUUAAAUUUUAUAUUAUUAACGGGCCGGGACACGAUUGGUCCGUUAAAUCUUCACAACUUCUUCAUUCGACAUCCGUUUUCGCCCAGCUUUUUCUCGUUACACUACUCUCAACGAGAUCUUCGAUUCUCGUUUAGGUCAUGUCGGCUAAAACCCGCUCAAUCUAAUAUUCGAAUUUCGAGUUGUACACUGCUAGUCCGAAACUUCAAAAAAUCAUAACUUCUUCAUACGAAGUCAGAUUUGGGCGUUCUUUUUAUCGAUGUUCUUAGUUUAACAUAUUGUAUGACUUUCGUUUAGAUCGCUAAGGCUAAAUCUUGCUUUAUCAUAAAUUCACUAUUUACGCUUCCCGGUGCCGUGCCGGUUUUGUCGCGGAACUUCGACGGGUCAUAACUUCUUCGUUAUAACUCGGAUUUUAUAUGUACGGAAACCUUGUAACAUAUUCUACAACUUGGUUAAGAUUAUUUAUUCUAAAUAAUCUUUUGUCGAAAAGUCGUUUUCGACCCCUAUUGCCUCUAAAUUGACUAGCCCGGAUCUACGGGCGUUACAAUUAUCUCCCCCUUAGGAUGAUUACGUCCCGGAAUCAUCAACGAAACAGGGCUCACAUGAUGAAUCCAUUUGUUAUCUAUUCAUCCUAAGUCAUAACUUCGAUGUUUCUUUGAACGAGUAUCUAACUCUUAGACUCCUUCACUACAAGCGGUGGUCGAUCUUGCAUCCGCUCUCUAUCUCACGUUAGACUCCAGAUUAUGACCUUCGAGCCACAAUGUCAAUCCUCAGUGGAUACAAUAUUAGGAAAAGUUCUUUUCGUUACUACAAUGGAACGAUGUGUCAUAUUCUAAUGACCUAUCAUCGUACGUUGCAACACUUGGACUUAGGUCUCUUAGAGUUAAACCCUAAAACAGACUAUGUCUUCCUUCAUGUUCUAAUGUGAUAUAAUCACACUUUAACAUUAGGCAUUUCUAGCUAUCAACUUCUUUAACAACUAGUGCGAUAUUUCUAUUGAUCGCUUUGAUUCCAAUCGUUUGGUUUAAGUCGGACGCUUCAUCAAACUUGGUUCUCUGAACCACGUAACCUACUCAUCGUAAUCGGACUCAAUGGAUAUGACCACUAGGGUCGGGAUAACAACAAUCUUCUUAGUCAUUAACGAAAUAAUGGUAACGACAUACUUGAAUAAAACAAAUCAAUUACUAGCUUCUUGGUAACCUAGUGACUUUCCCUGAUCCAAGCGUGAGUCCUGUGCUUCCGGUAGUAUAUGCAUCUACUACCUUUCACACCUACUCAUAGUCAUCCCAAGUAUUGUCUCGCAGUUUUCCAAGUCACCAUGCAAGAAAAUCACAUAACUGUUUAGCACAUCAAAUAACAAAACAAAGCUUUUAUUAUUUCUUGAAACUAUUACAUAGGUGUUCAAGUUCACCCUAGACUAUGCCUCUAAUAGGAUACAUCAUACGAUACUAUGGCUACUCCAUAACUUGAUCUUCGGAUAUGAAGUCUUUAUCCUUGAUUCCUCGCAUGGUUUUCUGUUUCGUCGAGGAUCAUGUGAAAUGCCCUUGGCCUUGGUGGCAUGUUUGGCCUUGUUGCUUCAUUCUUCUUUGGGCAAUUCUUUGAAAGAUGCCCCCUUCUUUACAUUCAUAACACAACCUCUUGUUGGAUGUACACUCAUUGGCGUAAUGCCCAGACUUUCCACACUUGAAACAUGUCACCUCUUCGCCGCAUUUUCCAAAGUGUUUCUUCUUGCAUUUAUCACACCAUCUUGCUUCACCUCCUCCUCCAGGCUUUGAGAAUUUGCUCUCCUUGUUGGACCUUUAAGAUCCUUAAAACUUCCGCUUCUCUCCUGCCUUAUCUUUUUCUAGACCCUUUUCUCUUAUCUGGGCCUCUACAUUCUUAGCUGCCCUAACUGCUGUUUUCAAGGUAGUUGCCAUUUUGACCAUUGGGCCAAAGUCAGUGGGUAAUCCAUUAGCAAACCUAUCAAUCUUGGAGAGUUCAGUAGGAACCAAGUAGGGAAAUAGCUUCAUCCUCUCGGUGAAUGCGGUGGCGUACUCAUCAGCACUCAUCUUCCCUUUCUUCAGGUUCUGAAACUCGUUGUUAAGGUCUAUCAGAUCUAUCUCUGAGCAGUACUGCAUUUUCAACUGUUCCAAAAACUCUUCCCAUGACAUCCUUAGGGCUUCUCCUCAUGGCAUCGUAUCUGCCAAUAGCUUCCACCAGCUCAAGACUCCUGCUUUCAGUUGUCUUACAGCGAAGACGGUCUUCUGUUUCUCGCUACAGUCGCAGCUCUCAAACACCAUCUCCAUCUCGGAGAUCCAAUCCAUAAUCUCAACAGGCUUUGGGCUUCCUGAGAGACAUGGUGGUUUCGCACCCAAGAAAUUCUUGUACAUUCGCCGAUCCUUGUCGUUUCUCCUCUCCGGGCCAUCCCUUCGUUCACCUUGAGUCUCCACUCGACUCACUUGGCGGCUGUAGUUCCCUUCCUCCGAUUGCUCGGGAAUCGGUCCGGGUUGCUCAAUGGCCAAUGUAGCUUCGACCUUAUUCAACAUCUGCCUCAUUUCUUCCCUUUGUUCAGCUAACAUAGCCCAAAUCAUGGCUUGAACUCCAGCCAUGGUGACUGGCUCAGGUGCAACUUCUUGUACAACAUGUAUUUGCUGAACCAUUGGGGGUGGGUUACUAUUCUCAUUUGCAUUCAUGUUCCCGCUACGGGUCCUUGCCAUCUUGAUCUAUACACCGAAUAAGGUGAAUCUAGACCUUUACUUAGGAUUGACGUGUAAAUCAUCCUUAUCACUCCAAAACGUUUAUAUGCUAGUUCUAAUAUCGUAUUCGUACGUUUAGAAUACUAAACACAUACCGUUUCCAGAUCCGGUCGGCAACAGACCAUAGAUCCGAUCAAAAUAUAGCAUAUCAAAUCAUUUAGCACAUAAAAGCAAUUUAGGCAUCAUUCCUAAAAUAAGCUAGUGCUCGUGUCUAUUCAGGUGUAUUACCUAAAUCUAUUUGACACACUCCUCACGAUCAUCACUUAGCAUUCUAAGUUUAAGUCUAGAAAUUUCCUACAAAUUCCUAGUUCGCUUAAACUAAUGCUCUGAUACCAACUGUGACAUCCCCAUUUUCACGGCUAGAAAAGACCGAUUUUGUUUAUGCUUUGUAAAAGUCAGAGUAAAAUGUUGCGGAAUUUGUUCCCAGAAAAACAAAAUAAAUACGUUAUUAAAACAUUUUCAAAGAAACUCAUUUUAUUCAUUUUAAAACAUUUGGGAUGUCAUUGUCAAUACAGAAACAUAAGCAUAAACAGAACUUACAUUUAUUUACACUAGUGAUCUACAUCUCUUUAAUCUCUCAGUGUAAUGUGACUUCAUAUCAACACCUGUAAUAUAAAUAAACUGAGUGGGUCAGGUUGGGAAACCUGGUGAGUACAUAGGGUUUUCAACCCACAAUAAUAUAAUUAUUAUGUUUAAACAAUCAAGCAAUUAAACCCAAUUACCCAUCCCCAUUAUCUUCUUUACUCUUAAGGAUGUACCCUAAGAAUCAGCUAUUUCUCGUUCAUUCAUUCCUAAGGAUUAUCCUAAGGAAUCGGCACGAAGUCCAUCGUCACCAAAGCUUAUAGAUUACAACCGGUGAACACGUAGUCCAAAAUAUCUGGUAAACACUUAGUUCAAAAGUAACUAGUGAACACACUUAGUUCAAAAUACGUAGUGAACACACUCAGUUCAAACAUACGUAGUGAACACACUCAGCUCAAAAUACCUAAUGAGCACCUAGUUUAAAAACACCUACAGGUUACGAGCUUAAUAGCGUUCCACCGGACCGUCUAGUAUCGCCCAUGGUCAUCAUCUAUACUCCAUUAGAUGACUGGAUUACUGACAACAUUGAUGUCUCCCAUCGUGUUAUCACAAAACAACUAUUUGAUCUACCCAUGUUUUACCCAACACAUUUUGUAGAUAUAAAAUAAAUAUACAGUUUAAAUCAUUUAAAACAUGUAUAAAAUUCUUUCACCCGACAUAGACAGCAAGUAUUCAGACAAUAUGCACACACAGCACGUAAUUUAUAUUAAAAUAAUUCAUAUCUAUGUGUAAGAUGAAAGGGACUAUGGACUCACCUGAAAGGUGGUGAUUCAACACUCGAACUCUCAAAACAAUUUCCUUCGAUAAAACAACGAAUUUUAUCGAAAACCGGAACUUAAUUAGAGCAGCGUUUCAAAACCGAAAAAACUCCUUUUUCUCGGGACUCUUGGAGCCUCGGGGCUUAACUAGGGUUUAGGGUGGUUUGGGGUUGUAGAGAGAGAAAGAGGUUAGAGAGAGAAGUGAAAAAGGUGUGAAAAAUGAUGAAGUCUUUGUCUCCUUUUAUAGCCCUGCGAGGCCUCGGUACGCUGGGCGUACCUCUGACCUACGCGGGGCGUAGCCAUCGGAUAAGAGUGCCAGCUUCGCACCAGCUGGCUCGCAACGUCGGAAGAGAUAAGGCGAGGGUACGUGGGGUGUACUGGCCUCGGAUGCGGGGCGUAAGCGAAGGUGACGUGUUCUUCAUCCGAAGCGAGUCGUGAUCAGCAAGCGACGGCCUAGAUGCAGCCACGUCAUCCAUCUCGCAUCAGAUUUCGCAAUUUCCACUCCCGACUUCUAAAAAUCAUAAAUUUCGCAUACCAGCUCCGUUUUCGACGUUCUUUAUAUCCACACGAAGGUGGGAACAUACUCUACAACUUUCGUUUAGACUUUGUUGGCUAAUUUUGGCUCGAUUUUAAAUUUUAUAUUAUUAACGGGCCGGGACACGAUUGGUCCGUUAAAUCUUCAUAACUUCUUCAUCCGACAUCCGUUUUCGCCGAUCUUUUUCUCGUUACGCUACUCUCAACGAGAUCUUUGAUUCUCGUUUAGGUCGUGUCGGCUAAAAACCCCUCAAUCUAAUAUUCGAAUUUCGGGUUGUGCCUUGCUAGUCCGAAACUUCAAAAAAUCAUAACUUCUUCAUACGAAGUCAGAUUUGGGCAUUCUUUUUAUCGAUGUUCUUAGUUUAACAUAUUCUACGACUUUCGUUUAGAUCGCUAAGGCUAAAUCUCGCUUUAUCGUAAAUUCACUAUUUACGCUUCCCGGUGUCGUGCCGGUUUUGUCGCAAAACUUCGACGGGCCAUAACUUCUUCGUUAUAACUCGGAUUUCGGCGUUCUUUAUAUGUACGGAAACCUUGUGACAUACUCUACAACUUGGUUAAGAUUAUUUAUUCUAAAUAAAAUUUUGUCGAAAAGUCGUUUUCGACCCCUAUUGCCUCUAAAUUGACUAGCCCGGAUCUAUGGGCGUUACACUUAUCGAAUGAAUACGUAGUUCUAAAAUACAUAAUCCGUACUCUCGGAUCUUAAAUUUUCCUCAUUACCUAAUCCAUAUUCCCAGAUCUAAAACUAACCUCUUGAUUUCAUCCAUACUCUUAGAUCUAAAACUAACCUCCUCCUCUGAUCCAUAUUCUCGGAUCUAGAACAAGUUUAUCUCUUUAUCUGUUUAUCUCAUGGUAUCGAAUGAAUACGUAGUUCUAAAAUACAUAAUCCGUACUCUCGGAUCUUAAAUUUUCCUCAUUACCUAAUCCAUAUUCCCAGAUCUAAAACUAACCUCUUGAUUUCAUCCAUACUCUUAGAUCUAAAACUAACCUCCUCCUCUGAUCCAUAUUCUCGGAUCUAGAACAAGUUUAUCUCUUUAUCUGUUUAUCUCAUGGUCCAACCCACCUUUAUUCACCUACCAACAACCUCAUCUACUCUUGUUCUACCCAACAUAUUUUUAGAUACAAACUACAUAUAUAGUUUAACUCAUUAAAACUUAUAUAAUUCGUCCAUUCCACAAUCAUCUCAAAUAAACAACAAUAUAUUAUACACAUAGCACGUAUUUCAUAGCAAAUACCUAAUAUUUAUGUGUUAGAAGAAAGUGACCACACACUCACUUGAUUAGAAGAUGUUCGGACAGCANGUAGAAGUAGUAUUCGUCUGUAGAUCUGGAAGAUCUUCACAAAAAUUGGCUUCUCGGGAGCAGAGCUUCGGCUCGGGAAUUUCACUUAUCAGGAUCUUUGGGGCUUCAGGACUUGCUUCGGGUCUCGGGAAUGAUAUCGAGGCUUCGGGAUAUUUCUUGCACGAAAAACGAUGCAAAAAAGCGAGAGAAAGGGAAGAAAUGAGCAAAGAACUCGGCUGCACUCGACUUCCUUUUAUAGGGGGCUGGAACAACGAAUUACGCUGGGUGUAAUGUGGGUCAGCUCGUUGAGUCCCCCCCAUGGAUAAUAUCGGUUAUUUUAUAUUUAAAUUAAAUACUGAAAAUAUUUAAUAAACUUCAAAAUUUCAUAUCUUCCUCAUACGAACUCCGUUUUCGACGUUCUUUAUAUACCCGCGUAGGUGAGACUACGCUCUACAACUUUUGUUUAGACUCCGUCGGCUAAUUUUGAAUUUAUUUUUAUUAUAUUAUUUUAGUAGGCCGGGAUAGGAAUACUCCGUUAUAAAUUCAUAACUACUUCAUCCGACGUCCGUUUACGUCUAUCUUUUUAUCGUUUCACUACAAUUGACGAGAUCUUCGAUUCUCGUUUAGAUUUUUUUGGCUAAAAACCGCUUGAUGAAUGGCACAACUCCAAGGUCUCCAAUGAAGUUCUUCAGCCAUAUAGCCUCUUUCGAUGCUUCUCUUGCCACAAUGUACUCUGAUUCACACAUUGAAUCAGCCACGGUCUCAUGCUUGGAACUUUUCCAAGUUACUGCUCCUCCGUUCAGGGUAAAAUCCCAGCCCGACUACGAUCGAUAAUUAUCCUUAUCUAUCUGAAAGCUAGCGUCACUGUACCCUCGUACCCUUAAGUCAUCACUCCCACCGAGGACUAGAAACCAUUCCUUGGUCCUUCAUAUGUACUUAAGAAUAUUAUUGAAAUCAAUCCAAUGCGAACUACCAGGGUUCCCUUGAUAUCUGCUGACCAUGGUCAAAGGGAAGUCCACAUCAGGGCAAGUACAAGUCAUAGCAUACAUGAUAGAGCCAACUGCGCAGCGUUAGGUACUUGGCUCAUAUCAGCAAUUUCUGCCUCUGUACUCGGGCAUUGAGUCUUACUCAACUUGGUAUUGCUUUGAAUUGGCAACUCCCCUUUCUUUGAAUUUUCCAUACUAAAACACUUUACUACCUUAUCCAAGUAUGUAUCCUGACUGGGUCCUAUUAGUCUUUUACUUCUAUUUCUUACUAUCCUUAUUCCCAGAAUAUACGUAGCCUCUCCGAGGUCCUUCAUAGCGAAACACUUCAAAAGCCAGGACUUGACCUCCUGCAAGGUUGGGACAUCAUUUCCUAUGAGCAGUAUGUCAUCGACAUAAAAUAUGAGGAAGCUCACUAUACUCCUACUGGGCUUGACAUACACACAUGACUCAUCUUCGCUUCGCAGAAAGCCAAACUCUUUGACCUUCUCGUCAAAACAAAGAUUCCAUCUGCGAGACGCUUUGUUUAAUCCAUAAAUGGAUUUCUCAAGCUUACACACUCUAUUUGGAUGCUUCGCAUUGAUAAAACCUUCUGGCUGGCUCAUGUAAACAUCCUCAGCCAAUUUUCCAUUAAGAAAAGCGGUUUUCACGUCUAUCUUCCAUAUUUCAUAAUCAUGAAACGCAACUAUUGCGAGCAUCACCCUAACAGACUUUAUCUUGGCAAGUAGCGAGAAGGUCUCAUCAUAGUCAACUCCAGGAGUUUAAGUAAAGCCCUUUGCAACCAAUCGCGCUUUAUAAGUGUGCACAUUCCCAUCCAUGUCUGUCUUCUUCUUAAAGAUCCAUUUGCACCUGACUGUCUUACGACCCGGCACAUUAUUAACCAAAUUCCAAACUUGGUUGUCGUACAUGGACUGAAUCUCGCUGUCCAUUGCCUCUUUCCACUUAGAAUACUCUGGGCCUGCCAUGGCUUCCUUAUAUCUGUUACGUUCGUCCAAAUUUACUAGUGUCCUAUCACUAAUAAAUUUAUCCCCUUCAGUAGUUAUAUGGAAUCCAUACAACUAGGGUGGAACACUAGCCCUAUUGGAACAUCUAAGAGGUAAGGACUCGUCAACAGGUUCAACAUCCUCAGGUUGAGUGCCAGUAUUAGAAGUUCCUUCAUCGUUUUCCUGUUGAAUCUCUUCAAGAUCAAUUUGCCUCCCACUGUCCUCUUGACUUAUGAGUUCCCUUUCUUGGAAAACCCGUCUCCUCGUUCAUGUGGUAGGUCAUUCUGAACUCAUUGUAGCAGGAAGGCCAGGAGUGGAGGAUGAUGUCGAUAGCCAAAUCCUCAUCAAACUUAACAUUAAGUUUGAGAAGACGAUUAACAUACCUCUACAUUUUCUGCAAAUGCGAGGUUAGGGAUUCUCCACUCCCCAUCUUAGCGGUGAUCAUGUUAGUAAUGAUCUCAUAGCUCUCUUGCCUUGCGCUUUGCUGGUAUAUGUCCAGAAAAUCUUGAUGCAUCACAUAUGGAUACAUGUCCGCAUAGGACUUUUGGAGUUCGAGGUUCAUGGUGGCCAGCAUGAUGCAAUGAACUUUCGUAGCAUAACGCUCGUGGGCCUCAAAGGCCGCCGACUCUUCAGGAGUAGCAACAUCUAGAUUGAUCUUUUUCAACUUUCUCAUCGAGGACAUAUUCUUUGUCCUUGUAAUGAGUGAUCAUAUGAAUGUAUCUCAUCCACUCGUUGAAAUACGACCCAUCAAAUGUGACUUUUUGGCAUAUGUUCAUUAGCAAGAAUGACCCAUAAGCGUUGUUGUUUGCGUUUGUGUUAGACAUCUGAAAUAGAAAGGAACAAAGUUUGAUUAGAAUGAAUCCACAAUUAAACACCCAAAUGAGAAAUUAGGGCUAGAAUCCAACAAUAUUAUUUAUAACUUAUAAAGGGGAUGCCGUAAUCUAAAAGUAAAUAAUUUGAAGGUAAGUGAAUGACGAUUUACUAAUUUUCACCAUGAAAAUGAAAAAGAAGAUUAAGUUUUAAAUGUAUUUGAAAACUCCUAGAUCUUUGAGAUUCAUUGAACUUUUCAAUGGCAUGUUUAAAUCUCGUUAUGCACUUUAAAUUUGCAACUGGGAUACGGAGGAUUGCAAACAAGUUAUGCAUAACCAUGCGAACCAACAUGGUGCACUCAAUGUCUCUAUCACCCAAUCAAUGUGCCGGUUAGCCACGCACGCUCCAUUGAUCUAUGAGAAACAUCAAGCCACCCUUCGCCACCAAUGUCAAUCCCAAAUUAGUGUGUCGGUUAACCACGCAUGCUCCACUAACGUUUGACAAGGGUGCAAAGUGUAAUUCCAUGGAAUAGCAUCAUUUUCACAUUUUACCCUAAAGUAACUAAGAUUGGGAAUUUGUAAAACAUUAUAGUUACUUUGUAAUUUAUUUAUACUUGUAAUGAAGAAUUAAGUGCCCUAUCCUAUCCAUUCGGCUACCGACCCUCCACCAAUCAAGUAAGCGGUGGGUGUGAGUGUACACCCAUUAAGCGCCAUUUUAUAGGCAACAACCUUAUACCCACCUUAUAGACUGGCUUCGUGAAUGAGGCCUACUAGCGAUAAGACUAGCUUAUUCAUAUAGAUAUAUAAUAAUUAAUCUUGUAAUAAUAUAAUAGUAUAGGGUUGAAUUUAAAAGUUGUAAAAUUCUAAGGGUUUGAAAUUUAAAUCAAUCAAAAUUAAACUUUUAAUCAUAAAAAUAAAUUUCAAAACUUGAGGACAAGUUUUGAACUUUUCAAAACACAAGGGAUCAAAUAACAAAUAAUAUAAAUUAAACAAUUAAUUUUAUAAUUAUCUAUAUUUGACCUAAUACAAUUUUAGUCACAAGAUAAUUACCAAAUAAUUUAAAUAAUCCAUAUUUAUCAUAUAAAGAAACUAUUAUUCAAAAUAUUAGAAAUUCCCUUUUGUUUUGGUAAGGAUAAUCAUUUGCAUACAAUAAAAUUUGGAUUUUAUUAUCAAAAAAUGUUUUGGCAUUUAUCCUAUAGCAAAACAACAAGAAAAUCCUGAGAUAUGCUCCGUCUGACUCCCGAACUCGUCGAGUCAGUCCUGGACUCACCAAGUUGGGCCAACUCGCCGAGUCCAGAUACUGACUCACCGAGUUGAGUCGGGCAGAGGCCAGAAAAAUGUUUUUCAACAAAAACACAACAAUCACAUCACAUACAACAGAAACCAAUCAAGUCUCUGAUACCACUGAUGGGUUUUAUGCAUAAGAACAAUCUUAUGUGCUCAUACAAACCGUAAUGCUUGGAUCUAGGUUUCUCUAUUGUACAUGCAAUGAAUCCAAGACUUAAAAACCCUAAACUAGCAUACAUAUUUCAUAAUUUAACAUAUAGAAUCAGAUCUAGAUGUUUAGCUCUUUAAUGGAAGCUUGAAUCUUCUUUCUUAGAGCUUAGAGUAACAAUUGUAACUCCCCUAAUGGCUUACAAUCACCACAAGCAAGAAGGCAACUAUGAGAGAGGAGGGACAAUGCUUAAUUUCGGCCUAGGGUUUCUCUUGGGAAGCAAGUGGCCAAAAAUUGAAGGCUAGGGGUCUUAUUUAUACUGUAGGCUGCUAGGGUUUCAGUUUAAACCCUAAUGGAACGCUUAGUUACCAAGCAACCCAAGGAACCUUCUGGAAUAGGGCCUUGGACGAAAAUAUGAUGAUCCCAUAUCAUAAUUCCGUUCCCCCUUAGUCCAUUAGGUUUCACAGCCCAAAAGUCAACUAUCAUACAUUUGACAGUUUAUACCCCUUUAUUUAAUUAAUCUCUUUUAGUCACCAAAUUAAUUCCUAAUUAAUUUAUGACUAAUACUAACUAAAUAAAUAUGAUUUCUCCAUUAAUAUAUUAUUAUUAUAAUACAUUAAUAAAUCAUAUUAUCCUAUCUCUCAUCAAAUUACCUUGUCAAGUUGCUUUGGUGAAGGAAACCCAAAAGGACCAUGCACAACCGGGUCAAGUACAUACCAAAUAUAGUUACAGGCUUAGACACUAAUCCAACAGGAACCAUAGUGUGCAUGCUAAGAGCAUGGCACAAUUCUUGUUAUAAUUCAAGUAAGAAGUUGAUUACCCAAAACAAGAAAUAAUGAGUAAUUAAUAUGGUGAUUAAAUAAAAUGUUUUUUUACUUAUACUCAAAAGUUUGGGGCCACAUUGGAUUAGUAUUAUUCUUGUGUUUCACUUUGCAUGUUUUGACUUCUCGAAUAAUAAGAUUAUUCAAACACUCCACAGUCGCUCAUUCUUUGGAAGUAGGAGUGAAUGAAGAUUGUUAGGAAUCCGUCUGUAGAUUGACUAAAGCAUUUAGUCAUAGUACAAGUUUGCUACAGAGUUCAUGAGUGCUGCUAUAAGAUUAGAGUAUUGGAUUAAACUCACACUCACUUGAUCGCUUCAUGGAUUUUAUCACGAGUGAUUGGUGAGACGAUAAUAUCUUAUGUUCUUGAAACCGAGAUGUGUGAGUUGUAUCUUAUGAGUCGGUUACACAUUAAUAAUAUGUAAACACACUAGUAACUUGCUGUUAUAAAACGGAUUGUUGUAUGUGAUUCGGUAAGCGAGUACAAGUGAUCAUUGAGUCGAAGUUUAUCUGUUCUUUUUACCUAAAGUGGGAUAAAAAUGAUAUUUGUGGUCCCCCUCGAUGAUUUAGUGAUGACACCCUAAGCGCUUGGCCAAGCCGGGACUAUGUUGAUGUGUUCAAUUGUAGUUAAUGGUCAGUCGUCAUAAAUUGGAAAUCGGUAAAUAACACAUGAACGAAGAGUGUGAUUAAAUUCCUUAUCUCAGUUCAUACGAUAUCUAGAAGGGAGGAAUACAUGAUCCCUUAUCUAAAGUACAAGUUACUAAUAAGAUCAGAGUUCAACAACGUCUUUGAGAGCUACGAUUGCUAAUAGGAUUGUACUUACAUUAUCGUUACUAUAUUUAUCCAAGUAGAGACUGUUGGAAUAGUGUCUAAGCCCGUAACUAUAUUUGGUAUAUAUUUGACCCGGUUGUGCAUGGUCCUUUUGGGUUGCCUUCACCAAAGCAACUUGAUAGGUUGAUUUAUAGAGAAAGAGGAUUAAUUAUGAUUUGUUAACAUAUUAUAUGAAUAAUAUAUUAAAGGUGAAAUCAUAUUGUUUAAUUAGUAUUAGUCAAUAAUUAAUUGAUAGUUAAUUUUGUGACUAAAAGACAUUGAUUAAACUUAGGGGGCUGGAAUUGUAAUUAUAAGAUAAUUGUAAUUGGGCUAUGGAUCACCUUGGAACAUAGGUUGGACGAAUUAUAUGGGAAGCCCAUAAGGAAUUCAUCGAAGGGGUGUUCUAAAGGGAGUCCAUGGGCUGCUUAGGGCCUAAGGAGUCAAGUUAGGGUUUCCUAGUUGAAAACCCUAAUAGCCUCACUAUAUAAAGACCCCUAUGGCCCCAAAAAUGUUGUGGACUUUCUUGGAAGAACCCUAGGUCGUUUUUGGUGCUCCUCCUCCUUCUCAUAAGUUAUUCUCUUGCUUGUGGUGUUUGUAAGCCUUAGAGGAGUGACACUUCUGACUCUAAGCUCCAAAGAAAGAAUAUUGAAGAGAUUCAAGCCAUUCUAUAAGAGGUAACAUCUAGAUCUACUCUUAUGUGAUAAUUUCGAAAUGCACAUGCUAGAUUUGGGUUCUUGAGCCUUGGAUGAAUCGCAUGUACAAUAGAGAAACCUAGAUCCAAGCUUUAGGGUUUGCAUGAACACAUAGGAUGUUGUUUUGUAUAAAACCCAUCAGCCAGUUCCUUAGCCGUCUAGUCACUGUUCGCAUUGUACACCCCGUGUAACGAAGUUUCCACCAAGCAUACGCACUGGGCAGUUGAAUUUCGUUGACUUUUGACUUAGCUUUGGGUGUUAAAUAUUAAUUACGGUUAAUUAUUUCGUUGACUAGAAGAAGUCUAAUUCUGGCAGUUCGGCUAUGACAUUUACUUGUCAUUAGUAUCAGGUGAGUCUUCUCAGUUAUCCUUACCUCUGUGGUACAAUAGUUGUAUUUGUGAUGACCAGUUGGGUCUUCUGUUAUUUUGUGUUAUGUUGUUACGUGUGACUGAGACUAAGGACAAUCCCUCGAGUUGCUGAUAACUCAUAGGGUGUGUUGUUGCCCACUGGUAUUCUUAUAGUCCCCCAAGGUUGCUGAUAACACAUAGUUGUUUAUUUAUGUGGUGUUGUGUGUGAUAUCUUGGAGAACUCACUAAGUUUUGUGGUUACAGUUGUUGAUUUAUGUGUUUGAGGUAGUUUUGAGAAGUGCGGGAAGGCGAAUGUUUGAGUGUAUUUUUUUUCAAAAACAUUUGAUACAUUUUUCUUGCUUGUUUAAGUGAGAAUAUCUUCAAUCAUUUGACAUUAUGAUUAUUCGAGGUUGACUAUACCUUAUUCAUUGUUUAGCCUUUCAACAUGACAGGCUGUCAUUAGCACAAACUUAUUAUAAUGUUUGGCUACAAAAUUAAAGUUUUCACAAAAAGUUGAAAUUAUGAUUGUGUUAAAUGAAAUCAUAAUAAUCUUGUAUAAUGAUAAUUAUAUUUAUUUAUAAAUUUAAUUUCAUGAAGAAACUGAUUGUAAUAAUGUAAAUAAGGUAAAAUUGUACAUAUAUUUAUCGUUUUGCACCCCCUCGAGUUAAACUCUCGAUGUCUAAGAAAGCUCAACGAGAAAGAUUCAAUUUUAUGAAAGGUCUGUCCGCAAGUUCACUUGGAUGAUUUUUCGAUUACUCACACCCGAUGUUUUGAUAUGUACACAUUGUGCUAUAUUCAUUGCGACAUUGCAUUUAAAGUAUAUUUGGAUUUCUUUUUUGUUUCAAUGCAGUAUGAGUUAUAGAACAUGUCAACGACAGUUAGAAUGAAUUUUGAUAAGCAUGCAAGAAACAUAACACAUGCACAAACCUCCACUGGACGAUUGAUUCUCGAGGAUCAAGUUUGUGGGUAAAUAUCCAUUGAUGGUCGAUCAUUAAUUUCCAGAAUGACAUAGUGUAGAUGAUUUAUCAAAAUAUAUUUCUAAAAUUGGUCUAGGUUUUAACACUAAUGUUCGAUUUAAUGAGCUUACCAAAAUUAACUAUAGGUGAUGUGAUAACUGUCUCAAGCAACUCUUACACGGGAUUGCUCCAAAGAAACCCUAGACUCCUUGUUUGAUAAACAUUUUGUAUACAAAGGAGUAUUAUGACCAUUUACAAAUAUUUAAGAUCUGUUAAAAAAACUACAAAUAAAAAGCGUCAUUUUUCUUAAUGGUUGGGCUGUAUGUGACGAUAUGUACAAUUUUAGGGGAGGUUGAUGCAAAUCACCAUCGCUNAAAAAGCAAUGCAUUUUUCUGCUAUCUCAUAAACAUGGUAAUUAUGGGUGAUUCAGAAAAAUAAAUAGGACUUCUUAGGGCAGGGGUAUUUUAGGUAACUAGAUUGUUUUAGUUUCUUAUGCACGGUAAAUGAAUUAGACAAGUAGAAAGACUAAAAGAAAACUAUGUUGUUAUUACUUAGCAAUUUCUUAUAUACUUUAACAACAAUGUACAUUGAAAUAUUUGGACAUUUAUCUAAUUAUAUUUAAUUGCACUUUUUUACCUUUAAUUUUAACAAUAAUGUUUUUGUAACACCUCAAAUCUUAGACCAAUUUUUUUUUUUCAUUUUAAAUUUACCGAAAACAAGUUUCACAAAUAAAGUUAUCAAACACAUAAUAAUCCAAAACAACCGUUUUCACAAAAUAUCAGAGUUUUUGAAACUGUCCCAAACCUCUAUCCAUCCUCCCAGCGAGUGUGCACAAUCAGACAUUCGCCUUCCCGCACUUCUCAAAACUACCUGAAACACAUAAAUCAACAACUGUAACCACGAAGCUUAGUGGGUUUUCCAAGAUAUCACACACAACACUACAUAAAUAAAUAGCUAUGGGUUAUCAGCAACCUUGGGGACUAUCAACAAUACCAGCGGGCAACAACACACCUUAUGAGUUUUCAGCAACUCUAGGGACUGUCCUCAGUCUCAGUCACACGUAACAACGUAACACAAAAUAACAGCAGACCCAACUGAUCAUCAUAAAUACAACUAUUCUACCAGACAGGUAAGGAUAACUGAGGAGACUCGCCUUAUACUAUCGACAAGUAAAUGUCAUAGCCGAACUGCCAGAAUUAGACUUCUCCUAUCGAACGAAAUAAUUAACCCUACUUAGUAUUUAACAUCCAAAUCUAAGUCAAAAGUCAACGAAAUUCGACUGCUCAAUGCGUAUGCUUGGCGUAUACUUCGUUACACGGGGCGUACAAUGCGAACAGUGACCAGACGGCGAAGGAACUGGCUGAUGGGUUUUAUACAAAACAACAUCCUAUGCGCUCAUGCAAACCCUAAAGCUUGGAUCUAGGUUUCUCUAUUUUACAUGCAAUUCAUCCAAGGCUACCAAAAAUUGGCAUCCAAGUGAUCUUAGAAGAGUCCAUUUUCUCAGCUCCUAACUAUGUGUAAAAAUCCAACAAAUAUUUUCUAAAUUUUUCAUAUUGCAUUCCUAAUUUUCCCAAUUGGGCCCAAGUAUAUCCAUUAGGCCUUAUCCUAUAGCUCAAUCCAAAUAUUAUAGUCCAUAUGCUUGUUUUUGGAUUGCCCAUCAGUAGCCCAAUCACCAAAGCCCAAUAGAAAGGCCAAACUCAAGGCCAAAGCAAAAUUAGGGUUUCUCACAUGAAAUGACGAUUGGGGUUAAGUAAUCUAACUUAACCCAUUAAACACUUAAUCCAUUAAAGUCCAUCACUCUAUUAGGCCAUUCAUACAAUGUAGUUGGACACAAAUCAAAAUUCCAGUAUAAUAGUCCAAACGCGUGUCCCGACAAUUCCCAAAGUAACAUUCCCAGAGUUAGGGUUUUAUAAACCCUAAUUAGGGUUUCCAAUCCAAUCACAAUCCUACUGAGUCCAAGAUUAAGCAACUAGGCCAAUUAGGGUUCCACAAGGCCAGACACCACCCACUGCCACCUCGGCGGUGGUGGUCGGCAACAGCCAUAAUUUGCAAUGGUGGUGGUGGUGGUAGUUCCUGCCCAAAAAUUCCUUAUACCACUUCACACAUAAUAUACACACACACACGUAGCCACUAGAGUUGGUGGUUAGUGGUGGAAAAACGGUGGCAGCCACCACCUCAUGGUGGUGGUGACGGACCUUCAUUGAUUUUCCGGCCAAAAAUGGCUCAUACAGCAACAAUAACACUGAAAACAACAUAUAUUCUAGACAUACAUCCACCCAGCCACCUUCCAUGCGGCUGAUUUUUCCGGAAAGUUACGAAACCAGUUGCCAAAGGCCACCGACGGCAGCGGUGAAGCAUCUGAUGUCGAACACGCACAAAGGGACGGAGGAAAGGAGGGAGACAAGUGGCAGAUGGUCUUACCUGAAGCCUCUCGGUAGGUCACGCCCUUGCUGCAGUGAACACGUCCUUUUGUCGACCAUCAGCGGUUUUCCGGGUUGUUUACGAUGUCUCCGGCAGCGACGUUGUGGCAUUUAGAUGGCGAUGGAUCGGCGGCAACGACGUUGUGGCGUGUAGGUGGAGUUUCGUUUUAUCUGGACGCAUCUAAGUAGUUUACUGAACCGUACCUUUUUUUAGAUUAACGAAUACAAGAAAAUGUUAGUUUGGUUAUUACAAUCUUUUAGUUUGAUGCAUAACUCUUGAUGUUGUUCCCAUUCAUAUUUUCAUUGAGAUAAAAAGUGUGCAAGUAUAAAACUAAUUUUGCUUCAUACUUUUUCUUAUAAUGAUGAGUUUAAAGGUGAUUAUGAAAUAAAAAAUGAUUGUGAUAUCAUCGAUCCAUUGAAGGUUUAUUAUCACCUUUAAAGUUAUUUAUUAUUAAUUUUUUUACAUAAAAAGUUUUUUUAAUCUACUUUAGGUAUGGUUAUAGAAGACUAAGUUUAUUUUACUUGGAACAAUCUAAGUACUUAGAAAGGUCUAUGCUUGGUUUUAUGAUGCUUGUAUUAGACGUGGAAAGAAGGUUAUAGAGGUGUAUAGUAUUGAUUAUACAUCUGAUUCCCAAAAAGGCAUAUCAUAUAUACAACGGAUUUCCGACGGCUAUGGCAAAUUUUAGCAACGAAUUUUUAGGUCGGUUAUUAGUACCGAUCAAUGACGAAUAUACUUUUUUGUAAAAAUUACCAAAAGAAUAACUCACUAACGAACUAUCGAUGAAAUUUAAUAAAAACUCACUAAUAGAUCACAUAUAGAUUUUAUGUGAUAGGCUAGCGGCGACUUUUGUAUAUAAAAAAAAAUAUAAAUUCAUGAAAAAAUUAACAAUAAUUACAUAUUUAACAAAGGAAAAAUCUUGAAACAUACAUCAAAUCUGUAUUUUAAAACCAUCAAAUAUAAAUCCACCAGUUGGGUAUUCAUUAUUCAUUCAUUCUUUGUUUACUUUACUUCUCCAUGCAAAGACAAAAUCCAAAACAAUCUUGAAAAUUAAUUCCACCUUGAGGACCCACCACCUCCAUUUCUAACAAAGAUGUUCCUUAGAAUGUCAGCAUUCAUUAGAAACAUGUUUCCCAAGGAAAACAAUCCACUUCUUAUCGGAAUAUGUGAUUCGGAUUCCGAUCCCUCCGAAAUGAGAAGACACCUUCAGAUCAACAAUCUCAUACUAAAUCGAGUGAAAACGAUGGAAAUUUUAGCAAAUUUAGAUUCAAAUUAACACACCUUCAGAUACAUCUUCUUGUGUUCCCUCAAACACCGUAUAUGAUAUUCCCUUUCACACUGCAAGGAGGAUAAAUCUAACAAUCAGAAAUCAAAACGCAGCAUAAUUGGAUUUUUUUGAAUGACCAUUUAUCCUUGUACCAAAACUAAAACAAGCACUAUACUACAGGGACCAAAUUUAUUGAUAUAUAUUUAAGGAAUGAGCAUGUCAAGAUCUAGUGAUCAGAUAUGCAACUUCUGUCAACAUUGCCAUCAUCUCCAAACAUCAUUCAGUAAGAAUGGAACAAGAUGUCAGAUUUAGACCUUACUUAAGCGUUACUUGAUAUAGCAUAAAUUGGAAAGUUGAGAAUUAAAAAUUUAUUGGCAUCAAAACAAUUACAUAAGAAAACGUUUUAUAAACUUACCUUUGAAAGGAGAACAGCAAUACAUGUGAAGCCUUUUUGUUACAAUCAAUGAAAACCUGCAGAAAUAAAAUAAAUGGUAAUCUACUGAUUAAUCUGUAGCAGCCGUGUAAAAGAAUAAUAAAAACACUACUUUAUAGUUUAUAGUUUAUACUCACAUGAAACAUUCACAUGAAAGAUAUCAAAAGCUUAUGAACAUUUUGUUAUCAUCAGAAACAUCUUUGCCAAGGAACACAAUCCACUUGACAUCAGAAAGGGUAAGGUACAGUGGCCUGGAGAAACCCACAAAACCAACCCUUGAAAUGCUAUGAACACCUAACUGGUACCGAUCUGAUUCAACUAGACUGACAACAGAUCAAGAAAGUGUGAGUCACAGGAGAACAGCAUAUAUAAACUUCGAAACUACAAAAAAAAAGGACAAAACAGCUUCAAAACACAUGAUUCAGAAUGAUAACUUACAUGGUUUUUCUUACAAAAUAUUGCGGAUCUUUGCUAGUUUUUUGAUCUGUGUGCAUGAUAGAGAAUUUUUUUUUUGAAAUCAACAAAUAAAAGUCUUGGUGAUUUGCAUGACCCAAAAGACACAGAUCGAUAACUUUAUCAAACCAAUGCAUGAUUUUCAGAUAUGCAUUAUCCUCCUAAGCUCUUAAUUAUUUGUGAAUAGUUUGAUGUUUGGAUCCUGGAUCUAGAUUCAGUUGAUUAUGACAGCGGCUGUGGAUCCUCAACAUCUAAUAUAUAUAGUAAGAAAAGUGUGGGCGUCAACCCUAAUCCUGAUCUCUAGCGAUGGUGAUUUGCAUCAACCUCCCCUAAAAUUGUACAUAUCGUCACAUACAGCCCAACCAUUAAGAAAAAUGACGCUUUUUAUUUGUAGUUUUUUUAACAGAUCUUAAAUAUUUGUAAAUGGUCAUAAUACUCCUUUGUAUACAUAACUAUUUUUUUAACGGUUCUUAUUUGUAAAUGGCCACACUAUCUUUAUUUGUAUUUUUUUUCAAAAACAUUUGAUACAUUUUUCUUGCUUGUUUAAGUGAGAAUAUCUUCAAUCAUUUGACAUUAUGAUUAUUCGAGGUUGACUAUACCUUAUUCAUUGUUUAGCCUUUCAACAUGACAGGCUGUCAUUAGCACAAACUUAUUAUAAUGUUUGGCUACAAAAUUAAAGUUUUCACAAAAAGUUGAAAUUAUGAUUGUGUUAAAUGAAAUCAUAAUAAUCUUGUAUAAUGAUAAUUAUAUUUAUUUAUAAAUUUAAUUUCAUGAAGAAACUGAUUGUAAUAAUGUAAAUAAGGUAAAAUUGUACAUAUAUUUAUCGUUUUGCACCCCCUCGAGUUAAACUCUCGAUGUCUAAGAAAGCUCAACGAGAAAGAUUCAAUUUUAUGAAAGGUCUGUCCGCAAGUUCACUUGGAUGAUUUUUCGAUUACUCACACCCGAUGUUUUGAUAUGUACACAUUGUGCUAUAUUCAUUGCGACAUUGCAUUUAAAGUAUAUUUGGAUUUCUUUUUUGUUUCAAUGCAGUAUGAGUUAUAGAACAUGUCAACGACAGUUAGAAUGAAUUUUGAUAAGCAUGCAAGAAACAUAACACAUGCACAAACCUCCACUGGACGAUUGAUUCUCGAGGAUCAAGUUUGUGGGUAAAUAUCCAUUGAUGGUCGAUCAUUAAUUUCCAGAAUGACAUAGUGUAGAAUAUUUAUCAAAAUAUAUUUCUAAAAUUGGUCUAGGUUUUAACACUAAUGUUCGAUUUAAUGAGCUUACCAAAAUUAACUAUAGGUGAUGUGAUAACUGUCUCAAGCAACUCUUACACGGGAUUGCUCCAAAGAAACCCUAGACUCCUUGUUUGAUACUAUAUACUCCACCGCUAACGUUCAAUAUUCCUCAAUAAACAACAAAAGGGAAACAAAACAAGUGGUAUUUAGGGGUAAAAUGACCAUUUUUACCAUCUUACUUUACUACAAUGCUAUAUUGCUAUUUUACACAAUUACUUAUACUCACAUUAUGUGCAAAAAAAAAAGCAAUGCAUUUUUCUGCUAUCUCAUAAACAUGGUAAUUAUGGGUGAUUCAGAAAAAUAAAUAGGACUUCUUAGGGCAGGGGUAUUUUAGGUAACUAGAUUGUUUUAGUUUCUUAUGCACGGUAAAUGAAUUAGACAAGUAGAAAGACUAAAAGAAAACUAUGUUGUUAUUACUUAGCAAUUUCUUAUAUACUUUAACAACAAUGUACAUUGAAAUAUUUGGACAUUUAUCUAAUUAAAUUUAAUUGCACUUUUAUACCUUUAAUUUUAACAAUAAUGUUUUUGUAACACCUCAAAUCUUAGACCAAUUUUUUUUUUCAUUUUAAAUUUACCGAAAACAAGUUUCACAAAUAAAGUUAUCAAACACAUAGUUAUCCAAAACAACCGUUUUCACAAAAUAUCAGAGUUUUUGAAACUGUCCCAAACCUCUAUCCAUCCUCCCAGCGAGUGUGCACAAUCAGAAAUUCGCCUUCCCGCACUUCUCAAAACUACCUGAAACACAUAAAUCAACAACUGUAACCACGAAGCUUAGUGAGUUUUCCAAGAUAUCACACACAACACCACAUAAAUAAAUAGCUAUGGGUUAUCAGCAACCUUGGGGACUAUCAACAAUACCAGUGGGCAACAACACACCUUAUGAGUUAUCAGCAACUCUAGGGACUGUCCUCAGUCUCAGUCACACGUAACAACGUAACACAAAAUAACAGCAGACCCAACUGAUCAUCAUAAAUACAACUAUUCUACCAGACAGGUAAGGAUAACUGAGGAGACUUGCCUUAUACUAUCGACAAGUAAAUGUCAUAGCCGAACUGCCAGAAUUAGACUUCUCCUAGCGAACGAAAUAAUUAACCCUACUUAGUAUUUAACAUCCAAAUCUAAGUCAAAAGUCAACGAAAUUCGACUGCUUAAUGCGUAUGCUUGGCGUACACUUCGUUAUACGGGGCGUACAAUGCGAACAGUGACCAGACGGCGAAGGAACUGGCUGAUGGGUUUUAUACAAAACAACAUCCUAUGCGCUCAUGCAAACCCUAAAGCUUGGAUCUAGGUUUCUCUAUUUUACAUGUAAUUCAUCCGUGGCUACCAAAAAUUGGCAUCCAAGUGAUCUUAGAAGAGUCCAUUUUCUCAGCUCAUAACUAUGUGUAAGAAUCCGACAAAUAUUUUCUAAAUUUUUCAUAAUGCAUUCCUAAUUUUCCCAGUUGGGCCCAAGUAUAUCCAUUAGGCCUUAUCCUAAAGCUCAAACCAAAUAUUAUAGUCCAUAUGCUUGUUUUUGGAUGGCCCAUCAGUAGCCCAAUCACCAAAGCCCAAUAGAAAGGCCAAACUCAAGGCCAAAGCAAAAUUAGGGUUUCUCACAUGAAAUGAUGAUUAUGGUUAAGUAAUCUAACUUAACCCAUUAAACACUUAAUCCAUUAAAGUCCAUCACUCUAUUAGGCCAUUCAUACAAGGUAGUUGGACAUAAAUCAAAAUUCCAAUAUAAUAGUCCAAACGCGUCUCCCGACAAUUCCCAAAGUAACAUUCCCAGAGUUAGGGUUUUAUAAACCCUAAUUAGGGUUUCCAAUCCAAUCACAAUCCUACUGAGUCCAAGAUUAAGCAACUAGGCCAAUUAGGGUUCCACAAGGCCAGACACCACCCACUGCCACCUCGGCGGUGGUGGUUGGCAGCAGACACCAUUUGCAAUGGUGGUGGUGGGGGGGGGUUCCGNUUGCAAUGGUGGUGGUGGUGGUGGUUCCUGCCCAAAAAUUGCAUAUACCACUUCACACAUAAUACACACACACACACACGUAGCCACUAGAGAUGGUGGUUAGUGGUGGAAAAACGGUGGCAGCCACCACCUCAUGGUGGUGGUGACGGACCUUCAUUGAUUUUCCGGCCAAAAAUGGCUCAUACAGCAACAAUAACACCAACAACAACAUAUAUUCUAGACAUACAUCCAUCCAGCCACCUUCCAUGCGGCUGAUGUUGCCGGAAAGUUACGAAAAUAGUUGCCAAAGGCCACCGACGGCAGCGGUGAAGCAUCUGAUGUCGAACACGCACAAAGGGACGAAGGAGAGGAGGGAGACAAGUGGCAGAUGGUCUUACCUGAAGCCUCUCGGUAGUUCGCACCCUUGCUGCAGCGAACACGUCCUUUUGUCGACCAUCAGCGGUUUUCCGGGUUGUUUACGACGUCUCCAGCAGCGACGUUGUGGCAUUAAGAUGGCGAUGGAUCGGCGGCAGCGGCGUUGUGGCGUGUAGGUGGAGUUUCAUUUUAUCUGGACGCAUCUAAGUAGUUUACUGAGCCGUACCUUUUUUUAAAUUAACGAAUACAAGAAACUGUUAGUUUGGUUAUUACAAUCUUUUAGUUUGAUGCAUAACUCUUGAUGUUGUUCCCAUUCAUAUUUUCAUUGAGAUAAAAAGUGUGCAAGUAUAAAACUAAUUUUGCUUCAUACUUUUUCUUAUAAUGAUGAGUUUAAAGGUGAUUAUGAAAUAAAAAAUGAUUGUGAUAUCAUCGAGCCAUUGAAGGUUUAUUAUCACCUUUAAAGUUAUUUAUUAUUAAUUUUUUUACAUAAAAAGUUUUUUUAAUCUACUUUAGGUAUGGUUAUAGAAGACUAAGUUUAUAUUACUUGGAACAAUCUAAGAAAUUAGAAAGGUCUAUGCUUGGUUUUAUGAUGCUUGUAUUAGACGUGGAAAGAAGGUUAUAGAGGUGUAUAGUAUUGAUUAUACAUCUGAUUCCCAAAUAGGCAUAUCAUAUAGGCAACGGAUUUCCGACGGCUACGACAAAUUUUAGCAACGAAUUUUUACGUUGGUUAUUAGUAACCGAUCAAUGACGAAUAUACUUUUUUGUAAAAAUUAUCAAAAGAAUAACUCACUAAUGGACUAUCGAUGAAAUUUAAGAAAAAAUCACUAAUAGAUCACAUAUUGUAACAGCCAGGAAUUCCAGGUAUUGUUAUAUUUACGAUUUUGGGUGUUUUAAGAGGGGACUCGGCGAGUUGGAGCCUAGACUCGCCGAGUAGGAUCGCGGAACUGGUCGCGGGUUCGCGACUGGACUUGACGAGUCCGGAUAUGGACUCGGCGAGUCUGCGCUGUUUAGCGAAAACCCUAACCGUUCAGGUUUGGGACGUAUAUAAGGGACCUUAUGGCCGUCAUUGUUCACCCUAGUCCUUUGAGAGAAACCCUAAUUCGAUUGUGAGCAUUAGGAGCAAGGUCGAAGACUAUUGUUGAUUUUGGAAGUGUUGCUUUGCAAGGAAGAGGAGCUUGGUUAAGGGAACAACAAGGGAAGCCACGUUCUGAGGAUUGGGGACACAGAGAGCACGUUAUUCAGGUAACAUUUCGAGUUGCAUCCUUCUAUGUUGAUGUGUAUAUGGAUUUAGGGUUUAUUGAACCCUUUUGUGGCUAGAUUAAGUGUUACCUUAGUCCCCCAAACGAUUGGAACCCUGUAUUGGGAUCUUUAGAAGUCCAGAAUCUCCCAUGCCUGAGCAUUUCGGGAAUCAAUGGAGGUUUUGGAUUGGAAUCCUUAUGCCUUAAGACAAAAUUUAAAUUAUGAGUCAUGGGGUGUAUUAUGAGCACCGAAAUGAGGACCUUACGUGAUGAAUCAGUCUAGGAAGGCCAAACCUAUGAAUGGUCGGAGCAGUUCUGACCUUAGAAAGUAGUUUGAGCGGUUGCAUGGCAUGGACUCGCCGAGUCCGAUGAACAGACUCGGCGAGUAGCUUGAAGAUUAACUGGGACUCGUCGAGUUGUUCUUCAGACUCGGCGAGUUGAGUCGGGGUGGCCCNGUCGGGGUGGCCCGCGAUUCGUCCAGGAGGAACUCGUCGAGCCGAGGGGGAUACUCGACGUGAGAAAGGGAAUCUUAGAGAAUCGGCGAGUCAAGGGCGAGUGGACUCAGAGUUAUCGAACUCGGCGAGUCUNNNNNNNNNNNNNNNNNNNNNNNNNNNNNNNNNNNNNNNNNNNNNNNNNNNNNNNNNNNNNNNNNNNNNNNNNNNNNNNNNNNNNNNNNNNNNNNNNNNNAGCAUUUCAAGGGUUGGUUUUGUGGGUUUCUCCAGGCCACUGUACAUUAGCUUACCCUUUCAAAGGUAAGUUUAUAAAACGUUUUCUUAUGUAAUUGUUUUGAUGCCAAUAAAUUUUUAAUUCUCUACUUUCCAAUUUAUGCUAUAUCAAGUAACGCUUAAGUAAGAUCUAAAUCUGACAUCUUGUUCCAUUCUUACUGAAUGAUGUUUGGGGAUCAUGGCAAUGUUGACAAAAGUUGCAGAUCUGAUCACUAGAUCUUGACAUGCUCAUUCCUUAAAUAUAUAUCAAUAAAUUUGGUCCCUGUAGUAUAGUGCUUGUUUUAGUUUUGGCACAAGGUUAAAAUGGUCAUUCAAAAAAAUCCAAUUAUUCUGCUUUUUCAUUUCUGAUUGUUAGAUUUAUACUCCUUGCAGUGUGGAAGGGAAUAUCAUAUACCGUGUUUGAGGAAACACAAGAAGAUGUAUCUGAAGGUGUGUUAAUUUGAAUCUAAAUUUGCUAAAAUUUCCGUCGUUUUCACUCGAUUUAAUAUGAGAUUGUUGAUCUGAAGGUGUCUUCUCAUUUCGGAGGGAUCGGAAUCGGAAUCACAUAUUCCGAUGUGAAAUGGAUUGUUUUCCUUGGGAAAGAUGUUUCUAAUGAAAGGUGACAUUCUAAGGAACAUUUUUGUUAGAAAUGGAGGUGGUGGGUCCUCAAGGUGGAAUUACUUUUCAAGAUUGUUUUUGUUUUUGUCUUUGCAUUGAGAAGUAAAGUAAACAAUGAAUGAAUGAAUAAUGAAUACCCAAUUGGUGGAUAUAUAUUUGAUGUUUUUAAAAUAUAGAUUUGAUGUAUGUUUCAAGAUUUUUCCUUUGUUAAAUAUGUAAUUAUUAUUAAUUUUUUCAUGAAUUUAUAUUUUUUUUAUAUACAAAAGUCGCCGCUAGCCUAUCACAUAAAAUCUAUAUGUGUAACGUCCAAAAUUUCAAAACAAUUAAAACUUUUCAAAAACCACUCAUUUUAAUAAAGUUAUUACAAAAAGGUUUCAAUACAUUAUUUAACAGAGUAUUCUCCCAGGUUCACAUCAANNNNNNNNNNNNNNNNNNNNNNNNNNNNNNNNNNNNNNNNNNNNNNNNNNNNNNNNNNNNNNNNNNNNNNNNNNNNNNNNNNNNNNNNNNNNNNNNNNNNACAAAAUCGGUCUUUUCUGGCCGUGAAAUUGGGGAUGUCACAGCUGCCACCGUUUUGCCACCACUAACCACCAUCUCUGGUGGCUAUGUGUGUGUGUAUAUUAUGUGUGAAGUGGUAUAUGCAAUUUUGGGGCACGAACCACCACCACCACCACCACCAUUGCAAAUGGUGGCUGCUGCCAACCACCACNCACCUCCGAGGUGGCAGUGGGUGGUGUCCGGCCUAAUAGAAGCCUAAUUGGCCCAGUAGCUUAAUCUUGGACUCAGUAGGAUGUGAUUGGAUUGGAAACCCUAAUUAGGGUGUAACACCGUGAAUUUUCAAAAUAAUUUUUGACAAAUAUAUAAAAACAUUUCCCAUUUAAUUUUCAUAAAACAUUAAGUUUAAAAUCUCAAUUCACAUCAUACAAAAUCCCAAGAUCAUAUAUAUAUCCAAAAUCCCAUGCGUGUGUACAGAUCAAGCCGGCGCCUUCCCACGGUCAUCGCUAGUACCUGAAACAACAACACUAACACUGUAAGCACAAAGCUUAGUGAGUUCCCCAAAAUACCACAUAAACAUAUAUUAGCCACUCGAGGCUAUAACUCUAUGGGUCCGUGCACCCAAGCUCUGUGAACCCUCAGGUUCUAACUCUGGGAACCUUCCGGUUCCAACUCUAUAAACAUGCACAACAUAAAUCACAUAGACAUCAUGCAGUACAACACAUAGCAUACACAUAACAUACACAUACUCUGUCACAUAACUCUGAUUACCUACUCAAGGUAAAGUAUAGUGAGAAGACUCACCUCGUAUAUCUCGAUAACUCGCGAAUCCUGGAAAUCACUCGUGCUCGAUCCUCCGAGCUAUAAUCCUCCUAUAACAUCAUAUAUCUCUAAUUAACACUUUUACCACUAAGGUUGACUACCCCUAUCAAGUCAACACUGGUCAACUCUGGUCAACGGUCAACGGUCAACUUUGACCGGACUCGGCGAGUGCACUAGGGCGACUCGGCGAGUCUAAGCGUUUUCACCAACUCUCUAGGAUUCCCUUUUUGACACGUCGAGUAUUCCCCUGACUCGACGAGUUCCACCUGGUAUGAAUCGCGGGGCCACCCCGACUCAACUCGCCGAGUCUCAAGAACAACUCGGCGAGUCCCAGCUCGACUCAGUCCACCUGUCAACCCUCUCUAACUCUCCCUGACUCACUGAGUCAACCCAUAACUCAGUAGGACCACUCACUGAGUGGUUAAGGACAAUCUUCAUGCUACUCGCCGAGUCUGUUCUUCAGACUCGGCGAGUCCAUGCCAUGCAUCAACUCAAACUUGCUUCUGAGGUCAGAUCCGUUCCAACAACUCAUAGAUCUGGCCCUCCUAAGCUUAUUCAUCAUGUAAAGUCCAUAUCUUGGUGCUCAUAACACACCCCAUGACUCAUAAAUGGUGUUUUGACCUCAAGCACAAAGACCCCAAUCCAAAACCCCCAUGGAUUCAUAAAAAGCUUGGGCAAAGGGACACUCUGGACCUCCAAAGGUCCAGAUCUAGAACCUAACUCGCUUAAGGGACCAAGGAAGCACUAGAUCUAGCCACAAAAGGGCUCAACAAGCCCUAAAUCAAUAUAAACAUCAACAUAACAGAGAAUAGCUCGAAGGUAGUACCUCAAAUGUGAUGUUCUGGACCUCAAAUCUUCACGAAGUGGCUCCUCUUGGUUCCCUUUAGCUAUUGCUUCCUUUCCCUUGCAAGAUGACACCUCCAAGGUCAAGAAUGGCUUCAUGCUUUGCUCCAAACGCUCAAACUUGCUAGGGUUUCACUCAGGGGACUGGUGAGCACAAAUGACGGCCUUAAGGCCCUUUAAAUAGGUCCCAAACCCGAGAAAUUAGGGUUUUUAAACAGCANNNNNNNNNNNNNNNNNNNNNNNNNNNNNNNNNNNNNNNNNNNNNNNNNNNNNNNNNNNNNNNNNNNNNNNNNNNNNNNNNNNNNNNNNNNNNNNNNNNNNNNNNNNNNNNNNNNNNNNNNNNNNNNNNNNNNNNNNNNNNNNNNNNNNNNNNNNNNNNNNNNNNNNNNNNNNNNNNNNNNNNNNNNNNNNNNNNNNNNNNNNNNNNNNNNNNNNNNNNNNNNNNNNNNNNNNNNNNNNNNNNNNNNNNNNNNNNNNNNNNNNNNNNNNNNNNNNNNNNNNNNNNNNNNNNNNNNNNNNNNNNNNNNNNNNNNNNNNNNNNNNNNNNNNNNNNNNNNNNNNNNNNNNNNNNNNNNNNNNNNNNNNNNNNNNNNNNNNNNNNNNNNNNNNNNNNNNNNNNNNNNNCAUCCACCUAAAUAUCCUCUAAUGGAACCACUGCCGACUCAUCGGCUAUACACUUCCUCAGCUACGACACAUGAAAAGUGUUGUAAAUUUUCCCCAACUCUGCUGGCAAAUCCAAACGAUCGGCUACACGGCCUACCCUCGCGAUCACACAGAAUGGACCAAUAUAUCGGGGCCCCAACUUGCCCCUCUUCUUGAAUCGAAUCACUCCUUUCGAAGGAGAGACCUUCAGGAGAACAAAGUCGCUGACCUAGAACUCAAGCUCUUCGUCAACCUGGCCAUAAUCACCCAAAUUGCAUCAACUCCUCUAGCAGUCCUCGGCAAUUUNNNNNNNNNNNNNNNNNNNNNNNNNNNNNNNNNNNNNNNNNNNNNNNNNNNNNNNNNNNNNNNNNNNNNNNNNNNNNNNNNNNNNNNNNNNNNNNNNNNNUUCACAUGUAUUGCUGUUCUCCUUUCAAAGGUAAGUUUAUAAAACUUUUUCUUAUGUAUUUGUUUUGAUGCCAAUAAAUUUUUAAUUCUCAACUUUCCAAUUUAUGCUAUAUCAAGUAACGCUUAAGUAAGGUCUAAAUCUGACAUCUUGUUCCAUUCUUACUGAAUGAUGUUUGGAGAUGAUGGCAAUGUUGACAGAAGUUGCAUAUCUGAUCACUAGAUCUUGACAUGCUCAUUCCUUAAAUAUAUAUCAAUAAAUUUGGUCCCUGUAGUAUAGUGCUUGUUUUAGUUUUGGUACAAGGAUAAAUGGUCAUUCAAAAAAAUCCAAUUAUGCUGCGUUUUGAUUUCUGAUUGUUAGAUUUAUCCUCCUUGCAGUGUGAAAGGGAAUAUCAUAUACGGUGUUUGAGGGAACACAAGAAGAUGUAUCUGAAGGUGUGUUAAUUUGAAUCUAAAUUUGCUAAAAUUUCCAUCGUUUUCACUCGAUUUAAUAUGAGAUUGUUGAUCUGAAGGUGUCUUCUCAUUUCGGAGGGAUCGGAAUCGGAAUCACAUAUUCCGAUGAGAAGUGGAUUGUUUUCCUUGGGAAAGAUGUUUCUAAUGAAUGCUGACAUUCUAAGGAACAUCUUUGUUAGAAAUGGAGGUGGUGGGUCCUCAAGGUGGAAUUAAUUUUCAAGAUUGUUUUGGAUUUUGUCUUUGCAUGGAGAAGUAAAGUAAACAAAGAAUGAAUGAAUAAUGAAUACCCAAUUGGUGGAUUUAUAUUUGAUGGUUUUAAAAUACAGAUUUGAUGUAUGUUUCAAGAUUUUUCCCUUGUUAAAUAUGUAAUUAUUGUUAAUUUUUUGAUGAAUUUAUAUUUUUUUUUUAUAUACAAAAGUCGCCGCUAGCCUAUCACAUAAAAUCUAUAUGUGAUCUAUUAGUGAGUUUUUCUUAAAUUUCAUCGAUAGUCCGUUAGUGAGUUAUUCUUUUGGUAAUUUUUACAAAAAAGUGUAUUCGUCAUUGAUCGGUACCAAUAACCGACCUAAAAAUUCGUUGCUAAAAUUUGCCAUAGCCGUCGGAAAUCCGUUGCAUAUAUGAUAUGCCUUUUUGGGAAUCAGAUGUAUAAUCAAUACUAUACACCUCUAUAACCUUCUUUCCACGUCUAAUACAAGCAUCAUAAAACCAAGCAUAGACCUUUCUAAGUUCUUAGAUUGUUCCAAGUAAAAUAAACUUAGUCUUCUAUAACCAUACCUAAAGUAGAUUAAAAAAACUUUUUAUGUAAAAAAAUUAAUAAUAAAUAACUUUAAAGGUGAUAAUAAACCUUCAAUGGAUCGAUGAUAUCACAAUCAUUUUUUAUUUCAUAAUCACCUUUAAACUCAUCAUUAUAAGAAAAAGUAUGAAGCAAAAUUAGUUUUAUACUUGCACACUUUUUAUCUCAAUGAAAAUAUGAAUGGGAACAACAUCAAGAGUUAUGCAUCAAACUAAAAGAUUGUAAUAACCAAACUAACAUUUUCUUGUAUUCGUUAAUCUAAAAAAAGGUACGGUUCAGUAAACUACUUAGAUGCGUCCAGAUAAAAUGAAACUCCACCUACACGCCACAACGCCGCUGCCGCCGAUCCAUCGCCAUCUAAAUGCCACAACGUCGCAGCCGGAGACAUCGUAAACAACCCGGAAAACCGCUGAUGGUCGACAAAAGGACGUGUUCACUGCAGCAAGGGCGCGACCUACCGAGUGGCUUCAGGUAAGACCAUCUGCCACUUGUCUCCCUCCUCUCCUCCGUCCCUUUGUGCGUGUUAGACAUCAGAUGCUUCAGCGCUGCCGUCGGUGGCCUUUGGCAACUGUUUUCGUAACUUUCCGGCAACAUCAGCCGCAUGGAAGGUGGCUGGGUGGAUGUAUGUCUAGAAUAUAUGUUGUUUUCGGUGUUAUUGCUGCUGUAUGAGCCAUUUUUGGCCGGAAAAUCAAUGAAGGUCCGUCACCACCACCAUGAGGGCGGCUGCCNUUCCACCACUAACCACCAUCUCUAGUGGCUACGUGUGUGUGUGUGUGUAUUAUGUGUGAAGUGGUAUAUGCAAUUUUUGGGCAGGAACCACCACCACCACCACCAUUGCAAAUGGUGUCUGCUGCCGACCACCACCGCCGAGGUGGCAGUGGGUGGUGUCUGGCCUUGUGGAACCCUAAUUGGCCUAGUUGCUUAAUCUUGGACUCAGUAGGAUUGUGAUUGGAUUGGAAACCCUAAUUAGGGUUUAUAAAACCCUAACUCUGGGAAUGUUACUUUUGGAAUUAUCGGGACACGCGUUUCGACUAUUAUACUGGAAUUUUGAUUUAUAUCCAACUACAUUGUAUGAAUGGCCUAAUAGAGUGAUGGACUUUAAUGGAUUAAGUGUUUAAUGGGUUAAGUUAGAUUACUUAACCCUAAUCGUCAUUUCAUGUGAGAAACCCUAAUUUUGCUUUGGCCUUGAGUUUGGCCUUUCUAUUGGGCUUUGGUGAUUGGGCUACUGAUGGGCAAUCCAAAAACAAGCAUAUGGACUAUUAUAUUUGGAUUGAGCUUUAGGAUAAGGCCUAAUGGAUAUACUUGGGCCCAAUUGGGAAAAUUAGGAAUGCAUUAUGAAAAAUUUAGAAAAUAUUUGUCGGAUUCUUACACAUAGUUAGGAGCUGAGAAAAUGGACUCUUCUAAGAUCACUUGGAUGCCAAUUUUUGGUAGCCUUGGAUGAAUUGCAUGUAAAAUAGAGAAACCUAGAUCCAAGCUUUAGGGUUUGCAUGAGCGCAUAGGAUGUUGUUUUGUAUAAAACCCAUCAGCCAGUUCCUUCGCCGUCUGGUCACUGUUCGCAUUGUACGCCCCGUGUAACGAAGUGUACGCCAAGCAUACGCAUUGGGCAGUCGAAUUUCGUUGACUUUUGACUUAGAUUUGGAUGUUAAAUACUAAGUAGGGUUAAUUAUUUCGUUCGCUAGCAGAAGUCUAAUUCUGGCAGUUCGGCUAUGACAUUUACUUGUCGAUAGUAUAAGGCGAGUCUCCUCAGUUAUCCUUACCUGUCUGGUAGAAUAGUUGUAUUUAUGAUGAUCAGUGGGUCUGNGUAUUUAUGAUGAUCAGUUGGGUCUGCUGUUAUUUUGUGUUACGUUGUUACGUGUGACUGAGACUGAGGACAGUCCCUAGAGUUGCUGAUAACUCAUAAGGUGUGUUGUUGCCCACUGGUAUUGUUGAUAGUCCCCAAGGUUGCUGAUAACCCAUAGUUAUUUAUUUAUGUGGUGUUGUGUGUGAUAUCUUGGAAAACUCACUAAGCUUCAUGGUUACAGUUGUUGAUUUAUCUGUUUCAGGUAGUUUUGAGAAGUGCGGGAAGGCGAAUGUCUGAUUGUGCACACUAACUGGGAGGAUGGAUAGAGGUUUGGGUGUAACAACUCAAAUUUUUCAAACAAAUUUUUCAAUUUUAAAACAUAAUUAUUUUCAUUAAAAACAAGGCAUAAAUAGUCAAUCAUUCAGUCAAUACAAUUAUUCAAAAUCCCAAGAUCAUAAAAACCAUCUUCAGUGUGUAUCGAUCAUGCCGGCGCCUUCCCACGGUCCUCGCUAGUACCUGAAAUACAUGCACAACAACUGUAAGCAUAAAUGCUUAGUGAGUUCCCCAAUAUACAACUUACGCACAUACGCCUUCCGGCCCGGACCUUUCGGUCCACAUAACAUUGCCUUCCGGCCCGGCCUUCCGGUCCAUGUGUCUCUGGGGACUUCCGUCCCUGCUGGGUAAACCUUCCGGCCUUACCCACGCCGACCUUCCGGUCCAUCACACAUCAUAUCGCCUUCCGGCCCAUAACAUAUUCGCCUUCCGGCCCAUAACAUACAUAGCACAUAUAACAUAUAACAUACCACAUAUAGCAUACAUAUCACAUAUCAUAUCCGACCUUCCGGUCACACAGUCAAACCCUUCCGGGUACAGUAUAGUGAGAAGACUCACCUCGUAAAUGCUGAAAGCUAGCAACUCCUGAAAUCACUCGCGCACAAACCAACGAGCUACAACCCUCCUAUAACAUUACAUAACUCAUUAACACUCAUAUCAUCUAAGUGUGACUAUCCCUAAGAAGUCAGACUUAGGUCAACUCUGGUCAACGGUCAACGGUCAACUCGACUGGACUCGGCGAGUACCAUGGCGACUCGGCGAGUCUAGUCGUCCUCACAAAUUCCUGAAUAUUCCCUUUCUACUCGUCGAGUAUCCCUCUUGACUCGACGAGGUCCUCGUGGAAGAAUCGCGGGGCCACCCCGACUCCACUCGCCGAGUCUGAUGAACAACUCGGCGAGUCCCAGUAAAUCUUCAAGCUACUCGCCGAGUCUGAAGAACAACUCGGCGAGUCCAUGCCAUGCAGACGAGUAACUGCUUCCUGAGAUAGGUCUCGUCCCGAAGUACACAUGCAUGGGACCUUCUGGACCUCUAAAGGUCCUAAUACAAGACUAUAAUCGUGGGGUAACAAGGCAUUACUUCAUCAAAUCACUAAAUGGGUUCUAUAAACCCUAAUUUCAUAAAUACAUCAAAAUAACAGAUUUGGUCCGAGUAUUACCUGAAAACGCACUCUCUGUGUCCCCCAAAUCUCAGGACUCAAUCCUCCUUGAUAUUCCUUUAGCCAAAUCCCUCUUCUUCUUGCCUAACCAAUUCUUCCAAGUUCCAAAGCUUUCUCCCUUGCUCUAGGCGUCCACAGCGAUUAGGGUUCCUCUCAAUUGACCAAAAGACUGAAAAUGACGGCCUAAGAGGCGUUAAAUACGAUCCAAACUGAACGGUUAGGGUUUCUGCUGAACAGCGUCGACUCGCCGAGUCCAUAUCUGGACUCGUCGAGUCCAGUCGCGGACCCGCGACCAAGUCCGCGAUCCUACUCGGCGAGUCUAGGCUCCAACUCGCCGAGUCCCCUCUUAAAUCACCCCAAAAACAUAAUUUUAAUAAUACCUGAGAUUCCGGGCUGUUACAAUUCUCCCCCACUUGGAUUAGACUUCGCCCUCGAAGUCUCACUCUGCAAAUAGUUCCGGAUGCUGCUCCCGCAUUUCGCGCUCCGGUUCCCAAGUCAUUUCUGAUCCCUUACGGUGUUGCCAUUGAACCAACACCAGAGGUACUUCCUUGUUCCUCAGAACCUUGAUCUUCCGAUCCCUGAUAGCCACUGGUCUCUCCGCGUAAUUCAGGCUCGCAUCCACCUGAAUAUCCUCCAAUGGAACCACUGCCGACUCAUCGGCUAUGCACUUCCUCAACUGCGACACAUGAAAAGUGUCAUGGAUCUGACCCAACUCCGCUGGCAACUCCAACCGGUAGGCUACCCGACCUAUCCUUGCAAUCACACGAAAUGGCCCAAUAUACCGGGGCCCCAACUUGCCUCUCUUCCUGAACCGAAUCACUCCUUUCCAAGGAGAGACCUUCAGGAGAACGAAGUCGCCGACUUGAAAUUCAAGCUCGGAUCGGCGCCUGUCUGCAUAACUCUUCUGUCGGCUCUGGGCAGUCAAUAAUCUUUGUCUCACUUGUUGAAUCUGCUCUGUCGUCUGGAGUAUGAUCUCCGUGCUGCCCAUCACUCUCUGUCCCACCUCUCCCCAGCAAAUGGGAGUCCGACACCUCCUACCAUACAACAGCUCGAAAGGCGGCAUACCAAUGCUCGAAUGAUGGCUGUUGUUGUAGGAAAACUCUGCUAAGGGUAAAUACGCAUCCCAACUACCCCCGAAGUCUAACACACACGCUCGGAGCAUGUCCUCCAGUGUCUGAAUUGUCCGCUCGCUCUGACCGUCUGUCUGGGGAUGGUAUGCGGUACUAAAAUGCAAUUUAGUACCCAGCUCCUCAUGGAAUUUCUUCCAGAAUCUGGAAGUAAAGCGCACAUCACGGUCUGACACAAUCGAGAUCGGCACCCCGUGCCGAGAUACCACCUCUCUCACGUAUAUCUCCGCCAAUUUCUCCGCCGAAGAACUCUCACUGAUGGCAAGGAAGUGUGCACUCUUUGUCAACCUAUCCACGAUCACCCAAAUUGCGUCAACUCCCCUAGCAGUCCUCGGCAAUUUGGUGAUAAAAUCCAUAGUAAUCUGUUCCCACUUCCACUCGGGGAUCUCCAAUGGCUGUAACUUGCCAUGCGGUCUCUGGUGCUCAGCCUUAACCCUACGGCAGGUCAAGCACCUCUCAACGAACCAUGCCACGUCCCUCUUCAUACAGGGCCACCAAUAUUCCUUCCUUAAAUCCAAAUACAUCUUUGUAGCACCGGGAUGGAUCGAGAAUUUCGAUCUAUGAGCCUCUUCCAUCAACGUAAUACGCGUACCGCCCACGAACGGUACCCAAAUCCGACCCUGAAACGUCAUAAGGCCUCGACUAUCCUUGACAAACUCUGAGAUUAACCCCACAACCCGCUCUUUCUUCUGCAUUUCUGGUCGCACAGCCUCCGCCUGGGCCCCACGAAUAGCGUCCAAUACUGGAGUCAUCACAGUCAGUCUCAAGCAUACGUCUCGCAAUGGAGUGCUCUCCGCCCUGCGGCUCAAUGCAUCGGCUACCACAUUAGCCUUGCCUGGGUGGUACAGGAUCUCACAAUCAUAAUCCUUGACCACAUCCAACCACCUCCUCUGACGCAUAUUUAGGUUGGGUUGAUCCAUCAAAUACUUCAAACUCUUAUGGUCCGUGUAUAUCGUACAUCGAACCCCAUACAAGUAGUGACGCCAAAUCUUGAGAGCGAACACUACUGCCCCCAACUCUAAAUCAUGCGUGGGAUAUCUCGCCUCAUGAGGCUUCAGCUGCCUCGACGCAUAAGCUAUCACAUGACCCCUCUGCAUUAACACUGCACCCAAUCCCGAAAUCGAUGCGUCGCAAUAUACCACGAAAUCUUCCAUCCCUUCUGGGAGAGCUAAUACCGGGGCUUCGCACAAUCUCUGGCGAAGUGUCUCAAAGGAGGUCUGCUGCUCGGGCCCCCAUGAGAAUGUAACACCCUUCCGGGUCAAUCUGGUGAGUGGCACUGCGAUCUUGGAGAAAUCCUUGAUAAAUCUCCGAUAAUACCCUGCCAACCCAAGGAAACUUCUGAUCUCAGAGGGUGACUUCGGCACCUCCCAACUCAUCACCGCCUCAACCUUGGCCGGAUCGACCAAUAUCCCUUUCUGAUUAACCACAUGUCCUAGAAACUGGACCUCCCGCAACCAGAAGUCACAUUUGGAGAACUUUGCAUAAAGCUUCUCCGACCUCAAUACCUCAAGGACCUCCCUCAAAUGCUCCUCAUGCUGCUCUCUAGAUCUCGAAUACACCAGAAUGUCGUCGAUAAAUACAAUCACUGACCGAUCCAACAUCGGCCUGCAUACCCUGUUCAUGAGAUCCAUGAACACAGCCGGGGCAUUGGUGAGUCCAAAAGGCAUCACCACAAACUCAUAAUGCCCAUAUCGCGUCCUAAACGCUGUCUUCUGGACGUCCUCAUCCCGUACUCUCACCUGAUGGUAUCCUGACCUCAGAUCGAUCUUGGAAAACCAAGAUGCUCCCUGCAACUGAUCGAAUAAAUCAUCGAUCCUCGGCAACGGGUAACGGUUCUUGACCGUUAGCUUGUUCAACUCCCGGUAAUCAAUGCACAUCCGGUGUGAACCAUCCUUCUUUUUGACGAACAGAAUAGGUGCUCCCCAUGGCGAGCUGCUCGGCCGAAUGAAUCCCUUUCCCAGCAACUCCUGGAGUUGCGAGGACAACUCUUGCAUCUCUGGAGGUGCAAGACGAUAGGGCACUUUAGCAAUAGGCGCUGCCCCCGGAACCAGAUCGAUACUAAACUCUACUUGCCUCACAGGCGGUACUCCCGGCAACUCCUCGGGAAAGACAUCUGAAAACUCGCGCACCACCGGAACUUCCUCAACUGACUUCGGUUUCUCAGAAACCUCCCGCGUAUCCAUCACAUACGCCACGAAACCCUUACAGCCCUGUCGUAGACACUGCCUCGCCCUAGCGGCCGAACAAAAAGCUGAUCCCGAACGGGUACCCUCGCCGUAUACCGAAAGAACUCCCCCACUAGGGUCUCGUAUAGUCACCAACUGACGCUCACAGUCGAUGACAGCGCCGAAUCGGCUCAACCAGUCCAUGCCCACGAUGACACAGACAUCCCCCAUCGCGAUAGGAAUCAGAUCAAUCGGGAAUCCAACCCCGAAAAUCUCUAGUACACAUCCCCGAAGAACCUCCGUAGCACAAAUCACCUUCUCGUCAGCUAUAGAGACUCUCAAAGGUCGACUCAACGACUCACGACUAACGCCAAUAUGCUGACUAAAGGCCAAGGACACAAAGGACCUACUCGCACCCGAGUCAAAUAACACUAAGGCAGGCACAGAGUUCACAAGGAAAGUACCUACGCGCAUAAUAACAUAAGCAUAACAUAUCGACAUUAAAAUAAUUACAUGAAUUACAACAUACCUGCCACAACAUCGGGCGCAGCGCGGACCUCCUCCGCAGUCAGCUGAAAGGCUCUCCCACGAGCCCUCGGGGCCUCGACCUUCACCGGUCGAGUCUCAGUAGUCCUGGCAACAGGUGCAGAUCCCUGACGAAGCUGAGGGCACUCGGCCUUCCGAUGGCCGGUCUGGUUGCAAUGAAAGCAAACCAUAAAUCCCUUGGGACACUCCCUAGCAAUGUGUCCCUCCUUGCCACACUUGUAGCAAGCACCGGCUCGACACGCCCCAUCGUGACCCUUACCGCACUUUACGCAAGUGCGGUUCUUCGAACCUCCCGUCCUCGAAUCGGCGGACUUGAUCCGCUUGGCUGCCGGCUGAGACUGAGCCGGCCGCCGGUCUGCCUGCUGAGACUCGGCCUCCUCCCUGGCCUGAGUCUCUAACUCGAUCUCACGCUUCCUGGCAUUCGCCUGAAGCUCAGUAAAAGUAUGGUAAGUGGAGUUUGACACAAACUCCCGGAUCUCCCUCCUCAGAACACCCAAGUACCGGCUCAUCCGAGCCUGCUCUGUGGCCACCAGCUCGGGGCAAAACAUCGCCCUCUCAUGGAACUUCCGCGUGAUCGCCGCCACCGAAUCAGUACCCUGCUUGAGGGUUAAGAACUCCUGAACCAAUCGUUCCCGCUCCACCGGGGGAACGUACUCCUCCCUGAACAUGGUAGUGAACCCCUCCCAUGUCACUGCCGCAGUCUCUGCCAAAGUGAAGUUCGCCGUCACGAACUUCCACCAGUCCUUCGCUCCCAGACGGAGCUGGUUCAAAGCGAACCGUACCCUCAGGUGCUCCGGGCAUGAACAAGUGUAGAAGCACCCCUCUAUAUCUGCGAUCCACCUCAUCGCAGCAAUCGGAUCCUGCGUCCCAUCGAACUCUGGUGGCUUCGUGUUGCUGAACUCUCGGAACAGCAAUGAAUCACCCCCCUGUGGCCUAGCAGCGGCCACAGCUGCGGUAGCUGCAGCGGUUGCAGCCUCAGUCAAUGCGGCGUACCGCUCGUCGAACGUCUCCAUCAGGGUGGUCUUGAUAGACCCAAACAUCUCCGGGAUCUCAGCCCGGAUCGCCGCCGCCACCUCCUCGUGGAUCAUCUGACGAAUAUCCUCGUCACUCACACCGCUCGUACUUGCCCCGUGCCGCGGUCUAACCAUGAUAUCUCUGAAAUACAACAUAAAACUAUCAGAGAUUCUACCGAGUAUAAUCGUACUCGACACGCAACCCUACUCAGUCCCAGAUAUCCAGGGAUUCUUACUUGGGCCUCCCACUGACCCGGUGUCCUCGGUAGUACGGGCCCAAUACUACCGACCACACCGCAUCAAUGUUCAUCCCAAGUCCUCCUCCCCAAACUCCAGAUAGUGAGUACUCUACUUCUGAUACGCUCUAUCUACCCGCAUACUAGCAAAGCAUCUCAUAUAAGCAACUUCCCUAGACUAAGGCAUCACAAAUCAGGCCACUCUAGUCCUAUCAUGAAUACCUAGUCUUCUAGCAUGCAUAACAAUUCAUAUCAUAUAAUAUUGUAAGGUAUUUUGGGGAUCUUUACCGUUCGGGCGCUGACUGAUCGUACACACUGCUUCUUUCUUGCAUACCACAAAACCAUUUACAAAAGUUUAUGCCUUUAUUUGAAAAGUUUCCUCAAAUCCUCGGUUUGAGUUUAGUUACCCCCGAAGGUGCACCCGAAUCCCUCAAACCAAGGCUCUGAUACCAAUUGUAACAACUCAAAUUUUUCAAACAAAUUUUUCAAUUUUAAAACAUAAUUAUUUUCAUUAAAAACAAGGCAUAAAUAGUCAAUCAUUCAGUCAAUACAAUUAUUCAAAAUCCCAAGAUCAUAAAAACCAUCUUCAGUGUGUAUCGAUCAUGCCGGCGCCUUCCCACGGUCCUCGCUAGUACCUGAAAUACAUUACCUAUAAUUAUCAGUAUCACAUUACCUAUAGUUAAUUUUGGUAAGCUCAUUAAAUCGAACAUUAGUGUUAAAACCUAGACCAAUUUUACAAAUAUAUUUUGAUAAAUAUUCUACACUAUGUCAUUCUGGAAAUUAAUGAUCGACCAUCAAUGGAUAUUUACCUACAAAGUUGAUCCUCGAGCAUCAAUCGUCCAGUGGAGGUUUGUGCAUGUGUUAUGUUUCUUGCAUGCUUAUCAAAAUUCAUUCUAACAGUCGUUGACAUGUUCUAUAACUCAUUCUGCAUUGAAACAAAAAAGAAAUCCAAAUAUACUUUAAAUGCAAUGUCGCAAUGAAUAUAGCAGAAUGUGUACAUAUCAAAAUAUCGGGUGUGAGUAAUCGAAAAAUCAUCCAAGUGAACUUGCGGACAGACCUUUCUUAAAAUUGAAUCUUUCUCGUUGAGCUUUCUUAGACAUCGAGAUUUAACUCGAGGAGGUGCAAAACGAUAAAUAUAUGUACAAUUUUACCUUAUUUACAUUAUUAAGAUCAGUUUUUCAUGAAAUUGAAUUUUUAAAUAAAUAUAAUUAUCAGUAUACAAGAUUAUUAUGAUUUCAUUUAACACAAUCAUAAUUUCAACUUUUUGUGAAAACUUUAAUUUUGUAGCCAAACAUUAUAAUAAGUUUGUGCUAAUGACACCUGUCAUGUUGAAAGGCUAAACAAUGAAUAAGGUAUAGUCAACCUCGAAUAAUCACAAUGUCAAAUGAUAGAAGAUAUUCUCACUUAAACAAGCAAGAAAAAUGUAUCAAAUGUUUUUGAAAAAAAAUACAAAUAAAGAUAGUGUGGCCAUUUACAAAUAAGAACCGUUAAAAAAAUAGUUAUGUAUACAAAGGAGUAUUAUGACCAUUUACAAAUAUUUAAGAUCUGUUAAAAGUGUCAUUUUUCUUAAUGGUUGGGCUGUAUGUGACGAUAUGUACAAUUUUAGGGGAGGUUGAUGCAAAUCACCAUCGCUAGAGAUCAGGAUUAGGGUUGACGCCCACACUUUUCUUACUAUAUAUUAGAUGUUGAGGAUCCACAGCCGCUGUCAUAAUCAACUGAAUCUAGAUCCAGGAUCCAAACAUCAAACUAUUCACAAAUAAUUAAGAGCUUAGGAGGAUAAUGCAUAUCUGAAAAUCAUGCAUUGGUUUGAUAAAGUUAUCGAUCUGUGUCUUUUGGGUCAUGCAAAUCACCAAGACUUUUAUUUGUUGAUUUCAAAAAAAAAAUUCUCUAUCAUGCACACAGAUCAAAAAACUAGCAAAGAUCCGCAAUAUUUUGUAAGAAAAACCAUGUAAGUUAUCAUUCUGAAUCAUGUGUUUUGAAGCUGUUGUGUCCUUUUUUUUGUAGUUUCGAAGUUUAUAUAUGCUGUUCUCCUGUGACUCUCACUUUCUUGAUCUGUUGUCAGUCUAGUUGAAUCAGAUCGGUACCAGUUAGGUGUUCAUAGCAUUUCAAGGGUUGGUUUUGUGGGUUUCUCCAGGCCACUGUACCUUACCCUUUCUGAUGUCAAGUGGAUUGUGUUCCUUGGCAAAGAUGUUUCUGAUGAUAACAAAAUGUUCAUAAGCUUUUGAUAUCUUUCAUGUGAAUGUUUCAUGUGAGUAUAAACUAUAAACUAUAAAGUAGUGUUUUUAUUAUUCUUUUACACGCCUGCUACAGAUUAAUCAGUAGAUUACCAUUUAUUUUAUUUCUGCAGGUUUUCAUUGAUUGUAACAAAAAGGCUUCACAUGUAUUGCUGUUCUCCAUUCAAAGGUAAGAUUAUAAAACGUUUUCUUAUGUAAUUGUUUUGAUGCCAAUAAAUUUUUAAUUCUCAACUUUCCAAUUUAUGCUAUAUCAAGUAACGCUUAAGUAAGGUCUAAAUCUGACAUCUUGUUCCAUUCUUACUGAUUGAUGUUUGGAGAUGAUGGCAAUGUUGACAGAAGUUUCAUAUCUGAUCACUAGAUCUUGACAUGCUGAUUCCUUAAAUAUAUAUCAAUAAAUUUGGUCCCUGUAGUAUAGUGCUUGUUUUAGUUUUGGUACAAGGUUAAAAUGGUCAUUCAAAAAAAUCCAAUUAUGCUGCGUUUUGAUUUCUGAUUGUUUGAUUUAUCCUCCUUGCAGUGUGAAAGGGAAUAUCAUAUAUGGUGUUUGAGGGAACACAAGAAGAUGUAUCUGAAGGUGUGUUAAGUUGAAUGUAAAUUUGCUAAAAUUUCCAUCGUUUUCACUCGAUUUAAUAUGAGAUUGUUGAUCUGAAGGUGUCUUCUCAUUUCGGAGGGAUCGGAAUCCGAAUCACAUAUUCCGAUGUGAAGUGGAUUGUUUUCCUUGGGAAAGAUGUUUCUAAUGAAUGGUGACAUUCUAAGGAACAUCUUUGUUAAAAAUGGAGGUGGUGGGUCCUCAAGGUGGAAUUACUUUUCAAGAUUGUUUUCGUUUUUGUCUUUGCAUGGAGAAGUAAAGUAAACAAUGAAUGAAUGAAUAAUGAAUACCCAAUUGGUGGAUUUAUAUUUAAUGGUUUUAAAAUAUAGAUUUUAUGUAUAUUUCAAGAUUUUUCCUUUGUUGAAUAUGUAAUUAUUGUUAAUUUUUUCGUGAAUUUAUAUUUUUUUUUUAUCUACAAAACUGGCCGCUAGCCUAUCACAUAAAAUCUAUAUGUGAUCUAUUAGUGAGUUUUUCUUAAAUUUUGUCGAUAGUCCGUCAGUGAGUUAUUCUUUUGGUAAUUUUUACAAAAAAGUAUAUUCGUCAUUGAUCGCUUACUAAUAACUGACGUAAAAAUUUGUUGCUAAAAUUUGUCAUAGCCUUCGGAAAUCCGUUGCAUAUAUGAUAUGCCUUUUUGGGAAUCAGAUGUAUGAUCAAUACUGUACACCUCUAUAACCCUCUUUCCACGUCUAAUACAAGCAUCAUAAAACCAAGCAUAGACCUGUCUAAUUCCUUAGAUUGUUCCGAGUAAAUAAACUUAGUCUUCUAUAACCAUACCUAAAGUAGAUUAAAAAAACUUUUUAUGUGAAAGAAUUAAUAAUUAAUAACUUUAAAGGUGAUAAUAAACCUUCAAUGGCUCGAUGAUAUCACAAUCAUUUUUUAUUUCAUAAUCACCUUUAAACUCAUCAUUAUAAGAAAGAGUAUGAAGCAAAAUUACUUUUAUACUACACGCACACUUUUUAUCUCAAUGAAAAUAUGAAUGGGAACAAGAUCAAGAGUUAUGCAUCAAACUAAAAGAUUGUAAUAAUCAAACUAACAUUUUCUUGUAUCCGUUAAUUCAAAAAAAGGUAUGGUUCAAUAAACAAAUUAGAUGUGUCGAGAUAAAAUGAAACUCCACCAACACGCCACAAUGUCGCCGCCGCCGCUCCUUCGCCAUCUAAAUGCCACAACGUCGCUGCCAGAGACGCCGUGAACAUCCUGGAAAACCGCUGAUGGACGAUAAAUGGACGUGUUCGCAGCAGCAAGGGCGCGAGCUACCGAGAGGCUUUAGGGAAGACCAUCUGCCACUUCUCUCUCUCCUCUCCUCCGUCCUUUUGUGCGUGUUCGACGAUAGAUGCGUCACCGCUGCCCCCGGUGGCCUUUGGCCACUAUUUUCGUAGCUUUCCAGCAACAUCAGCCACCUGGAAGGUGGUUGGGAGGAUGUAUGUCUAGAAUAUAUGUUGUUGUCGGUGUUAUUGUUGCUGUAAGAGCCAUUUUAGGUUGGAAAAUCAAUGAAGGUCCGUCACCACCACCAUGAGGUAGUGGCUGGCCCCNNNNCUAACUACCAUCUCUGGUGCCUAUGUGUGUGUGUAUAUUAUGUGCGAAGUGGUAUAUGCAAUUUUUGAACCACCACCACAACCAUUGCAAAUGGUGGAUACCGCCGUGAGCCGCCGCCGACCACCACCGCCGAGGUGGCAGUGGGUGGUGUCCAGCCUAGUGGAACCCUAAUUGGCCCAAUAGCUUAAUCUUGGACUUAGUAGGAUUGUGAUUGGAUUGGAAACCCUAAUUAGGGUUUACAAAACCCUAACUCUAGGAAUGUUAGUUUGGGAAUUGCCGGGAGUAGCGUUUGGAAUGUUAUAUUGGAAUUUUGAUUUAUGUCCAACUACAUUGUAUGAAUGGCCUAAUGGAGUGAUGGACUUAAUGGAUUAAGUGCUUAAUGAGUUAUGUCCUUAUUGGGUUAAUUAAGAAUGCUUAACCCUAAUCGUCAUUUCAUGUGAGAAACCCUAAUUUUGCUUGGGCCUUGAGUUUGGCCUUUCAAUUGGGCUUUGGUGAUUGGGCUACUGAUGGGCCAUCCAAAAACAAGCAUAUGGACUAUAAUAUUUGGAUUGAGCUUUAGGAUAAGGCCUAUUGGAUAUACUUGGGCCCAAUUGGGAAAAUUAGGCCAUAGAUGGACCAUAACAGGGCCUUGAUGAUUAUGAGAUAUUGGAUCCGUAGCAUGCCAAGUGUUUCGACCACAAUAAAUGGUUGGGCCUUAAGGUAAGACCCUGUUGAGGUUUGGGCCCAAUUUUAAGUUGGGCAUUAGUUCAUUGUUUGACUUUUGGCCUUUAGAUUGGGCCUUGGGCAUUAAUCAAGCUAAGUUGGGGGUAAAGUAGCCUUUUACCCCAAACAUGGACCUAUGGUUAUGUGAUGGCACCCAAUUAUUAAUUGGGUGUUUUUUUAUGUUGACAGUUCAAAAAUCUAUCAUUCAACAGCUACAGUUUGACCGCGGGACUUCAACAGUAUGAGUUGAGUUUCCUUCAGUAGGAACGGGUCGAAAGCACCAAUGCCAGCCCGUAGAGUUUAUAUGUUCUUGAUAGGAACAUGAGGUAUGGGCGGGGGUCGUAUCUCAUUAUUACCUGAGUAUAGAUACUAGUCAGAUUGUUGGAUUGUUAUACUUGUAUUCUGUGUGAUACCGGUAUGUGUUGUUAGGAAUGUGAGUUUGGGCGGGUCGCGUAUCUUAUAGUAGCUGAGUGUGGAUAGGGCCCAUAUCUCAUUGAGUUUGGGCGGGGCCCGUAUUUCCUAGUAGCUUGGGGAGACUCACUAAGCUUCUUGCAGAAAGUUUUUAGUUUUGGUUUCGGGUACUUUUGUUAGCAAGGAGAACAGCUCGGGAUGAUUUAGUGCACACAUCAUUUGUUUAGCAUGGGAUAUUAAUACUCUGAUAUAUUGUGACAGAUGCUAUGAUAUUUUGAGGUACACGAUUUAUUGUUGUUUUGAUUACUACGGUGUUAUUAAUGAUUUAAAAUGAAAAUUUUCGAAUGUAUAUUUAGGAUGGUUCAAAUUGGUAUCACAACCUUGGUCUGAGGGAUUCGAGCACAUUCUCGGGUGUGUCUGAACUCAAAUUGAGGACUUGGUAUGAAAUUUUUCAAAAGAAAAUCAUUUUUACAAAAGAACUUUGAAAGUGAAAAGGGUUUUAGAAAAGAGAAAACGAGUGUGGUGCAUGCACUCAACCAAUCUCAAGUAAGUACUCCCAAAUUACGCGUACGAGUGUAUGUUAUGAUAUGAUUAUGAGAACUGCAUGCUAGAAUAGGGCUAAGGAUCUAGGAAUGAUGCGUUGUAUGCCUGUUAUAUGUGUAUGCGAACUGCAUGCUAGUUAGGGCUAAGGAUCUAGGAAGGAUGCCUUAUGUGCAUGCUAUAUGAGCUUGUUGAGUUGUAUGAUAGUAAUGAUUAGUCAGUGAUAUGAUGGCCUGAUUAGAGUGUGAUUGAUUAUGUUUACUUAAUUCUUGAAUGGUUCUUGCUUUUUCUUUUAAGAGUUCUAGUUACCUCUAACUAAAUAGUAAACGAAUAUGUUAAGUUACAUAUUGUGAGGACUAAAUAAUUUCAGAAGGUUAGGUUUAGCUCUAUUUCACAACUCUUGUUUGAGUCCAACCAUUGUAGGGUAGAACCUCUCAUUCGAAGAAUGAUCUAUUCUUAGUAAUAUGUAAUGCUAUUCGUUAGCUAGUUAGGGGAGAUAGAAAGAACUUCUUAUAUAGCUAAUGGCGGAGAGUGGAUUGGUAAUUACACUAGGGCAAGCCUAGGCUGAGAGUAGUAGAGAACAAUAGUAGCAGUAGAAGGGACUUGGUGGAGUCAGUGCAGUUCUUGAUGUAAGCACAUAUAGAUGUGGAAGGCUGUAUGGGCCCGUACUAUUGAAAGAAGAGGAUAUGUACUCAAACCAAGGAAGGAUGAGACGAACCCAAGGAACUUGUAGUCUGUGAGAUCCCUCGAAUUAUGAUGAGUAUUCUAAUGGUUAUUCUGGUAUAUUUAUGAGUAUGGAGACGCUAUGUGGUAGACCAGAUGUCAGAUCUGGUGUUGGAAAGGAAUCAAGCUCUAACUCUAGAGCCGGAUAGCUUGAUGGUCAGAUGAGGGAGUUCAUUCCAUCUGAGAGUACACACAUUAUCACUUACCAGACUCCUGUUAUCUUCAGUGUUCAAGCAGGGAAUUUUAGAGAUUUAUGAUGGGAAGCUGAGAACAUUCUGCACUGAAAUACCAUCCAUGAUAGGUACGCAUACGUUGAUGACUCAGGAGUUCAGAGCUCGUGAAGCUCUAGAUUAUCAUGGGGCUAGGAACCCCAUUGCUAGCAGCAGAUGGUUAGCAGAUGCCGCCAACACUUUUCGUACCAACCGCUACCUCAGAGGGACAAGGUCCGAUUUACUUCCGGUUUCCUGAAGGACAGGGCACAUGAUUGAUGGGAAGAGGUUGGUAGUGACUUGUGUGAUGAUGCGGUCGAUGCUAUGUCAUGGGAUGACUUUUUGCCCAGAUUCCAGGCAGAAUUUGCCCAGGGUUAGUGCAUACCAGUUGGCGCGAGAAUUUCUAGAUCUCCGCCAGACUACUGAGACUGUGGCAGCGAUCACUGCCAAGUCUCGGGAGAGAGCUUCUUUGGUACCACAGUAUGCAGCAGAUGAGGAAAUGAAGAAAGAAAGGUAUUCAGACAAAAUGCAGAAUGAUAGCAGGGAGAUCGUGAGUAUUUCGAGGUGCGAAACCUUGAAUGAUAUGACUUCUAUAAGCUGAUAAUGAAAUAUUGAUUUGGAGCGCAUUAGGAAGAGGGAACCAGAUUACUUGCAUAUAUUGAAGGGUCUCGAGAAGAGACCCAAGAUUUCGGAUCAACUUAUAUGAUUGGGAUUAGCUUUUGAGAGGCCAGCAGGGCCAAAUUUAGUGCAACACUUGCGAGAAACUACACCAUGAAGUGUUUUUCGCUCCAAGGGCUUGGGUAAGGGUACACCUUGGUUGCUUCUAUGUUUGUGUUAGCGUUAUACCUUCAAGUGAUGUCAAAUGCCAAUUGCAUACCGAGAAUUAUUAGUGGGUAGCGAAAGGUUAUUUCCCUAAUUGCGAGAUUCAGAGUGUAGAACGUCAUCAAGGUUUAUGGUCGAGAUCAAAUCAUAAGAGUUCGGUGGAAGGUCUGUAGUAAGGGUUCCGCUGGAUGGUUAUCCAAUAUCAUCAGGAUUCGGUGGUCCUAGUAACUGUUACUAUUGGAUGAUGGAGGUUCUAUGGAAAGUGGCUCGUUGCUGAGGUAUUGACGGGAGCAUCUGUCUUUCAAUCUUUAAGAUUCGAGUGUGGUAUCAUUUCAAACAUUUGCAGUUACCAGUAUUGUUGGGAAUUCUCCAAAUUUCAUGUAUUGUGAAGACUUAGUCGAAUCUAAGUGAGGGAGAAUCGUUCAGGGAUUCGGAAACAUCAGCAGUUUUGGAACUAGGAUAAGUUUAGCAUCCUUGUCAGGAUGAAGAUAGUCCAAGCUGCUAUAUGGAUUGAGGAUAGUUUGAGUUGGAAGUUCAUAAACUUGACAAUAAUGACAUCGCGUUCUCGGAAUGUUUGAUAGCAGGCCUUAGGGGAUCAGGUUGAGGAUUCCACUAAGGAAACGAGUUCAUUUUUGGAUGUUAGGUCGUGUGUAUGAUCGAUGUUGGAUGUGUUCGGUUUAGUAAUCAGCGAUGGAGAUUUUGUGGAAAGUGUUGUAAGACUGUGGGAUAGCCGUAGCAUUUACCAACAACGAGAUAACGUGGAAAGUGUUGUAAGACUACGGGAGAGCCGUAGCAAUUACUACUAGCCGGAUAGUAUGGGAAGUGUUGUAAGUCUGUAGGUGUAGUCGUAGCAUUCACAAGUUUAGCAGAUAGUGCUAGAAGUGUUGUAAGUCUGCGUGACGUAGCCGUAGCAUUCAAAAGGUUGGCAGAUAGUGCUAAAAGUGUUGUAAGUCUGCGGGUGUAGCCGUAGCAUUCACAAGGUUGGCAGAUAGUGCUAGAGUGUUGUAAUUAUGCUGGUGUAGCCGUAACAUUCACUAGGUUAGUAGAUAGCAUGGGAGUGUUUUGGAACGUAGAGGGAACAAUAGUACCCAUCAGUUCGGGUGCAGCAGUGAGGGCGUGGAAAAUCCACAUAUUCGUGGAUCGAUUUCCCCAGAUGAAUUAGACUUAUUUGAGCUAGUAAGAAGACCGUAGGAACAUCGUUGCAGUCAUGGUAUCAAUGAAGUGAUGUAUUGUUUAAGGUCGUUUGUGAUAUAAGGCUACCUUAGGUCAUGUAGCAAUCAUUUUUAGCCUUGGAUUUGGUAAUGUCUGGACUCGACGCAUGGACCGGACCAGUUAUAUCAUAAGGUCAUUAGAGCCACGGUAGCAAGAUAACUAGUGGAAACUGGUUAGAAACAAGGAUUUCGUUUGGAAAUCAUGUAGGGUGACUAAGUGGGAGUCCUUUGGCUCGACAAUCGGGCAUCAACCCUGUAUUUUAGAUGACUAGUGAAGGAAUUGAGACCAGAGAGGUCUUCGUAGAUUUUGGAAAGCAGUCAUGUGGCAACAUGCUAUUUCGGGCAGUUUAAGUGUUUUGGCAGUAUCUGUAUUAGUGUUUUAGAAUUUCAGAUAUGGAUGGGUGACAGACUGUUUGCAUUAUGCUAAGUCACUCAUAGCGGGAUUAUUUGAGCCUUGGCCAAGUAUGAGGUAUCUGCAGGGAUAAUUGGGUCUGUGAUUAUGUUUUCUAGUAGGAACCUCAAGUUAUCAGAAGUUGAAUAGUCAGAUGAUAGAUAAGUGGACUGGGUUCAACAAUAAUGACUCAGUAUGGGCCGUUUGUCACGGAGUCAGACCAUCUUGAGACUACUCAUUUCAGAUUGAGUAAUGUGAUCCUAAUGCAAGGAAUUCGUUUAUCUUCGGGUUUUAGAACCAUGUGAGGGAUGGUUUUGAUUGCCUUGGGAAGACUGGGGUUAUGCUCAAGAUUGUGGCCGUGUCGUUCAAGUUGUCUGGCGUGUAAGGAAUGAUUUGAGGACGAAAUCUAAUUUAAGUGGGGGAAAGUUGUAACAUCCCAUUUAUUAAAUAAAUGAAUAGAUAAAUUAAUAAAUUGGUAGUAACCCUAAAAUCACUAAUAAUAUAGCAAGGUGUUGGUCUCGAUGAGUUAAUUGUCGCAAUUUUCAAAGUUGGGGCUAAAAGUGUAAGUGCCGGAGUGCUUUGUAAAUAUUUAUGAAGGCAGAGACUGCUUGGUAAAUUAUUGGGACUUAAUUUGAACUGAUUUUGGAGGCUAAGGGGCUAAAUGGUAACAUAUGGAAUUCAGUUGAAAAUAAUUUGCAUAGGAGAGGCUGUUUGGUAUGUUUUGGACUUAAAAUGGCAUGAACUUAUGGAAUCACGGGGUAAAGGGUAAAUGUUGGAUUAAAGUUGAAGAAGAUCUGGUGAGGAGGGCCGAUAUUGGUAAAAAUGGCCUAAGUUUGCAAGAAGACGGGAUAUACCCGGUUUCCCAUCCCAUUGUCUAAACCCUAACACUAAUUAUACACCAGUCGCCAUGUUUGAUGUUCAGCAGCCUCACCCCCCCUCGUUCGUUUUCCGAUCAGACAAGCCCUCUGUCGUCGCUCCUUCGCCAUCUAAACACCACAACGUCGCUGCCAGAGACGCCGUGAACAACCCGGAUAACCACUGAAGGCCGACAAAUUGACGUGUUUGUUGCAGCAAGGUUCGCAAGCUACCAAAAGGCUUCAGGAAAGACCAUAUGCUCCUUCUCUCUCUCCUCUCCUCCAUCCAUUUGUGCAUGUUAAACGUCAGAUGUGUCACUGCUGCCGACGGUGGCCUUUUGGCACUAUUUUUGUAACUUUCCGGCAACGUAAGCAGCAUGGAAGGUGGCUGGGUGGAUGUAUGUCUAGAAUAUAUUCUACUAUCAAUGUCGCUGUUGUUGUAUGAGCCAUUUUUGGUAGGAAAAUCAAUGAAGCUCCACCACCACCACCAUGAGGUUGUAGCUACCCCCGUGUUGCUGCCACUAACCACCAUCUCCGGUGGGUGUGUGCGUAUAUUAUGUGUGAAGUGAUAUAUGCAUUUUUUGGGCAGGAACCACCACCACCACCAUUGGAAAUGGUGGCUGCGNNNNNNNNNNNNNNNNNNNNNNNNNNNNNNNNNNNNNNNNNNNNNNNNNNNNNNNNNNNNNNNNNNNNNNNNNNNNNNNNNNNNNNNNCUGCUACUGCCUAGCCGUGAGUUGCCGCUGACCACCACCGCCCGAGGUGGUAGUGGGUGGUGCCCGACAUAGUGGAAUCCUAAUUGGCCCAAUACUUUAAUCUUGGACUUAGUUGGAUUGUCAUUGGGUUGGAAACGCUAAUUAGUGUUUAGAAAACCCUAAUUCUGGGAAUGUUAGUUUGGGAACUACUGGGACUCACGUUUGGACUGUUAUACUAGAAUUUUGAUUUAUAUCCAACUACAUUGUAUGAGUGGUCUAAUGGAAUGAUGGACUUAAUGGAUUAAGUGCUAAAUGGGUGAAGUCCUUAACGAGUUAAGUAAGAAUACUUAACCCUAGUCAUCAUUUCAUGUGAGGAACCCUAGUUUGGCUUGGGCUUUGAGUUGGGCCUUUCUAUUGGUCUUUUGUGAUUGGGCUACUGAUGGGCCAUCCAAAAACAAGCAUAUGGACUAUAAUAUUUGGAUUGAACAUUAGGAUAAGGCCCAUUGGAUAUGCUUGGGCCCAAUUGGGGAAAUUAGGCCAUAGAUGGACCAUAACUGGGCCUUGAUGAUUAUGAGAUAUUGGAUCAGUGGGCUGCCAAGUGUUUCGACCAUAAUAAAUGGUUGGGCCUUAAGGUAAGACCCUGUUGAGGUUUGGGCCCAAUUUGGAAAAUUCGGCCAUAUGUUGGGCAUUGGUUUAUUGUUUGACUUUUGGCCAUUGGAUUGGGACUUGGGCUUUAAUCAAGCUAAGUUGGGGGUAAAUUAAUCUUUUACCCCAAACAUGGGCUUAUGGUUAUGUGAUGGCACCUAAUUAUUAAUUGGGUGUUAUUUUUAUGUUGACAGUUCGAGAAUCGGUCAUUUAACAGCUAGGGUUUUGACCGCGGGACUUCAACAAUGUGAGGUGAGUUUCCUUCUGUAGGAAUGGGUCGAAGGCACCAAUACCAACCCAUAUUGUUUAUAUGUUCUUGAUAGGAACACGGAGUAUCUGUGUGGCCCGUAUCUCAUUAUUACCUUAUUAUAGAUGUCAGAAUGUUGGAUUGUUAUACUUGUUGUCUGUGUGAUACAUGUAUGUGUUGUUAAGAUUGUGAGUGUGGACAGGGCCCGUAUCUCAUAGAGUGUGGGCACGAACCAUAUCGCAUAGUAACUAGAGUUUUCUAAAUCACCCAUAAUAUCCAUGUUUAUGACAUAGCAGAAAAAAAUGCAUUUGGUUGCAUAUAAUAUUGGGUAUAAAUAAUUGUGUUAAAUAACACUGUACUAAAGUAAGAUGGUAAAAAAUGUUCAUUUUACCCCUAAAUGCCACUUGUUUUGUUUCGCUCUUGUUUAUUGAUUAAUAUUGAAAGUUAGCGGUGGAGUAUAUAGUUUCAGACGAGGAGUCUAGGGUUUCUAGGUGUUACUCAUGAAGCAAUACCAUGUAAGAGAUAUUUGACACAAUUAUCACAUUACCCAUAUUUAGUUUUGGUAUGUUCAAUAAAUCCAAGAGAUGUUUGACACAAUUAUCACAUUACCCAUAUUUAGUUUUGGUAUGUUCAAUAAAUCCAACGUAAGUUUUCAAAGUUAGACCAAUUAUACAAAUAUAUAUAUUGAUAAAUAUUCUAUAUUAUGUCAUUCUCGCAAUUAAUGCUCGAGCAUCAAUGGAUAUUUACCAACAAACUUGAUCCUCGAAAAUCAAUGUCCAUUGGAAGUUUGUGCAUGUGUUAUGUUUCUUACAUGCUUAUCAAAAUUCAUUCAACUGUCGUUGACAUGUUCUAAAACUCACAUUGCGUUGAAAUAAAAAAAGGAAUCCAAAUAUACUUUAAAUGCAAAGUACCAAUAAAUAUAGCAGUACAAUGUGCGAAUACCGAAACACCAGGUGUGAGUAAUCCAAUAAUCAUCCAAAUGAAAUUUCCGACAAACCUUUCAUGAAGCUGAAUUUUUUUGUUGAGCUUUCUUAGACUUAUAGAUUUCAACUCGAGUGAAUGUAAAACGAUAAAUAUAAGUACAAUUUUUCCUUAUGUACAUUAUUAACACCAGUUUCUUCAUGGAAUUUAAUUUUAAAAUAAAUAUAAUUGUCACUAUACAUGGUUAUUAUGAUUUCAUUUAACUCAAUCAUAAUUGUAACUUUUCUAGAAACCAUUAAUUAUGUAGCCAAACAUUAUAAUAAGUUUGUGCUAAUUACAUCCUUUCAUGUUGAAAGGCUAAACAAUGAAUAUGUUACACUCAACCUGGAAUAAUCACAGUGUCAAAUGAUAUAAGAUAUUCUCACUUAAGCAAGAGGGAAAAAUGUAUCAAGUGUUGUUAAAAAAAAUAUAUCAAUAAAGAUGGUGUUGCAAUUUACAAAUAAGAGCUGUUAAAAAAAUAGUUAUGUAUAGUAAGGAGUACUAUGGCCAUUAACAAAUAACUAAGAGCUGUUAAAAAAGACUACAAAUAAAAAAAUCGAGUACCACUUUAUUCAUCAAGCAACAAAUUGUAAUUUUGCGUAAUUGUUGGGUUGUAUGUGACGAUAUGUACAAUUUUAGGGGGAGGUUGAUGCAAAUCACCAUGGUUUUAGAUCAGGGUUAGGGUUGACGCCCACACUUUUCUUACUAUAUAUAUUAGAUGUUCAGUUUCAAUUUCAUACGAUUUCACAGCCGCUGUCAUAAUCCACCCUGUGAAUCUAUAUCUUGUAACUAUUCAACUACUGGCUUAGGAGGAUAUGCAUAUCUGAAAAUCAUCCAUUCUUUUGAUAAAGUUAUCGAUCUGCGUCAUUUUCGGUUAUCAUAAUCACCAUGACUUUUAUGUGUCGAUUACGAAAAAAAAUUUCUCUAUCAUGCUUCUAGAUCCAAAAACUGGCAACGAUCCACAAUAUUUUAAAACAAAAAACAUGUAAGUUAACUGAUACGUAAAUUUAUACCAUUCUGAAUCAUGAGUUUUGAAGCUGUUUUCUCCUUUUUUUGUUGUUUCGAAGUUUAUAAAUGCUGUUCGCCUGUCACUCACAUUAUUUCUUGAUCUGUGUCAGUCAAGUAGAGUCAGAUCGGUACCAGUUAGGUGUUCAUCGCAUUUCAAAAGUCGGUUUCGUGGGUUUGUCCAGAGGCCACUGUACAUUAGUCUUUCCAAGGUAAGUUUAUAAAACGUUUUCUUAUGUAAUUGUUUUGAUGCCAAUAAAUUUUUAAUUCUCAACUUUCCAAUUUAUGCUAUAUCAAGUAACGCUUAAGUAAGGUCUAAAUCUGACAUGUUGUUCCAUUCUUACUGAAUGAUGUUUGGAGACGAUGGCGAUGUUGACAGAAGUUGCAGAUCUGAUCACUAGAUCUUGACACGCUCAUUCCUUAAAUAUAUAUCAAUAAAUUUGGUCCCUGUAGUAUAGUGCUUGUUUUAGUUUUGGUACAAGGUUAAAAUGGUCAUUAAAAAAAAAAUCCAAUUAUGCUGCGUUUUCAUUUCUGAUUGUUAGAUUUAUCCUCCUUGCAGUGUGAAAGGGAAUAUCAUAUACGGUGUUUGAGGGAACACAAGAAGAUGUAUAUGAAGGUGUGUUAAUUUGAAUCUGAAUUUGCAAAAAUUUCCACAGUUUUUCACUCGAUUUAAUAUGAGAUUGUUGAUCUGAAGGUGUCUUCUCAUUUCGGAGGGAUCGGAAUCGGAAUCACAUAUUCCGAUGUGAAGUGGAUUGUUUUCCUUGGGAAAGAUGUUUCUGAUGAAUGGUGACAUUCUAAGGAACAUCUUUGUUAGAAAUUGAGGUGGUGGGUCUUCAAGGUGGAAUUACUUUUCAAGAUGGUUUUGGUUUUUGUCUUUGCAUGGAGAAGUAAAGUAAACAAUGAAUGAAUGAAUAAUGAAUACCCAUUUGUUGAUUUUUAUUUGAUGGUUUUAAAAUAUAGAUUUGAUGUACGUUUCAAGAUUUUUCCUUUGUUGAAUAUGUAAUUAUUGUUAUUUUUUGCAUGAAUUUAUAUUUUUUUUUAUAUCCAAAACUCGCUGCUAGCCUAUCACAUAAAAAUCUCUCUGUAAUCUAUUAGUGAGUUUUUCUUAAAUUUUGUCGAUAGUUCGUUAGGGAGCUAUUCUUUUGGUAAUUUUUACAAAAAAGUGUAUUCUUCAUUGAUCGGUUACUAAUAACCGACGUAAAAAUUCGUUGCUAAAAUUUGUCGUAGCCAUUGGAAAUCCGUUGCAUAUAUGAUAUGCCUUUUUGGGAAUCAGAUGUAUAAUCAAUACUGUACACCUCUAUAACCUUCUUUCCACGUCUAAUACAAGCAUGAUAAAACCAAGCAUAGACCUUUCUAAUUCUAUAGAUUGUUCCAAGUAAAAUAAACUUAGUCUUCUAUAACCAUACCUAAAGUAGAUUAAAAAAACUUUUUAUUUAAAAAAAUUAAUAAUAAAUAACUUUAAAGGUGAUAAUAAACCUGCAAUGGCUCGAUGAUAUCACAAUCAUUUUUUAUUUCAUAAUCACCUUUAAACCCAUCAUUAUAAGAAAAAGUAUGAAGCAAAAUUAGCUUUAUACUACUUGCACACUUUUUAUCUCAAUGAAAAUAUGAAUGGGAACAACAUCAAGAGUUAUGCAACAAACUAAAAGAUUGUAAUAAUCAAACUAUAAUUUCUUGUAUUCGUUAAUCUAAAAAAAGGUACGGUUCAUUAAACAAAUUAGAUGCGUCUAGAUAAAAUGAAACUCCACCAACAUGACACAAUGCCGCUGCCGCCGAUCCUUCGCCAUCUAAAUGCCACAAUUUCGCUGCCGGAGACGCCGUGAACAACCCGAAAAACCGUUGAAGAUCGACAAAAGGACGUGUUCGCUACAGCAAGGGCGCGAGCUACCGAGAGGCUUCAGGUAAGACCAUCUGUCACUUCUCUCUCUCCUCCCCUCCGUCCCUUUGUGCGUGUUCGAAGUCAGAUGCGUCACCGCUGCCUCCGGUGGCCUUUGGCCACUAUUUUCGUAACUUUCCGGCAACAUCAGCCGCAUGGAAGGUGGCUGGGUUGAUGUAUGUCUAGAAUAUACGUUGUUGUUGGUGUUAUUGUUGCUGUAUAAGCCAUUUUUGGCUGGAAAAUCAAUGAAGGUCCGUCACUACCAUCAUGAGGUGGUGGCUGCUGUAGCCGAUCCUUCGCCAUCUAAAUGCCACAAUUUCGCUGCCGGAGACUCUGUGAACAACCCGAAAAACCGUUGAAGGUCGACAAAAGGAUGUGUUCACAGCAGCAAGGGCGCGAGCUACCGAGAGGCUUCAGGUAAGACCAUCUGCCACUUCUCUCUCUCCUCCCCUCCGUCCCUUUGUACGUGUUCGACGUCAGAUGCGUCUCCGCUGCCUCCGGUGGCCUUUGGUCACUAUUUUCGUAACUUUCCGGCAACAUCAGCCGCAUGGAAGGUGGCUGGGUUGAUGUAUGUCUAGAAUAUAUGUUGUUGUUGGUGUUAUUGUUGCUGUAUAAGCCAUUUUUGGCUGGAAAAUCAAUGAAGGUCCGUCACCACCAUCAUGAGGUGGUGGCUGCUGUAACGCCCGUGUUUCUAGGCUAGGCAUUAAUAUUGACAUAAUGGUCUAGGUUAACCUUUGUAACUCAUUUAGAAGAAAUGAAAAGGAAUUAUGUGAAUUUUAUGUGAAUUANGGCCCCCCGCCGUGAGCCACCGCCGACCACCACCGCCGAGGUGGCAGUGGGUGGUGUCCGGCCUAAUGGAACCCUAAUUGGCCCAGUAGCUUAAUCUUGGACUCAGUAGGAUUGUGAUUGGAUUGGAAACCCUAAUUAGGGUGUAACACCGUGAAUUUUCAAAAUAAUUUUUCACAAAUAUAUAAAAACAUUUCCCAUUUAAUUUUCAUAAAAUAUUAAGUUUAAAAUCUAAAUUCACAUCAUACAAAAUCCCAAGAUCAUAUAUAUAUAUAUAUAUAUAUAUAUAUAUCAAAAUUCCCAUGCGUGUGUACAGAUCAAGCCGACGCCUUCCCACGGUCGUCACUAGUACCUGAAACAAACAACACCAACACUGCAAGCACGAAGCUUAGUGAGUUCCCCAAAAUACCACACAUAACACAUAUUAGCCACUCGAGGCUAUAACUCUGUGGGUCCGUAGACCCUACUCUGUGAACCCACUGGUUCUAACUCUGGGAACUUUCUGGUUCCAACUCUAUAAGCAUGCACAACAUAAAUCACAUAGACAUCAUGCGGUACAACACAUAACAUACAUAUAACAUACACAUACUCUGUCACAUAACUCUGAUUACCUACUCAAGGUAAAGUAUAGUGAGAAGACUCACCUCGUAUAUCUCGAUAACUCGCGAACCCUGGAAAUCACUCGUGCUCGAUCCUCCGAGCUAUAAUCCUCCUAUAACAUCAUAUAUCUCUAAUUAACACUUUUACCACUAAGGUUGACUACCCCUAUCAAGUCAACACUAUCAACUCUGGUCAACAGUCAACGGUCAACUUUGACCGGACUCGGCGAGUGAACUAGGGCGACUCGGCGAGUCUAUACGUGUUCACUGACUCCCUAGGAUCCUCUCUUGACACGUCGAGUACUCCCCAGACUCGACGAGUUCCACCUGGCAUGAAUCGCGGGGCCACCACGACUCAACUCGCUGAGUCUCAAGAACAACUCGGCGAGUUCCAGCUCGACUCAGUCCACCUGUCAACCCUCUCUAACUCUCCAUGACUCUUUGAGUCAACCCAUAACUCGGCAGGACCACUCGCUGAGUGGUUAAGGACAAUCNCCCUUAACUCGGCAAGACCACUCGCUGAGUGGUUAAGGACAAUCUUCAUGCUACUCGCCGAGUCUGUUCUUCAGACUCGGCGAGUCCAUGCCAUGCAUCAACUCAAGCUUGCUUCUGAGGUCAGAUCCGUUCCAACAACUCAUAGAUCUGGCCCUCCUAAGCUUAUUCAUCAUGUAAAGUCCAUAUCUUGGUGCUCAUAACACACCCCAUGACUCAUAACUGGUGUUUUGACCUCAAGCACAAAGACCCCAAUCCAAAACCCCCAUGGAUUCAUAACAAGCUUGGGCAAAGGGACACUCUGGACCUCCAAGGGUCCAGGUCUAGAACCUAACUCGCUUAAGGGACCAAGGAAGCACUAGAUCUAGCCACAAAAGGGCUCAACAAGCCCUAAAUCAAUAUAAACAUCAACAUAACAGAGAAUAGCUCGAAGGUAGUACGUCAAAUGUGAUGUUCUUGACCUCAAAUCUUCAGGAAGUGGCUCCUCAUGGUUCCCUUUAGCUAUUGCUUCCUUUCCCUUGCAAGAUGACACCUCCAAGGUCAAUAAUGGCUUCUUGCUUUUGCUCCAAACGCUCAAAAUCGCUAGGGUUUCACUCAGGGGACUUGUGAGCACAGAUGACGGCCUUAAGGCCCUUUAAAUAGGUCCCAAACCCGAGAAAUUAGGGUUUCAUUAAACAGCACGGACUCGCCGAGUCCAUACCUUGGACUCGCCGAGUCCAGGCGUGAACCUGCGUCUAGAACCGCGAUCCUACUCGGCGAGUCUGAGCUCCAACUCGCCGAGUCCCCUCACAAAACACCAAAAACUUAAGCAUAAAAGAUACCUGGAAAUCCGGGCUCUUACAUAGGGUUUACAAAACCCUAACUCUGGGAAUGUUAGUUUGGGAAUUACCGGGACUCGCGUUUAGACUAUUAUAUUGGAAUUUUGAUUUAUGUCCAACUACAUUGUCUGAAUGGCCUAAUGGAGUGAUUGAUUUUGUUGGAUUAAGUGUUUAAUGGGUUAAGUCGUUAUUGGGUUAAGUAAGAUUACUUCACCCUAAUUGUCAUUUCAUGUGAGAAAACCUAAUUUUGCUUGGGCCUUGAGUUUAGCCUUUCUAUUGGGCUUUGGUGAUUGGGCUACUGAUGGACCAUCAAAAAACAAGCAUAUGGACUAUAAUAUUUGGAUUGAGCUUUAGGAUAAGGCCUAUUGGAUUAUACUUGGGCCCAAUUAGGAAAUUAGACCAUAGAUGGACCAUAACAGGGCCUUGAUGAUUAUGAGAUAUUGGAUCAGUAGGCUGCCAAGUGUUUCAACCAUAAUAAAUGGUUGGGCCUUCAGGUAACACCCUGUUGAGGUUUGGGCCCAAUUUUGAAAAUUGGGCCAUAUGUUGGGCAUCAGUUCAUUGUUUGACUUUUGGCCUUUAGAUUGGGCCUUCGACGGGUCUUCAACGGUGUGAGGUGAGUUUCCUUCAGUAGGAAUGGGUCGAAGGCACCAAUGGCAGCCCAUAUAGUUUAUAUGUUCUUGAUAGGAACAUGAGGUUUGGGUGGGGGCGUAUCUUACUAUUACUUGAGUAUAGAUAUUAGUCAGAUUGUUGGAUUGUUAUACUUGUAUUCUAUGUGAUACCGGUAUGUGUUGUUAGGAAUGUGAGUUUGGGCGGGUCUCGUAUCUUAUAGUAGCAAAGUGUGGAUAGGGCCCGUAUCUCAUUGAGUGUGGGCGGAGCCCGUAUCUCCUAGUAGCAUGAUUAGUUGUAUGGUAUGUGGUAGUUUGAGGAGACUCACUAAGCUUCAUGCGGAAAGUUUUUAGUUUUGGUUUAGGUACUUCUGUUAGCAAGGAGAACAGAUCGGGAUGAUUAAGUGCACACAUCAUUUGUUUAGCCUGGGAUAUUAAUACUGUGAUAUAUUUUGACAAAUGUUAUGAUAUUUUGAGGUACAAGAUUUACUGUUUUUAUAUGAUGUUUGGACUACUAUGGUUUUAUUAAUGAUUUAAAAUGAAAAUUUUCGACUGUAUAUUUAGGAUGGUUCAAGUUGGUAUCACAACCUUGGUUUGAGGGAUUCGGGCACACUCUCGUGUGUGUCUGAACUCAAACUGAGGACUUAGUAUGCAAAUUUUCAAAAGAAAAUCAUUUUUACAAAAGAACUUUGAAAGUGAAAAGGGUUUUAGAAAAGAGAAAACGGGUGUGGUGCAUGCAAUCAACCAAUCUCAAGUAUGUACUCCCAAAUUACCCGUACGAGUGUAUGUUAUGAUAUGAUUAUGAGAACUUCAUGCUAGAUUGGGGCUAAGGAUCUAGGAAUGAUACAUUGUAUGCCAGUUAUAUGUGUAUGAGAACUGCAGGCUAAUUAUGGCUAAGGAUCUAGGAAGGAUGCCUUAUGUGCCUACUAUAUGAGCUUGUUGAGUUGUAUGCUAGUAUUGAUUAGUCAGUCAUAUGAUGGCCUGAUUAGAGUAUGAUUGAUUGUAUUUACUUAAUUCUCGAAUAGUUCUUGCUUCUUUCUAUUAAGAGUUCUAGUUACCUCUAACUAACUAGUAAAUGAAUAUGGUAAGUUACAUAUUGUGAGGACUAAAUAAUUUCAGAAGGUUAGGUUUAGCUCUAUUUCGCAGCUCUUGUUUGAGUCCAACCGUUGUAGCAGAGAGUGGAUUGGUAAUUACCCUAGGGAAAGCCUAGGCUGAGAGUAGCAGAGAACAAUAGUAGCAGUAGAAGGGACUUGAUGGAGUCAAGGCAAUUCUUGAGGUAAGCACAUAUAGAUGUGGAAGGCAGUAUGGGACCGUACUAUUCAAAGAAGAGGAUCUGUACUCAAACCAAGGAAGGCUGAGAUGAACCCAGGGAACUUGUAGUUUGUGAGAUCCCUCGAGUUAUGAUGAGUAUUCUAAUGAUUAUUCUGGUAUAUUUCCGAGUAUGGAGACGCUAUGUGGUAGACCAGAUGUCAGAUUUGGUGUUGGCAAGGGAUCAGGCUCCGACUCUAGAGCCGGGCAGCUUGAUGGUUAGAUGAGGGAGUUCAUUCCAUCUAAGAGUACGCACAGUAUCACUUAACAGACUCCCGUUGUCUUCAGUGUUCAAGGAGGGAAUUUUAGAGAUUUGUGAUAGGAAGCUGAGAACAUUCUACACUGAAAUACCAACCAUGAUAGGUACGCAUACGUUGAUGAAUCAGGAGUUCAGAGCUCAUGAAGCUCCAGAUUAUCAUGGGGCUAGGAACCCCAUUGCUAACAGAAGAUGGUUGGCAGAUGCCGUGAAAACUUUUCGUACCAACCGUUUCCUGAGAGGAACAAGGUCGAAUUUACUUCCUGUUUCCUGAAGGACAAGGCACUUGAUUGAUGGGAAGCGGUUGGUAGUGAGUUGUGUGAUGAUGCGGUCUAUGCUAUGUCAUGGGAUGACUUUUUGACCAGAUUCCAGACAAAAUUUGCACAGGGAUUAAUGCACACCAGUUGGCGCAAGAGUUACUAGAUCUCCACCAGACUACUGAGAUUGUGGCAGCGAUCACUGCCAAGUCUCGGGAGAGAGCUUCUUUGGUACCGCAAUAUGCAGCGGAUGAGGAAAUGAAGAAGGUAAGGUAUCCGAACAUAAUGCAGAAUGAGAGCAGGUAGAACGUGAGUAUUUCGAGGUGCGAAACCCUAAAAGAUAUGACUUCUAGAACCGGAUAAUGAGAUAUUGAUUUUGAGCACAUUGGGAAGAGGGAACCAGAUUAGUUGCAUAUAUUGAAGGGUCUCGGGAAGAGACCCAAGAUUUCGGAUCAACUUAUAUGAUUUGGAUCAGCUUUUGAGAGCCCAGCAGGGCCACAUUUAGUGCAGCACUUGCGAGUAACUACACGAUGAAGUGUUUUUCACUCCAAGGGAUUGGGUAAGGGUACACUUAGCUUGCUUCCAAGUUUGUGUUAGCGUUAUACCUUCAAGUGAUGCCAAAUGCCAAUUGCAUACCGAGAAUUAUUAGUGGGUAGCAAAAGGUUAUUUCCUUAAUUGUGGGAUUCAGAGUGGACAACGUCAUCAUGGUUUAUGGUCGAGAUCAAAUCAUAAGUGUUCUGUGGAAGGUCUGCAGUAAGGGUUCCGCUGGAUGGUUAUCCAAUAUCAUCAGGAUUUGGUGGUCCUAGUAACUGUUACUGAUUGGCUGAUGGAGGUACUAAGGAAAGUGGUUCGUUGCUGAGAUAUUGGCAGGAGCAUUUGUCUUUCAGUCUUCAAGAUUCGAGUGUGGUAUCAUUUCAAACUUUUUCAGUUACUAGUAUUGUUAGGAAUUCUCCAAAUUUCAUGUAUUGUGAAGACUUAGUCGAAUCUAAGUAGGGGAGAAUCGUUCAGGGAUUCGGAAACAUGAGCAGUUUUGGAACUGGGAUAAGUUUGGCAUCCUUGUCAGAAUGAAGAUAGUCCAAGCUGCUAUAUGGAUUGAGGAUAGUUUGAGUUGGAAGUUCAAAAAACUUGACAAUAAUGAGAUCGCGUUCUCGGAAUGUUUGAUAGCAGGCCUUAGGGGAUCAGGUUGAGGAUUCCACUCAGGACAUUGAUGUCACUUUUGCAUGUUAGGUCGUGUGUAUGCUCGAGGUUGGAUGUGUUUGGAUUAGUAAUCAGCGAUGGAGACAGUGUGGAAAGUGUUGUAAGACUGUGGGAUACCCGUAGCAUUCACCAGCAACGAGACAACAUGGAAAGUGUUGUAAGACUACGGGAUAGCCGUAGAAAUCACUAGUAGCCGGAUAGUAUGGGAAGUGUUGUCAGUCUGCGGGUGUAGUCCUACCAUUCACAAGGUUAGCAGAUAGUGCUAGAAGUGUUGUAAGUCUGCGUGACGUAGCCGCAACAUUCAUAAGGUUGGCAGAUAGUGCUAAGAGUGUUGUAAGUCUACGGGUGUAGUCGUAGCAUUCACAAGGUUGGCAGAUAGUGCUAGAGUGUUGUAAUUACGUUGGUGUAGCCGUAACAUUAACUAGGUUAGUAGAUAACAUGGUCUUUGGUGAAUGGGCUACUGAUGGGCCAUCCAAAAACAAGCAUAUGGACUAUAAUAUUUGGAUUGAGCUUUAGGAUAAGGCCCAUUGGAUAUGCUUGGUGCCAAUUGGGGAAACUAGGCCAUAGAUGGACCAUAACAGGGCCUUGAUGAUUAUGAGAUAUUGGAUCAGUAGGCUUCCAAGUGUUCGACCAUAAUAAUUGGUUGGGCCUUCAGGUAACACCCUGUUCAGGUUUGGGCCCAAUUUUGAAAAUUGGGCCAUACGAUGGGCAUCAGUUCAUUGUUUGACUUUUGGCCUUUAGAUUGGGCCUUGAGCUUUAAUCAAGCUAAGUUGGGGGUAAAGUAGUCUUUUACCCCAAACAUGGAUUUAUGGUUACGUUAUGGCACCCGAUUAUUAAUUGGGUGUUAUUUUUAUGUUGACAGUUCGAGAGUCUGUCAUUCAGCAGCUAGAGUUUUGAUCGCAGGGCUUCAACAGUGUGAGGUGAGUUUCCUUUAGUAGGAACAGUUCGAAGGCACCAAUGCUAGCCCGUAUAGUUUAUAUGUUCUUGAUAGGAACACGGAGUAUGGGCGUGGCCCGUAUCUCAUUAUUACCAGUGUAUAGAUGUCAGUCAAAUUGUUGGACUGUUAUACUUGUUAUUUGUGUGAUACCUGUAUGUGUUGUUAGGAAUGUAAGUGUGGGCGGGGCUCGAAUCUCAUAGAGUUUGGGCAUGGCCCGUAUCGCAUAGUAAUUAGAGUUCUCUAAAUCGCCCAUAAUUUCCAUGUUUUUGACAUAUCAGAAAAAAUGAAUUUUGUUUCAUAUAAUAUGGGGUAUAAAUAAUUGUGUUAAACAACAUUGUACUAAACUAAGAUGGUAAAAAAUGGUCAUUUUACCCCUAAAUGCCACUUGUUUUGUUUCGCUCUUGUUUAUUGAUUAAUACUGAAAGUUAGCGGUGGAUUAUAUAGUUUCAGACGAGGAGUCUAGGGUUUCUUGGUGUUACUCAUGAAGCAAUACCAUGUAAGAGAUGUUUGAUACAAUUAUCAUAUUACCUAUGGUUAGUUUUGGUAAGUUCAUUAAAUCCAACAUUAGUUUUCAAAGUUAGACCAAUUAUACAAAUAUAUAUUGAUAAAUCCAAAUAUAUUUUAAACGCGAAGUCGCAAUAAAUAUAGCACCACUAGAAAUAAAAUGACAUUUUGUGGCACAGAAAAUGUGCCACUAAAAACCAAAAAUGUUCCACUAAAAGCCUAGUUGAUAUUCAGCGGCACAAAAAAUAAGUAUCACUAGAAGCGUUGCCACUAAAAACCUUUAGUGACAUUUUUUGAUUGUGUCGCUGCAACACUUGUGGGUUUUAGUGACACUUUUUUAUUCCACUAUAGCCCUUUUUUGUAGCAUUUUUAUGCCACCAUAUAAUUGCAAAAAUAAAAUCAAUUUUUAUAUUUUUUAACAACAAUUAUUUUUACCAAAAAAUAACAAUAUUUACAAAUUAAAUCCAACUUUUUUUAUAUAUUUAAGUGAGAUAUAAAAUAUUAAAAAACAAUUCAUAUAAUAAAAAUAUAAAACACAUAAACAGUACAUAAACUAAAAUUUAACAUGUGUUACAACAAUAUUAUCAAUAGUUAAAACAAAAUACCUUCCAAAAAGCUUAAUAAGUCUACACAUCGUGUUAGUAAUUAAUCAAAACAGAAAACAACAAUAUUCUCAUUAUUUUGAAUAAUCAUCUUCGCCCCCUUGUGUUUGUGGAGUUACAUGGAACAACUUGUAGGAAAGACUACAAAAUAAAACAAUUUAUAAUAGAAGUUAUUAUUAGCAUACCUACAAAAUUAACACAUUGUUAUAGAGAAACAAAUCAAUUUAUGUAAAACAAUUUCAUUGUUAAAAAAGAAGCAUCACAACUAUAGGUAAAAGUGGAAAUAACAACAAAAUUAAAUUCAAUGCUAAUAAAAGCGGGGACCUUGAAGGAGAGAAGUCAACUUUAAUAUGAUGUCAUUUUCUUGAUUUUGUGAAUAUUGGUAUUCUUAGUGUUGAGGCUGUCCACACUUGUAUUUUUCCUUUCUUGGUAAAUCUGAAUGAAAUAUAACGUUAAAAAAAUGAAUAAUAUGUAUUUGGUUUAUUAAUAAAAUAGAAAAAAAUUAAAGCAAACCUUCACGGCUUCAAAAAGUCUCCUCUUUUACGUUGCAUAACAACCUUUGACAUCAUGUCAUCAUCAUAAGUAAGUUGUUGCAAAUUCGCAUCACCUGUGUCUUUAUCAACACUCUUUUUUCGUGUACUGUGUAGGGGUAAUAGGUGUGAGUUAUAUGAAAAAGUGAGUGAGAGUAUUAUAAAUAAUCAAAACUACAAAAUCAAAAUUACAAAUCAAUAGAUGCAGGUUCUAACCAUCUUGAAAAUAUCAAAAUAUUUGAAAAGAUAAAAACAAAUGUAAAUAUGCUAGUAAGUCAUCACUCAUGUAUGAGAUAAAUAUUCAAACAAUCAUAGGACGUGCCAAAUGCUUGAAAUAAACUUACCCUUUUCAUAUUAACCUUUAUUUCUUAAUAAUCCAGUAUAAUUCUAAUAAGAUUUAAAAUGUGAGUUGAGCCAGAUUCAUGAUACCUUGCACGGGUCUUAGUUGAGGAAGUGUAUAGCCGACGAGUCGACGGUGGUGCCAUUGGGAGAUAUUCAGGUGAUUGCAUGCCUGAAUUAUGUUGAGAGGCCGGUGGCGAUUGUGGAUCGAAAGAUCAAGGUUCUGAGGAACAAGGAGGUGCCCCUAGUUCAAGUCCAGUGGCAGCAUCAGAGAGGAUACGAGCUGACUUGGAAGCCGAAGUUGGAGAUGCGGGAGCAGCGUCCAGAAUUGUUUGUGGAGCAAGACUUUGAGGGUGAAGUCUGAUUCUAGUGGGGGAGAAUUGUAAAAUCCGGAUUUCCAGGUAUUAUGUUUGAUCAUGUAUUUGUGUAAAAGAGAGGGACUCGACGAGUUGACGGUUACACUCGUCGAGUAGGAUCGCAUUUGCUGACUGGAUUAAUGAGCGGAACCGAUGAGUUGGAAAGGGGGGACUCGACGAGUCCACGCUGUAGGCUGAAAACCUAAAUCUCCAGGACUGAGCCCUAUUUAAAGGACCUUAUACCCUCUUGUGCGGCUACCUGUCCAGAGAGAGUGCCCCUUGAGAGCUUGAGCAAGUUGAGAGAGUGAUAAGGCCAUAUUGAUCGGUUUUGGUGUGAUUUAGCAAAGGAGAAGUUGUUUCCAGCAAGAGGAGGUCAAGGGAGUUGUGGAUCCGGAGUUUUCAAGUUCACAUCUACACUGUUGAGGUAUCAAAUCGAACUUUCUGUCUAUUUUGGGUUUAGAUCUAUGAUCUAGGGUUUUCUAUAACCUUUUAGGGCUUGAAAAGUUGAGUUUAUGGUCCCUUGUUGUGUUAGAACUCGGAUAUGGACCCAUAGAGGUCUAGAGAGCCUUCCCAAUUGUGCUUUAUGUUGGUUUAUGGAGGAAAAGAGACUAGGUUGCCAUUUUAGAAGCGAUUUCACCAAGGAAAGCCUUGGCUUCAUUGCAUGUGAGUCGAGUUCCGACCUUUACAUGGUUAUUGGUCAUGGGGAACUCAGAUCUAUAGUAUAGAGAAGCAGAUCUGACCUCAGAAGGUCAUUUGAGAGUCGUUAUUGGGGCAACUCACUGAGUCCAUAAGUGGAUUCGACGAGUCGAGACGGGGUUGCCCCGUGAUUCGUUGCAGAGUAACCAGGCGAGUGGAGAAGGGUCUCGAUGUGCCAAGUGAGGCUUAGAAGGAUUCAAGGGACCCGCGUGGACUCGUCGAGUCGCUCGAGUGCACUCGACGAGUCUAGUCAAAGUUGACCGUUGACUAGAAUUGACUUUGUUGACUAUUGGGGUUUAGUCAAUGUUUGAACUUUUGAGCGAUUGGAGGGGUAGAAUGGGCUUUUAGCCUCCUUAGAGAGCUUAGAGAGGGAUUAGCCUAGUCUUUGAAAGUUGUAUUGAUUAGAGUAAUUAUUUUAUGUUAUUAGGCGGAGGCUAGAUCAGUAUUUCCGAGUACGAGGGUUUUCAAGUUAUCCGAGGUGAGUCUUCUCACUAUACUUUACCUAGAGUGGUAAUUAGAGUUAUGUGACAAAGUAUGUUGUAUGAUAUUAAAUGAUGUGAUAUCUAUGUGAUUAUGUGCUAUAUGUGGUUCAGAGUUUACAGAUUCAGGUCCAAAAGGUCCACAAAGUUAGGACCAGAGGGUCCACAGAGUUAUGGCACUGGAGGGUCCCACUGAGGCACGUAUUGUCUCUUCCAACCCAUUAAAGUCCAACCUCUUUCUUAACAGAUCAUUAGCAUCUAGGAAACAAUGAUGACCGAUAUAUACGACUCUAUUUGUUCUACGGUACGAAGGAGUGUCUUCAUUGCAUGUAGCACAUACUUUAUACGCUUGCCAAACCCAGAAAAUUAUGGUUUCCUAAUUUGGCAAGUACGCUCACUAUGCAAUGAGUACGCCAUGCGUACUAGGGUGCGCCCUAGUAUAAUCAGCGUACACCACAUACGCAUGGCGUACUGCAAAUCCCCAAAAAUUACAAUAAUACUAUUAGGGUUCCAUCGCAUACUUUCUUGAACUAAGGGACCAAAAUGCAACCUAAAUAAAUUAAAGGACUAAAAUUAGAUGCCCCUUCGGGAUGUUACACACAUGGUUUUUCUUUAUCAUGAGAUAAAGAACUUGUUUCAUUUAUCUUUUUGAAAAACCUUAACAUUAUAAUUGGAUUAAAAAACUAAUCGUCACAAAGUCAUACAAUUUCAGAAAUUCUAAAUCUAAUUAUAAUAUAAACAAUUAAUGUAAGUUUACUACACAUCUAUUAGUUUUAGAGGAUCACUGUUGAUAUCAUAAAAGUCAAAAUCAAACUAUUAAUUAAACAUAUAAUACAACUAUACUCCAUUUAAUGAUUGUCGAAUAAAUCAAAUUUAAAGCCAUAAAUGAUGAACCAUUGUAAAGUAAUUUGGUAAAAUGAUAAACUUCAUUUAUUACAUGUAAUUUGAUAAAAGGUAAUGGUAAAUAUGAUUUAUGCUAUUUCGGAAUAUGUUGUUGUCUAUGGCAUGCUAUUAACAAUACUNNNNNNNNNNNNNNNNNNNNNNNNNNNNNNNNNNNNNNNNNNNNNNNNNNNNNNNNNNNNNNNNNNNNNNNNNNNNNNNNNNNNNNNNNNNNNNNNNNNNNNNNNNNNNNNNNNNNNNNNNNNNNNNNNNNNNNNNNNNNNNNNNNNNUAUAUAUAUAUAUAGAGAGAGAGAGAGAGAGAGAGAGAGAGAGAGAGAGUGUGUGUGUGUGCAAGUCCAUUAAACAACUUCCACUAUGUACGACCUUCUUCAGAUGUCGAGUUUAAAAGUUUAUAAAUUAAAAAAGAAAGUGGGUUGAACAUAGACUCAUAAAAAAUGGAGAGUUUGAGACAGUAUGUGGUGAUAGGAAGAUGAAGUUCAAGAUUUUCAUUCAUCGGAGAGUGGUAGAUGAUUGUCUCGCUGCACACCAAACAACGUUGAUGGGCUUAAGUGCGGUUACGGACGGCGACAACGAGUGAAGAUUAUGUAACUUUUGUUUUUUUAGGGUUUAUGUAUUUUUUGUCUUUUGAUCUUUUAAUCCUCAAAGUUCGUUGUUUAUUUCUUGUAUUUAAUGGGUUUAUAAGAAUAUUUUUUUCUUGUAUUUAACGAGUUUGAAAAAUCAAAUACAAAUUAAGAUAUUUAUAAAUCAGAUUGUUUUCCUGGAUAAGUAUCUUGUAAGAUCCAAAACUAAUUUUUAACAAGUUUGAAAAAUCAAAUGUAAAUUAAGAUAUUUUUAAAUCAGAUUGUUUUCCUGGAUAAAUAUGUACACAUGUUAGCCAUUAAACUAAUUUUUAACAGGUGACAUCCAAAUUUAUUAUAUGACAUACAAAAAAAGUCCAAAAAUAAGAGGUGUCCAUGGACACCCUCUGCCUAUAGAUGGGAUCACUCUUGUUUCUAUCUUUAUACUUUAUGUACUAUGAAUAAGAAAUUAAAACAAUCUAAUUACCUAAAAUACCCAUGCCCUAACAAGAUACUAUUUAUUUUUCUAAAUCAUCCAUAAUUUCCAUGUUUAUGAGAUAGCAGAAAAAAUACAUUGCUUUUUUUUUUUUUGCAUAUAAAGUGUGGUAUAAGUAAUUGUGUUAAGUAGCAUUGUACUAAAGUAAGAUGAUACAAAACGACGAUUUUACCCCUAAAUACCAGUUUUUUUGUUUCCCUAUUGUUGUUUAUUGUGGAAUAUAGAACAUUAGCGUUAGCGGUGGAGUAUAUUGUAUCGACGAUGAGUCCAAGUUUUCUUGGCGUUACUCAUGGAGCAAUACCAUGUAAGAGAUGCUUGACACAAUUAUCACGUUACCGAUAGUUAAUUCCGGUAUGUUCCUAAAAUCGAAAAUUAGUUUUCAACCAUAGACCAUGUUUACAAAUGUGUUUUGAUAAAUGUUCUAUACUAUGUUAUUCUGGAAAUUAAUGAUGGACCAUCAAUGGAUAUUUACCAAAAAACUUGAUCCUCGAGAAUAAAUCGUCCAUAGGAAGGUUGUGCAUGCGUUAUGUUUCUUGCAUGCUUAUCAAAAUUCAUUCAACUGUCGUUCACAUGUUCUAGAAGUCACAUUGCGUUGAAAAAAAAAGAAUCCGAAGAUACUUUAAGUGCAAAGUCGUAAAAAGUAUAGCACAAUAUGCAAACAUAAAAACACCGGGUGUGAGUAAUCCAAUUAUCAUCCAAAUAAACUUUUCGAUGUAACAUUCACAAAAUCAAAUUUUUUUCGUAGAGUUUUAUUAAACUUAUAGAUUACAACUCGAGGGAAUGUAAAACGAUAAAUAUGUGUACAAUUUUCACUUAUGUACAUUAUCAACAUCAAUUUCUUCAUGUCAUUUAAUUUUAAAAUUAAUAUAAUUGUCAGUAUAUAUGAUUAUUAUGAUUUCAUUAAACACAAUUAUAAUUUUAACUUUAGUGAAACCGUUAAUUUUAUAGCCACACAUUAUAUUAAGUUUAUGCUAAUUACACACUUUGAUGUUCAAAGGCUAAACAAUAAAUAUGGUAUACUCAACCUGGAAUAAUCACAAUGUCAAAUGAUAGAAGAUAUUCUCAGUUAAAAAAGAAAUAAAAAUGUAACAAGUAUUUUUGCUAAAAAUAUAAAUAAAGAUACUAUGGCCAUUUACGAAUAAGAGCUGUUAAAAAAUAUUUAUAUAUAGUAAGGACUACUAUGGUCAUUUACAAAUAAGUGCUCCUAAAAAUUGUUAUUUUGCUUAAUGGUUGGGGGUGUAUGCGAAGAAAUGUAAAAUUUUAGGGGAGGUGGAUGCAAAUCACCAUCGCUAGAGAUCAGGAUUAGGGUUCACGCCCACACUUUUCUUACUAUAUAUAUAUAUUAGAUGUUGAGUUUCAUUUGCAUACGAUUCACAGCCGCUGUCAUAAUCUACCUUGUGAAUCUAAUAACAUUCACACGAUAUAUUUUUUCUAUAUUUUUUCUGAAAAUCAUCCAUUCUUUUGAUAGAGUUAUCGAUCUGCGUCUUUUUCGGUUAUCAUAAUCACCAAGUCUUUUAUGUGUCGAUUACGAAAAAAAAAAUUCUCUAUCAUGCUUCUAGAUCCAAAAACUGGCAACGAUCCACAAUAUUUUAAAACAAAAAACAUGUAAGUUAACUGAUACGUAAAUUUAUACCAUUCUGAAUCAUGAGUUUUGAAGCUGUUUUCUCCUUUUUUUGUUGUUUCGAAGUUUAUAAAUGCUGUUCGCCUGUCACUCACAUUAUUUCUUGAUCUGUUGUCAGUCAAGUAGAGUCAGAUCGGUACCAGUUAGGUGUUCAUCGCAUUUCAAAAGUCGGUUUCGUGGGUUUGUCCAGAGGCCACUGUACAUUAGUCUUUCCAAGGUAAGUUUAUAAAACGUUUUCUUAUGUAAUUGUUUUGAUGCCAAUAAAUUUUUAAUUCUCAACUUUCCAAUUUAUGCUAUAUCAAGUAACGCUUAAGUAAGGUCUAAAUCUGACAUGUUGUUCCAUUCUUACUGAAUGAUGUUUGGAGACGAUGGCGAUGUUGACAGAAGUUGCAGAUCUGAUCACUAGAUCUUGACACGCUCAUUCCUUAAAUAUAUAUCAAUAAAUUUGGUCCCUGUAGUAUAGUGCUUGUUUUAGUUUUGGUACAAGGUUAAAAUGGUCAUUAAAAAAAAAAUCCAAUUAUGCUGCGUUUUCAUUUCUGAUUGUUAGAUUUAUCCUCCUUGCAGUGUGAAAGGGAAUAUCAUAUACGGUGUUUGAGGGAACACAAGAAGAUGUAUAUGAAGGUGUGUUAAUUUGAAUCUGAAUUUGCAAAAAUUUCCACAGUUUUUCACUCGAUUUAAUAUGAGAUUGUUGAUCUGAAGGUGUCUUCUCAUUUCGGAGGGAUCGGAAUCGGAAUCACAUAUUCCGAUGUGAAGUGGAUUGUUUUCCUUGGGAAAGAUGUUUCUGAUGAAUGGUGACAUUCUAAGGAACAUCUUUGUUAGAAAUUGAGGUGGUGGGUCUUCAAGGUGGAAUUACUUUUCAAGAUGGUUUUGGUUUUUGUCUUUGCAUGGAGAAGUAAAGUAAACAAUGAAUGAAUGAAUAAUGAAUACCCAUUUGUUGAUUUUUAUUUGAUGGUUUUAAAAUAUAGAUUUGAUGUACGUUUCAAGAUUUUUCCUUUGUUGAAUAUGUAAUUAUUGUUAUUUUUUGCAUGAAUUUAUAUUUUUUUUUAUAUCCAAAACUCGCUGCUAGCCUAUCACAUAAAAAUCUCUCUGUAAUCUAUUAGUGAGUUUUUCUUAAAUUUUGUCGAUAGUUCGUUAGGGAGCUAUUCUUUUGGUAAUUUUUACAAAAAAGUGUAUUCUUCAUUGAUCGGUUACUAAUAACCGACGUAAAAAUUCGUUAAUCUAAAAAAGGGUACGGUUCAUUAAACAAAUUAGAUGCGUCCAGAUAAAAUGAAACUCUACCAACACGACACAAUGCCGCUGCCGCCGAUCCUUCGCCAUCUAAAUGCCACAAUUUCGCUGCCGGAGACUCUGUGAACAACCCGAAAAACCGUUGAAGGUCGACAAAAGGAUGUGUUCACAGCAGCAAGGGCGCGAGCUACCGAGAGGCUUCAGGUAAGACCAUCUGCCACUUCUCUCUCUCCUCCCCUCCGUCCCUUUGUACGUGUUCGACGUCAGAUGCGUCUCCGCUGCCUCCGGUGGCCUUUGGUCACUAUUUUCGUAACUUUCCGGCAACAUCAGCCGCAUGGAAGGUGGCUGGGUUGAUGUAUGUCUAGAAUAUAUGUUGUUGUUGGUGUUAUUGUUGCUGUAUAAGCCAUUUUUGGCUGGAAGAUCAAUGAAGGUCCGUCACCACCAUCAUGAGGUGGUGGCUGCUGUAACGCCCGUGUUUCUAGGCUAGGCAUUAAUAUUGACAUAAUGGUCUAGGUUAACCUUUGUAACUCAUUUAGAAGAAAUGAAAAGGAAUUAUGUGAAUUUUAUGUGAAUUAUGUGUUUUAUGCUUAAUUAUUAGGGUUUAAUUAAUUAAAAAUAAAAAUAAGCGUCAAAAUUAAAGUGUGAGAUAAGCCCGAUAUCUUUACAUAAAGUUGUAGUGGUCGAAACAAGGAUUUCGGGGAUAUAAAGAAUACCAAAAUCCGAGUUAUAACGAAGAAGUUAUGACCUGUCGAAGUUUCGCGACAAAACCGGCACGGUGCUGAAUGUCGUAAAAAGUGAGUUUUUGAUAAACUACUUUUUAGCCUUAGUAAUCUAAACGAAAGUCGUAGUAUUCGUUAAACCGAGAAGUUCGAUAAAAAGAACGCCCAAAUCUGACUUCGUAUGAGGAAGUUAUGAUUUUUCGAAGUUUCAGCGUAGCAGUAGACAGCUAAAAACUCGAAUUUUAGAUCGAGCGAUUUUUAGCCGACACAACCUAAACGAGAAUUGAAGGUCUCGUCAUUAGGAGCACAACGGUAAAAAGUCUGACGAAAACGGACGUUGGAUGAAGAAGUUAUGAAUUCUUAACAGAUUUCCUGUCCCGAUCUGUUAAAAAUAAUAAUAUAAAAAUUAAAGUCAAAAUUAGCCGACGAAUUCUAAAUGGAAGUUGUAGAGCGUAAUUUUAGCUACACGUGCAUAUAAAGAACGUCAAAAACGGAGAUCGUAUGCGAAAGUUACGGAUUUUAGAAGUUUUGGCGCGAAAAUCGAGAAAAUUCGCAUAGUCAUGAGUUGCCACGUCACCCUCGCCUCGCAUGUGACACGUGUCCUGCUGAGUCACCGAAGCUGCUGAGUCACGAAGCUGCUGAGUCAUCCGAGCACAUGGCCCUAUCCGAAGUGGUCCAGUGAAGAUCCGACGCGUGCCUUCUCCCUCGUGUCCGAGCCCUCGCAGAAGCCACGUGCUUCCCUCAUCGGAUCCGAACUUCAGUCCAAUCGCAGGCCGCCAGCAGCUCCUUCGCACGUGCAGCCCUCAUGCGUGCCUCCCCCUCUGCGAGCCUUCUCAGCCGUCGGAUCAGAAGACUCCUGACCGUCCGAUCAGAAGGUCUUCCCUAUAAAUAGAAGGCUGCGAGUGGAACGUUAGUAGACUCGUAAUCGGUAGAUAUGUUUGAACUAUAUGUUCAUAAAGUGUUCUUGAACUAUAUGUUCCUUAGGUGUUUUUGAACUAUGUGUUCAUCCAUUAAUUCUUCUUUUUGACACUAUUACGUGUCGGGGUACGGGAGCGUACGGGAGUACUUUAUUAGUAUUUUCCAUAUGCUUUUAUUUUGAGGAGAUUNAGGGGUGAGUCUGGGGGUUCAGACCACAGCCUAGGCAUUAGUUAGUGUUUUCAUUUCCGAUGCCGGAUAGGGGUGAGUCUGGGGGUUAUAUACCUCACGAUAUUCAGACCACAACCUAGGCAUUAGUUAGUGUUUCCAUUGCCGGAUAGGGUGCGUCUGGGGGUUAUAUACCUCACGAUAUUCAGACCACAGCCUAGGCAAAGUUCGAUGCUGGAUAGGGUGCGUCUGGGGGUUAUAUACCUCACGAUAUUCAGACCACAGCCUAGGCAUUGAUAACUACCCCUAACUUAAUUGUCUUGUGGUUCUUUCUUUUACGAACAAAGGUUCGUAGUUAAACUGAGUCCAUUCAUUCAAUAUCUUUAUCGAUCCUUGUUUACUGCUAGAGGAUUUCUGAAGCAGUUUAGUCAGUUAGUUGUUCGUAUCGAUUCUUCAGGCUAGAUCUAGUAAGAUCACUGUAUAAAGUUAGUAUGUGGGGAUCGAUGUUGUUAGUUCCUGUUGAGUAAAUCUUGGUGACGAUGUGACGUCGUGCCGAUUAGAUAAAUCUUGGCGACAAUGUGACUUCGUGCCUAUUUGACAUAAAUUGUUGAAGGAAAACAAUGUUGUCACCCCGGUGUUUGUUUUAUUUGACAUAAAUUGCUGAGAAAGCAAUGUUGUCACCCCUAAUGAAAAUCCUUAGGCUAGGUUCCUUGUGAUAGUUGUUUUAGGGACGUAACGUGAGGAUAACGGGAAUGGGUAAUUGGGGUAAUUUGGUUGACUGAUUGAUGUUUAAACAUAAUAAAUUUAUGUAUUGUGGGUUGAAAACCCUAUAUGCUCACCAGGCUUCCAAGCCUGACCCACUCAGCUUUUUAUGAUUACAGGUAGUGGACCCCGAGCAUAGUCGGAUGAUGAUGAUGAGUGAUUUUGGAUUAUAGGCCAUUAGUUAUAAAUAACUGUUGUAAGGCUUAUAAUGUCUUGUUUAUGCUUUUGAUCUGUAUCGGAACAUGACAUCCCGAGGUUUUGUUAUGAAAUAAAAAUAUAUAUUUCUUAAAGCAAGGUUUUGAUAAAUUUUUAUCAUGUUUGACUUUGGGAACAAAUUCCGCAACACUUUUAAUGAAAUNNNNNNNNNNNNNNNNNNNNNNNNNNNNNNNNNNNNNNNNNNNNNNNNNNNNNNNNNNNNNNNNNNNNNNNNNNNNNNNNNNNNNNNNNNNNNNNNNNNNNNNNNNNNNNNNNNNNNNNNNNNNNNNNNNNNNNNNNNNNNNNNNNNNNNNNNNNNNNNNNNNNNNNNNNNNNNNNNNNNNNNNNNNNNNNNNNNNNNNNNNNNNNNNNNNNNNNNNNNNNNNNNNNNNNNNNNNNNNNNNNNNNNNNNNNNNNNNNNNNNNNNNNNNNNNNNNNNNNNNNNNNNNNNNNNNNNNNNNNNNNNNNNNNNNNNNNNNNNNNNNNNNNNNNNNNNNNNNNNNNNNNNNNNNNNNNNNNNNNNNNNNNNNNNNNNNNNNNNNNNNNNNNNNNNNNNNNNNNNNNNNNNNNNNNNNNNNNNNNNNNNNNNNNNNNNNNNNNNNNNNNNNNNNNNNNNNNNNNNNNNNNNNNNNNNNNNNNNNNNNNNNNNNNNNNNNNNNNNNNNNNNNNNNNNNNNNNNNNNNNNNNNNNNNNNNNNNNNNNNNNNNNNNNNNNNNNNNNNNNNNNNNNNNNNNNNNNNNNNNNNNNNNNNNNNNNNNNNNNNNNNNNNNNNNNNNNNNNNNNNNNNNNNNNNNNNNNNNNNNNNNNNNNNNNNNNNNNNNNNNNNNNNNNNNNNNNNNNNNNNNNNNNNNNNNNNNNNNNNNNNNNNNNNNNNNNNNNNNNNNNNNNNNNNNNNNNNNNNNNNNNNNNNNNNNNNNNNNNNNNNNNNNNNNNNNNNNNNNNNNNNNNNNNNNNNNNNNNNNNNNNNNNNNNNNNNNNNNNNNNNNNNNNNNNNNNNNNNNNNNNNNNNNNNNNNNNNNNNNNNNNNNNNNNNNNNNNNNNNNNNNNNNNNNNNNNNNNNNNNNNNNNNNNNNNNNNNNNNNNNNNNNNNNNNNNNNNNNNNNNNNNNNNNNNNNNNNNNNNNNNNNNNNNNNNNNNNNNNNNNNNNNNNNNNNNNNNNNNNNNNNNNNNNNNNNNNNNNNNNNNNNNNNNNNNNNNNNNNNNNNNNNNNNNNNNNNNNNNNNNNNNNNNNNNNNNNNNNNNNNNNNNNNNNNNNNNNNNNNNNNNNNNNNNNNNNNNNNNNNNNNNNNNNNNNNNNNNNNNNNNNNNNNNNNNNNNNNNNNNNNNNNNNNNNNNNNNNNNNNNNNNNNNNNNNNNNNNNNNNNNNNNNNNNNNNNNNNNNNNNNNNNNNNNNNNNNNNNNNNNNNNNNNNNNNNNNNNNNNNNNNNNNNNNNNNNNNNNNNNNNNNNNNNNNNNNNNNNNNNNNNNNNNNNNNNNNNNNNNNNNNNNNNNNNNNNNNNNNNNNNNNNNNNNNNNNNNNNNNNNNNNNNNNNNNNNNNNNNNNNNNNNNNNNNNNNNNNNNNNNNNNNNNNNNNNNNNNNNNNNNNNNNNNNNNNNNNNNNNNNNNNNNNNNNNNNNNNNNNNNNNNNNNNNNNNNNNNNNNNNNNNNNNNNNNNNNNNNNNNNNNNNNNNNNNNNNNNNNNNNNNNNNNNNNNNNNNNNNNNNNNNNNNNNNNNNNNNNNNNNNNNNNNNNNNNNNNNNNNNNNNNNNNNNNNNNNNNNNNNNNNNNNNNNNNNNNNNNNNNNNNNNNNNNNNNNNNNNNNNNNNNNNNNNNNNNNNNNNNNNNNNNNNNNNNNNNNNNNNNNNNNNNNNNNNNNNNNNNNNNNNNNNNNNNNNNNNNNNNNNNNNNNNNNNNNNNNNNNNNNNNNNNNNNNNNNNNNNNNNNNNNNNNNNNNNNNNNNNNNNNNNNNNNNNNNNNNNNNNNNNNNNNNNNNNNNNNNNNNNNNNNNNNNNNNNNNNNNNNNNNNNNNNNNNNNNNNNNNNNNNNNNNNNNNNNNNNNNNNNNNNNNNNNNNNNNNNNNNNNNNNNNNNNNNNNNNNNNNNNNNNNNNNNNNNNNNNNNNNNNNNNNNNNNNNNNNNNNNNNNNNNNNNNNNNNNNNNNNNNNNNNNNNNNNNNNNNNNNNNNNNNNNNNNNNNNNNNNNNNNNNNNNNNNNNNNNNNNNNNNNNNNNNNNNNNNNNNNNNNNNNNNNNNNNNNNNNNNNNNNNNNNNNNNNNNNNNNNNNNNNNNNNNNNNNNNNNNNNNNNNNNNNNNNNNNNNNNNNNNNNNNNNNNNNNNNNNNNNNNNNNNNNNNNNNNNNNNNNNNNNNNNNNNNNNNNNNNNNNNNNNNNNNNNNNNNNNNNNNNNNNNNNNNNNNNNNNNNNNNNNNNNNNNNNNNNNNNNNNNNNNNNNNNNNNNNNNNNNNNNNNNNNNNNNNNNNNNNNNNNNNNNNNNNNNNNNNNNNNNNNNNNNNNNNNNNNNNNNNNNNNNNNNNNNNNNNNNNNNNNNNNNNNNNNNNNNNNNNNNNNNNNNNNNNNNNNNNNNNNNNNNNNNNNNNNNNNNNNNNNNNNNNNNNNNNNNNNNNNNNNNNNNNNNNNNNNNNNNNNNNNNNNNNNNNNNNNNNNNNNNNNNNNNNNNNNNNNNNNNNNNNNNNNNNNNNNNNNNNNNNNNNNNNNNNNNNNNNNNNNNNNNNNNNNNNNNNNNNNNNNNNNNNNNNNNNNNNNNNNNNNNNNNNNNNNNNNNNNNNNNNNNNNNNNNNNNNNNNNNNNNNNNNNNNNNNNNNNNNNNNNNNNNNNNNNNNNNNNNNNNNNNNNNNNNNNNNNNNNNNNNNNNNNNNNNNNNNNNNNNNNNNNNNNNNNNNNNNNNNNNNNNNNNNNNNNNNNNNNNNNNNNNNNNNNNNNNNNNNNNNNNNNNNNNNNNNNNNNNNNNNNNNNNNNNNNNNNNNNNNNNNNNNNNNNNNNNNNNNNNNNNNNNNNNNNNNNNNNNNNNNNNNNNNNNNNNNNNNNNNNNNNNNNNNNNNNNNNNNNNNNNNNNNNNNNNNNNNNNNNNNNNNNNNNNNNNNNNNNNNNNNNNNNNNNNNNNNNNNNNNNNNNNNNNNNNNNNNNNNNNNNNNNNNNNNNNNNNNNNNNNNNNNNNNNNNNNNNNNNNNNNNNNNNNNNNNNNNNNNNNNNNNNNNNNNNGUCAAUCUCAAACAUACAUCUCGCAGUGGAGUGCUCUCCGCCCUGCGGCUCAACGCAUCGGCUACCACAUUAGCCUUGCCUGGGUGGUACAGGAUCUCACAAUCAUAAUCCUUGACCACAUCCAACCACCUUCUCUGUCGCAUAUUUAGGUUGGGCUGAUCCAUCAAAUACUUCAAACUCUUAUGGUCCGUGUAUAUCGUACACCGAACCCCAUACAAGUAGUGACGCCAAAUCUUGAGGGCGAACACCACUGCCCCCAACUAUAGAUCAUGGGUGGGAUAUCUCGUCUCAUGAGGCUUCAGCUGCCUCGAUGCAUAUGCUAUCACAUGCCCUCUCUACAUCAGCACCGCUCCCAGCCCCAAAAUCGAUGCAUCACAAUAUACCACAAAGUCCUCCAUCCCUUCCGGGAGAGCUAAUACCGGGGCUUCGCACAACCUUUGGCGAAGUGUCUCAAAGGAGGCCUGCUGCUCGGGGCCCCAUGAAAAAGCAACACCCUUCCGGGUCAAUCUGGUGAGUGGCAUUGCGAUCUUGGAGAAAUCCUUGAUAAAUCUCCGAUAAUACCCUGCCAACCCUAGGAAACUCCUGAUCUUAGAAGGUGACUUCGGCACCUCCCAACUCAUCACCGCCUCAACCUUGGCCGGAUCGGCCAAUAUCCCUUCCUGGUUAACAAGAUGUCCUAAGAACUUCACCUCCCGCAACCAGAAAUCACCCUUGGAGAAUUUUGCAUAAAGCUUCUCCGAUCUCAGAACCCCAAGGACCUCUCUCAAAUACUCCUCAUGCUACUCUCUAGAUCUCGAAUAUACCAGAAUGUCAUCGAUAAAUACAAUCACCGACCGAUCCAACAUCGGCCUACAUACUCGGUUCCUGAGAUCCAUGAACACCGUCGGGGCAUUGGUGAGCCCAAAAGGCAUCACCACAAACUCAUAAUGCCCAUAACGCGUCCUGAACGCUGUCUUCUGGACGUGCUCAUCCCGCACCCUCACCUGAUGAUAUCCAGACCUCAAAACCAAGACGCUCCCUGCAGCUGAUUGAACAAAUCGUCGAUCCUCGGUAACGCGUAACGGUUCUUGACCGUCAGCUUGUUCAACUCCCAGUAAUCAAUGCACAUCCGGUGUGAACCGUCCUUCUUCUUGACGAACAAGAUAGGCGGUCCCUACGGCGAGCUGCUCAGCCGAAUAAAUCCCUUUCCCAGCAGCUCCUGAAGCUGCGAGGAUAACUCUUGCAUCUCUGGAGGUGCAAGGCGAUAAGGCACCUUAGCGAUAGGCGCGGCCCCCGGAACCAAAUCGAUACUGAACUCCACUUGCCUCACAGGAGGCACACCCGGCAACUCCUCGGGAAAAACAUCUGGGAACUCACGCACCACCGGAACCUCCUCAACUGAACUCGGCCUCUCGGAAUCCACCCGCGUAUCCAUCACAUACGCCACAAAACCCUUACAGCCCUGCUAUAGACACGGCCUCGCCCUAGCGACCGAACAAAAAGUUGAUCCGGAACGUGUACCCUCGCCGUACACCGAAAGAACUCCCCCACUAGGGUCUCGUAUGGUCACCAGCUGACGCUCGCAGUCGAUAACCGCACUGAAUCUGCUCAACCAGUCCAUGCCCACAAUGACACAGACAUCACCCAUCGCAAUAGGAAUCAGAUCAAUCGGAAACUCAACCCCGAAAAUCUCUAACACACAUCCCCGGAAAACCUCCGUGGCACAAAUCACUCUAUCGUCAGCUAUGGAAACUCUCAGAGGCCGACUCAAUGCCUCACGACUAACACUGAUAUGCUGACUAAAGGCCAAAGAUACAAAAGACCGACUCGCACCCGAGUCAAAUAACACUAAAGCAGGUACGGAGUUCACAAGGAAAGUACCUACGCAUAACAUAUUAUAAGCAUAAUAUCUCAUCAUCAAAAUAAAUACACGAAAGAAAACAUACCAGCCACAACAUCGGGCGCAGCGCGGACCUCCUCCGCGGUCAGCUGAAAGGCUCUCCCUCGAGCUCUGAUGGUGGCAGGAGCAGAUCCCUGAGAUGCUCCUCGCAACUGCAGACACUCUGCCUUCCGGUGUCCGGUCUGGUUGCAGUGAAAACACACUGCAAACCCCUUGGGCUAGUCCUUGGCCAUAUGCCCCUCCUUGCCACAUUUGUAGCAAGAUCCCGCUCGGCAGACUCCAUCAUGACCCUUGCCACACUUCCCACAAGUGCGGCCCUUCUGGCUCCCUGGUUUGGGAUCAUCGGGCUUGGCCCGCUUGGCUGUCGGCUGAGACUGUGCCGGUCGCCAAUCCCUCCCCUGAGACUCCGCCUCCUCUCUGGCCUGAGUCUCAAGCUCAAUCUCCUUCUUCUGGGCAUUUGCCUGAAGCUCGGCAAAUGUACGGUACGAGGAGUUCGCCACGAACUCCCGAAUGUCCCGCCUCAAGAUACUCAGAUAGCGGCUCAUACGUGCCUGCUCCGUAGACACGUGCUCAGGGCGGAACAUCGCCCUCUCGUGGAACAUCCUGGUAAUCGCCGUAACCGACUUAGUACCCUGCUUGAGGGUCAGAAACUCCUGGGCCAAACGCUCCCUCUCCACCUGGGGAACGUACUCAUCUCAGAACAUGGCAGUGAACCUCUCCCAGGUCACUGCCGCAAUCUCAGCAGGCGUGAAAUGCGCCGUCACAAACUUCCACCAGUCCUUCGCUCCCAAGCGAAGCUGGUUCAGCGCGAACCGAACCUUCAAAUGCUCAGGAGAUGAGCAAGUGAAGAAACACCCCUCUAUAUCAGAUAUCCACCUCAUAGCUGCCACCGGAUCCUGGGUCCCAUCAAACUCUGGUGGUUUUGUGUUGCUGAACUCCCGGAACAGCAACGCAUCACCACCUUGCGGCCUCGCGGCAGCAAUAGUUGCGGUGGCCACUGCAACAGCAGCCUCAGAAAGAGCGGCAUAACGAUCGUCAAAUGUCUCAAUCAGUAUGGUCUUAAUAGACCCAAACAUCUCCGGUAUCUCUGCCCUGAUGGUCGCAACCACCUCCUCAUGGAUGAUCCGGCGGAUCUCCUCACCACUAGUACCACUUCUCUCAGGCAUCAAACGUGUCCUCACCAUGAUCUACCUCUGAAAUACAACAUACGAUAAAUUAGAACCCAUACAAGCAUACUCACACUCGUCAACUCUUUCCUCCUUGAUCCUUGGUAUUCCAAAGACUCUUACAUGGGUUGUACACCGCUCCGGUGGUUUUAGUAGUACGGGCCCAAUACUACUGUCCGCACCGUAUCAGAAUACACCCCAAGUCCUCCUCUUCGGAUCCCAAAUUCCAAGUACUCUAUCAUGCAUAGACCACUCUCUAAUAGAUCUCUCAUAAGCCCCUCGCUGCUACCUACUCACUCUCAAGCAUCUCAUAGCAGCUCACCUCUUCCUAGGCUAAGGCAUCACAAAUCAGGCCACUCUAGUCCUAAUAGGAAUACCUAGCCUACUCUAGCAUGCGGAUACAUCAUAUCAAUAUCAAUAUCACAUAACAUAAAGGUAUUUUGGGAAAUCACCGUUCGGGCGCGGACUGAUCGUACCCACAACUCUGCUCUGCCUUUUUCAAAAAUCUUUUACUCUUUUUGAAAAUAAUUCUCAAGUCCUCAGUUUGAGUUCAAAUACGCCCGAAGGUGUACUCGAAUCCCUCAAACCAAGACUCUGAUACUAACUUGUAACACCGUGAAUUUUCAAAAUAAUUUUUCACAAAUAUAUAAAAACAUUUCCCAUUUAAUUUUCAUAAAACAUUAAGUUUAAAAUCUCAAUUCACAUCAUACAAAAUCCCAAGAUCAUAUAUAUAUCAAAAAUCCCAUGCGUGUGUACAGAUCAAGCCGACGCCUUCCCACGGUCAUCGCUAGUAGCUGAAACAACAACACUAACACUGUAAGCACAAAGCUUAGUGAGUUCCCCAAAAUACCACACACAUAACACAUAUUAGCCACUCGAGGCUAUAACUUUAUGGGUCCGUGCACCCAAACUCUGUGAACCCUCAGGUUCUAACUCUGGGAACCUUCCGGUUCCAACUCUAUAAACAUGCACAGCAUAAAUCACAUAGAAAUAAUGCAGUAUAACACAUCACAUACAUAUAGCAUACAAAUACUCUGAUCACAUAACUCUGGUUACCUACUGAAGGUAAAGUAUAGUGAGCAGACUCACCUCAUGUAUCUCGAUAACUCGCGAAUCCUGGAAAUCACUCGCGCUCGAUCCUCCGAGCUAUAAUCCUCCUAUAACAUCAUAUGUCUCUAAUUAACACUUUUACCACUAAGGUUGACUACCCCUAUCAAGUCAACGCUGGUCAACUCUGGUCUACGGUUAACGGUCAACGGUCAAUGGUCAACUUUGAUCGGACUCGGCGAGUGCACUAGGGCGACUCGGCGAGUCUAAGCGUUUUCACCAACUCUCUAGGAUUCCCUUUUUGACACGUCGAGUAUUCCCCUGACUCGAUGAGUUCCACCUGGCAUGAAUUGUGGGGCCACCCUGACUUAACUCGCCGAGUCUCAAGAACAACUUGGCGAGUUCCAGUUCGACUCAAUCCACCUGUCAACCCUCUCUAACUCUCCCUGACUCACUGAGUGAACCCAUAACUUGGCUGGACCACUCACUGAGUGGUUUAGGACGAUCUUCAUGCUACUCGCCGAGUCUGUUCUUCAGACUCGGCGAGUCCAUGCCAUGCAUCAACUCAAACUUGCUUCUGAGGCCAGAUCCGUUCUAACAACUCAUAGAUCUGGCACUCCUAAGCUUAUUCAUAACGUAAAGUCCAUAUCUUGGUGCUCAUAACACACCCCAUGACUCAUAAAUGGUGUUUUGACCUCAAGCACAAAGACCCAAAUCCAAAUCCCCCAUGGAUUCAUAACAAGCUUGGGCAAAGGGACACUCUGGACCUCCAUGGAUCCAGAUCUAGAACCUAACUCGCUUAAGGGACCAAGGAAGCACUAGAUCUAGCCACAAAAGGGCUCAACAAACCCUAAAUCAAUAUAAUCAUCAACAUAACAGAGAAUAGCUCGAAGGUAGUACCUCAAAUGUGAUGUUCUAGACCUCAAAUCUUCAGGAAGUGGCUCCUCUUUGUUCCCUAUAGGUAUUGCUUCCUUUCCCUUGCAAGAUGACACCUCCAAGGUCAAUAAUGGCUUCUUGCUUUGCUCCAAAUGCUCAAACUCGCUAGGGUUUCACUCAGGGGACCGGUGAGCACAAAUGACGGCCUUAAGGCCCUUUAAAUAGGUCCCAAACUCGAGAAAUUAGGGUUUCAUUAAACAGCGCGGACUCGCCGAGUCCAUACCUUGGACUCGCCGAGUCCUGGCGCGAAACCGCGUCUAGAACCGCGAUCCUACUCGGUGAGUCUGAGCUCCAACUCGCAGAGUCCCCUCACAAAACACCAAAAACAUAAGCAUGAAAGAUACCUGGAAAUCCGGGCUCUUACAUAGGGUUUACAAAACCAUAACUCUGGGAAUGUUAGUUUGGGAAUUACCGGGACUCGCGUUUAGACUAUUAUAUUGGAAUUUUGAUUUAUGUCCAACUACAUUGUCUGAAUGGCCUAAUGGAGUGAUUAAUUUUAUUGGAUUAAGUGUUUAAUGGGUUAAGUCGUUAUUGGGUUAAGUAAGAUUACUUCACCCUAAUCGUCAUUUCAUGUGAGAAACCCUAAUUUUGCUUGGGCCUUGAGUUUAGCCUUUGUAUUGGGCUUUGGUGAUUGGGCUACUGAUGGGCCAUCAAAAAACAAGCAUAUGGACUAUAAUAUUUGGAUUGAGCUUUAGGAUAAGGCCUAUUAGAUAUACUUGGGACCAAUUGGGAAAUUAGGCCAUAGAUGGACCAUAACAGGGCCUUGAUGAUUAUGAGAUAUUGGAUCGGUAGGCUGCCAAGUGUUUCAACCAUAAAAAAUGGUUGGGCCUUCAGGUAACACCCUGUUGAGGUUUGGGCCCAAUUUUGAAAAUUGGGCCAUAUGUUGGGCAUCAGUUCAUUGUUUGACUUUUGGCCUUUAGAUUGGGCCUUGGGCGGGUCUUCAACAGUGUGAGGUGAGUUUCCUUCAGUAGGAACGGGUCGAAGGCACCAAUCGCAGCCCAUAUAGUUUAUAUGUUCUUGAUAGGAACAUGAGAUAUGGCUGGGGGCCGUAUCUUACUAUUACUUGAGUAUAGAUAUUAGUCAGAUUGUUGGAUUGUUAUACUUGUAUUCUGUGUGAUACCGGUAUGUGUUGUUAGGAAUGUGAGUUUGGGCGGGUCUCGUAUCUUAUAGUAUCAAAGUGUGGAUAGGGCCCGUAUCUCAUUAAGUGUGGGCAGGGCCCGUACCUCCUAGUAGCAUGAUUAGUUGUAUGGUAUGUGGUAGUUUGAGGAGACUCACUAAGCUUCAUGCAUAAAGUUUUUAGUUUUGGUUUAGGUACUUCUGUUAGCAAGGAGAACAGAUAGGGAUGAUUAAGUGCACACAUCAUUUGUUUAGCCUGGGAUAUUAAUACUGUGAUAUAUUUUGACAAAUGUUAUGAUAUUUUGUGGUACGAGAUUUAUUGUUUUUAUAUGAUGUUUGGACUAAUAUGGUUUUAUUAAUGGUUCAAGUUGGUAUCACAACCUUGGUUUGAGGGAUUCGGGCACACUCGCGUGUGUGUCUGAACUCAAACUGAGGACUUAGUAUGAAAAUUUUCAAAAGAAAAUCAUUUUUACAAAAGAACUUUGAAAGUGAAAAGGGAUUUAGAAAAGAGAAAACGGGUGUGGUGCAUGCAAUCAACCAAUCUCAAGUAUGUACUCCCAAAUUACCCAUACGAGUGUAUGUUAUGAUAUGAUUAUGAGAACUGCAUGCUAGAGUAGGGCUUAGGAUCUAGGAAUGAUACAUUGUAUGCCAGUUAUAUGUGUAUGUGAACUGCAAGCUAAUUAAGGCUAAGGAUCUAGGAAGGAUGCCUUAUGUGAAUGUUGUAUGAGCUUGUUGAGUUGUAUGCUAGUAUUGAUUAGUCAGUCAUAUUAUGGCCUGAUUAGAGUAUGAUUGAUUGUAUUUACUUAAUUCUCGAAUGGUUCUUGCUUCUUUCUAUUAAGAGUUCUAGCUACCUCUAACUAACUAGUAAACGAAUAUGGUAAGUUACAUAUUGUGAGGACUAAAUAAUUUCAGAAGGUUAGGUUUAGCUCUAUUUUGCAGCUCUUGUUUGAGUCCAAUCGUUGUAGCAGAGAGUGGAUUGGUAAUUACCCUAGGGCAAGCCUAGGCUGAGAGUAGCAGAGAACAAUAGUAGCAGUAGAAGGGACUUGGUGGAGUCAAGGCAAUUCUUGAGGUAAGCACAUAUAGAUGUGGAAGGCAGUAUGGGACCGUACUAUUCAAAGAAGAGGAUCCGUACUCAAACCAAGGAAGGCUGAGAUGAACCCAGGGAACUUGUAGUUUGUGAGAUCCCUCGAGUUAUGAUGAGUAUUCUAAUGAUUAUUCUGGUAUAUUUCCGAGUAUGGAGACGCUGUGUGGUAGACCAGAUGUCAGAUCUGGUGUUGGCAAGGGAUCAGGCUCCGGCUCUAGAGCCGGGCAGCUUGAUGGUUAGAUGAGGGAGUUCAUUCCAUCUGAGAGUACGCACAGUAUCACUUAGCAGACUCCCGUUGUCUUCAGUGUUCAAGGAGGGAAUUUUAGAGAUUUGUGAUGGGAAGCUGAGAACAUUCUACACUGAAAUACCAACCAUGAUAGGUACGCAUACGUUGAUGAAUCAGGAGUUCAGAGCUCGUGAAGCUCCAGAUUAUCAUGGGGCUAGGAACCCCAUUGCUAACAGAAGGUUGAGGAUUCCACUCAGGACAUUGAUGUCACUUUUGCAUGUUAGGUCGUGUGUAUGCUCGAGGUUGGAUGUGUUUGGAUUAGUAAUCAGCGAUGGAGACAGUGUGGAAAGUGUUGUAAGACUGUGGGAUACCCAUAGAAUUCACCAGCAACGAGACAGCGUGGAAAGUGUUGUAAGACUACGGGAUAGCCGUAGAAAUCACUAGUAGCCGGAUAGUAUGGGAAGUGUUGUAAGUCUGCGGGUGUAGUCGUACCAUUCACAAGGUUAGCAGAUAGUGCUAGAAGUGUUGUAAGUCUGCGUGACGUAGCCGCAACAUUCAUAAGGUUGGCAGAUAGUGCUAAGAGUGCUGUAAGUCUACGGGUGUAGUCGUAGCAUUCACAAGGUUGGCAGAUAGUGCUAGAGUGUUGUAAUUAUGUUGGUGUAGCCGUAACAUUCACUAGGUUAGUAGAUAACAUGGUCUUUGGUGAAUGGGCUACUGAUGGGCCAUCCAAAAACAAGCAUAUGGACUAUAAUAUUUGGAUUGAGCUUUAGGAUAAGGCCCAUUGGAUAUGCUUGGUGCCAGUUGGGGAAACUAGGCCAUAGAUGGACCAUAACAGGGCCUUGAUGAUUAUGAGAUAUUGGAUCAGUAGGCUGCCAAGUGUUCGACCAUAAUAAAUGGUUGGACCUUCAGGUAACACCCUGUUCAGGUUUGGGCCCAAUUUUGAAAAUUGGGCCAUAUGAUGGGCAUCAGUUCAUUGUUUGAAUUUUGGCCUUUAGAUGGCACCCAAUUAUUAAUUGGGUGUUAUUUUUAUGUUGACAGUUCGAGAAUCUGUCAUUCAGCAGCUAGAGUUUUGAUCGCAGGACUUCAACAGUGUGAGGUGAGUUUCCUUCAGUACGAACGGUUCGAAGGCACCAAUGCUAGCCCGUAUAGUUUAUAUGUUGUUGAUAGGAACACGGAGUAUGGGCGUGGCCCGUAUGUCAUUAUUACCUGAGUAUAGAUGUCAGUCAAAUUGUUGGAUUGUUAUACUUCUUGUUUGUGUGAUACCUGUAUGUGUUGUUAGGAAUGUAAGUGUGGGUGGGGCUCGGAUCUCAUAGAGUGUGGGCACGGCCCGUAUCGCAUAUUAAUUAAAGUUCUCUAAAUCACCCAUAAUUUCCAUGUUUUUGACAUAUCGGAAAAAAUGCAUUUUGUUUCAUAUAAUAUGGGGUAUAAAUAAUUGUGUUAAACAACAUUGUACUAAACUAAGAUGGUAAAAAAUGGUCAUUUUACCCCUGAAUGCCACUUGUUUUGUUUCGCUCUUGUUUAUUGAUUAAUAUUGAAAGUUAGCGGUGGAUUGUAUAGUUUCAGACGAGGAGUCUAGGGUUUCUUGGUGUUACUCAUGAAGCAAUACCAUGUAAGAGAUGUUUGAUACAAUUAUCACAUUACCUAUGGUUAGUUUUGGUAAGUUCAUUAAAUCCAACAUUAGUUUUCAAAGUUAGACCAAUUAUACAAAUAUAUAUUGAUAAAUCCAAAUAUAUUUUAAACGCGAAGUCGCAAUAAAUAUAGCACCACUAGAAAUAAAAUGACAUUUUGUGGCACAGAAAAUGUGCCACUAAAAACCAAAAAACUUCCACUAAAAGCCUAGUUGAUAUUCAGCGGCACAAAAAAUAAGGACCACUAGAAGCGUUCCCACUAAAAACCUUUAGUGACAUUCUUUGAUAGUGUCGCUGCAACACUUGUGGGUUUUAGUGGCACUUUUUUAUUCCACUAUAACCCUUUUUUGUAGCAUUUUUAUGCCACCAUAUAAUUGCAAAAAUAAAAUCAAUUUUUACAUUUUUUAACAACAAUUAUUUUUACCAAAAAAUAACAAUAUUUACAAAUUAAAUCCAACUUUUUUUUAUAUAUUUAAGUGAGAUAUAAAAUAUUAGAAAACAAUUCAUAUAAUAAAAAUAUAAAACACAUAAACAGUACAUAAACUAAAAUUUAACAUGUGUUACAACAAUAUUAUCAAUACUUAAAACAAAAUACCUUCCAAAAAGCUUAAUAAGUCUACACAUCGUGUUAGUAAUUAAUCAAAACAUAAAACAACAAUAUUCUCAUUAUUUUGAAUAAUCAUCUUCGCCCCCUUGUGUUUGUGGAGUUACUUGGAACGACUUGUAGGAAAGACUACAAAAUAAAACAAUUUAUAAUAGAAGUUAUUAUUAGCAUACCUACAAAAUUAACACAAUGUUAUAGAGAAACAAAUCAAUUUAUGUAAAACAAUUUCAUUGUUAAAGUAGAAGCAUCACAACUAUAGGUAAAAGUGGAAAUAACAACAAAAUUAAAUUCAAUGCUAAUAAAAGCGGGGAACUUGAAGGAGAGAAGUCAACUUUAAUAUGAUGUCAUUUUCUUGAUUUUGUGAACAUUGGUUUUCUUAGUGUUGAGGAUGUCCACACUUGUAUUUUUCCUUUCUUGGUAAAUCUGAAUGAAAUAUAACGUUAAAAAAAUGAAUAAUAUGUAUUUGGUUUAUUAAUAAAAUAGAAAAAAAUUAAAGCAAACCUUCACGGCUUCAAAAAGUCUCCUCUUUUACGUUGCGUAACAACCUUUGACAUCAUGUCAUCAUCAUAAGUAAGUUGUUGCAAAUUCGCAUCACCUGUGUCUUUAUCAACACUCUUUUUCGUGUACUGUGUAGGGGGAAUAUGUGUGAGUUAUAUGAAAAAGUGAGUGAGAGUAUUAUAAAUAAUCAAAACUACAAAAUCAAAAUUACAAAUCAAUAGAUGCAGGUUCUAACCAUCUUGAAAAUAUCAAAAUAUUUGAAAAGAUAAAAACAAAUAUAAAUAUGCUAGUAAGUCAUCACUCAUGUAUGAGAUAAAUAUUCAAACAAUCAUAGGACGUGCCAAAUGCUUGAAAUAAACUUACCCUUUUCAUAUAAACCUUUAUUUCUUAAUAAUCCAGUAUAAUUCUAAUAAGAUUUAAAAUGUGAGUUGAGCCAGAUGCAUGAUACCUUCCACGGGUCUUAGUUGAGGAAGUGUAUAGCCGACGAGUCAGCGGUGGUGCCAUUGGGAGAUAUUCAGGUGAUUGCGUGCCUGAAUUAUGUUGAGAGGCCGGUGGCGAUUGUGGAUCGAAAGAUCAAGGUUCUGAGGAACAAGGAGGUGCCCCUAGUUCAAGUCCAGUUGCAGCAUCGGAGAGGAUCCGAGCUGACUUGGAAGCCGGAGUUGGAGAUGCGGGAGCAGCGUCCAGAAUUGUUUGUGGAGCAAGACUUUGAGGGUGAAGUCUGAUUCUAGUGGGGGAGAAUUGUAAAAUCCGGAUUUCCAGGUAUUAUGUUUGAUCAUGUAUUUGUGUAAAAGAGAGGGACUCGACGAGUUGACGGUUACACUCGUCGAGUAGGAUCGCAUUUGCUGACUGGAUUAAUGAGCGGAAUCGAUGAGUUGGAAAGGGGGGACUCGAUGAGUCCACGCUGUGGGCUAAAACCUUAAAUCUCCAGGACUGAGCCCUAUUUAAAGGACCUUAUACCCUCUUGUGCGGCUACCUGUACAGAGAGAGUGCCCCUUGAGAGCUUGAGCAAGUUGAGUGAGUGAUAAGGCCAUAUUGAUCGAUUUUGGUGUGAUUUAGCAAAGGAGAAGUUGUUUCCAGCAAGAGGAGGUCAAGGGAGUUGUGGAUCCAGAGUUUUGAAGUUCACAUCUACACUGUGGGUUUAGAUCUAUGAUCUAGGGAUUUCUAUAACCUUUUAGGGCUUGAAAAGUUGAGUUUAUGGUCCCUUGCUGUGUUAGAACUCGGAUCUGGACCCAUAGAGGUCUAGAGAGCCUUUCCAAUUGUGCUUUAUGUUGGUUUAUGGAGGAAAAGAGACUAGGUUGCCAUUUUAGAAGCCAUUUCACCAUGGAAAGCCUUGGAUGCAUUGCAUGUGAGUCAAGUUCCGACCUUUACGUGGUUAUUGGUCAUGGGGAACUCAGAUCUAUAUUAUAGAGAAGCAGAUCUGACCUCAGAAGGUCAUUUGAGAGUCGUUAUUGGGGCAACUCACUGAGUCCAUAAGUGGAUUUGACGAGUCGAGUCGGGGUUGCCCCGCGAUUUGUUGCAGAGUAACCAUGCGAGGGGAGAAGGGACUCGACGUGCUACGUGAGGCUUAGAAGGAUUCAAGGGACCCGCGUGGACUCAUCGAGUCGCUCGAGUGCACUCGACGAGUCUGGUCAAAGUUGACCGUUGACUAGAGUUGACUUUGUUGACUAUUGGGGUUUAGUCAAUGUUUGAACUUUUGAGCAAUUGGAGUGGUAGAAUGGGCUUUUACCCUCCUUAGAGAGCUUAGAGAGGGAUUAGCCUAGUCUUUGAAAGUUGUAUUGACUAGAGUAGUUAUUUUAUGUUAUUAGGCGGAGGCUAGAUCAGUAUUUCCGAGUACGAGGGUUUUCAAGUUAUCCGAGGUGAGUCUUCUAACUAUACUUUACCUAGAGUGGUAAUUAGAGUUAUGUGACAGAGUAUGUUGUAUGAUAUUAUAUGAUGUGAUAUCUAUGUGAUUAUGUGCUAUAUGUGGUUCAGAGUUUACAGAUUCAGGACCAAAAGGUCCACAAAGUUAGGACCAGAGGGUCCACAGACUUAUGGGACUGGAGGGUCCCACUGAGACACUUUGACCAGAGGUUCAUACAGAGUUAUAGCCUAGAGUGGCAAAUAUGUGUUGUAUGUGGUAUUUUGGGGAACUCACUAAGCAUUUAUGCUUACAGUAUUAGGUGUUAUGUGUUUCAGGUACUAGUGAGGAUCACGGGAAGGCGCCCGCAUGAUCAGUACACACUAUCAGAGUUUUAUACGUUUUGAUCAUAGGAUGUAUUUUUAUGGUUUUGACAUGUGAUACAUUGAGAUUUGAGAAUAUGUAUGAAGGAAAUUACAUUUUUAAAAGUGAAAAAUUGUUUUGAAAAUUUAUGUUGUUACAGUAAAGGUGAUAAUAUACCUUCAAUGGCUCGAUAAUAUCACAAACAUUUUUUAUUUCAAAAUCACCUUUAAACUCAUCACUUAAAGAAAACGUAUGACUCGGAAUUACAGUUAUACUACUUUCAGAAUUUUGAUCUCCAUGAAAAUAUGAAGGGGAACAAGAUCAAGAGUUAUGCAUAUUAAAAGAUUGUUAUAAUGAAACUAACUUUUCUUGGAUUCGUGAAUCUAAAAAAGAGAUGUACUAAUAAACAAAUUAGAUGCGUCCGGAUAAGAUGAAACUCCACCAUGACCGGUAAACAAGAAAAUAAAAAAAAAUAUUAUAUUUAUGUACAAAGUAAAUGUUAGUCAAAUAGCACAAACCAUUCCAAACAUUUAGUGUAGCAAACUGAAAAUAACACAGAGUCUUUUUUUGUGUUUUUCUUCAAAAAAUAUAAUAGUCCAUGAGCUUGAACGGUAAACAAAAUAACCUUAAGCAAUGUACCCCUACAAUAAAAAAGUAAUCACUUUAAAAGAACAACCACAUAUAUUUGAGAAAUAUCACAUAAAAAGUUAAAGAAUUCACUUUAUGUUGCUUAAGGUCAGCUUCAUGUUGUGACUUGAUGAAUUGGGAUUAGAUAUGACAACUAGCAGUUCUGGGUCAGCAAAAGUCAAACACGUCACUAAAAGUCAGCGGGUUAGUAUAUAAAUCGUGACUUAUACCUUGCUUUUAGUGUUUUCGGCUUAGGACCCAAAACAUUGUGAUUUCGGUUAGUACUUGGACCGAAAUCACCAUGCGAUCUCAGUUUAUACAUGGACCAAAAUCACCUUGUGAUCUUGGUGGUACUAGACCGAAAUCACCAUGUGAUUUCGGUGGCCUAAUGAGGUUUUCGGUGGGUAGGAAAAGAAGAAAAGGGUUGACUUUGUGACAUGAGGUUUAAUCCUUUCCAACAGAAAGCAUUACCCAACAUGUAUCAAGGAUUUUAUCGAGUUAGGGUCUUACGACUCAUCGAGUAGACCUCAUAAAUUACGAGGGCUGACUAAUCUCUACUCGUCGAGUUGGGGCCUCCAACUUGUCAUGUUGGAUUCUUUAAUUUUAUGAAAUCCCUAAAAUCCCAUUCUCGAAAAUUGCGAUGUUACAACUCUCCCCCACUUGAACAAGGCUUAGUCCUCAAAGGCUACUGCAGUGGACAAAUCCGGACAAUGCUUUAGCAUUCCACCCUCCGGCUCCCAAGCCUACUCAGUUCUCCUCCGAUGCUACCACUUUUACCUUUACCAAAGGUACCUCCUUGCUAUGGAAAAACUUUACCUCUCGUUCCAAGACGACCACUGGCCUCUCGACGUUGUUUAGGCACUCAUCGGCCUAAAGAUCACCUAAUGAUGCUACGACAUCCUCGCCCGACACAUGCGUUUGCAUCUACAAGACAUAGGAAGUGAUUUGAAUCUGACUGAGCUCCUUCGAGAGACCCAGUCCAUAUGCUGCCUUGCCAACCUUGGCAAAACCCAAAAUCGCCUGAUAUAUCUGGAACCCAAAUUCCCUUUUUCCUGAAGCGGAUCACACCCUGAAAAUCUAGAGUCCUUCCCAAAACAUAAUCAUGGAUCAUACACGACUGCCAAUAAUUAUUUGCUGGAGAAGAGAUUAUAUAUUCUUUCAAGGGAACUCAUUCUGUGAAUAAAUUUUCAGAGAUAACAUGGAGUAUGGGAGGCAAACUAGGAGAAGAAACCUUUUUGUGCUGACAGGAUAAUGCUUUCUUUAGCUCCCGAAUCUACAUACGGUAACAGUCAACUGCUAACACAUAAUCACAAGCACUAAUGACUGGCCCGAUCAGCCUCGGGCUGGAAUAUUAAUAUGUCGAAUCAAAUAAACCACCAGAUGAGAAAUUCUCAGGGUUUGUCGGCCUAGCGCCUCAACCCUACCGCUUCUCCUGGCCUUCGUGACUACGACUUACAGUCGACCCGCACUGGGUAUCUUGGCAUAUUACCUCAACCCUAUUGCUCCUCUUGAAUCUCUGUGCCUACGACUUACAGUCGGCCCACACCAACUAUCUUGGCCUCCUACAUAGAGAAAGACCGCCUCAACCCUCUCAACACGAUGUGUUUUCAUAGAUAAUCAAGACAAGAUCUAACCUGGUUCUCGAAACUUGAAACACAGGGACGCUCUACCCCAACAACCCUUGAAUUCCCGUUGAUGACAUCAUACCUUUCGCCUGCAAUUCACGAUUCACCCCACAACCAAAAAGGUUCCCCCCAUUUACAUCAAUGUCCUCCAGAGUUCAUGCCUCACACAGAUACACUUGCAAUCCCUAAGGCAACUUUCCACUAUAAGCCAUCCUGAAAUAGCCAUCCAUGAAUUCACCUCAAAUAUCUGACUGAAACUACCACAAACCAUGUAGAAAAAAUCCUCAAACAGGUCGAUAGAAAACCUUUCACAAUUCGAAUCCAUAUGCUACACAAAAAUCUUAGUAUAGCCUUUGACUCUUUACCAUGACAUUUCCAAUAUUUGAAGUAACGAAAGAAGAUGAUCAACAAAAGAACUUCUGCAUUACGUCCGAUCCCUGACCACAACUUGCGAACAUGUAGGAAUACGGGGCAAACAUUCCCCAUAUUCAUUCUGAUACCUGACUGAUACUCCCCUUAGUCCUUACUGCUUCCUUUAUCCAACCAACGGACUUACGACUCGCCUGGCCCCCGUUAACGCGUCAAUCCCAGGAACACCACAAGUAGAAGGAAUGAAUCUUUAUGAUCAUUAGGCCCACAUCCUAGGACUGGAACACUUCAGAUAGCUUGUCGACGCUGUCUUCUUCUCAUCAGUGGUCCAUUCCUUCGGACCUGAAGGAACCCACUUUCCUCUGCUUCCCAAAUGGACUAAUCAACGUUCCCCACAUCACCAAAUAAGCAUCGCAAUACUGACCCUCUACCACGCAUGAUUCCCUUCUUGGGACAAGUUACUACUCAACAUUUCCAGGCUCUCCUACAUGACCAACGACAGUCACUAAGCGUACUCUAUUAGUAAUAACCAGCAAGUAUGGAACAUAUAAUUCCACAGGUUAUUACCACAAAGCAUCUUGCUCAAUACCAAAACGUAGAUCUAAGAAAAUACAUACAGGUUCUUCAGCAUGACUGGACCGCCUCACCGGGCCUUCAGCCAAUCCGAACCACUCUCAGAACCUUUAGCAUGUCUGGACCGCCCCUCCGGGCCUUCAGCCUGCCUGGACCAUUCUUCGGGGUUUCGGCAUGAAUGGUACGCCCACUUGGCCUUCAGUCUAUUGGGGUCGCCCUAGGUCUGUUGAGUAAAACCUUGAACCCAUCCUGGUGCCCUGUUCAUAAAUGACCAACUUUCCUCCACUCAGGGUUCGGACUCUUGAUUCAAUCCGCAGACUAUAAUCGCGACCUAACUCUAGACCUCAUGUUGAUCACCCACACUCUCGAGAAACCGUUACCCUUAAUGGAUGAUGCUCUAUCUGUGAAUUCCCAAUUCUCCCUACUUGGGACACUAACCACUACCUACUGGUGGUGAAACAAAAACACAACUUAAGCGUACCUACUAGGUAUUACCAUAUUUAACCAUGGAAUGAUUAACCCUGGAAUGAAUAACCUAUGCAGAAUAACCCUCCCGACACAGAGCAACCGAACUUCAAGAGAAACCUGAAUCCCAACUGAAUACUUCUGAAUCUACAAAUUACAACUACUGAACCUAGAAUGGUGAUUCUCUAUCCUAACUUCUCAUUCUCAAUGCAUCCCUGGAUCCUAACCAUCUACAACCCUUUGAUAAUAAAUUCCCUUGACCCUCGUAUGUCUUAAUGUCUUAUGUAGAAGGCAAUUGAAUGUUCAUAAUAUAAUCAUAAACAAUUAGAUAAGAGGUAGGAAUAUACCAGCAACCACAUCUGGUGCUAUCCUGGCCUCUUCAGUUGUAAGAUGGAAGGCGCUUCCCCGAGCCUUCGGAGGCUCUACUCUACCCUGACCCCCUUCAGUAAUCCUCAGUGUCGCCUGUGCUGAAGCCUGCACCGGCCUGCCAGCGAGCUGUGGACAGUUGGUCUUUAGGUGACCAACCUAACAGCUGAACUGAGUCUGGCUGGCAGCAAUCCCUCGCAAAGUGCCCCUCCUUACUGCAAUUGCGACACACACUACCAAACCCGAGUGACCAUUCCUGCACUUUCCACAAGUGCGGUCCUGUUGGCCUCCCGACCUAGAAUCAGCGAUCUUAGUGUAACACCCAUAAAAAUGAUGCCAAUUUAAAAAAUUUUAAAACAUUCAAAAACCAAUAAUUAGUACAAAUUUGUUUUCAAAAUGUUUUCCUGUCAGAGUAUCAUAGAAUCAAAUCAUAAAAAUAUAAGGAGGUGCACGAUCACGCCUUCGCCUUCCCGCCGUCAUCAGAAGCACUUAAAACAAAAUCCACAACUGUAAGCCCGAAGCUUAGUGAGUUCCCCCAAAAUACCAACGCCAUACAAACCAUGUCAAUAUCAUAUAAACAAACAACAUGCAUAAUGAGUCAUCAGCCUGAGUAGACCGGCUCGCAGGGCCAUCAGUCUAUCUGGACCGCUCUCUGAGCCAUCCUCACAUUUGGACCGCCUCUCAGGGCCUUCAGCCUAUCCAGACCGCUCUUCGGGCCUUCGACCUAACUAGUAUGCCCUCCCAGGCCUGCAGUCUAUCUGGUCUACCCUGGGUAUGUUGGCCUUCAGCACAAAGCAAGUCCGCCUCAACCCAACCCAUAAAUCAAACAAUCAUGUGCAAACAAAUAUCAUACGCAAGCAUAUAAAAUAGUCAAAUUGAUCUAACAUAUCACUAAUCAUAGCAACAUCCUAUAACCAAGAUACCAACCUAACCGGUCACUAUUAUAACACUAUCCUAUAUACGCGUAUACCGACCUACCAGGUCACUAUGGACAUCACCAUCCUAACUACCAGGAUGCAAAUCAAUAAGUAUAUCAUGCAAUAAACCCGUAUACAAAUCGAAAAAGGGUCGGCAUUGUUGCCUUCGACACUUUUAGUGUAGUGAGGACAACUCACCUCACAAGUAGCUCAAGAUGAUAAUUUCAAACUCCCCCAAAUAAAGCUCCAACUCAAACACCUACAUCUACAAAUGAUCCACUUUCAUAAAUUCUCAAAUUACUAAAUACCCCUAGAAGUCAAACUGGUCAACCCUUAGUCAAAGUCAAAGUCAAUGGUCAAGAAAAUGACUAUUAGCUUUAAAUUCUUAUACCUAGGAGUUAGGGUGUUACGCUUAGAUUGCUUUGGAGCUGGUUGCGACUGCGCCAGGGCCUGCCUCUACUCUAGUAGCUGUAACUUGAUCUCAAGCUCACAUCGCCUAACGACCUCCUAUAACUCCAACAGAGCAUCACAACGCUGGGUAGCAAUAAACUGAUGGAUGUCAGUCAUGAUCAUGCUCGGAUAACAUGUUAUUUGAGCCUGGUUAGAAGCAAACUACAGGAAGAACAUAUCCCCCUCCAUGAACAUAUGGGUGAUCUCCGUCACCGUCUCCACACCUUGCCUCAAAUCUAGAAACUCCUGAGCUUACCGCUCCCACUCGACCCGCUGAAUGUAGCAAGCACGUAAUAUAUCCUAGAACUGCUCCCAAGUAAUUACAACCCACUGACCAUUAGUGUAGGACCCUGUUAUCAACCUCCACCAGUCCUUUGCCCUGGACCUCAGCAAGUUCAUGGCAUAGCUGACCUUUUUUGGUCAACAGGACAUGAGCACAUGAAGAAACAUCCCUCCACAUCAGAUAGCCACCUCAUGGCAAUAAUUGGGUCCUGAAUUUCCUCAAACGUCAUCGGUUCGUGCUAUCGAAGUCCCGGUACUGGAAUGCCCGACUAGCUCCUCCCCCUGUCGCUAUUAAAGUUGAUGUCGUUGCUACGACAACCAUCUCAGCAAUGGCUGCAUAGCGCUCAUCAAAGUACUCAAACAUGGUGGUCUUAAUAGACCCAAACAUCACCGACAACAAUGCCCAGAAUAGAUUAGCAACCUCAUCAUGCAGGAUCUCUCGAAUCUUGGCGUCCAGCUCAUCUGAACUCAUCUGACUAAUGACCUCGAGCACUGCGUGUCCCUCCUUACCACCUUCUCCUUCUCCUGAUCCGGAUCCAUUCACAAAUCGUCUAGUAACCACCAUGCUUAUAAUACACCUAGAAGAUAUCCGAUAAUCUAUAUAAUAAUCUGCGAACCAACUCCUAACAAAGCCCUAGGGGUUGUGACUUCCUUUCUAGACGUAUGGGUCGUGUGCUUUCCGUAGUACGGGCCCAUACUACCUUCCGAACCUACCCAUAUUUUUUUCAAGUAUCAUCACAAUGCCCUAACAAGAUAUGUUGGACCCUAUAGGCUUCCGAAUACCAGAUCCUACCCUAAGCCCCUAAUCAAACAAGAACAGGAAAUAAGGCCAAACCGAACAUUCUCAGGCUAUAUGAUCUUAAUUUUGUACGGCCGUGCUGCAUACACAAAGCGACUACGGUAAUGAUGUCAAUUUCAUAUAAGGAAAAACCCUAGGCUAUCAGGUAUCAUAUUAUCAGCCAAUUCUAUCAUGCAUUUCUUGAAGAUCCGUAGCCUAGUACUAGCAUGUUGUUCUAUCAUAUCACAAAAUCUAAUAAUUGAUAAGGUAUUUUGGGGUAUACUUCGUGGCUCUGGCUGAUCGUACACUUCCAUCCUCCUUUAGUAUUUUGAAAACCAAUUGAAAAAUCAUUUUAAAAUUAUGUCCUAAGUUUGAGACUGGAGACACACGAGUGUUUCCUCUAAUUCACUCAAACCAAGGCUUUGAUACCAACUCGUCACACCCUCAAAACUCAUGCCAAAUAAAAAAAUUAUAAAUUUCAAAUGCCAAUAAUUAUUAAAAAUUUGUUUUCAAAAUGGUCUCAUGUUAGAGUACCCCAGAAUCAAAUCAUAAAAACAUAAGGAGGUGCAUGAUCACACCUUCACCUUCCCGCGAUCAUCAGAUAUACUUGAAACAUAAUCAACAACUGUAAGCCCAAAGCAUAGUGAGUUUCCCCUAAAUACCAAUGCUAUACAAACCAUAACUAUAUCAUAUAAGCAAACAUCAUGUAUAAUGAGCCAUCAGCCUGACUGGACCGCCUCGCAUGUCCAUCAGUCUAUCUGGACCGCUCUCUGAGCCAUCGGCAAGUCUGGACUGCCUCUCAGUGCCUUCAGCUUAUCCGGACCACUCGUCGGGCCUUCAGCCAGACUAGCAUGCCCUCCCGGGCCUGUAGUCUAUCCGGUCUGCUGUGGGUAUGUUGGCCUUCAGCAAAAAGUAGGUCCGCCUCAACCCAACCCCCAAAUCAAACAAUCAUGUGCACAUAAAUAUCAUAUGCUAGGUUAUAUAAUAGUCAAACCGAUCUAACAGAUCAUAAUCAUAGCAUCAUCCUAUAUAACAGGAUAUUGACCUAACCGGUCACUAACAUAGCAUUAUCCUAUAUACCAGGAUACCGAGAUACCAGGUCACAAAGCAUAUCACAAUCCUAACUAUCAGGAUGCAAAUAAAUAAAUAUAUCAUGCAGUAAGCCCGGAUACAAAUCCGAAAAGGGUCGGCAUUGGUUCCUUCGACCCUAGUAGUAUAGUGAUGACAACUCACCUCACAAGUAGCUCGGGAUAAUAAUGUCAAACUCCCCCAAAUAUAGCUCGAACUCAAAUACCUACAUCCACCAAUGAUCCACUUUCAUAAAUUUUGAAAUUACUAAAUACCCCCAGAAGACUUGUCAAACUUCGCUCAAAGUCAAAUUCAAUGGUCAAGCUCAACAGUUCAUGUUGACCCAAAUCGUCGAGUGUAGCCCACUGACUUGUCGAGUUCUUUCAGAACUUGAGAAAUCAUGAAAAACCAAGUUGACUAGCUGAGUUUCUAGGCAACUCUCUGAGUCCAUGCAGUGUCCAAAUGUGAGGAAAAACCCUAACUAACUCGUCGAUUCAUCUCACUGACUCACCGAGUACAUGCAGAACCAAUACAAGUAAUAUUCAUUCGACUCGUCAAGUUGAGCAUGCAACUCGUCGAGUCCCUUCAGUCCAUUUCUCAUUCAGACGUUUUUAAGAUAUCCCGAAGCUCCAAAUUGGAGAUCUAGCUUCCUAAGGCACAGUUACCACGUAAAGUUGCAAAAUUUUCGUGCAUGCAAUGUCUUAAAGGCCAAAACCAAGCUAAGGAAGGACUUUUAGUUAAGGAGAAGGACAUAAAAUGUUAAGGACUAGAACUUUAUGGCUUUAAGGGGCAUGAGGAGUCUAGAUCUGAAGUUACAACUUCAUAUUUUGCCCAAAACCAGAAAUAACUUCACAACAAACUAGAAAUAGCCCUAAACCUUUACAUGAAGAGAUCUAACUAGAGAGUAGCCAAGGUAACGACUUGUUACCUUCAAAGUGAUGCUAAGAUGAAGUAGAAAUCAGAUCCAGAAGCUUCUUCUUGCUCCAGGCUCCUUAGACUUCAACCUCUCUUAACAAAAUCCAUAGUCCAAGCUUCUUAACACACCAAAAUGGAGAGUAGACUCAAUUAGGGUUUUUUGAUCUCCAAGGGGACGGUAAGGGAGGAAGAGGAAGGCUAAUGACCCUUUAAAUAUGGUGUAAAACCCUAGAAAUUAGGGUUUUCUCAUUCAGCUCCUGCUAAAUAGGAUGUAAAACCUUAGAAAUUAGGGUUUUCUCAUUCAGCUCCUGCUCGUCGAGUUGGGGUCCUCCGACUCGUCGAGUCAACCUCAUAAAUCACACUAGUUGACUAAUCUCUACUCCUCGAGUUGCGGCCUCCAACUUGUCGAGUAGGCUUCUUUAAUUGCGUGAAAUCCUUAAAAUCUCAUUCACGGAAAUCCGGAUGUUACACGCCAACUUAAUUGUUGACACUUUUUCAAAACCGCUUGUAUUCUAACGGAAUCUGUAAAUAGGUAACCAACUGGUGUUUUGAGGAUGGGGCGUCAUCGGGUAACGUUACUUACUUUUGGACAUAUGUAUUUAACAUGAAGUAAACAAUGUUUUUUUUACAAUAUAACCCUUUUAAUUAUCAAUGCAAUGGUUGUAUGGCUUUGAUCACUAUUCUUAGUUUCUUAUGAUACUAUACAUGAAGUCAUCCACCCCCAGACAUUUCCGUUGUUCAGGUUUGGGGGUGUGAUCUUAGAUGUGUCUAGAGUACAUCAUGAUAUGACACGUCCGAUAACAUCUACAAAUGUACAAGACAAGAAUAUGAAUUAUGUGACUAAUUUAAAGAAUGUAAAAAAAAAGAAGUAUAAUAACUAACCAAAACAAAAAUUGGUCAAGCAAGUUUGUUGUAUAAUUGAAGUAGAGUCAACAAAAACAAAGCCAUGAAGUCGAACCGUAAAAGCAGAAAAUUUCAUAAGAAGAGUUUUCCAUUGUAACACAAUUUGUUGGUCUUUGCUAGUAAUACUGAAACCUUCACUUGUUUACGCCAAGUUUGGGUUUUGUAUUACAUAGGUUUCUCUAACUAUUAGAAGAUGUUGGACCCUGGUGAAGUUACUAUUGAAAACACGAGCUUCAAUUUGUGUGCCUGGUAAAAACUUAGCAUGUUAUCUCAUCAUAUACUACAUCUAAAUGUAAAUAAUAAUUGUUUUACGUAACCUGUUAAUCUAGAAUCGAUUGACAACUCUUCUUUCUUAUUUUUGUUACAAAUUUCCUCAACAUCAACAUUACAACCUUAAAAGUUGUAUCAUGUGAUACAACUCCACUGUAUUAUAGGUAUGUAACUUUGGAAGUAGACAUUAUUCUAAAAGUAAAUGGUAAACAAAUGCAAUUAUAUAUAAUUAUAUAAGUGUACAAAUAUAUCAAUAUACGUUGUUGUUAGAUUUUAUGAAAAUUUCUAAGUAAUAGCAACAUACUUUUCUUUUUGUCUUUCUACCUUGUGGCAAAUCUCGGAUUGAAACUCACACGUGUCCACCUCAAAUAGAGUGAUCAAGUCAACAAAUGAAAAUUUAUUUUUUAUCAGGUUGACAACUGUUCACCACGACUUCACAUACAUUGAAAAUAAUCUAUAAUUGCAUCGUUUCUAAUAUGAUCUAGUAUAUCAUUCUUAAUAUAUGAAACUAGACCACCAUUCAUAAACUGAUCACCCAUCUUAUUGCACAAAUCAUUCUUUAGCAAUUUCAUUGCUGAAAAUGCUCGUUCCACGGUUGAUGUUGCAACGGGUAAAAUCAAUGCUAAUUAUAGUAGAAGAUAUACCAUUGGAUAUAUGGUAUGCUUUAUUGUUUCAACGAUAAUCUUUUCCAAGUUUCCCAUUCCUUUUAGGUUAUUAAACCUUUCUUCUCCACGUACAUCCAUAAUAUAGUUUUCAAGAUUUUAUGUAAGUGUUCCAAGGUCAUGCUCUGGGAACUCGUUAGGAUAAAAUUUAUCCAUUUUAAGAAAUGCCGCCUCAUUAAACACUUGAAAACACCUACUUGGACACAAAAAAUCCAUCGAAACAAGUAAUGUUUUGUUUGCGUCAUUUAAGCGAUUGUUGAGUUCCUGAGAUUGCAUAUCUAUGACUGCAACAAAUACAUCAAAUUUGUAGUGGUGCAAACAAUUAAUCUGCAAAUUAAACAUAAAUACUUGUUAAUAGUUAAUUAGGAAAGUAGUGAAAAUAAAUAGGUUUCUAGCUUCUAACCUUUGAAUCUUUAUGACGACUUAAUCAACUGUAAGAUGGUACUUCCAUACUCAAAGUCUCCAUAUGACAUUUUUCAUACAAUAAACUAACAUUGUUUAAAUGUGCCCCCAACCUUUGUUCCUAAUUUGCUUGAGUGUAUCCUUAGAGGAUGUGACAACCUGAAAUUUCUAUCUUGUACAGUUAUUCAAAUCAAUCAAGGUCAGACUCGUUUUUGCUAUCUUUUAGCGUUGUUUAGAGUCAAUUAGAGUGUUCUAAGCCUAGUACCUUCAAAGUUAGGGUUUAGAAUUGGGUUCCACAAGUUCACCACUUCCCAAAAUGGCCAAACACUCCAACAUGAGGAGUGUACGGCCGUACACCCCCUUCUGGCUGUACACUCUCAUGUAUAAAGGAGAGACUUAGCCUUCAUUCAACUCUUUUCACACUACUAAGCCAAGAACUCAUUCUCCCUCAACUACCAUCUGAUUUUUCAUCUAGAUCUUCAAGAUCGUAAGUGUUUCUUCCCUUGAAUUGUUGAUUCCUUUCACUAUCUUCUAUGGAUCAUUGAUUUCAUCUAUGAAAUCAAUUCAUUUUUUAGAUCUUCAAGUGUUCUUCAGUUUCACCAACAACACCAAGAAAACCUACUAAGUUCUUGGACCUCAAACACCCCUAAAAGGCUUCUAUAUCGUAAGUACCACUUCAUAUGCUUGUUACUUACUACAUAUACUCCUUAGAAAUCGUCCAAGCCAUGAUCAUCAAGGAUUGUACGGCCGUACACACCCCAUGUGGUCGUACACGCCUUCGUUUUGUGCAUAUUGGCCUCAAACUCAUAUUCUAUGCUAGCACAUGAUCAAGAACACUUCCUAGAUGCUUAAUAGGAAUUUAAAACACUCAUUGGCAUGUUUCACCAUGAGUGUGCGGCCGCACACCCACUUGCGCCGUACAAUCUGACCGUGCACACACAUGAAACAUACCAUUCUGUUCGUACACACCAAUGUGUGGACAUACACCCAUUAUAUGCAACCCUUUGUACUUCUAACACCUCAAUCUAAGUGUUUCCUAUGUCCUAUGGUGUUUUCCUUUCAUGAUUAGUUGUAUAAACACUAAUUAUAUACAUAUAUGUGUCAUUAUAUGCUUAUUAGGAUCCAUAGUGCUCAAGUCUUCACUUGACACUUAGCAUACUACAAACCGAUGAUUCAUUCGUAUCAUCACUGCAGGUGAGUUCAUACCCCAUAACUUAUCUUUUAAAUGAUUUUAAAUGCUUUUAUGGGGGGAAUACAAGUAUAAAAAUUAUAGUUAUUAUAUCAAUCACAUGUGAUUAAUAACUAUCAAGCAAACGGAUUUCUUAUAUCUCAAAACUGUGAUAUCAAACAAACUGCUUCAAAUCGUUUUAUAAACUCUUUUACAUAUUAGAUACUUUAUUUAAACUCUUUUAAACUUAUACUUUAUCAAAUCAUGUUUAUAUAGAUAUAGUUAUAUAAGUAGGAUUGAAAAGACUUAGGACUGAUAACUCGCCUUAUUUGCCGUUCCUUGUUUUGUUGUGGACUUAGGGUAUCAAUUGUUUGUCCGAAGGUCAUUUGAUUCAUAGUUAAAUGUUUGUUUUUGGACAUAGGACUAAUAACUCUCCUUAUAUAUANNNNNNNNNNNNNNNNNNNNNNNNNNNAUAUAUAUAUAUAUAUAUAUAUAUUAUUUUUCCGAAGGUUGUUUGGGUAGCAAAGGUCUACAAACAUGUUCAUUCAUACAAACAACAUUGCUAGUUAACUAUAAUAGGUAUAGUUUCGGAAGUCACUAAUAUUAUUUUCUAGAACAAUGAAACAUACUAGAGUCAGUUCAUACAUGAGUCAGUUGAAACAUACUAUACACUAGAGACCAUACUAUAACAAGAACCAACACAUACUAUACACUAGAGAACAUACUAUAACGAGAGUCGAUACUCACUAUAAAGAGAAACAGAUAGAACAUACUAUACACUAAACAAAAAGAAAAUUCACUACACUAGAACAUACUAUACAAACACAAGAAUAAUAUAACAAUAAUGUGAGAUACUACUUCAUGGGUCCGCAAUAUACUAUUGCAUCACGUUUUGUAUCCAGAGUCUCCUAGAUAGAGAGCGUGAAUUUGUGUAUAGAUCUAUACGGGACUGACCCUCCUACACAUUGCUGCUAGCUAUAGUGGGACCUGCAGGUCAACGGGUGACGAAUGUAAUAUCAUUUCGACGUCUAGAACAUCGUGUUAUACUAGUCGAUCAAUUAUGGUUACAAUCAUAUCACAUUUUACCUCAAUUAACAAACUGGCUUAAGGUAGUUAGUACAUUGGUAGUUACUUGUAUACAAUACUACUAUAAACUAUUAUUUUCCCAUUGCAUUCACAUUGCGAUCUUAUCACAUAAACGGUAAUGUAAACUAUAUUUUCGUAAUGAUAGUCAUACUUGGGAAAGAUACAAACUUUUACAAACAACAAUACACAUUGAACACUUGGGCCUUGGUAGCAGGCUACUUUUUUGUAGAAAAUAUAGGAAUUGCUAGGAGAUACAAACAAUUACUACAAACACUUACAAACAUUUACAAACACUUUCAUACAAACAAUGACACUUAAAUACUUAUGAACUCACCAGCUUAAAUGUUAAUCUACUCUUUCAAAAUAACUUGUAUUCUCAGGUCUCCAGUAGACAGGUACCGAUGACCAGGUUUUGAGCAGACGGAGCUUUCAAGACUCGUCUUUAUUUUGAUUAUUCGUUUUUGGUGUCUUAUAAACUAUAUGCAGAACACACUUGUAUUAAAUUAUAUUAUUAAUGCAAUGGAUGAUGUUGUUGCUUCUUUACUAUUAUGCAUUGUCGUGAUACUGUACAUGAUGUCCUCCACCACUGAACGUUUCCGCUGUCCAGGUUUUGAGGUGUGACAGAGGACCUCACUUGGCCUUUACAAUAUUUGGCUCUUUCUUUUGUAAUGUGGUGUUCAAAUCAUUUAUGACCCCUAAGAUAUCAACCAUCAAGUGUAGGCAAAAUAUAAAAUCAAAUGUUUGUAACAACUUCAAAAGACGACAUGCGUCGGCUUUAUGAUCUUCAGAAUUACUAUAUUUGAUAAUGUCUUGGAGUACUUCACAAAUUGAAGAAUAAAUUCCCUUAUUAUUUACGAGUGAACUAUAAUGUGAGCCCCAAUGAGUAUUACCAGGUCGUUUGAGACCAACUUAUGGAUUUAAACUUGUACCACUUUAGACGUCACCUAAAAUUAAAGUAAAUAAAAUACAAAUAGUAGCAAGAAAACAAGGCCAUUUAGCAUAAAAUAAAUAGACAAAAUAAAAGAAACCUGCAGCUAGUGUUUGCAACAUUUUUGUUGAUUGUUUCUCUCUUAACAUGUAUCGACACUUAUAUGAAGAUCCAAUCAUGUUUAACAAAUGAGAAAUCAACUCAAAAAAGUCAUUAAUGACAGAGUGAUUAUUUGCAACAAACAAAAGUGUUAACUGUAAUUGUUAUGCAAAACAAUGAAUAAAAUGUGUAGGUUCCACUUCUUUCAUAAUCAAGGUCUUCAGGCCAUUAAAUGCACAUCUCAUGUUACUAGCUUCAUGACAACCUUGCCUCCAGAUCAUAUGUGGACUUAAUCCACAUUUUGAGAAAAAUGAAUAAAUUCUCUUUUUAGGUGACAAUGCUGAAGUGUCACUUGUUGGAUAAGGUGUCUAAGUCUAGAACUUAUUUGGUAUACACUUGACCCGACCCGGCAUGGUCCAUUUGGGUUGUGCAUCACCCAAAGAUUUAAGGAUAAUAUUAUGAGAAUUGUAUACUUAUGUUUUAUUAAUAUAUUAUAAGUUAUAAUAUAUUAAUAUAAAGUCAUGUUAUUUAAUUAUGUUUUUAAUCUUAAAUUAAUUAUGAAUUGAUGUAGUGAUUAAAAGGAAGACUAAUUAAAUCAUUGACUACUAUAUCUAUAUGGUGUGGGCUAACACUCAUUUGGGAAUGAGCUUAGCUUAUAUGGAAGUCCAUGGAUGAUCCAUGGAGCUUUUAAUCCAUGGAUCCUUGGAAGAGGAAAAGACAUGGGUUAUUAGGGUUUACCUUAAUCAUCUACACUAUAUAAAUAAGCCUAUGUUGCAUGAGUUGACACCCUAGUGUGUGUGAGAAGUGGUGGCCGAUUUAUAGUGCAAAGUAUACAAUUUCAUAAGGUUUUCCAAGUUUGUGGUGAUUUCUGAUUUCCAUUUGAGGCAUUCACAUUAUUGGUGCUUGGCUCUCAAACUCCAAGGAAUCAACACUCAUGAAAAGGUAUGUAAUUCAUCUAGUUCUUUUAUUUUAAAAAGUUCCCCAUACCAUGAUAGAUAAGUUAUAAACCGUGGAAAAAAAAUUUUGCAUGUAUUUUUAGACAAACAUAGAACCAAGGUUUAUUAGGGUUGCAUGUACACUUAGGAAGUGUUAGAAUGCUCUAANAUUGCUCAAAACCCAACAGUGGUAUCAGAGCCUAGGCUUGCUUGUUUGAUACUUGAUGCAAAAUAGUGAAAAAAAUCGAUUUUCUUGCUGUCUGCAUGAUGAACUCGCCGAGUCCAUGGGGGGACUCGCCGAGUCCAUGACUAAAUUUAUCCUACUCGUCGAGUAGGUUUGUGCACUCACUGAGUAGAAGGCAUAGAAUGCAAAUUUUCGACUUUUGUUGCUAGAAAUGGACUGGAAACAUUACCCUAAACUGUUUUGGUGUUUUAAAACUUGUUUUAGUUGGUGUGAUGCUUGUUCUAAUCAAUUUACAAUAGCUUAUAUCAAAAUUUCAUGCUUUGUAUGUGUUCAUAUAAUCCUUGAAACUUUGAUGAUCAUAUUCAUGUUAUUAUGAAUCUAGAAGAUGAUAGGAAUUAUUUGUUGAAUUGUUUAAGAUUAAUUCUUGAUUAUUUAUGUGUUUUAAUGGAGUCGAGAAUUUGUCCUCAAGCUAUGGAUAUCCAAAGGUCACUUCUUUUAAACAGAUAUUUAAAACACAUAAGUUACAUAAAAAUGAAGAGUCUUCAUUUUUGUGAACCUUUAAUUCAUAAGUUAUCAAAUGAAAAGUUUUGAAUAUUUACAAAACUUGCCCUCAAUUUUUGAAAUUUGUAAAGUUUCACACACUUUAACAAACUUUAAUUUCAACCCUUAGAGUUUUAAUAGUUAAAAUUCAACACUUAUACUAUUUAUAACAUUAAUGGUUAAUUAUUAUAUAUAUGUAUAAGAAUAAGUCGUUUUACCGUUAGUAGACCUCAUUCAUGAAGUCGGUCUAUAAGGGGGGUAUAAGGUUGUUUCCUAUAAAAUUGCAGCUUAUUGGGUGUCCACUCUCAUCCACCGCUUCCUUGAUCGGUGGAGGGUCGUUAGCCGAACGGGUAGAACAAUGACUUUAAAUUCUCAUUAAAAGUAUAAUGAUUAUUAUAAAGUAACUAAAUAUUUUAAUUCAUAAUCUUAGUUACUUUAGGAAAAAUGUGAACAUGGUGCUAAUCCAUGGAAUUCACAUUUUGCACCUUACUAAGUCGUUGGUGGAGCGUGUGUGGUUAACCGGCACACUAACUUGGACUAGUAAGGGUCACGAAGGGUGACUUAAUGUUUGUCAUAGAUCAAUGAAGCGUGUGUGGUUAACCGGAACGUUGAUUAGGUGAUAAUAUUAAGGGUACCAAGUGAAUUAGCAUGGUUAUUCAUACCUUCUUUUGUGAUCCUCGGAAUCAAAGUCACAAAACUUGAAGGGCACAAUCGAGAUUGAAACAUGCCAUUGAAAAGUUCAACGAAUCUCAAAAGAAUCUAGGAAUUUCAAAUCCAAUUAAAUACCUAAUAAUUCAUUUUGUUUUUCAUGGUGGAAAUUGGAGAAUCGUUAUUCACCUACCUUUCAAAUAUGUUAUUACUUAGAUUACGGCAUCCCUCUUCUAGGUAUAAUAUACUGUAAUUGGAUCCUAGCCUUAAUAUUACAUUUGGGUAUCUUAUUAAGGACUCUAUAUAUCUAAUCUAAACUUGCUUUCUUCUUUCAAAUGUCUUCCAACAACAAUGCUUUGGGCUCUAACCCAACUGGCUCUUUCUCUCUCACGAACCUUUGUGGGAGAGUCAUAUUUGACGGUUCCAACUUCAUGGACUAGAUUAGGAACAUCAGGAUGGUUACUCGUUAUAAGGACAAGGAAUACGUCCUUGAUAAGGAGUUAAAGGAGCUGGAUGAGUCCACUACUACUCCUGAGGAGGUCGUUGAGAGAGAUGCUACUAAGGUAGCAUGCAUCAUGAUGGUCACGAUGACAGUCGAGCUCCAAAAGUCCUAUGAGGGCUUUUACCCUUUUGAGAUGCACCAAGACCUGAUGGAAAGGUACCAUCAGAGUGCUCGUUAGGAGCGGUAUGAAAUAAUCUCCUCCAUGAUAACAGCCCGCAUGAAGGAUGGUGAAUCCAUCACAGGCCACAUGCAAAAGAUGCAAAGGUAUGUGGACUGUUUGCUCAAGCUAAACGUGAACUUCCUUGAGGAGUUGGCAAUUGACAUCAUUUUGCACUCCUUACCUUCUUGUUAUGACCAAUUUCGUAUGACAUAUCAUAUGAACAAGGAGGAAGUUACUCUUAGGAAACUUCUAGGACUCUUGAAGACCGCUGAAACCGGUGUUAAGGGCAAGUUGGUUGUUACCUCUACUACUCUAAGUCCAACAUCUACCCCUGUUUUGGCUAUCAGGCAAGGCAAAGGGAAAAAGAGGAAGUCCCCUUCGAAGGGUACCAAGGGAAAGUCUCUUGAAGGCUCUUCAUCAAGGAACAAGAGCGUUUCUAUCACUCAUGCGUUUCCCAAGGAUGCUGAUUGCUACUAUUGCCAAGACAAGGGGCACUGGAAGCGAAACUGCCCUAAGUACUUGCAUGAUCUAUAGGAUGGGAAAGUGAAACCCACCCACACAGGUAUUUACUCAAUAUUGUCUAAUAACUCACCAUAUUCUAACUCUUGGGUGCUUGAUACAGGAUGUGGUAUCCACAUAUGCUCAAAUUUGUAGGGCCUAAGAAGAAGUGAGGAUGUGGAGCACGGGAAGAUAAACUUGAUCAUGGAGAAUAGGAAGGCUUCACCUGUUUCCAAGAUUUGAGCUUAUACUUUGUUGCUAAAUAAUGGGUUAAAAUUAGAUUUGAAUAAAUGUGUGUUCUCAUCUGAAAUGGCAAGAAAUAUUAUUUCUUUUCAUGGUUUGUACAAACAAGGUUUUACUUUUUCAUUUGAUAAUGAAUGUGGUGGUAUUAAUGCUUUCUUUAAUAAUGUGUUUUAUUUUAAAGCAUUACCUUGUGAUGGUGUGUAUGAAACUGUUUAAGUUGUAGACAACUUAGGAAAUUAUGUAUUGUAUAGUGAUCCUUCUACUAGCCUAGAUAAAGCAUCAUUGUGGCAUUGUCGUCUUGACAUGUAAACAAGAAACGCAAAGGCCAACUCCAAAAGUAUGGAGUCUUGUAAUCAUUUGACCUUAAAUCGAAUGAUAGUUGUGAAUCUUUUCUACUUCGAAACAUGAAAAAAUCACCCUUCACUCAUACUUGUGAACGGGGUGAGGGUUUGAUGAACCUAAUACACACUGAUGUAUGUGGACCAUUCAAAACCUCCACAAGGGAUGCUAAUUGGUAUUAUGUGACUUUUAUUGAUGAUUUUAGUAUAUAUGGUUAUGUUGUUGGAUUAGUGUCUAAGGCUGUAACUAUAUUUGGUAAGUACUUGACCUCGGUUGUGCAUGGUCCUUUUGGGUUGCCUUCACCAUAGCAACUUGACAAGAUGAUUUCUUAAGAGGGAAGAGAUAUUAUUGUUAAUAUGUUAUGAGAGUAAUAUAUUAAAGGAAUAAUAAUGUUAUUUGAUUGAUAUAAGCCAUAAAUUAAUUGAGAAUUAAUUUGGUGACUUAAAGAGAUUAAUUGAAUAAAGGGGCAUAAACUGUCAAAAGUGUGAUAGUUGUGUUUUGGGCAAUGUAUCCUUAUGGAUAUAAGGGUGGGCGGAUUUUAGGGUUGGGAGACCUUAAAAUCAUCCACGCCUAAUAUCUAGGAGGAUCUUUGGAUUGCUUAGGGCCUAAGUUAUUCAAUUAGUGUUAAUGGUGAAACCCUAGUAGCUCAUAGUAUAAAUAGAUCCCUUGAGUGAGGGAAAUCAGCAUUCUUGCAAGGCAAGAAACCCUAGAGCCGAUUUCUUACCCUCCUCUCUCUCUCUCUCUCUCAAUAUCAUCCUCUUGCUACUUGGUUUUUGUAAGCCAUUAGAGGAGUGAUAAUUGUGACUCUAAGCUCCAAGCACAAGAAGUUUCAAGCAAGCAACUUAAGGUAUUAUUCUAGAUCUAUCUUUAUUUGAUAUGAUUCAAUUGUUUACACUAGAUCUAGAAUUGUAAGCCUUGGANCUCAAACUUCAACUAAUCUUUUUUGUGCGUGUUCUUUUACCAAAAUAUUUACAACUUAUUAAUUAUUACUUUUUGAACUCUUUUAUGACCCAGCUGGAUUUCACAUACAAAUUCAAAUUUCAUCUCCAAUUAUUUUAUUUUAUUUUAUUUUGAAAUAAAUAAGGUUUUCUUUUCCAAUGGUCACUUUUUUUUAUUGAUAUAUAUAUAAUUAAGGCUUUGUCUAGCUACUUAGAUGAAAAAUUAUUUGUUAGCUUAUUAAUUUAUCAAUAAGUUACUCAUUUUUUUCAUUAAUUAGAAUAACAAGAUUUUGGAAAAAUAAUUCCAUAUGUUUAAACAUUUUUGUUUUUUUAUUGCUAAUAUAUUAAAAAGAUUGUUGAUUAAUACCAUUAAAAUCCUACUUAAACUAAACAAUAAUCAUAGAAAAUUUUCAACUAAUUCCCAUCAUAUCACAUUUUAUAUUUCCAAUAUAUGUUCAAUCCAUUUCAUUUGACAACCACUUAAACCGGAGGGUGUACACAUAUCACCACUUGUUUUUUCUAUGACAUGUCAGUUUUCUAUUUACUCACAAACUCAACAAAAACUAAGAAAUUGUAUCUUUCACUUACCCUCAUUUUUUAUUUUGUAAAUAUUUUAUAUAAAUAUUAUAUUUUAUUUGUAGAGAAUUAAAAACAAUAAAUUUUAAUAUAUAUUUUUUAUAAAUGUUUAUAUAUAGGGAAAAGUGAAUAUACCCUUAAGGGUAUAUAAGCUUAGAUACCCAAACUCACUAUAAUUAGUUGUUUUGUUUGAUAUAUCCAUUAUAAUGUUAUUAAACUUCAACCUUAACUUGAUUUACUUUGAAGAUUUUCGAAAAUUCACUAUUGUUUUCCUCUUAUAUCACUUCUUUUUGCCGAACACCUAUUAGGAUAUAUAUAUUAGAGUUGAAAAUGAAAAUUAUGUAAGAGGAAGAUAAAUGUGAAAUUUAUAAAAAAUUUAGAAGUAAAUCAAGUUAGAAGUUGAAUUAUAAGAACAUUGGAGAAUUACAAUGUACACAUAUGAUACAAAACAACAUAGUAUGGUGAGUUUGGGUACCUAAGCUUAUAUAUCCUUAAGGGUAUAUUCACUUUUCCCAUAUAUAUAUAUAUGUGAUUUAAAAAAAUGCUAGUCUUACCGUUAGUAGGCCUUAUUCACAAAGCCAGUCUAUAAGGUGGGUAUAAGGUUGCUGCUUAUAAAAUGGCGCUUAAUGGGUGUACACUCACACCCACCGCUGCCUUGACUGGUGGGGGGUCGUUAGCCGAACAGGUAGGAUAGGGCAAACCUCUUCUCAUUAAUAAGUAUAGUGAAUCUAUACAAAAGUAAUUAAACGUGUUUCAUAAAAUUCCCAAUCUUAGUUACUUUAGGAAAAGUGAAUUGAUGCAAUCCCAUGAAAUUACACUUUGCAACCUUGCUAAGAAGUUAGUGGAGCAUGUGUGGUUAACCGGCACACUAAUUGGUUCUAAGCAAAGGUAGCAAAGGGUGAUUCAUUGUUUGUCAUAGUUCGGUGGAGCGUGUGUGGUUUACCGGCACAUCGAAUAGGUGAUUGUAACAAUGAAGGCAGCAUGUAGAUUUGCAUGGUUAUUCACACCCACUUUGUGAUCCUCGGUAUCUCAGUCACAAACUAGAGGGGCAUAUAGAGAUUUAAACAUGCCGUUGAAAAAGCUUAAUGAAUCUCAAAGAAAUGUAGGAAUUCUCAAUACAUUUAAAACUUAAAGCUUAUGUUUUUCUCGGUGAAGAAUUAGUGAAUCGUCAUUCACUUACCUCCAAAUUAUUUGCAUGAUGGAUUACGUCAUCCCUUUUCUAAUGUGUAAAUAAUGUUGUUGGGUCCUAGCCCUAAUUUUUCAGUUUGGGUGUUAAUUAGGGACUUAAUUCUAAUCAACUUUGUUCCUUUUUAUUUGUAGAUGUCUAAUGCGAACAACGCUGCUGCUAGCUCAUUCACGUUAAUGAGCCUUUGUCAAAAAGUGAUUUUGACGGAUCAAACUUUAGCGAAUGGAUAAGAUACAUUCGCUCGGUCGCGUGUUACGAGGACAAAGAAUAUGUUCUCGAUGAGAAGCUCGAGAAAAUCAAUCCAGAAAUUGCUACUCCCGAAGAAAAGGCUAUCUUUGAGACGCAUGAGCGUGAUGCAACGAAAGUCCAUUGCAUCUAAUUUAUAUAUUCAACUUGCAAAGACGAUCAACAUACCUUUGCAUCUAACCGUGCACUUGCAAAAGAUGCAAAGGAUGACCUAAAAUAUGGACAAGGAAGAGGUCACCCUAAGAAAACUCCAAGGGCUCCUAAGGAUUCCUGAGAGCAACCUCAAGGACAAGUCUGUGGCACUAACUCCGCUGCUCUUGUUUUGGCAAUUGGGUAGGGAAGGGGCAAGAAGAGGAAGGCUUCUUCAAAGAACCACCGCAAGGGAAUGUUCCAAGAUGGUUCCUCUUCUAGUUGGACCAAGGUUGACCCUGCUAAGCCCAACCCAAACCCAAAGGAGGCAGAGUGCCACCAUUACCAUAAAAUAGGGCAUUGGAAGAGAAGCUUCCCGGAAUAUCUGCAAGCCAUCAAGGAUGGAAAGAUCAAGCCAUCUUUCGCAGGUAUUUACACAAUUACAUCCAAUAAUUCAUCUCAUGCUAUUUCUUGGGUUCUUGACACAGGGUGUGGUUACUGAUGUGCACGAAAGUACCCACUAAUUUUAAUAUUUAUAACCUAACAAACUUAGACUAACUAUGCACUUAUAGGCAGUGUACCUAGUCAGAUUACAGUAUAGCUUGGGUAAGUUGGGUGUCGAUCAUAGGGAACGGUGUUAUUAAUUUAUAUAUUCACUACUAAAUUAAUCUAAUUAUUAAUAAGCUAGAAGGGGUUUGUAUCUAAUUUUGCAAGUUUAGAUAAACUUAAUUCUUUAACGAAAACUCAAUCAAUAAACAAAAUACUUCUGUUAGUUCAAAUCCACUUUCACUCAAUGGUUAUACAUUAGUCAAGACUAUUACCGUUGGUUACCAAUUUGAGAAGUAUUAGCAGUUUAGUUCUAAACCUACUAAUUAUUAAUCAAUUCAUGUAAAUCUAUGUAUAGUCACACAAUAGUUAACACAUAAUCUAUUAUUAAGUAAGAUUGGAGCUACGAAGAUUGAUUAAUCAAAACACAACUACAUUCAUAAUAUGAGUUCUCUAACACAACUUAAUUCAAUGACUCAAUUACUUAUCUAAGAUUGGUUUGAUCUUAGCUCUAAUAAACUAGUGUUCACUUUGUUAUUAGGUAUUCAUAUUCAUGUAGAUUUGUGUUCACUAACUACAUAGAACAAGAAUUUAAAGCAAUUAAAUCAUUAACUAAACAUGCUAGGUAAAAUCAAUCGACACAAGCACAUACCCAACAAAUAAAGUCUAAUCUAAUGCAUUCAAACCAUGAGUUCCAGCUUCAUCUAGCUAACAGAAGCAGCUACAUUUAGCUGGAAAUAUUAACAUCUAAACAGUCAAAAGCUAUAAUCAAACACAUGAUAAAUGUACCAAGUUUAUAAAGCAAAUUAUGAACUUCCUCUUCUUUGGUGUUGAAAACCACUUCCAGAUCUCUUUUUCCCUUGAAAUUCGCCUUCUAGAAUCUCUUUCUUCUGCCAAAAGUCUGCUCAAUUCGUAAUGGUUUUGGAUAUAUAUAGUUUUCUGAUUUUAAUAAUUCACGUCGUGAACAAUAAAAUAUUCACGUCGUGAAUACAAGAUAACCGUGCCCGACAAGGAUUCCUUCACCCGUGUACAUAUCUUCUAGAACUUAUGCUCACGUCGUGAAUCUUCCGGUUCUCACGAUGUGAAAACGCUUUUUCCUUAUUUUCUUGUCCUUUAAUCUUUUAACUCCCAAGGUUUCUUCCUUUAACGUUUUUAGUCACUUUUUUCAAAAUCUCUUCUUUUUGGCUGCAAAUUAUAUUUAAUCCCAUAAGUACCAUUAUUCUAAACAAAUUACCAACUUAUAUAUAAAAAUGUACUUAAAUAUUGCCUAAAAAAGGUAUAAAUACGGCAAUAUCAAAAUACCCCACACUUGGGCUUUGCUUGCCCUCAAGCAAAUUUAAACAUAACCCUUUAUUACUAACAUAACAUAGAACAAUCUGAUUCCAGCACAGCCAUUAUGCCAAGACCUCAAUGCGUGCAUUUGUGUCUAACAUUUUCCUAAAGUACCCCCAAUACUUUAAAUACUCACAAUCUUCAUAAACACUUGCCCACUUCUUUCCAACAAUGCUCAUUUUAUGCAACCCUCCGAAUCCAUCAACAGAAAUGUCACUUAACCUCAAAGUAUUUUUGUAAAGCUACCCAAGCAUACAUAAACUAGAGAAUUACAACUUUAAGAUACCAAUACUUCGAGAUCUUGAAUUCUUACUUCUUUGANAGAUCUUGAAUUCUUCACUUCUUUGACAGUUUAAUCUUGAUUUCUUUGAAUUCAUUUCUUUCAUGAUUUCUGGCAUCUUCAACUUUUGAUUCCUUAGAACUUUGAUCUUUCAUCUUCAUACUUUGAUAGCUCCAAAAUUCUUCAAGAAUUCUUACUUUUCAGUAAUUUCUGUCUCUCUUUUUUUUUCUCUUUUUUUCUCUACAUGUAUAAGUCACUUUUUUCACUCAAAACCUACGUGCUUAACUAGGGGCGCUUAACUUCAACCUUUAAUGGUUAAGACAUAGCUUUCCUGGAUACAUUUCAGGUUUAGGCUGCUAAACAUAUUGCAUCCCUCAAACCAAGCGGGGAUAUGUUUUUGUUCCAUGAUUUCACUAAAAUAAAGGAGGCCACAAAUGCACUGUAACGUGUAUUGGCUCAACUAAACAUUUGAGCUCUUAUCGGAUCAUCCCAUACAACACUAGCAACUACAAUUCAAAUUAUUAUUACUAGAUUUAAUUAUUAGAAAUUUCAGUUUUCAAAUUUUCAAAUUUUACCAUCAUCUAGCAAUUUACUUUUUCUACCCCCUCCCCCACACUUAUUUCAUACAAUGUCCUCAUUGUAUGCCUAAGAUAAAUCAAAAUGAAGAAAAGGGAGAAAAAGGAACAGCCUCCCCUGGGAUAGCGGCGUAAACAUCUCCAAAAAUGUGGAAAACGUGCAUCUUGAAUAUGGACUUUGAGGAAUAGAAACUUGGAUCUUGAACAUGCAAGAUAAGGAAUGUACCGGCAAAACAUGAAAUCGAACCUACAAUCUUCUACAAAUGUGGUGGAAAUCUCCAAAAUAGAACGACGAAUGUGGGAAAGCAUACGCCACAUUGUAUGGUAGUGAAAAUGAACCAUAAUAAUCCUCCGAAUAUUCCCCAAAAUGAAUAGUGGUAAACCACACAAUGAAUACGGAAAAAUAUAACCCAUUUUGCGAAAAACGGAAAUUCACGAUGUGAAUGAACUAAAACUCACGAUGUGAACUCGUUGUGAAGCGGGUUCUGGAAGAUCUUCAUAUGCUGACUCACGAGGUCAAUUUUAACAAGUUCACGACGUGAGAACUGGAACAUCAGAAAUAUUUUUCUUCUAACUUCACUUAGUGAGUUCCCCAAAUAUACCGCAUACAACACAUACGCCACUCAAGGCUAUAAUACCACCCUCCAGUUGAUAUGUCUCAGCGGGACCCUCCAGUCCCGUAGAUCGUGGGACCCUCUGGUCCGGUCAUAGCUCGUUGGGCCCUCCGGCCCGGUUUGUAUCGUUGGACCCUUCGGCCCGGUCUAUAUCAACAUACAACAUACACAUAACACAUAGCAUAAAAUCUCAUAACUAGCACAUAAUCUCAUACAUGACACAUAAGACCCUCUGGUCAACUCAUAAUACCACUCAAGGUAACGUAUAGUGAGAAGACUCACCUCGCGUGUCUCGGUAACUCGUAAAGCUCUCAACCACUAGUGCUUGAUCUCCCGACCUAUCGUCCUCCUACAACACAGGUGUAUCCUUACUUAAUACUGCUUGACUCUGACUGACUAAUACUACUAAGUCAAACCAGUCAACACUGGUCAACGGUCAACGAUCAACGGUCAACCCGACUCGCCGUGUCUGGCGUGGACUCGCCGAGUCCCUACAGGAACCCGAUUCCCUCUAGAUCUCUUCCAACUCACCGAGUCACUCACCCGACUCGGUUGCACAAUCCCUGAUCCGAAGUCUCUGAACAACCCGCACCAACUUGCCGAGUCUGGGAUUGGACUCGGCGAGUGCACUCCAUGCACAACCUCAAACGACCUUCUAAGGUCAGAUCCACUCUAGCAACUCAUAGAUCCAGUCCCCUUAAUGGAGGUGUAGCCUCAAAUACAUAUAUCCCAAUCUAAAACCUCCAUGGAUGCACAUAAAGCGUGGGCAAGGAGGUGCUUUGGACCUCUAUGGGUCUAGAUUUAGAGCCAAAACUCGGCAAGGGACCAUAAUGAUGCUAGAUCUAGCCACAAAUGGGUUCAAAAACCCCAAAUCUAUAUGAACAUCACAAUAACAAAGAAGGAUUCGAAUGGUACCUCAGAUGUGAUGUCCUGGACCUUAGCUCUUCAAGAAUCCACCCCUCUCUUGCUUCCUCUUGGCUAGAUCUUCUCUUCCUUUACUAGAUAAUAACUCCAAGAAUCAACAAUGGCUUCUUCCCUCACUUGAAUCACUCAAAUGAUCUAGGGUUUCACUUUGGGGACUGGUGAGCACAAAUGACGGCCAUAAGGCCCUUUAAAUAGGUCCCAAACCCGAGAAAUUAGGGUUUCAUUAAACAGCGUGGAAUCGCUGAGUCCACACCUUGGACACGCCGAGUCUAGGCGCGAACACGCGUCCAGAAUCGCGAUCCUACUCGGCGAGUCUGAGCUCCAACUCGCCGAGUCCCCUCACAAAACAUCAAAAUUGAAAGCAUAAAAGAUACCUAGAAAUCCGGGCUGUUACAACUCUCCCCCACUAAAACUAGACUUCGCCCUCAAAGUCUCGCUCUGAAAAUAGCUCCGGAUCCUGCUCACGCAUCUCACGCUCCGGCUCCCAGGUCAUCUCUGAUCCCUUCCGAUGUUGCCACUGAACCAACACCAAGGGUACCUCCUUGUUCCUCAGAACCUUGAUCUUCCGAUCUCUGAUGGCCACCGGCCUCUCGGCAUAAUUCAGGCCUGCAUCUACCUGAAUAUCCUCUAAUGGAACCACUGCCGACUCAUCGGCUAUACACUUCCUCAGCUGCGACACAUGAAAAGUGUCGUGAAUCUACCCCAACUCUGCUGGCAAAUCCAAACGAUAGGCUACCCGACCUACCAUGGCGAUCACACGGAAUGGACCAAUAUAUCGGGGCCCCAAUUUGCCCCUCUUCCUGAAUCGAAUCACUACUUUUCAAGGAGAGACCUUCAGGAGAACGAGAUCGCCGACCUGGAACUCAAGCUCGGACCGGCAUCUGUCCGCAUAACUCUUCUGUCGGCUCUGGGCGGUCAACAACCUCUGUCUGACCUGCUGAAUCUGCUCUGUCGUCUAAAGCACGAUCUCUGUACUGCCCAUCACUCUCUGCCCAACCUCUCCCCAACAAAUGGGGGUGCAACACCUCCGCCCAUACAAUACCUCAAAGGGUGGCAUACCAAUGCUCGAAUGAUGGCUGUUGUUAUACAAAAACUCUGCUAAAGGUAGGUAGGUGUCCUAGCUCCCUCCAAAAUCCAGAACACAUGCUCGGAGCAUAUCCUCAAGCAUUUGAAUUGUUCGCUCGCUCUGUCCGUCCGUCUGUGGGUGGUAUGCAGUAAUGAAAUGCAAUCUCGUACCCAACUCCUCGUGAAACUUCUUCCAAAACCUGGAAGUAAAACAUACAUCCCGGUCUGAGACAAUCGACAUCGGAACCCCAUGCCGCGAUACCACCUCUCUCACAUACAACUCUGCUAAUUUCUCUGCAGAAGAGCUCUCGCUGAUGGCUAGAAAAUGAGCGCUCUUCGUCUAUCUAUCAACGAUCACCCAAAUCGCAUCAACUCCUCUCGCAGUCCUUGGCAAUUUGGUGAUAAAAUCCAUGGUUAUAUGUUCCCACUUCCACUCGGGAAUCUCCAACGGUUGCAGCUUACCAUGCGGACGCUGGUGCUCGGCCUUAACUUGGCGACAAGUUAGGCACCUCUCGACGAACCAAGCAACAUCCCUCUUCAUACAGGGCCACCAAUACUCCUUCUUUAGGUCCAAAUACAUCUUGGUAGCCCUAGGAUGGAUCGAGAACUUCGAUCGAUGUGCCUCCUCCAUCAAAAUGGUACGCAUUCCGCCCACAAACGGUACCCAAAUCCGACCCUGAAACGUCAUAAGUCCCCGACCAUCGGUAAAGAAUUCCGAUACCUGACCAACCACCCGCUCCCUCUUUCAAUUUUCUGAUCUCGCAGCCUCAGCCUGAGCCCCUCGGAUGGUGUCCAAAAUCGGAGUCGUCACCGUCAACCUCAAACAGAUGUCUCGCAAUGGGGCACUCUCUGCCCUACGACUCAGGGCAUCGGCUACCACAUUAGCCUUGCCCGGGUGGUACAGGAUCUCGCAAUCAUAAUCCUUUACCACAUCCAACCAUCUCCUAUGCCGCAUAUUCAGAUUUAGCUGAUCCAUCAGGUACUUCAAACUCUUGUGGUCCGUGUAUAUCGUAUAACGAACCCCAUACAUAUAGUGACGCCAGAUCUUGAGGGCGAACACUACAGCCCCCAACUCCAGAUCGUGGGUGGGAUAUCUCGUCUCAUGAGGCUUUAACUGCCUCGAUGCAUACACGAUCACAUGCCUUCUCUGCAUCAAAACCACUCCCAACCCCGAUAUCAAUGCAUCACAGUACACUAUAAAAUCCUCCAUCCCUUCAGGCAAUGCAAGCACGGGAGCUUCGCACAAUCUCUAGCGAAGAGUCUCAAAUGAGUUCUGCUGCUCCGGACCCCAUGAGAAAGUAACACCCUUCCGGGUUAACUUGGUAAGUGGCACAACAAUUUUGGAGAAGUCCCUGAUAAAUCUCCGAUAGUAGCCUGCCAGCCCGAAGAAACUCCGGAUCUCCGCAGGUGACCUCGGCACUUCCCAACUCAACACGGCCUCGAUCUUGGCCGGGUCAACCAAUAUCCCAUUCUGGUUAACGAGAUGCCCUAAGAACUGGACCUCCCGUAAGCAAAAAUCACACUUGGAGAAUUUGGCGAAUAGCCUCUCCGACCUCAAAACCUCGAGGAGCUCCGUUAAAUGCUCCUCAUGCUGCUCUCUGGUCCUCGAAUACACCAGGAUAUCAUCAAUGAAUACAAUGACUGAACGAUCCAACAUCGGCCUACACACCCUGUUCAUGAGAUCCAUGAAUGCCGCUGGUGCAUUGGUGAGCCCGAAUGGCAUCACCACGAACUCGUAAUGCCCGUAACGAGUACUAAAUGUCGUCUUCUGGAUAUCCUCAUCCCGAACUCUCAUCUGGUGAUAUCCUGACCUCAAGUCAAUCUUGGAGAACCAAGACGCCCCCUGCAACUGAUCGCAUAGAUCGUCGAUCCUCGGCAACGGAUAACGGUUCUUUACCGUCAACUUGUUCAACUCCCGGUAAUCAAUGCACAUUCGGUGUGAACCAUCCUUUUUCUUGAAAAAAAGGAUCGGCGCUCCCCAGGGGGAGCUACUGGGACGGAUGAACCCUUUCCCCAACAGCUCUUGCAGCUGUGAGGAUAAAUCCUGCAUCUCUGGCGGUGCCAACCGAUAUGGCGCCUUAGUGAUAGGCGCAUCCCCGGGAAUCAAAUUGAUACGAAACUCCACUUGCCUCUCGGGAGGUACGCCCGACAACUCCUUGGGGAACAUGUCCCGGAACUCACGCACUAUCGGUACAUCAUCCACUGAACUUGGCCUCCCAACGGCCUCUCGUACAUCCGUCACAUAGGCCACGAAUCCCUUGCAGCCCUGCUGCAAACUCCGCCUCGCUCUGGCAGCCGAACAGAAUACCGAACCACCACGAGUCCCCUCGCCAUAAACUGUCAGCACUCCCCCACUAGGAUAUCGGAUCGUCACCAACUGACGCUCGCAAUCUAUGAUAGCCCCGAAACGGCUCAACCAAUCCAUGCCUACUAUGACACAUACAUCCCCUAUAGGAAUCGGAAUCAAAUCAAUCGGGAACUCCACCCUGAAGAUCUCCAGCACGCAUCCACGUAUCACCUUGGUAGCACAUACCUCACGCUCAUCUGCUAUGGAAACCUGCAAAGGUCGACUCAACGCCUCUCUCGGAAUACUAAUGCGCCGACUAAAAGCUAAGGAUAUGAAAGACCGACUCGCACCUGGGUCGAAUAAAACCAAUGCAGAAAAGUACCUACACACAACAUAUAACAAUUACAAUAGCAUAAACUCAACAUAAAAUAGAUAAAGAUUACAUACCCGCCACGACGUCAGGUGCUGCUCGGACCUCCUCCGCAGUCAACUGGAAGUCUCUCCCCUAACCUUCGGUGCUUCGGCCUUCAAUGGCCGGUUCUCGGUAGCUCGAACCACAGGUGCAGAUCCCUGCGCUGAUCACUGAAGCUGGGGGCACUCGGCCUUCCGAUGGCCGGUCUGGUUGCAAUGGAAGCAAACGGAGAACCCCUUCGGACAGUCCCUCGCAAAAUGUCCUUCCGUCUCGCACUUGUAGCAUACUCCAGUCUUGCAAGGCCCGUCAUGACUCUUGCCGCACUUCCCACAAGUGUGGCCCCUUGAACUGCAUGUCCUCGAAUCAGCGGGCUUUGCCCGCUUGGCGGCCGGCUCCGACUGUGCCGGUCGUCGAUCACCCUUCUGCAACUCAGUCUCCUCCCUCGCCUGUGUAUCAAGCUCGAUCUCCCUCUUCCUGGCAUUUUCCUGGAGCUCGGCAAAUGUCCGAUAAGUCGAGUUCGCCACGAACUCACGGAUGUCCCUCCUCAAGAUGCUCAGAUAACGGCUCAUGCGAGCCUGCUCAGUAGACACCAACUUCGGGCAAAACAGUGCCCGCUCAUGAAACAUCCUCGUAAUCACUGUCACCGACUCGGUCCCCUGCUGGAGGGUCAGAAACUCCUGAGCUAAACGUUCCCUAUCCACCUGGGGAACAUACUCGUCACGAAACAUCGCAGUAAACCUCUCCCAGGUCACUGCAGUCAGCUCAGCUGUAGAAUAGCUCGUGGUCACAAAUUUCCACCAGUCCUUCGCCCCCAAGUGAAGGUGGUUGAGUGCGAAUCGCACCCUCAAGUGCUCCGGACAUGAGCACGUAUAGAAACACCCCUCUAUGUCUGAGAUCCACCUCAUAGCGGCGAUCGGAUCCUGUGUACCAUCGAACUCCGGUGGUUUCGUGUUGCUGAACUCUCGGUACAGCAACGAAUCACCACCCUGGGGUCUCGCAGCCGCAACAGCUGCGGUGGCUGCAGCAACAGCAGCAUCAGUCAAAGCAGCGUAACGCUCGUCAAAUGUCUCGAUCAGUGUGGUCUUAAUAGACCCAAACAUCUCCGGAAUCUCGGCUCUGAUGGCAGCGGCCACCUCCUCACAGAUGAUCCGACGGAUCUCCUCAUCGCUCGCCCCACUGCUCUCGGGGUUAUGGCGUGUGCCAACCAUGAUCAACCUCUGAAAUACAACAUAAGAAAUAUCAGGAAUACUCUCGAGUAUACUCACACUCGAUAACUCAAACAUCCUCUCUCCUGGUACUCCCAAGGAUUCUUACUUGGACUGCGCACCAAUCCGGUGUCUUCGAUAGUACGGGCCCAAUACUAUCGUCCACACCGAAUCGAUUUACAACCCAAGUCCUCCUCCUAGGAUCCCAUAUCGUAAAUGCUCUACUCUUGCCAUGCACUGGCUACUCUCAAUAGCCCUCCCCUGAGCUCCUCACUGCUACCUACUCACUCUCUCAAAGUGUCUCCUAGCAGCAGCGAUCUCCUAAGUUAAGGCAUCACAAAUCAAGCCCACUCUAGUCCUAAUAGGAAUACUUGGCCUCUCUAACAUAUACCACAUAAUAUCUCAUAUCUCAUAACAUAUAAUGUAAAGGUAUUUGGGGAUUCACCGUUCGGGCGCUGGCUGACCGUACACACCUUCCACUCUGCUCGUUUCCAAAAACCUCUUUUUCAUUUUAGAAAAUUUUAGUUUUAUUUGAAAAUUCCUCAAAUCCUCGGUUUGAGUUCAAAUACGCCCGAAGGUGCAUCCGAAUCCCUCAAACCAAGGCUCUGAUACCAACUUGUAACAACGUAAAUUUUCAAAAGAAUUUUUCAUUUUCAAAAUCACAUAAUGUAUCACGUCACAAUCAAAAUCCAUAAUCAAUUAUGUUUUCAAAAACAAAUCCCAAGAUCUCUACAUAUGAAAAUCUCCAUUAGUGUGUGUGUACGUGUCAAGCCGUCGCCUUCCCACGGUCCUCACUGGUACCUAAGACAUCAAACAUAAGAACUAUAAGCAGAAAUGCUUAGUAAGUUCCCCAAAUAUACCGCAUACAACACAUACGCCACUCAAGGCUAUAAUAUGACCCUACAGUCGAUAUGUCUCAGCGGGACCCUCUAGUCCCGUACCUCGUUGGAGCCUCUGGUCCGGUCAUAGCUCGUUGGGCCCUCCGGUCCGGUCCGUAUCGUUGGACCCUUCGGCCCGGUCUAUAUCAACAUACAACAUAGACAUAACACAUAGCAUACAAUCUUAUAACUAGCACAUAAUCUCAUACAUGACACAUAAGACCCUCUGGUCAACUCAUAAUACCACUCAAGGUAACGUAUAGUGAGAAGACUCACCUCACGUGUCUCGGUAACUCGUAAAGCUCUCAACCACUAGUGCUUGAUCUCCCGAGCUAUCGUCCUCCUACAACACAGGUGUAUCUUUACUUAAUACUACUUGACUCUGACUGACUAAUACUACUAAGUCAAACCAGUCAACACUGGUCAACGGACAACGGUCAACCCGACUCGCCGAGUCUAGCGUGGACUCGCCGAGUCCCUACAGGAACCCGAUUCCCUCUGGAUCUCUUCCAACUCACCGAUUCACUCACCCGACUCGGUUGCACAGUCCCUGAUCCGAAGUCUCUGAAACACCCGCACCAACUCGCCGAGUCUGGGAUUGGACUCGGCGAGUGCACUCCAUGCACAACCUCAAACGACCUUCUAAGGUCAGAUCCACUCUAGCAACUCAUAUAUCCAGUCCCCUUAAGUUUAUUAACCACGUAAAGUUCGAGUCUUGGUGCUUAAUAGGCAUCAUAUAGCUCAUUAAUGGAGGUGUAGCCUCAAAUACAUAGAUCCCAAUCUAACACCUCCAUGGAUGCACAUAAAGCUUGGGCAAGGAGGUGCUCUGGACCUCUAUAGGUCUAGAUUCAGAGCCAAAACUCGCCAAGGGACCAUAUUGAUGCUAGAUCUAGCCACAAAUGGGUUCAAAAACCCCAAAUCUAUAUGAACAUCACAAUAACAAAGAAGGAUUCGAAUGGUACCUCCGAUGUGAUGUCCUGGACCUUAGCUCUUCAAGAAUCCACCCCUCUCUUGCUUCCUCUUGGCUAGAUCUUCUCUUCCCUUGGUAGACAAUAACUCCAAGAAUCAACAAUGGCUUCUUACCUCACUUGAAUCACUCAAAUGAUCUAGGGUUUCACUCUGGGGACUGGUGAGCACAAACGACGGCCAUAAGGCCCUUUAAAUAGGUCCCAAACCCGAGAAAUUAGGGUUUCGCUAAAUAACGCGGACUCGCCGAGUCCAGGCGCGAACCCGCGUCCAGAAUCACGAUCCUACUCGGCGAGUCUGAGCUCCAACUCGCCGAGUCCCCUCACAAAACAUCAAAAUUGAAAGCAUAAAAGAUACCUGGAAAUCCGGGCUGUUACAAAUAAAUAUUGUUUUGUCACUUUAUCUCAAUGCCUCCUAUGAUUGAUGGAAAAUGAGAUGAAUCGGUGGAGUAAGCGAUGGGUCGGGGACCGAAUACUGCUCUCGGGAGACACUCCGGAAUUAAACAUUCCGGAUGCAAUAUUACGCCAGAAAGAAUACCCAGUGACACCCUCUGCAUAUCCUCUAGCAGCUGCACUAAAAAACAUACCAAAUUCGGGAGUCAUUGCCUCUUGUCGAUCAUAUAGUCCAACUCUCCAUGCAAAUUCAACGAGGCUGCACUCCCGGUACUCACCCCAAACGGAAUACCAAAGCUUGUGGCCAAUGUGGGUAUUGGACAGUUUUCUAAAAUGUCACUGUUGAGAAAAACUCAACAAAAAAUUACUUAUAUACCCACUCUUGGACUCGGAACAGGUUACGCCAUCCAGAACAAGUGAACGAAUACCCAUUUCCAAUAAAUAUUUUUGUAAAAAAUUGGCCCAGCCGGUCUAUGAUCCCAACUUCCCUCAACCGUGUCCAAUUAACUGUUGGAGCAACUGCAAUUUCUCUGUUGUAAAGCCACCCUAACUUGUUGUUCCAUCGGGUUAAGAUGUCGUGGGACAUUGUUGCAGGAAAAUUGUAAAACAGGUGUAAACUUGCCACCCCAAUGGGAGUCUCUCUUCGGGGAGCCAUUACUGCAAAAACAGUAACAAGCAUAUCCAAAAAAAAAUCCAACAAAUUAGAAAUUAAGGAAACUGUAAACUGCUCAGCCCAGGAUUCACGUCGUGAAUUCGUACCCAACAACUAAAAAUCGGGAAAAUCAGGGUACAAAUCAAACCACAUGAAUAAUGGGGUUUACUUCCAUAACAUUUACAAGCAUAAAGCAUCAACAUUUCAAGGCUAUUACAAUACCUUUAAGAAUUAAAUUCGAUUUUUCAUCUAAUGAACAAACCCUAACCCUAAGUUCAACCAUUGAAGAAAAAUUAAACUCAAGAAUGAAAAAUCAUUACCUUAGAUCGUAGUAUUACGUAAGCAUAAAGGAACAUAGAUGAAUUGUCGGCCAAAUUUUAAACAAGGGGGACCAGAUCGUGCGUUUCACUUCGGGGGGAAUAAAGAAAUGAGGUCAAACAGAUUUUAGGCCUUUAUUCUGUGGUCCCGUGCAAUUGAAAACUCACGUCGUGAGUUCUUAAAGAUUCACGUCGUGAGUCAGGUUCCGAGCUUAAAAUUGGGCCAAUUCAACAAAAAAAUGGACUAAGUCUUGGCCUAUUUAUUUAAUAGAAAAUGGGCUGAUAUGCAUCAUUUUUAUAUUAUCCCGCUUAAUCAGAAUUCAUGUCGUGAAUGAGUAACUAUUCACAUCGUGAAUCCUGCAUGAAAUGUAGUUAUUAUCAAAUAAAGUAUGUCUAACAGUUAUCUUCCUAAUUAUCACCACUUCGUUUUUGGGACCCCACAUUUAGUGUUUAAUUAUGUUAUAAUCGAGUUGGAUGAUAUGAUCUAUGUUUUUAAGACUAAAACGCAAAAAGAAAAGAAAAAAAAAUUGCAAACCAAACUCGGGUUGCCUCCCGAGAAGCGCUUCUUUUUCUUGGAGUCUUGAGCUAGAUUCCGUGCAUCCUACGUUGAAUGUCUGAAGAGUCUACCACUAGUGUAGCACCUGGUUCCUGGUACGUAAAUCUUAUUCGAGUAUUCUCCUUCUUUUUCCUUGGACUCGGCGAGUCAUAGGUCCGACUCGCCGAGUAAGGACGGGACUCGAGACAUGUUUAAGUGACUCGGCGAGUCCAUAUUCUGGACUCGGCGAGUCACCGCUGUUGGAUGAAACCCUAAGUUUCAGGGGUUUGCACCCUAUUUAAACAACAUAUCCGCCCCAGGCCAGCCCCCAUUCACCCCCAGAGCUCCCAACCCUCGUUCUAAGCUUGUUCAUUGAGAGUUUGAAGCCAUUGUGUGUGUUCUUGAAGGUUUUGAGGCAAAAGGGGAAGUAGAUCAAGAGGAAGGGAAGGAAUCCAGGCAUCUUUGUACUCCUUCAGCAGUUCCUUUGAGGUAUAAUCUGUUUUCCCCCUGUUUCUAUGCUCAUUACUUCAUUUAAGUCAUUCUUGAGCCAAUCCCCAAGUUUGUAUGUGCAAAUUAUUCCGUAAUAAGCUGAUUGGCCCUUAGAUCUAGGCAUGGUUGAGCUCCAGGAGCUCAGAUCUGUUGCCUUUAUGGACCCUUAUUGCAUGAAGACCCUAGAUCUACCCUUUUGGGUGCAUAUUGAACCCUAAAAUCCAUAUUGGUGAAUAUCUAAACGUAAAGUUGGAAACUUUACGUGUGAUUCGUGUUCUAAGAGUCCAGAUCUGUGAAUGGCAUGGACUGGAAUCGAGCAGAUCUGUGUAUUUAGUGAGUGCAUGGCAACGACUCGGCGAUUCGUUCAUGUGACUCGGCGAGUCUGUUAGCGAGUCUCCGAGUUUGUCCCCGUUUCGUAGCGUCGAGUGAGCAGUGAGUCACGGGGUGUGACUCAGUAGGUCAGAAGUUGAACUCAUCAAUGGAGGAACUCGGCGAGUCAAUGCCCUGACCUGGCGAGUUCAAGGCAAUCUCCUUAGAUCAAGAACAGACUCGGUGAGUUGUUCAUACAACUCGGCGAGUCUUAGCAUAAGUGUUCAUCGGAUGAAGAUGAACUCGACGAGUUGUUCAUACAACUCGACGAGUAGGAUGAAGGACUUGAAUAUCAGUUAGAAGGCAAACUCGUCGAGUCGUCGCCUAACUCGACGAGUAGAAACGGGAUUCAGGGCAAACGUUUGGGUAGGGACUCGGCGACUUGGAAAGCCAACUCGGCGAGUCGGGUCAGCUGGAAGUUGACUCUGACUUUGACUUAGGUCAUGAGCAGGGGUAAAAUGGUCAUUUUACCCAAAGGACAGUUAGCAAUGUUUGAUUGAGUAUGUUGUGGGAAUUGCACCUGGAAGAUUUCCGGAGCAGCAGCAGCAGCAGUAGAUAGUCAGUUCCCACUCAGAUUAGCAGCUACUUCGAGGUGAGUUACCUUCUAGUAGCGGUGGGUCUACAGCCACAAUGCCGGCCCACCAGUAGGAGUCGUAUGUUAGAUGAUUGUCUUUGUAAUAUCAUCUAGGUUGCUACUAUCUGGUAUGUUAUAUGCUAGCAUGAUAUGUUAUAUGAGAUAAUAGUAGAGUUCGGUUGUUAGGACCGGAGGGUAGUCAGACACCCCAGAAACGUCUGACAGUACGUGAUGAUAUGUUUGCAUGUUGUCCUGUUAUGUUAUAUGCGAUAGAGGUAGUAGGAGGGGACUAGUCCCCGAGGAUCAGUUGUUAGGACCGAUGGGUAGUCAGCACCCCAGAAUGGAUUGACAUCGGUAGUCAGCACCCCAGAAUGGCUUGACACGAGUAAUCAGCACCCCAGAAUGGCUUGACAUGGGUAGUCAACACCCCAAAAUGGCUUGACACGGGUCUACAGCCACAUUUAGAUCAUGUUGAGGGCAAUUUCUGAGCAAGCCCUUGUACCGCUCCCAUGCUUCAUAUAAUGACUCCCCCGGCUGCUGUUCAAAGUUGGCUAUUGCCUUCUUGAGUUUAGCUAUCUUGGAUGGUGGCAAAACUAGUCAAGAAAUUGCUCACGCAUUUGAGCCCAAGUGGUGAUUGUACCCGGUGGAAGUGAUUUUAACCACUCUUUAGCAGCUCCCUUGAAAGUAAUGGGAAGCAUCCUGAGCAGUACGGUGCUUCUAUUGAAAUUUGGGACAUUGAAGUAAUCCGCAAUGUUAUUGAAUCCAUAUAGAUGCUUAAAAGCAUCCUCAUGAUCUUUCUCAUAGAAUGGGAUUUCCUUCAGUGCAGUCAAGAUGGCCCCUUCAGCUCGAAUGUGGCAGUAGCAGGUAUUGCGGGUUGGACUAAACCGGGACCCACAUCUUCUUCGAUCCACUUCUUGUAAGCUCCCAUGGACAUCUCUUCAAUGUCUUCCAUCUCAUUCCUUGGCUCGUUCUCGGGUUCGCUCGUAUGUUCUUCAAAUUCAGGAUCAGUAUCAUAUUCGGAUUCGGUUUGGACGGGUAUUUGAUCCAAGUGUUGAAGCUUGCUCUUGUUCUUUGAGUAUGAACUUGACUCUCCUGUCUUCUUUCCGACUUCCUUGAAAAUUCUGACUUUAGUUCUUGCAAUGGCGUCUUCUUAACAGUCUUUUUAUGAAGUUCAACUUCUGGAUCUUCAAUCGGUGGCACCAAAGGUGUUGUAGAACCUCUGGUCAUGAACAUUACAACUCGAUAAAACGAAAACGUAAAACAGAACUAAAAUAAGAAAAUACUAAAAACUAAAAAUUACAGCUCUCACGUUGUGAGUUUAUAAAGCUCACGUCGUGAAUUCUGUGACAGAAACAAAAAUCAAAAUUUUUUUGCUAAAAUAAUAUGCUAAUAAACAAAAAUAAAUAACUAAUUAACUUUUUGCAGAUUUUAUCCCCCAAAAAGGUCGAUUAAUCUAAUGCAACUAAAUAAACUAAUAAACUGGUCGUUCCCCGGCAACGGCGCCAAAAACUUGAUGUGCACGAAAGUACCCACUAAUUUUAAUAUUUAUAACCUAACAAACUUAGACUAACUAUGCACUUAUAGGCAGUGUACCUAGUCAGAUUACAGUAUAGCUUGGGUAAGUUAGGUGUCGAUCACAGGGAACGGUGUUAUUAAUUUAUAUAUUCACUACUAAAUUAAUCUAAUUAUUAAUAAGCUAAAAGGGGUUUGUAUCUAAUUUUUCAAGUUUAGAUAAACUUAAUUCUUUAACGAAAACUCAAUCAAUAAACAAAAUACUUCUAUUAGUUCGAAUCCACUUUCACUUAAUGGUUAUACAUUAGUCAAGACUAUUACCGUUGGUUACCAAUUUAAGAAGUAUUAGCAGUUUAGUUCUAAACCUACUAAUUAUUAAUCAAUUCAUGUAAAUCUAUGUAUAGUCACACAAUAGUUAACACAAAAUCUAUUAUUAAGUAGGAUUGGAGCUAUGAAGAUUGAUUAAUCAAAACACAAUUACAUCAUAAUAUGAGUUCUCUAACACAACUUAAUUCAAUGAUUCAAUUACUUAUCUAAGAUUGGUUUGAUCUUAGCUCUAAUAAACUAGUGUUCACUUUGUUAUUCGGUAUUCAUAUUCAUGCAGAUUUGUGUUCACUAACUACAUAGAACAAGAAUUUAAAGCAAUUAAAUCAUCAAAAAUACAUGCUAGGUAAAAUCAAUCAACACAAGCACAUAACCAACAAAUAAAUUCUAAUCUAAUGCAUUCAAACCAUGAGUUCCAGCUUCAUCUAGCUAACAGAAGCAGCUAGAUUUAGCUGGACAUAUUAACAACUAAACAAUCAAAAGCUAUAAUCAAACAGAUGAUAAAUGUACCAAGUUUAUCAAGCAAAUUAGGAACUUCCUCUUCUUUGGUGUUGAAAACCACUUCCAGAUCUAUUUUUUUGAUGGGUUUUAGCCAAAACAACAUCCUAUGUGCUCAUGCAAACCCUAAUGCUUGGAUGUAGGUUUAUCUAUUGUAGAUGCAAUUCAUCCAAGACUUUAAACCCUAGAUCUAGCAUACAAUUAAUCAAAUUAACUUAUGAAUGUGGUUUAGAUCUUAGCUUGAUUGUUAUGUAGCAAUAACAAUCUCAAAUCCUCCUUGUAAUGACUUUAGAAAGCUUAGAGUCACAAAUGUCACUCCUCUAAUGGUUCACAAACACCAAGAGCAAGAGGAUGAAGAAUAAGGAGAGAGGAGGUUGCCCAAAAUGUGUGGAAACCCUAAGGAAUAAGUUCACCACGUUUUUUAGUCUCAAGGGUCCUUUAAAUAGUGAGGUUAUUAGGGUUAUCUAACAAGGAAACCCUAAUUUCGAUGCUUAAGCCCUAAGCAACCCAUGGACUCCUUCCUUAGAGGCCUAGGACGAUUUCUAAUGGGUUUCCCCAUAGAAUUUGUCCACCCCUCUAAUAUGGAGUCCAUUCGCUCAAUAUUCAACUAUCACACAAUUAACAGUUCUAGUCCCUUAAGCUUAAUUAAUGUCUUUUAGCCACAAACUUAAUUCUUAUUAAUUCUUGACUAAUAUUAAUUAAACAAUAUGAUUUCUCCUUAAAUAUAUAUUUCUCAUAAUAUAUUAAUAAAUCAUAAUUAAUCCUCUCUUCUCCAUAAUUCAUCCUAUCAAGUUGCUUUGGUGAAAGCAACCCAAAAGGACCAUGCAUCAUCGACUCAAGUACAUACCAAAAUAGUUAUGGACUUAGACACUAAUCCAACAUUUUUCCCUUGAAAUUCACCUUCUGGAAUCUCUUUCUUCUGCCAAAAGUCUGCUCAAUUUGUAAUGGUAUUGGAUAUAUAUAGUUUUUUUUUAUUUUAAUAAUUCACGUCGUGAACAAUAAAAUAUUCACGUCGUGAAUACAAGAUAACCGUUUCCGGCAAGGAUUCCUUCACCCGCGUAGGUAUCUUCCAGAACAUAUGCUCACGUCGUGAAUCUUCCAGUUCUCAUGACGUGAAAACGCUUUUUCUUGAUUUUCUUGUCCUUUAAUCUUUUAACUCCCAAAGUUUCUUCCUUUAACGUUUUUAGUCCCUUUUCUUCAAAAUGUCUUCUUUUUUGCUGCAAAUAACAUUUAAACCCAUAAGUACCAUUAUUCUAAUCAAAUUACCAACUUAUAUAUAAAAAUGUACCUCAAUAUUGCCUAAAAAUAGGUAUAAAUAUGGCAAUAUCAGUUACCACAUUUGUUCUGAUUUGCAUGGACUAGGAAGAAAUAGGGAUGUGUUGCUUGGAAGAAUAAAUCUUAUCAUGGGUAACAAAAGAUCGUUGCCUGUUACCAAGAUUGGAGUGUAUUCUUUAGUGCUUAGUAAUGGAUUGAAUUUAGAUUUAAAUAAUUGUUGCUGCUCGCCAGAUAUGACAAGAAACAUCAUUUCUUUUCAUGGUUUAUUGAGACAACAAUUUAGAUAUUCGUUUAAUAAUGAGAAUGGUUCGAUUUAUUCUUAUCUAAAUGGUGUUUUCUAUUUUGAAGCAAUGCCUUGUAAUGGAAUUUAUGAAACUGUUAUGGUUGUAGAUAACCUUGGAAAUGAUGUGUUGUGUGUGGAUUCUUCCAAUAGUAUGGAUAAAGCAUCCUUGUGGUAUUGUCGUCUUGGACAUGUCAACAAGAAGCGCAUAGCCAAACUCUAAAAGGAUGGAGUGUUGGAGUCAUUUGACAUUAGGGAAGAUGACACGUGCGAAUCUUGUUUACUUGGAAUGAUGACCAAGCCACCCUUCACUGACACUUGUGAGAAGGGUGAGGGUUUAUUGGAUCUCAUACACACCGUCGUGUGUAGGCCCUUUAGAUCCACCACAAAGGAUGGGAACCACUUCUACGUGACUUUUACCGAUGAUUAUAGUAGAUAUCGGUAUAUUUACUUAAUCAAGCACAGGUCGGAAAUGUUUGAAAAGUUCAAAGAGUUCAAACAUGAAGUGGAGAAUCACAUGGGCAGGAAAAUCAAGAUGCUUCGAUCCGAUCGAGGAGGAGAGUACCUAAGUCUUGAAUUCCACGACUAUCUCAGGAAUACAGAAUAGUUUUGCAAUUGAUGCCACCUAGGACACUGCAGUUGAAUGGUGUGGCAGAAAGGCGUAAUCGAACCCUGUUAGACAUGGUUCGUUCUAUGAUGAGUCGUGCCUCACUACCUAUCUCAUUUUGGGGGUAUGCCUUAGAGACUGCUGCCCAUAUCCUGAACCGAGUCCUUACAAAGAAGGUUGCCAAAACACCUCAUGAGAUGUGGACAUGGAAAGCUCCCUCGUUGGCACAUAUCAAGGUUUGGGGUUGUGAAGUUUUCAUAAGACGAGAAACUCACAACAAGCUCAAACCUCAUAGUGAGCGAUAUAUUUUCAUCAGCUACCCACAGAAAUCCUUUGGAUAUCUCUUCUAUAGACCGAGUGACAAUCUUGUCUUCGUUGCGAGGAGAGGGGUUUUCCGAGAGCGAGAACUCAUAAGCCAAGGAGACAGUGGGAGGCAAAUCGAUCUUGAAGAAAUUCAAGAGUCAAGAGAUGAAGAAACCUCUAACGCUGGCGCUCAACCUGAGGAGGAAACUCCGAUUGAACCAAUUGACGAGUCCUUACCUCUUAGACAUUCCGAAAGAGUUAGAGUUCAACCCCAAUUUUAUGGCUUUCAUAUUACUACUGAAGGGGACGCGUAUAUUAGUGAUGGUACACUAAUAAAUCUAUAAGAACCUAAUAGCUAUAAGGAAGCCAUGGCAGGCCCAGAGUCUGCAAAAUGGAAAGAGGCAAUGGACAGGGAGAUUCAGUCCAUGUAUGACAACCAAGUUUGGAAUUUGGUUGACAAUGUGCCCGGACGUAAGACGGUUGGGUGCAAAUGGAUCUUCAAGAAGAACACCGACGUGGAUGGGAAUGUGCACACGUACAAGGAACGACUGGUUGCGAAGGGCUUUACUCAAACUCCCGGAGUUGACUAUGAGGAGACCUUCUUGGCAGUUGCCAAAAUUAAGUCUAUUAGAGUGAUAUUAGCCCUUGCCGCAUUUAAUGAUUAUAAGAUAUGGCAGAUGGAUGUCAAGACCGCUUUCCUUAAUGGAUAGUUGGCUGAGGAUGUUUACAUGCCUCAGCCAGAGGGUUUUGUCGAUCCGAAGCAUCCCAAUAGAGUGUGCAAGCUUGAGAAGUUUAUUUAUGGACUUAAGUAAGCAUCUCGCAGAUGGAAUCUUUGCUUUGAUGAGCAAGUCAAAGAGUUUGGAUUUGUACGAAGUGAGGAUGAAUCAUGUGUAUAUGUCAAGGCCAUUAGGAAUAUAGUUAGCUUCCUUAUUUUGUAUGUUGAUGACAUACUGCUCAUAGGAAAUGACAUCACGACUCUGCAGGAAGUUAAGUCCUGGCUCGGGAAGUGCUUCGCUAUGAAGGACCUUGGAGAGGCUUCCUAUAUUUCGGGAAUAAGGAUAGUGAGAGAACGAAGUAAGAGACUAAUAGGACUUAGUCAGAAUACUUACAUGGAUAAGAUACUAAAACAUUUUAGUAUGGAAAACUCGAGGAAGGGAGAACUACCAAUACAGAGUAAUGCCAAAUUGAGUAAGACUCAAAGUCCGAGUAUAGAAGCCGAGAUAGAUCAGAUGUGCCGAGUACCCUACGCUUCCGCAGUUUGCUCAAUCAUGUAUGCUAUGACUUGUACUCGCCCUGAUGUGGCCUUUUCCUUAAGCAUGGUCAGUAGAUAUCAAGGGAACCCAGGCAGAGCUCAUUAGAUUGCGGUCAAGAAUAUACUUAAGUACCUUCGGAGGACCAAGGAAUGGUUUUUAGUCCUCGGAGGGAGUGAUGACUUAAAGGUGCGAGGGUAUAGUGACGCAAGCUUCCAGAUCGAUAGGGACAACUACCGUUCGCAGUCGGGCUGGGCCUUUACCCUUAAUGGAGGAGCAGUGACUUGGAAACGUUCCAAGCAAGAGACCGUAGCUGAUUCAACGUGAGAAUCAGAGUACAUUGCAGCGAGCAAAGCGUCAAAGGAGGCGAUGUGGUUGAUGAACUUCAUUGGUGACCUUGGAGUUGUACCUGCCCUAAAGGAGUGUAUGGAAAUUUUCUGUGAUAAUGAAGGAGCGGUUGCCUUGACCAAGGAACCGAGGGAUUAUGGUAGAUCUCGACAUAUCGAUAGAAAAUAUCACAUUAUUAGACAUUGAGUGGAAGAAGGACACCUCGUAGUAAAGAGGGUAUCAUCAGAGGAUAACCCAACAAAUCCGCUUACGAAGGGACUGAGUAGGGUUAAGCAUUUGCAGCACGCUAGGAGCAUUGGGCUGAAAGACGAUAUUAGUUUAGAUUAGAUAGUUUUGGAAACAUGUAAUAGAUAAAUGUAAUUGACAUUUGAUGAUUAAAUAAAGGAGUAUUAUUUGUGAAUAAAGCUACUGUCUUAUGUUAAUUGUUUAUCUAUUGUUUCACUUUGCAUGUUUUGACUUCCUGAAUAAUUGAGUUAUUAAGAAUAAUCGAAUUAUUCAAAUGGUCCACAAUCGUUCAUAUGUUGUAAGUAGGUAUGAAUGAACAUUGUCAUGAAUUGGUGUGUAGAUUGUCUAAAAGUUAUUAGACAUAACAAAGGUUUGCUGCAACAUUCAUGAGUGUUUAUGAACAAGUUUUGAGCAUUGGAAUAAACCCGCGCUUGUUGGAAUCACUUUAUGGAAUGUGACACAAGUGAUCGCAAGACGAUAAUAUCAUAUGAUCUUAAAACCAAGAUAUAUGGUUUAUUGUUUAUUAAUUGGUUGUGCAUUGACAAUGCGAAACCGCAUCAGUAAAUAGAUAUCAUAAAAGGCAUUGUUGUGUGUAGUUGAUUAGUAAAUAGUGAAUGCAUAUAAGUCAAAGUUUAUCUCUUACUUUUAUCCUAAGAGAGUAAAAGCGAUAUCAGGGCCCCUCGAUGAUUUGAUUUGACUUAUGUGUGGAGCCCGGUCAGGACUAAAUUGAUGUGUUCAAUUAAGUUCUAUGUCAAAUGAAUCUGAAAUCGAGAAAUGAACUGCUGGACAAUAAGUUCCAUGAGAUUGUCCGCACAAUAUCUAAACAGAGGACUGUACGAUCCCUUAUCUAAAGGGCAGGAUACUGAUAAGAUUAGAGUUUGACAGCGUCUUUGAGAGCUACGAUUGCUAAUCGGAUUGUGUUUGCAUAUAUAUACUACACUUAUCCAAGUGGGAGACUGUUGGAUUAGUGUCUAAGGCUGUAACUAUAUUUGGUAAGUACUUGACCCAGUUGUGCAUGGUCCUUUUGGGUUGCCUUCACCAUAACAACUUGAUAGGAUGAUUUGUUAAGAGAGAAGACAUAUUAUUGUUAAUAUGUUAUGAGAGUAAUAUAUUAAAGGAAUAAUAAUGUUAUUUGAUUGAUAUAAGUCAUUAAUUAAUUGAGAAUUAAUUUAAUGAUUUAAAGAGAUUAAUUGAAUAAAGGGGCAUAAACUGUCAAAUGUGUGAUAGUUGUGUUUUGGGCUAUGUAUCCUGAUGGAUAUAAGGGUUGAUGGAUUUUAGGGUUGGUAGACCUUAAAAUCAUCCUAGCCUAAUAUCUAGGAGGAUCUUUGGAUUGCUUAGGGCCUAAGUUAUUCAAUUAGGGUUUAGGGUGAAACCCUAGUAGCUCAUAGUAUAAAUAGAUCCCUUGGGUGAGGGAAAUUGGCAUUCAUGCAAGGCAAGAAACCCUAGAGACGAUUUCUUACCCUCCUCUAUCUCUCUCUCUUUCAAGAUCAUCCUCUUGCUACUUGGUGUUUGUAAGCCAUUAGAGGAAUGACAAUUGUGACUCUAAGCUCAAAGAACAAGAAGUUUCAUGCAAGCAACUUAAGAUAUUAUUCUAGAUCUUUCUUUAUACGAUAUGAUUCAAUUGUUUACACUAGAUCUAGAAUUGUAAGCCUUGGAUACAUUGCAUGUUCAAUUAGAGAAACCCAGAUCCAAGCAUUAGGGUUUGCAUGUGCACAUAGGAAAGUUCUUAUGGCUCAAACCCAUCAUAUGUCUACUUAAUCAAGCAUAAGUUACAAACCUUUGAAAGGUUUAAAGAAUUUAAACAGGAAGUGGAAAAGAAAUUGGGCAGGAACAUUAAGAUGCUUCGAUCUGAUCGAAGUGGUGAGUAUCUUAGUACUGAGUUCCUUGACUAUCUUAAGGAAGGUGGGAUUGUAUCACAAUUGACUCCUCCCAGGACACCACAGCUAAAUGGUGUAGCUGAGAGGCGUGAUCGAACAUUGUUAGACAUGGUUCACUCUAUGAUGAUUUGAGCUUCGCUACCAAUCUCUUUUUGGUGGUAUGCCUUAGAGACUGCCGCCCAUAUCAUUAAUCUAGUCCCUUGAAAGAAGCUUGCCAAAACACCUCAUGAGAUGUAGACUGGGAAGGUUCCCAGUUUGGACCAUAUCAAGAUUUGGGGUUGUGAAGUUUUUGUGAGGUGUGAGACUCAUGAUAUGCUCGAACCCCGAAGUGAAAGGUGUAUUUGAAUCGGCUACCCACAGAAAUCCUUCGGUUACCUUUUCUAUAGAGCCAGUGAGAAUGUAGUCUUUGUAGCAAGAAGAGGGGUAUUUUGUGAGAGAGAGUUUAUAAGCCAAGGAGACAGUGGGAGUAAAAUUGACUCUGAAGAAGUUCAAGAAUCAAUUGGUGAAGGAACCUCAAACACUAGCAAUCAACUUGAGGAGGAAACUCCUGUUGAGCCAGUUGACGAGUUUGUGCCUCCGAGGCGUUCCACACAGGUUAGGAACACACCUGAGUUUUAUUAUGGUUUUCAUAUUACUAUGGAGGGUGAUACAUUUAUCAGUGAUAGUACACUGGUAAAUUUGGAUGAACCUAGCAGUGUUAAGGAAGCCAUGGCAGGCCCGGAGUCUGCUAAAUGGAAGGAGGCUAUGGACAGUAAGAUACAGUCCAUGUAUGCCAAUCAAGUUUGGAACUUGGUUGACAAUGUACUAGGUUGUAAAAUAGUCGGGUGCAAAUGGAUCUUCAAGAAGAAGACCGACAUGGAAGGAAAAGUGCACACUUAUAAGGCUCGACUGGUUACGAAGGGUUUUACUCAGACUCAUGGUAUUGAUUAUGAUGAAACCUUCGCACCGUUAGUAAUGAUUAAGUCUAUCAGGGUUAUGCUAGCCAUUUCUGCAUUUCAAGAUUAUGAAAUAUGGUAAAUGGAUGUCAAAACCACUUUUCUUAAUGGAAAGUUGGUUGAGGAUGUGUACAUGAAUAAGCCAUAGGGUUUUGUCAGUGCAGAACUUGUAGUUGGAAUCUUUGUUUUGAUGAGAAGGUCAAAGAGUUUGGCUUCUCGAGAAGUGAAGUUGAGUCUUUCGUGUAUGUCAGAGCUAGUGGGAGUAUAGUUAGCUUCUUGGUACUGUAUGUAGAUGACAUACUACUUAUAGGAAAUGACAUCCCAACCUUGCAGGAGGUUAAGUCCUGGCUUGGGAAGUGCUUUGCUAUGAAGGACCUAGGGGAAGCUGCCUAUAUCCUCGAGAUAAGGAUAUUAAGAGAAAGGAGUAAAAGAGUAAUUGGACAUAGUCAGAGUACCUACUUGGAUAAGGUUUUCAAAAGGUUCAACAUGUAGAAUUCUAAGAAAGGAGAUUUACCGAUCCAAAGCAAUGCCAAACUGAGUAAGACUCAGAGUCUGGGUACAGAGGCUGAGAUAGCAGAGAUGAGUAAAUUACCGUAUGCUUCCGCUGUAGGCUCGAUCAUGUAUGCUAUGACUUGUACACACCCUGAUAUGGCGUUUGCUUUGAGCAUGGUCAGCAAAUAUUAGGGGAACCCUGGCAUGGCUCAUUGGAUUGCGGUAAAGAACAUUCUCAAGUACCUGCGGAGGACUAAGGAUUAGAUCCUUACCGUUGGUGGGAGUGAUGACUUGAGAGUAUUAAGGUAUAUUGAUGCUAGUUUUCAGACUGAUACAGAUAACUUUUGCUCUCAGUCGGACUGGGUCUUUACCCUAAAGGGAGGGGCAAUCUCUUGGAAGAGUUCCAAGUAGGAGACGGUGGCUGAUUCGACUAGUGAAUCAGAGUAUAUAGCAACGAGUGAAGCAGCAAAGGAGGCGAUAUGGCUGAAGAACUUCAUCGGAGACCUUGGAUUUGUACUAGCUAUUAAGGAGCCUAUGGAGAUUUUUUGUGACAACAAUAGUGUGGUUGUCAUGAAUUGCGUUUGUAGAUGGCUAUAGGUGUUUAGACAUAGCAAUGGUUUCUACAACUUUCAUGAGUGCUCAUAAGUUAUGAGCAUUGGAAUAAACCCACACUCACUUGUAUCACUUCAUGGAACUUAUCUCGAGUGAUCGUGAGACGAUAAUUUCAUGUAUGUCUUCAAACCUAGAGAUAUGAGUUGUUACCUAUGAGUUGGUUGUGCAUUGAUUGCACGAAAACGCAUCAGUAACCUGACGUUAUAAAAUGUGACUUUGUGUGCAAUUCAACAAGUAGUAGAACAAGCAUAUGAGUCGAAGUUUAUCUGUUCCUUCUAGAAAUAGAAGCGAUAUCUGGGCCCCUCGAUGAUUUUGUGUUGACCCAUGUACCGGGCCUGGUCAGAACUAAAUUGAUGUGUUCAGUUAAGUUCUUUGUCAAACAAAUCGGAAAUCGGGAAGCAAUUUCCAGAUAAUAAGUAAGACAUUGUUCCAUGUAUUUGUCCGGCUGAUAUCAUAGAACAGAGGAUUUUAUGAUCACUUAUCUAAAAUGGCGCUUCAUAGUUCAACAGAGUUUUCAAGAGCUACGAUUUCCGGUUGGUUCCAGAAGUAAUAUACGCAAAUACAGUUAUUAGACUUAUCCAAGUGGGAGGCUAUUGGAUAAGGUGUCUAAGUCCAUAACUUAUUUGGUAUACACUUGACCCGACCCGGCAUGGUCCAUUUGGGUUGCACUUCACCCAAACGAUUUAUGGGUAAUAUUAUGAGAAUUGUAUAAUUAUGUUUUAUUAAUAUAUUAUAAGUUAUAAUAUAUGAAUAUAUAUUCAUGUUAUUUAAUUGUGUUUUUAAUCUUAAAUUAAUUAUGAAUUCAUUUAGUGAAUAAAAGGAAGACUAAUUAAAUCAUGGACUAUUAUAUUUAUAUGGUGUGGGCUAACACUCAUUUGGGAAUGGGCUUAGCUUAUAUGGAAGUCCAUGGAUGAUCCACGGAGCUUUUAAUUCAUCGAUCAUUGGAAGAGGAAAAGACAUGGGUUAUUAGGGUUUACCCAAAUCAUCUACACUAUAUAAAUAAGCCUAUGUUGCAUAAAUUGACACCCUAGUGUGUGUGAGAAGUGGUGGCCGAUUUCUAGUGCAAAGUAUACACUUUCAUAAGGUUUUCCAAGUUUGUGGUGAUUUGUGAUUUCCAUUUGAGGCAUUCACAUUAUUGGUGCUGGGCUCUCAAACUCCAAGGAAUCAACACUCAUCAAAAGGUAUGUAAUUCAUCUAGUUGUUUUAUGUUUAAAAGUUCCCCAUGCCAUGCUAGAUAAGUUAUAAACCUUGGAAAGCAAAUUUUGCAUGUAUUUUUAGACAAACAUAGAUCCAAGGUUUAUUAGGGUUGCAUGUACACUUAGGAAGUGUUAGAAUGCUCAAAACCCAACAUCACUAACAUGUUUUAUGCCAAUAAAUCUCUCCAUAACAACCCCUUGACUAUUGAUGAACCAUAAAACCAAUUCCAUUUUCUCAUUACAAGACACGUCACAAGAUUUUUCUGCUAAAAUAGCAAAAAAAUCAUCUCCAAUAUCUUUCAUGAUAACUUUGCUAGUUUCCAUUGCAGUUGCAUGUACUAUGUCGUUUUUAAUAGAGCCACUUUUCAUUUGUAAAUUUUUUUGGAGCAUUAUUUAAAACCACGUGACCUACUUUAUCAUGAACCCUAAAGGAUAAUUACUUUAAUUAAUAUGGUCUUAUCUUUCAUCAUGACCCUUAAAAGAGAAUCCUUGUGGCGAUAAGAAUCUGACACAAUCAAUAGAAGCUUUUAAUCUUAUACGGUGAUAAGUUUUCAUCAAAAUGUUUUGCUUAACAAAAGCAUUGGCUAUGGAUUGUUUUUAGUUUAUCAAAUUUUGACAUUUUUGUACUGCCAUAUUAUGUGGACUUCCAUCAUUGUGAAGAUCCAAGCUCGAUCUCUUGUUCCAAGUAUUAAAUACAUUUUUCACAAAAUGAUCAGAACCACCUUGGUUUUUAAUCUACGAUUUGAAUUGAUAACAUAAACAAAAUCCAGCCUCUGGCUUUAUACUAUAAUCUAUCCAAUAUUUAUUAGAAUCAAACCAAGAGGUAUUAAAUCUACAAAGACUACCUCUAAUCUCCCUUUCUUGGAAAGAUUGACUAUGUGGUUGGUAAGGUCCUUUUUGCAAGUAGGCUCAUGUAAUUUCAUUUCGUUGAUUUACAUGAUAAAGUUCCAUUCUAUGUCUUUCUCCAGCAUCUGUGGGGAGCGUAUUUAAAUCAACUUUUAUGUAUUUUGAAAAAGGAGUUUGUUUCUCAUACUUUCCACGUUGUAACACUCAUAAAAAUCAUGAUAAAUUAAAACUUUUUUUAAAACAAACAAACUUCACAAAUUGUUUGCAAACAUAGUUUCAAAAGCAUUUCAGCAUCAGAGUUCCCAAAAUCAUAAGUCCAAAACAUGAGGAUGUGUACGGUCACACCUUCGCUUUCUCACGGUCAUCUAAAGUACCUGAAAGACAAGCCAAAACUGUAAGCCAACACUUAGUGAGUUUCCCCCAAAAUACCAACACAUAACCAAAUAACAUAUAUNACACACACACACACAUAUAUAUAUAUAUACACACAUACACACAUACACACACACACAUAUAUAUAUAUAUAUAUAUAUGUAUGUAUACACACAAUAUCAACAUGUCGAGUCCAAUCAACCAUAGGGUUCGAAUACCCCAGGCCCCGCAAUCAUCAUGUUGGAAUGCUAAUACACUAUGGGUCCAGUUAACCAUCUGGUUGGAAUACCCCAGGCCGAUCAACCAUCUGAUUGGAAUGCCAAUACACAACGACUCCUUUCAUCCUCAUGAUGGAAUACCCUCACGCCCACUCAACCAUCGGUGUGGAAUUCCCCCGGUCUGUUGGCUUAUGCACAUAGCAGUAAAGCCACAACCAUCAACGAAAUAUGUGCACAUAUAUAUAACAGAUCAAAACAUAGUCAACCAACAGACAAUAGACAGAUCAACUGAUUAGUGAGCAUAGCAGCAUUGUAUAUAUCAUGAUAUCAAUCUAAUAGAUCACUACAACACAAUAGCAUGCAUACCAGGAUAUCAAUCUAUAGGGCCGUCAUUGGUGCCUUCGACCUGAAAGUACAGUGUGGAAAACUCACCUCACAACAUAACAGAAGCUGAUAAGGUCUUGAAUCAGAAUCUCAGCUCUCUAACUAAAACCUAUUUCCACCACUGACCAAUUUCCAUCAAAAUCCCAAAAUACCAUCAAGGUCAAACUUGGUCAAGGUAAAAGUCAACUGGUAAAACCUACUAUGUUAACUGAGCUAACCCGGCCAACUCAACUCAUCCGGGCUGACCCAACAUUGCAGUUGACGACCAUCAGGGUGGUCAACCGAGUACAUGGGGUGUACUUCGAGUAUGCGGGAUGUACCCUUGCAACCCCAAAAAUCCCACUAAGAGCUAAAUGGCUUAAGCUCCUUUGAAUAAACUUCUGAUCCAUAGGGAAAAUACACUCUAGAGUAACAAAGUUUCCAACUUUAUCAAUUUACAUUUCCAUAAAGUGAUUAACUCAAGGUCUUAAUCCAUUAAGACCAUCUAGAAGAUGCAUGGAGCAAAACUAACCAUUGGGAGUUCCUUUUUAUGACUUAGGAUCCCUUCUAGGGUGAGAAAGGAAAACUCAAAUCGUAACGAACAUGCACGCUCAAGAUAAGAAAUUUUGGACCAAAAAGUAUCUCUAAAACACCCUUUUCCAAAUCUACAUGAUUGAAAGACAAAUAUGUAAUCUUUAUGUCACACCCCCAAACCAAGACAUCGGAAACAUUUGGGGGUGGAGGAUAUCAUCUACAUUAUAACAACAAUUGCAUCAUAGUAAUCAAAGUAAACACAACCAUUACAUUGAGUAUAUAAGGUAUUUACAUUUGUUUGAUUCGUAGUUUGUAUAAACCAAAAGUGUAACAAAAGUAUCAAAGAGGCGACUCUAAAAGCCCUAUCUUCUUAAAAGCGUGUGGGUGUACCUCUAUACUGGUUCCCUGAUGUCACACCCCGAAAACCAAAGGCGGAAACGUUCCCGGGGUUGACUCCACGUUGAGUAUCAAAUCCAAUGUACAUAGUAAUCACAGUAAACAACCAUUACAUUACAUAUAUAUGAAAGUUUACAUUUGGUUCAAAAGUAAUUUGUACAAAAGUUAUACAUAUAUCAUAUGAACAAAACGAGACGAGUCUUCGGAGCAUUCCGUCUUCAUCAGAAGAUAUCGCCGGCUACCUGUCUAACUUGGACCUGAGAAUACAAGCAGUUUGAAAAUCAGCAUAAAGCUGGUGAGUUCAUAAGCGGUUUUGUUUUAUGAAAUGUAUCGGUUUCCUUUAGUUUUUCCGAAAAGGUUUGUUAUCCAAGAAAAUCCCAUAUUUUCUUAUGUUAAAUAGUUUCGAUAUCUUUCAUUACAGUUCAGUUAUGAUAUACGUUAACCCCAGGAAAAUCCCAUAUUUUCCUAAAUACAAGAUUGAUUAAAUGACACAGAGUAUAGUUUAAUAUACAAAACUAUAAUUUAGACGAACUGUAGAUAGAAUGUAUUUUGAAAACCUUGGGACUAACAUCCCAAACCAGUUAUAAGAUAAUUCGAUAAAGACCAUGGGAUCACUAUCCCGAAAAUAGAUAUAAGAUAGCUUGAUAAAACCAUGGGAUUAUCAUCCCGUAUAAGAUUUAGUUUCAAAACCAUGGGAUUACCAUCCCGAACGAGAUAUAGACACAAGAUCAUGGGAUUAUCAUCCCGAACGAGAUAUAGACAUAAAACCAUGGGAUUACCAUCCCGAACGAGAUAUAGAUACAAGACCAUGGGAUUAUCAUCCCGAACAAGAUUUAGAUUCUAAACAAAAUCCUAGCUGUGAAUAAGUUUAUAUUAAUACGUAUUGUGAGUCGGGUAACCAUGCUGAUAUGACAACGAGACCUCCUUGACGUUAGUCAGACGUCGAAUGAUAUACAGAAUUUGUCACCCCAGGCGUGCCCGCCUAACUGUAGCUAGCAGUUAAGGUGUGGGAUUGUCAGUCCCGAAUAGAUCUAUUCACAAAUUCCUCGCUCUCCCUCCAGGAGACUCUGGUUACACUUCCGGAGAGGAUUUACUUGAUCAUCCAUAAAGGGUAGUGACUAUCUCACAAGCUAGUAUUAAACUAUUCACAGGAUUCUCAUACGAUAACAGACAUACAAAGAUUUUAAGACAUGAUACAGUGAAAAUAGUUACAUACAAGAAACUAUCUGGCAAUACAUUCAAAUGAUACGGAGAUAAACUGAAUCAGACAUAGUUUAUCUAAUAACUUAAUACAGAUAUCAGUACAUGAUAUAAAGAGAAACAUAGAACCCCAAAUUAUUCCCAUAAUAAUUUGAUUAGUUUGGUUAUUUUCUUAACUAAAAUCCAUUUAGUUGUAAUUGAUAAAUCAUUCCUUAUGCUCAACAUAAUACAUAAGGAGUAAAAGAGUUUAUAAGUUUGCCAGAUAUUAUUUGAAAUACAUCAAUGUUAUAAUUCGAAAACAGUUAUAGUUUUUCUUGUAUUCCCCCCUGAAAACAUUGAAAAACACGGAAAAAGGCGUAGGGGUAUGAACUCACCGGACGAGAAAUGUGACGAUUUGGAUGCUAAGAGUUGAUCCGGGGCUUGUAAAUACACGAGGUUCCUAAUUAUAAUGUAAAGAUACACAUUUGUAUCUAAUUAGGACUUAGUUUAUUUAUAUGAUAGGGACACUUGCUUCAAGUCGCGAAAACACUCCGAUACGAGUGUUUGGAGGGACCCGGGUGGCGUUUAAGGACGUGAAAUGACACUAGGGACUUGGGACUUGAGUUUACUCCCCAUGAGUAAACUAAUAUAAGAGUUUUUGGUCUAAAACACCCAUUCCCCAUGAGUUUACGGCCGUAAACUCAUGGUGGGGGUGGUUUAUGGUGCUAAAUGACUUCAAACACUUAGGGGAUAAUUUCUAGACUUGGUUUAAGGACUUGGAAUGAUUUCAAAGCAUCAAAUAGACCCUCUUAUGGGAAUUUACGGCCUAGCAUGGCUUCAUGGCCGUAAACUCCUAUUUUCUCAUGAAAAUGGUGUUAAAUGGUGCUAGAACAAAUCACACGUGAUUAAUAGAAUUAUUUCAAGGCCUAACAUGAGUUUGCAAGGGACAUUUGAGGGGUUUAUGGAGUUUACGGCCUAUGAGACCCCCUCAUGGCCGUAAAAUCUUCUAUAUGGUGAUACAAAGUGUUUUAAGGCCUAAAACAUGCAUGGAAGGACUUCUAAAAUUCAUCUAAGGCCCUUAGGGGUGUUUAGUUAGCAUUCUAACACCAUGAAUCAAGGAGUUUACGGCCCAAGCACAAGCCUUGGCCAUAAACUCUUAGAAAUCCCACAAAUAAUGUGUUUAAGGUCCUUAAACUAUUUUUGGUUGGUCCUAUGAUUUAUUCCAAGGCUUUUGGUGGUGUUGGAUGGCUUUCUAACACCUUAGAAUUGAAUUUAUGCCAAGUUUUGAGGAGUUUACGGCCCAAGCACAUGCCUUGGCCGUAAACUCAGAUAAGUCCCCCAAAAAUCAUGUUUCAAGUGUCCAAAUGCUAAAGCCAAUGUUCUAUAAUUCAUAUCUAAGCCAUACUAGUGAUUUAGAAGGGUUUAAGGUCAAGAAAACCCCUUGAAUAUGAGUUUACGGCCUAAGCUUGUGCCUUGGCCGUAAACUACUUCAAAGCCUUCAAAAUUCAUGUUUUAAUUGUCAUAAUUCCAUAUCUUGAAGUCCCUUAGCCAUAUCUAAAGUCCAAAUGAGUUUAGGAAGGAGUUUAAGGGCUUAAAACCCUUCAAAUUGGUGUUUACGGCCUAGGCAGCCUCCUGGGCCGUAAACUCACAUAUGUUGUCCUAUUUCAUGAUUAAAUGUCUAUUUGGAAGCCAAAUAUGCUAUAGAUUAAGGCUAGGAAGGUACCUUAGGGAUUUGAGGCCUUAAAAUUGAGUUUUGGACCCUUAAUCUUUGGAUUUAGGAGAGAGGUUAGAGAGAGAGUAGAGAGAGAAGGAAAAAAAAGCUUCAAAUGAGAGGUUAAACACUUUUAUAUAGUUCCUAAAACUUGGACACGGUGGAAUUCUACCCGAUACCGGCCUUAAACGAAGCUUUAGGUCGCACCCGAUUGAGUUUCCGUCACCCGACGAGGAUAUUUCUAAAACUUAUGAAAUAAAUGUUUUGGGCUAAAUUCAUGAGUUCCUAAAUGAUUUGGACCCUCAUUGAAUGAUAAUAAACAUAUAAUUUUAGUUAACUAAACCCAAAAACGAUAUCGGGACAUUUCGAUCUCCGACGAGUUAUACGGGUAAAAUGGGUUUUUGGCGAGGAACAACUUCGGGUUGUUACACCUGAGAAUAUAAGCGAUUUUGAAAGUGUAUCAACAUUUUAAGUUGGUGAGUGUAUAAGAAUGUUGAUGUAAUGAAAACCUGCCAAUGAAAUUAUGAAAAUGUUUUUAUGUUUCUCAAGAAAAUCCAAUAUUUUCUUUAGUAGAGUAGGGUAGUCUUAAACCUUAAGAACAAAAAUUUAUGUUCAUUACUAUAUUCUUUAGAAGUAGAUGAAAAUAUUAGUUUGUAAGCCUGGUUAUCACCAACUGUGUUGUAUAGUGUUGUUUUUUACGAAAACCUUUGGAUGAAAACCCUGGCUACCACCAGUAACUAUAGUGUGUUAUGUAUGAAAACACUGGCUACCGCCAUUAUGGUAUGGUAGUUUUUUACUUAACACAAAAGUAUACAUUUGUAUCCCCUGGAAACUUCCAUUGUAAUAAAUAGUAGUUCUAUUUAUUAAAAUGAAACUAAUGAAGAAUGAAAUUCCGUAAAAAUUGGUUAGUUUAUAUUGUUGUGAGUUUGAUAUAACCAUGCUUGGUAUGACCUAGUGACCUCUACGACGUUCUUCAGGCGUUAGAACGGUAUGAUAUUUGUCACCCCAGGCAUUCCUGCCUAACUGUAGCUAGCAAAUUAGGUGUGCGAUUGUAAGUCGCGAAUAGAUCUAUUCAUAAAUCUCACACUCUCCCUGCAGGAGACUUUGUUUAUACUGUGAUAGGAUAUAGUUCUGCACCCUGGAGGGUACAAUUGACAAAGUGCCUCUCAACUUUGUAUUAACUAGUUUACGUGUAGUGUUGUAGUGUUCUCUUGUACUUGAAACCAUAUGUAUGACUUGUACAGUAAAAAUCAUUAUUUAGUAUUGUACUCUUCUAUUCGGAAAAUAGUGUUGUUUACCAUUAACUAUAUCUACCAUAGUUUAUAUGUUUGUUAAUGUAUAAGCUCUUGAAUUUUAAAACCAUGUAUUGAAUCACAAACUAUACCUAUUAUAUUUUGCAUUUAUGUUAUGUACUCAAUUCACGUAUUAUACUGAAAACAUUGUAGUUAUGGUUGUAUGUUGAAAACUUCUCUUAUAUUCAGAAUGUUACAAAAGGGAUAUAAUAUCUAAAUAUAUUAUAAAAUGUAGUGAUUUCCUAGUUUGUAUCAAUUGCAUUAGUUAUAAAAUUGUUUGAUAACCUUAUGUAUAAGAACAUAAAAUUCCUUGAUUUGCUUGUAUUCCCCUUGAAAACGUUAAAAACAGUAAAACUAUGGGGGUAUGUACUCACGGUUGGUUAUGUGUAUGUGCCGGACAGCGAGGCUGCAAAGACGACCCUCUAGUUGGUGCAUGCGGGAUUAACGGUAUCCUAAUGAUAGUUAAACACAUAAUUGUAUUUGAAUUAGAAAAACCAAUAAUAAAAGUGUUAGAAAACACUUGUUUUUGUGCUAGGAAUGUUACCGAGACUUUGUUGAAGUGGAAAAGGAGGGUUUUCGGCCAAGGCUUCACAAAGUUCUGGGUCCAAAGCGGUUUUCAGCCGAACACACGUUUUUUUCCGAAAUCAUGGUUUAGUUAUGCUGGUGUUUUCGGAACUUGAAGAUAUGAAGGCUGUUCUUGGUGUUCUUGAGGAAAAACUUGAAGAUUUGAAGGUUCCUUCUUGAAGAUAAGGGUGUUCUAUGAUGAUCCUUGGGAGAGAAUUGAGAUUGUUUUCGGGUGGAAAGAGUGAAAAUGAACAUGUUCUCGGGUGGAAACACUUAUAGUGGUUAGGUUUUCAGCGAUAGAUGGGUUCUCGGCCAAUAACUGUUUCCGCCCGAGGGUUUUCGACCAAAAACGAGAGGCUGAAUAAGUCUUUGUUGUUUUUCGAGGGAAAACUUGAUUUUUCGAGCGAUUUUGGUUCCAACACUUAUAUCUGUUUUAAUUAUAUAAUUUAAUUGUUUUUUUAACCCUUACGAACUUAACGGAAUAAAUAAAAUUUGAAAUUAUAUUUAACGGAAAUGACUUUUGUUAACUGGAAAAGUAUCGGGUUGUCACAUCAUCCCCACGUUAGAGGGAAUUUCGUUCCGUAAGUCUUUCUAUGGAAUAAAAUCAUGGACUAGGAAAAAUAUGUGGGUACUUCUGUUGUAUCUGUUCUUCUCGCUCCCAAGUGAAUCCAGGUCCCCGCUUGGCAUUCCAGCGAAUCUUCACUAACGGUUGCGACUUUGUUAUGUUCGUUUGACUUUCCUAUCCAUGAUUUCGACUGGUUCUUCCAUGAAGUUAAAAUUCUCGUUUAACUCAACUUCAUCGAGUGGUGUCAUAAUGGUUUCUUCAGAUAGACACUUUUUAAGAUUCAAUACGUGGAAGAUGACGUGGAAGAUGGGAUGUAUGUUGUUAAGUUCUUGUGGCAAUUGGAGUUUGUUGGCUACCGGGCCCAUCCUAAUAAGGAUCUAGAGUGGCCUAAUGUAUCUUGGAUUUAGCUUUACACGCUUUUCGAAGUGUAUCAUGCGCUUCCCGCGUGAGACCAUCAAUAGAAUGCGGUCACCAACCUGGAAUUCCAUGGGUAUUCGUCUUCUUUCGGCGUAGCUCUUUUGUUUAUCUCUGGAAGCUUUUAGUACUUCUCUGAUUUGCACGAUCUUUUCGGUGGUUUCUCGAAUGAUUUAUGGGCUAGUGAGAGUGCUAUCACAUACUUGACCUCUAGCUCACUGCGUGUUACCCACCUCAGCCUAGCACAGAGGAGAUUUGCACUUACGGCCAUAGAAGGCUUCGAAUGGAACAAUUAUAAUACUAGUGUGAUAGUUGUUGUUGUAUGAGAACUUAACCAGGGGAAAAUGGGUGUCCCUCGACUUCUCAAAGUCGACAACACAUGCUUUCAGCAUGUCUUCUAGCAUUUGGAUUGUUCUCUCACUCUGUCUGUCGGUAUGCAGAUGGUAAGUUGUGCUCAUAUCCAGCUUAGUUCCAAGAGCCUUCUGUAGUGACUACCAAAAUCUCAAGGUGAAUCUACUAUCCCGAUCAGAGACAAUGGAUACGGGCACACCGUGCAGUCGUACUAUCUCUUGGAUGUAGGUUCGGGUCAGUCUCUCCAUCUUGUAUGUUUCUUUGAUUGGCAGGAAGUGGUCGGACAUGGUGAAUUUGUCGACGAUUACCCAAAUAGUGUCAUCGCCACUCGGGGUCUUGGGCAAUUUGGUGAUGAAGUCCAUCAUAAUCCGUUCCCACUUCCACUCAAGUAUUUACGGUUGUUAGAGUAAACCUGAGGGGUUUUGAUAUUUCACCUUCACUUUGGCGCAAGUUAUGCACUUUCCAACAAAGGUAGCAAUUUAUGCUUUCAUGUUGGUCCAUCAAUAGAGUUUCUUGAGAUCCAGAUACAUCUUAUCUGAACCUGGGUGAAUGGAGUAUCGGUUUCUAUGGGCUUCGUUCAUGACAACCUACCUGUAACCACCGAACUUUAGGGUCCAGAUCCGGUUCAUGAAAUAGUAAACUCCGUCUCCCUUGAUCUCUAGGUUCUUCUCCAUUCCCCUCAAGACUUCAUCCGACAUGUUCUCUGGUUUUAAGGCUUCUGGCUGAGCCUCUUUUAUUUGGGCGGAUAGAUGGAAAUGGAUGGUCAUUGUCAGUGCCCUCACUCUACGACCAAAGUACUCCUUUCAGCUAAGGGCAUCUGCUACCACAUUGGCCUUGCCAUGAUGUUAGCGUAUUUCACACUCGUAAUCAUUAAGUAGCUCUCCCCAUCCUCGUUGUCUCAUGUUAAGCUCUUUCUGAUUAAAGAUGUGUUGAAGGCUUUUGUGGUCGGUGAAGACAGUGCACUUGGUACCGUAGAGGUAAUGUCUCCAGAUCUUUAGUGCGAAGACCCCUGCUCCCAACUCCAAAUCGUGAGUUUUAUAGUUGAAUUUGUGUGCCUUCAGGUGUCUCGAUGCAUAAGCAGUAACUUUUCCUUGCUACAUGAGCACACAACCUAGCCCUUGGUUGGAUGCAUCACAGUAGACAAUGAAGUCCUCCGUCCCUUCUAGAAGAGACAAGAUAGAUGUGCUGCAAGGGGCCUGCUUCAAUGUUCGGAACGCAGUGUCUUGCUUUUCUCCUUAACUAAAGGCUACACCUUUUUGAGUGUAGGUGGUAAGAGGCUUAGCAAUACUGGGCAAGUUUUGAAUGAAUUUGCAAUAGUAGCCAGCAAGACCCAAGAAUUGGCAGAUUUCUGUGGGCGUCUUCGGUGCUGAUCAAUUCUUGAUUGCCUAAAUUUUGGAAGGUUCCACGUGUAUGCCUUCUUUGCUAACCAUGUGACCGAGGAAAGUUACCUUUAUAAUCCAAAACUCGCACUUUGAGAAUUUUGUGUAUAGUUUCUCUGGCCUUAAAUCUCCUAGCACUUGCCUCAAGUGUUGUCUAUGAUCUUCCUCACUCCGAGAAUAGACAAGUACAUCACCUAUGAAUACUAUCACGAACUUGUCAAGCAAGGGGCGUUACACCUGAUUCAUCAGAUCCAUGAAUACCACAGGUGUGUUGGUUAGACCAAAGGGCAUCACUACAAACUCGUAGUAACCAUAACGAGUCUGAAAUGUUGUCUUAGGAAUAUCGCCCUCAUGGAGUUGUAAUUGAUGGUACCCUAAUCUCAAGUCUAUCUUUGAGAAGUAGCUGGCUCCUUGGAUUUGAUCGAAGAGGUUGUCAAUUCUGGGUAGAGGGUAGCAGUUUUUAAUGGUGAGCUUGUUUAGUUCGCGAUAAUCUAUGUACAUCCGAAUGGACCCAUCCUUGUUUUUCACAAAUAAGAUUAGGGCUCCUCAUGGUGGGAAGCUUGGUCUGAUUAAUCCUUUGUUGAGAAAUUCAUUGAGCUAGCUGGAUAACUCUUGCAUUUCUGUCGGCGCUAGAGGGUAAGGGGAUUUGGCUACGGGGGUAGCUCCGAGGAUUAAGUCGAUUCUGAACUCGACUUGGCAUUCAGGAGGAACUCCUGGAAGAUCUUCGACGAAGAUAUCAGGAAAGUUGCGGACAUUGGGGAUGCUCUCAAGGUCUUUAACUUCCUGCUUUUUGUUUAUGACAUGGGCUAGGAAUGCAUGACACUCCUUUCGCAAAUAUCUUUAGGCUUUGAUGCACGAAAUGAUAUGAAGGUUUUAUAUGGGUUUAUCACCAUAGAUGAUGAGGGCUUUGCCAUUUCGCAGAGCGAGGCAAAUGGCUUUGUCGAAACAAUGAAUAUCCGCAUGAUGAAGGCUUAACCGGUCCAUGCCGAUGAUGACAUUGAAACUCUUGAUGGAUACCGACAUAAGAUUGAUGGGAAAGGAAUAAUCGUUUAGGAUGAGGUUACAACCUAUGAAUACAUCGUUAGUUCUCUCGUUCUUUUCGUUAGCCAUCUCGACUGUGAACGUUUCGGUUAGAGGUUGGGAUUUAUGCUUGAGUAGGUGUUUAAAUGCAUUACUGACAAAAUUGCACUCGACACCACUAUCCAAAAGAAUGCAUGCGUAAGAGUUUUCGAGGAGGAACGUACCCAUAACUACGGUGGGAUCAGCGACUGCCUCCUCCUGGCCCAUAGCAAGCUAUUUCCCUAUGUUGUCAGUUGUCGUUGUUUUAGGGCUAUUCCUCUUGAUGUCCUCAAUUUCACUACAACCAUAUCAUGCUUGUCUUACUCUAUCUCUCAGAGCUUGAUUGAUUGGUUGGAAUUAUGCUUUGCAAAAACAGGUUGUGUGCCCCUUAUCACCAAAAUUGUUGCAUUUCAUGUCAAGGAAAGGUCUGUGAUGUUGGAAGAUACACUUGUCGUACCUUGGUAGGGUUCUAGCAUAUCUACUGGUUGGUGCUUGAGUUGUGGCAAGAACAGCAGGAGCGAUAGCAACAUGAACUGCCACUAUUUGUUUCUUCUUGGAGGGCUCUUGUGAAGAUUUUCCCUUGUGCUUGUUCCAUAACUGUUUCUUUCAAUCACUCUCCUUGGGUGGUUCAUGAAUGGAUGGCACAGGAUUUUGACAUUCCUCGUGGUCAAUCAAGGUCAGCGCUAAUCAUUUGGCACUAUCAAAUACCAGCGGGUUGGCAGCCAGCACAUUCCAUUGCGUUGGGGGAGUUAAUCCCCAUAUGAAUCUCUCUACCCUGUGGCGCUCCGUGGUAACCAUCCCAAGACCUAGAAGAGCAAGUUCACUAAAGCUCUCAUUGUAAGCAGCAAUAUCGGAGCCCUUCAUCUUUAGGCUCCACAUCUCCUACUCCAGCUUUUGCAGCUCGCCCUGCGGGCAGUUUUCGGCGAGCGUUAGUUCCUUCAGAUCAUCCCAACUCAUGGCAUUAUCCACAGGGAGAUUUAGGGAUUUGACUUGGCUAUUCAACCAAGUUAGUGCUCUGUUAGUGAAGGUGCAGGCUGCAAACUUCACCUUGCUGGAUUCGGGGCAAGCACAUAUCUCGUAAAUUGAUUCGGUCUUCUCGAACCUACGAGUUAGGGCAAUGACACCUCCAGUGCCAUCGAAAGACUGAGGUUUGUCAUUUGUGACUGUCACCAAGGUUGGGUGUGGAGGCACCACUACCCACCCCGCUAAUGCCACUUGUGUUGAUCUGGGAUAUGGCAACUAUCACCGUUGCUUGAAAAAUAACAGGAUCAUACUCAGGAGUUGGUGGAGGUGGAUCUAUCGAAGGGUUGUUGUUCUUUAUGUUAGACUUCUUCUUCGGAGGCAUCUUUCUCUAAAAUAAUUAAAGAGAAAAGGAUAGUAAUUCCUCUAUGAUGAUUCUGAGUCAGGUGAUGUCGAACAAGAUAUAUCUCAACCUGACAGAUAUAGUGUUUUAUUAAGCGGUUUAUAAUGGAAGUCUACUCACACAAGUAAACAAUAGCUAGAAAAUAAAUAGCAACACUUGGAAUGAAAUAUCUAAAAUGUGUUUGGCUCAAGGUAAAAUACUCCCAUAGUAUUUUAGGUUGUAUGUUAUGUUCUAUUGUUCCGUUAUGUAUAGAGUUUGAUAAGUUUUAGACUUGCUGCAACACCACAGUAACUCCUAAAAACAUGUUACUCAUAUCUCAAAUAAAAAUAGUUGAUUAGGCUAUAUUUAUUUUAGAUAUGAGUACAUAACUAUCUAGUUUUAACUGCAGUGUACAACAUGUAAAUACUUUUGUUUCGUUCUUCUUGUGAUACUCUUUCUGGUAUGUAUGUAUAAUUGUAUACUUCUUAUUGAAACCUUAGGUUUUUAAAAGUGUACUUUUACUUCAGAGCGCUUCGGCCCCUUAGCAUUUAUAGUUGUAUAUCAUGUAAGGUUCGAUAUACUCAGUUAACUAUAAACAAUAGCUUUGAUACCAAUCUGUCACACUCCUAAACCAAGACUGCAGAAACAUUCGGGGGUGGAGGACAUCAUGUACAAUAUCACAACAAUUGCAUUAUAGUAAUCAAAGUAAACACAACCAUUACAUUGAGUAUAUAAGGUAUUUACAUAUGUUUGACAUGUAGUUUGUAUACACCAAAAGUAUAACAUAAGUAUCAAAGACGCGACUCUAAAAGCUCCAUCUUCUUAAAAGCCUGUGGGUGUACCUGUCUACUGGUUCCCUGAGAAUACAAGAGAUUUUGAAAGUGCAUCAACAUUUAAGUUAGUGGGUUCAUAAGAAUGUUUUUGUAAUGAAAACUUGCCAUUUAAAUUGUGAAAAUGUUUGUAUGUUUCUGAAGAAAAUCCAAUAUUUUCUUUAGUAGAGUAGAGUAGUCUCAAACCCUAAGACCAAAAAUGUAUGCUCAUUACUGUAUUUUGUUGUAGUAUAUGAAAAUAUUAGUUUGUAUGCCUAGUUGAAACCGGCUGUGUUGUAUAGUCCUGUUUUGUACGAAAACCUUUGUAUGAAAACCUUGGCUACCACCAGUAAGUAUAUUGUGUUUUGUAUGAUAACCCUGGCUACCGCCACUAUAGUAUGGUAGUUUUAUUACAUGAAAUAAGACUUUACAUUUGUAUCCCGUGGAAUCUUCCAGUGUAAUGAAUAGUUUUUCUAUUAAUUAAAAUGAAACUAAUGAAGAAUGAAAUUCCGUAAACAUUGGUUAGUUUAUACUAUUGUGAGUUUAAUAUAACCAUGCUUGAUAUGAUCUAGUGACCUCUACGACAUUCUUCAGGCGUCGGAACGGUAUGAUAUUUGUCACCCCAGGAAUGCAUGCCUAACUGUAGCUAGCAGUUUAGGUAUGGGAUUUCCAGUCCCGAAUAGAGCUAAUCAAAAAUCUCAAGCUCUCCCUACAGGAGAAUCUGAUUAUAUUGUGUUAGGAUUUAGUUCUACACCCCGGAGGGUACAAUUGAAGUAGUUCCAUACAAUGUCUGUAUUAACUAGUUUACGUGUAGUGUUGUAGUGUUCUCUUGUACUUGAAACUAUAUCUAUAACUUGUAGAAUAAAAAUAAUUAUAUUAAAUAAUUAUUUAGUAUUGUACUCUUGUAUUUAGAAAAUAGUGUUGUAUACCAUAAACUAUAUCUACCAUAGUUUGUAUGUUUGUUAAUGUAUAAGAUCCUGAAUUGGUAAAACCAUGUAUUGAAUCCCAAACUAUACAUAUUAUAGUUUGCAUGUAUGUUAUUUACUCGACUGAUAUUGUACUGAAAGCUUUGCAAUUAUAGUGGUAUGUUGAAAACUUCCCUUAUGCUCAGCAUGUUACAAAAGGGAUAUAAUAUCUAAAUAUAUUAUAAAAUGUAGUGAUUUCCUUGUUUGUAUCAAUUGCAUAAGUUAUAAAACUGUUUGAAACCCUUUUAUAUAAGAACACAAAAUUCCUUGAUUUGCUUGUAUUCCCCCUGAAAACGUUACAAACAGUAAAAGUAUGGGGGUAUGAACUCACAGUUGGUUAUGUGUAUAUACCGGACAACGAGGCUGAAAAGAUGACCCUCUAGUUGGUGUAUGAGGGAUUAGCGGUAUCCUAAUGAUAAUUAAACGCAUAAUUGUAUUUGAAUUAGCAAAACCAUUAAUUAAAGUGUUAGAAAACAUUUUUUUGUGUUAGGAAUGUUACCGGGACUUGGUUGAAGUGGAAAACAAGGGUUUUCGGCUAAGGCUUAAUUAGGUUCUCAGUCCAAAGCGAUUUUCGGCCGAACACACGUUUUUGGCCGAACACACAUUUUUGGCCGAAAUCACGGUUUAGUUGUGCUGGUGUUUUCAGGCUUUGAAGAUAUGAAAGCUGUUCUUUGUGUUCUUGAGGAAAAACAUGAAGAUUUGAAGGUUCCUUCUUGCAGAUGAGGGUGUUCUAGGAUGAUCCCUAGGAGAGAAUUGAGAAAGCUUUCGAGCGGCAAGAGUGAAAAAUGAACAAGUUCUCGGGUGGAAACCUUUAUGGCGGUUAGGUUUUCGGCCGAAGAUGGGUUCUCGGCCGAUAACUAUUUUUGGCCCGAGGGUUUUCCACUGAAAACGAGGGGCUGCAUAAUCUUUGUUGUUUUUCGAGGGAAAACUUGUUUUUCAAGCGAUUUUGGUUCCGACAUUUAUCAAAGUUAUAAUAAUAUAAUUUAAAUGGUUUUCUAGCCCUUACGAAUUUAACGGAAUAAAUAAAAUUUGAAAUUGUAUUUAACGGAAAUGACUUUUGUUGACUGGAAAAGUAUCAAGUUGUCACACUUUAUACUUUAGAAGGCUUGCAAAUGAAGAAUAAGUUCCAAAUCCAUGGUGCUUCACUCUUACAAGAUGAGAUUAGCUUCCUUCCUUCUUCUUCUAAAACCACAAACACACACUUUAAGGCUUGACAUGGCUUCACAAGGUGGUUAUAGCGUUUUAACACGAAUGAGAGGGUGGAGGUUCAUAAGAUGAAGGGAAAUGAGGCCAUAAGGAUGCUUAAAUACAAGUCAAACCCUGAAAAUUAGGGUUUCCCAAUUUGGCAAUUAUGCCCAACGUAUACUGAUAUACGCCCAGCAUACUAAGGCGCGCCCUAGUACGCUCAGCGUACACCACAUACGCAUGGCGUACUCCGAAGCCCCAACAUUUUCAAUAAUGUCAUUAGGGUCCCAUUGCAUAAUUUCUUGAACUAAGGGAUCAAAAUACAACAAAAAUUAACUAAAGGACAGAAAUUAGAAGUACCUUAAAAUCAGGAUGUUACACACAUGGUUUUUCAUUAUCAUGAGAUGCAAAACUUGUUUCAUUUAUCUUUUUGGAAAACCUUAGCAUUAUAAUUGGAAAAAAAAUAAUUGUCACAAUGUCAUAAAAAUUAACAAAUUAUAAAUCUAAUUAUAAUCUAAACAGUUAAUACAAGUUUACUACUCCUCAAUUAAUUUUAGAGCAUCAUUGUUAAUAUCAUAAAAGUCUAAAUCAAACUAUUAAUUAAACAUAUAACAAAACUAUACUGCAUUUAAUGAUGUUUGAAUAAAUCAAAUUUAAAACCAUAAAUGAUGAACCAUUGUAUAAAGUAAUUUGGUAAAAUGGUAAAUUUCAUUUUGUACAUGUAAUUUCAUAAAAGAUAAUAGUAAAUAUGAUUUCUGCUAUUUGGGAAUAUGAUACUGUCUAUGUCAUGCUAUUGUCAGUACUAUAAACCACACCAUCAUAGAGAGAGAGAGAGAGUCUAUUAAACAAUUAAUAGAGUACCAAGUCCAUUAAACAAUUUACACUUUGUGUGGCCUUUUCAGAUUUGUAGUUUCAAAGUUUAUAAAGUACAAAAGAAAGAGGGUUGAACAUAGACUCCCAUAAAAAUGGAGUCUGAGACAAUAUAUAGUGAUAGGAAGAUGAAGUUCAACCUUUUCAGUCACCCGAGAGUGGUAGAUGAUUGUGUCGCUGCACAACAAAAAACGUCGAUGGGCUUAAGAGCGGUUAAGGACGGUGACAAUGAGUAAAGAUUAUGUAGUUUUUGUUUUUUUAGGGUUUACGCAUUUUCUAUCUUUUUAUCUUUUAUUCCCCAAAAUUUCUUUGUUAAUUUCUUGUAUUUAACGUGUUUAUAAGAAUUUUUUUUUUAUUUCUUAUAUUUAACAAGUUUGAAAAAUCAAAUAUAAAUUAAGAUGCUUAUAAAUCAGAUUGCUUUCCUGGAUAAGUAUCUUCUAAUAUCCAAAUAAAUAUGUAUAUAUAUUAGCCAUUAAACUAAUUUUUAACAUGUGUCCAUAUAAAAUUUAUUAUAUAACUUAUAUAAAAAUCCAAAAAAUAAUGCGUGUCAAUGGACACUCUUGGCCUAUAGGUGCGAUCACCCUUGUUUCUACCGGUAUACUUUAUUAACUAUAAAUAAGAAACUAAAAUAAUCUAAUUACAUAAAUAAGGGUGUCCAUGGAUGCCCUUGGCCUAUAGGUGGGAUCUCCCUUGUUUAUUGUUUCUACCUAUAUACUUUAUCAAUGCAAGGAAAAAGGCAAGUAGCAGCGACAAAAGACGCCGCUAAAGGGUCACGACGUCGUCGUUAAUGGUAAUAGCGGCGACACGUCGCCGGUAAUAAGUCUCUGCUAGCGCCCCAUCGCUAUUGAUCAAUUUGUCGCCGCUAAAGAGAAUAGUCGCCGCUAAUUGUUGUGUCGCCGGUAAAGAGUGUAGUCGCCACUAAUGCGAAUGUCGCCGUUAAAGAGUAUAGUCGCCGGUAAUAACAAUUUUCAUUUUAUAAUUUUUUGUAAUUAACGAUUUUGGUUGCCGGUAAUAGUGUCACCGGUAAUUACAUAACAACAUCCGAUUAAAUAUCAAAAAUCAUAGUGUCACCGGUAAUAGUGUUGUCAGUAAUUACAUAAAACAACCAAAAGUUUACAAUUCUAACAAAUAGAAAAGCGUGACAACAAGUGUAAUAUAAAAAUAAUGCUCUCCCUACAAACCAUCAUCUUGGUUUCCAUCGUUUCCUUGAUUAUUCUGUGACUGAAAAAACAAAUAAAGUUCAUCCCUACAUGCCAGGUCGUUGAGUAUUGCCCGAAGAUUUUCCACCUACAUAAUAAAUAACAACAUAUAUAAACUUAUGAGUUAAUUUAUCAAACAUAAACAAAAACUAUAAAAAAAAAAACAUUGCUAUUUUUAAAUUAAGACAAAAAGCCAAAGUACAUAGUUAUUUCUUGCACUUGGGACAAAAACCCAAUUACCAAAGUUUUUAGCAAAUAAUCACUACAAAACUAAAAUUACCAAAUCAACAUGCAUUUUAGGAUGCCAAAAGUAGAUUGCUAUUUUAAAACUAAGAUAAAAACCCAAAGUACAUUGAUAUUUCUUACACUUGGUACAAAAACCCAAUUACCAAAGUUUUUAGCAAAUAAUCACCACAAAACGAAAAUUACCAAAUCAACAUGCGUUUUAAGAUGCCAAAGUAGAUUGUUAUUUUUAAAUUAAGACAAAAAGCCAAAUACUUUUCUAUUUCUUGCACUUGGGACAAAAACCCCAUUACUAAAGUUUUUAACAAAUAAGCACCACAAAACGAAAACUACAAAAUCAACAUGCAUUUUAUUAUGCCAAACUAGAUUGCUAUUUUUAAACUAAGACAAAAAGCCAAUGUACAUUGCUAUUUUCUUGCACUUGGGACAAAAACCCAAUUGCCAAUGUUUUUAGUAAAUAAUCAUCUCAAAACCAAAAUUACCAAAUCAACAUGCAUUUUAUGAUGCCAAAGCAGAUGGCUAUUCUUAAACUAAGACAAAAAAACCAAAGUAGAUUGCACUUGGGACAAAAAUCCAAUUACCAAUGCUUUUAGCAAAUAAUAACAACAAAAAACCAAAGUAGAUUUUUUACAUGUGAUGGUUGUGAUGGUUAUGGUGAUGGUUGCGAUAGCUGUGAAAUCGGCAGGAGAGCAUAAGAUUUACGAUUGAUGCCUCUUAUAUGGCCACGUCGUUCUCCUAAUACUCUCUCAAAAGCAACUCUUUCUUGAGUAGGUGUUAACUCACUUUCACCUUGGGUUUGUUUUAAGAGCUCUUCGACUAACCGAUUCUAGAAUUCCCAAAAGUGGGUAACAGUUAAGUACAAAUAAACACUUAAUUAUAUGAGAAAAUUAUAAUUAAGUACUUACAUAUUGUUGUUCCGCCUCGGUAGAAAGAAAUACACCAUCCCUAUCGAUAUGAGCCUUGCAAAACGUUUCCACUCUCUUAACGUUUUUCUUAACAUUAAAAAUUAGAUUAUAUUUUAAAUAAAUAAUUACAUGUAUCGUACGUUACCUUUUUAUAGCAAGUACUUCUAUACGAGCUUGAACCCCCACGAUUCACGUUCGUUUGCAUUUGCGAACUUUUUUGUUCGUGAAGCAAUUAUGUGUUCGUCCGUUUGGAAAUACUUAACUGCUUUCUUCCAGUUAUCACCAUCCAUACCCUUAGCAGGGUUGGCUAAUGCUCUUGGGAUAUCAUCAUACCCUCCGACUGCCAAAAAAUAUUCUUUUGCGUCAGCUUUACAGUCUCAAUAACCUUUUAACAAAGUUGCUUGAAAACUCUUUGUCAACGUAUUAGCUUGUACAUCCUGAUAAAUCUGAUCUAAACCAAACUUUGUCUAAGAAAUAAAAAAAAAUAAGUUAACCAAAUAAAAACCAGUCAUAAUUAACCAUAUAAAAUAUUUUUAAAUAAAUAAUUACGCCUAAAUUUUGUAUUACAGUGUCCUUUAUUGUAGGGAAAUUUUUUUCCAUGUCCAUUUAUCGAGAGGGACCGUAUGCCACAUUAUUUUUCCAACUUCUCGUGAAAACGUGUCUUUUGACUCUUCUAUGGGAUCAUAUGUUAUCUCCCUAUUAUAAUCCAUGGUAAUCGGUUUGCCCUUAUUCUGUAACAUCGCUCUUUCAAACUUUAUAUUUUUGGCUUUGCCUCGGACAUUCCUACGUGCAUGUUGCUCAACUAAAAUAUAAUUAAAAAUUAUUAUAAGCAGUAUUUAAUUUAUAAUAAUUGUAUAAAAAUAGUAAAUAAAAGUUCAUAAUAAGACUUAUGGUCCUGCUCAUGAUGACCAACACCUCUAUCACCUGGGAGAGGUGGAUCCUCAGCUCCAUCACCCCCGUGUCCACGGCCCAUAACAACAACCAUGGUANGGGUCCUCAGCUCCGUCAGCCCUAUGUCCACGACCCAUAACAACAGCCAUGGUAUACACAAACAAAAGUCAUAUUGACAUCAUUUCUAGAAAAAUUAUAAGAUAUACAAAUACAACUUUUAUUACAAAUAAACAUUACAUAGAAAUAAACAUUUAAAUAGGAAUAAACAUUUUUAUUUAAACCAUGAAUCCAAAUAAAGUUCAUAUUACAAACACGUAUUUCCUUAAAAAUAUUCUAAUCGGAAUCCUCCUUAUAUCCUUUGGUGUCUUCUUCAGUAUCAUAAUCAGAAUCAGUAUCAUCGUAAUUAGUCUCGCAAUCAGAAACAUCAUUACUCUACCAGUUGGCGGAGGAAGUUCAGUUGAACUUUCUACAUCAACAAUGACUCUAGGAAUGUUUUGAAAGUACAUGCUGAAAUCAAUAAAAAGUGGAGCAUUGGAUAAAGAGAUAUUUUGAAGUAUGUCGACAUUGUCUACAUUUUCGUGUGAGCCAUUGUCAACAUUUCGGACAGUCACUGUGAACAAGUUGGACACGAUCAUCGUUUGAUGGUAGAUCCCAAAGACUUUGAUGAUUAACUUGCUUGACAACACAUUGAUGGUUAUUGUUUGGCUCUCUGAUGUAGAACACUUGUUUGGCUUGUGAAACAUAUAUGAGUUUAUCAUCUUUGUAUGCUUCGAGUCAUGUGUCGAUAUUAGUGAAAUUAUCAUUAGAAAUAACUCUUGUUCAAGUAUCAAACCACUUGCAAUGAAAUAGUACAGUUGAAUAAUCAUGCGUAUACCUCAACUCUAUAAUCUCUUCUAACUGGCCAUAAUAUUUCUCGCCUUCCUCACCCACCGCUAAAACCCCAGAGUUUUGUGUUGUGUGUUGUGCGUCACCAGUAAGUACCAUAAACCUAACACCGUUGUGUGUUGUGCGUUGUGCGUCACCACAUGUUACCUUUUCAGGAAACCAAUUACAAAAUUCUCUCAUGAAAGAGUAUUUUUCAAGGGAUCUAUGAAACUUCACACCAUUUUUUUGCAUCCAUUCAUUUUUCCGAAUGUUUAGAAUUCUUAAGUCCUCUCGUGCAUUUGAUGUUUUACUUUUACCGUUCAUUAGAAAACUACCUAACAAACUCCUGUUCACAUUUUUUUGGACGUGCAUGAGAUAUAUGUUCUUCUUCAACUAUAGAGAAGACCAAUACUCGAGUUCAAAGAAAAGGCUUCGUUUCGACCGGUUCAACUCGUCAUCUUGCCGCAUUGACUCCCCACGUCCAUGCUCAGGAUGUUUACCUGGUUUACAAGUUUGUAGACGACCUAGUUGCUCUUGUAUGUUGUCAUUACUAAAGUGUCUCGAAGCAAGUCUUGUCUCUUCCAACCCGUUAAAGUCAAACCUCUUUCUUAAUGGAUCGUUAGCAUCUAGGAAACAAUGAUGACCGAUAUAUACGGCUUUAUUUGUUGCAUGGUUUGAAAGAGUGUCUUCAUUGCAAGUAGCACAUGCUCUAUACCCUUGCCAAACCCAGAAAAUUAAGGUUUCCCAAUCUGGCAAGUACGCUCACUGUACAAUGAGUACGCCCUACGUACUAGGGUGCGCCUUACUAUGCUCAGCAUACACCACGUACGCAUGGAUUACUCCAAAUCCACAAAAAGUACAAUAAUACCAUUAGGGUUCCAUCACAUACUUUCUUGAACUAAGGGACCAAAAUGCAACCUAAAUAAAUUAAAGGACUAAAAUUAGAAGCCCCUUAACAUCGGUAUGUUACAUACAUGGUUUUUCUUUAUCAUGAGAUAAAGAACUGGUUUCGUUUAUCUUUUAGAAGAACCUUAACAUUAUAAUUGGAUUAAAAAAAUAAUCGUCACAAAGUCAUACAAUUUCAAAGAUUCUAAAUCUAAUUAUAAUCUAAACAAUUAAUAUAAGCUUACUACUCAUCUAUUAAUUUUAGAGUAUCACUGUUAAUAUCGUAAAAGUCAAAAUCAAACUACUAAUUAAACAUAUAAUACAACUAUACUCCAUUUAAUGAUUGUCGAAUAAAUCAAAUUUAAAGCCAUAAAUGAUGAACCAUUGUAUAAAGUAAUGUGGUAAAAUGGUAAAUUUCAUUUAGUACAUGUAAUUUGAUAAUCGGUAAUGGUAAAUAUGAUUUCUGCUAUUUCGGAAUAUGUUGUUGUCUAUGUCAUGCUAUUGACAGUACUAUAAACCACACCAAUAGAGANUAUAUAUAUAUAUAUAUAGAGAGAGAGAGAGAGAGAGAGAGAGAGAGCAAGUCUAUAAAACAAUUAAUAGUGUACCAAGUCCAUUAAACAACUUCCACUAUGUAUAACCUUCUUGUGAUUUCUAGUUCCAAAGUUUAUAAAGUAAAAAAGAAAGAGGGUUGAACAUAGACUCAAAAAAAAUGGAGAGUUUGAGACAGUAUGUGGUGAUAGGAAGAUGAAGUUCAAGCUUUUCAUUCACCAGAGUGGUAGAUGAUUGUGUCGCUGCACACCAAACAACGUCGAUGGGCUUAAGAGCGGUUACGUACGACGACAAUGAGUAAAGAUUAUAUAACUUUUGUUUUUUUAGGGUGUAUGUAUUUUCCGUCUUUUUAUCUUUUAUUCCUCAAAGUUAGUUGUUAAUUUCUUGUAUUUAACGGGUUUAUAAGAAUAUUUUUUUUCUUGUAUUUAACAAGUUUGAAAAAUCAAAUAUAAAUUAAGACGAUAUUUAUAAAUCAGAUUGUUCUCCUGGAUAAGUAUCUUCUAAGAUCCAAAACUAUUUUUUAAAAAGUUUGAAAAAUCAAAUGUAAAUUAAGAUAUUUAUAAAUCAUAUUGUUUUCUUGGAUAAAUCUGUAUAUAUAUUAGCCAUUAAACUAAUUUUUAACAGGUGCCAUCCAAAUUUAUUAUUUAACAUACAAAAAAAAUCCAAAAAUAAGGGGUGUUCAUCGACUCCCAUUGCCUAUAGGUGGGAUUACCCUUGUUUCUACCUUUAUUACUUGAUGUACUAUGAAUAAGAAACUAAAAUAAUCUAAUUACCUAAAAUACGCAUGCCCUAAGAAGAUACUAUUUAUUUUUCUAAAUCAUCCAUAAUUUCCAUGUUUAUGAGAUAGCAGAAAAAAUACAUUGCUUUUUUUCAUAUAUAGUGUGGUAUAAGUAAUUGUGUUAAGUAGCAUUGUACUAAAGUAAGAUGAGAAAAAAUGACCAUUUUACCCCUAAAUACCACUUAUUUUGUUUCCUUUUUGUUGUUUAUUGUGGAAUAUAGAACUUUAGCGUUAGCGGUGGAGUAUAUAGUAUCGACGAUGAGUCUAGGUUUUCUUGGCAUUACUCAUGGAGCAAUACGAUGUAAGAGAUGCUUGACACAAUUAUCACGUUACCAAUAGUUAAUUCUGGUAAGUUCCUUAAAUCGAAAUUUAGUUUUCAAAUAUAGACCAUUUUUACAAAUGUGUUUUGAUAAUUGUUCUAUACUAUGUUAUUCUGGAAAUUAAUGUUGGACCAUCAAUGGAUAUUUACCAACAAACUUGAUCCUCGAGAAUAAAUCGUCCACAGGAAGUUUGUGCAUGUGUUAUGUUUCUUGCAUGCUUAUCAAAAUUCAUUCAAUUGUCGUUCACAUGUUCUAGAAGUCACAUUGCGUUGAAACAAAAAAGGAAUCCAAAGAUACUUUAAAUGCAAAGUCGCAAUAAAUAUAACACAAUAUGCAGACGUAAAAACACCGGGUGUGAGUAAUCCUAUUAUCAUCCAAAUAAACUUUUCGAUGUAACAUGCAAAAAAUCAAAUCUUUUUCGUUGAACUUUCUUAAACUUAUAGAUUACAACUCGAGGGAAUGUAAAACGAUAAAUAUGUGUACAAUUUUACCUUAUGUACAUUAUUAACAUCAGUGUCUUCAUGUCAUUUAAUUUUAAAAUUAAUAUAAUUGUCAGUACAUAUGAUUAUUAUGAUUCAUUAAACACAAUUAUAAUUUUAACUUUUAGUGAAACCAUUAAUUUUAUAGCCACACAUUAUAUUAAGUUUGUGCUAAUUACACACUUUGAUGUUGAAUGGCUAAACAAUCAAUAUGGUAUACUCAACCUGGAAAAAUCACAAUGUCAAAUGAUAGAAGAUAUUCUCACUUAAAAAAGAAAGAAAAAUGUAAUAAGUAUUUUUUCUAAAAAUAUAAAUAAAGAUAGUAUGGCCAUUUACAAAUAACAACUGUUAAAAAAUAUUUAUAUAUAGUAAGGACUACUAUGGUCAUUUACAAAUAAGAGAUCUUAAAAAUUGUUAUUUUGCGUAAUGGUUGGGCUGUAUGCGAAGAAAUGUAAAAUUUUAGGGGAGGUGGAUGCAAAUCACCAUCGCUAGAGAUCAGGAUUAGGGUUCACGCCCACACUUUUCUUACUAUAUAUAUAUAUUAGAUGUUGAGUUUCAUUUGCAUACGAUUCACAGCCGCUGUCAUAAUCUACCUUGUGAAUCUAANAUAUAUAUAUAUAUAUAUAUAUAUGUAUAUAUUAGAUGUUCAGUUUCAUUUUCAUACGAUUUCACAGCUGCUGUCAAAAUCGACCCUGUGAAUCUAAUAGCAUUCACACGAUAUAUUUUUUCUGAAAAUCAUCCAUUGUUUUGAUAAAGUUAUCGAUCUGCGUAUUUUUUGGUCAUCAUAGUCAUCAAGACUUUUAUGUGUCGAUUACGAAAAAAAAAAAUCUCUAUCAUGCUUCUAGAUCCAAAAACUAGCAAAGAUCCGCAAUACGAUAUAUUUUUCUUCUUGUAGUGCUAGUUGAAUCAGAUAGAUACCAGUUAGGUGUUCAUAGCAUUUCAAGAGUCGGUUUUGUGGGUUUGUUCAAAGGUAAGUUUAUAAAAGGUUUUCUUAUGUAAUUGUUUUGAUGCCAACAAAUUUUUAAUGCCAAUAUUUAGUAACGCUUCAGUAGGGUCUAAAUCUUUCUGAAUGAUGUUUGGAGAUGAUGGCGAUCUUGACGGAAGUUGCAGAUCUGAUCACUAGAUCUUGACAUGCUUAUUACUUAAAUAUCAAUAAAUUUGGUUCCUGUAGUAUUCUGCUUGUUUUAGUUUUGGUCCAAGGUUAAAGUGGUCAUUAGAAAAUAUCAAGUAAUGCUGUGUCUUCAUUUCUGAUUGUUACAUUUAUCCUCCUUGUAGUGUGAAAGGGAAUAUCGUAUAGGGUGUUUGAGGCACAUAAUAAUAUGGAUCUGAAGGUUUGUUAAUUUGAAUCUCAAUUUGCUCAAAUUCCAACGUUUCUCACUUGAUUUAAUAUGAGAUUGUUGAUCUGAAGGUGUGCUUUCAUUUCGGAGGAAUCAGAAUCGGAAUCACCAAUUCCGAUGUGAAGUGGAUUGUUUUCCUUGGGAAAGAUGUUUCUGAUGAAUGGUUUCACAACCUCCCAAAACCACACAACAACACCAGAACCUACUGUGUAUCCUGUGUAUUAAAAACAAUUAACUAGGCCAAGGUUGGUUAAAUUAAUCAUGUAUAUAUGUUUAUAAUUUUGUUUAAUAAAAUAUACUCACAGUCAAUCUCUGGGAGUCCACUGAUGAGCAGAUCAAGCUCUUUAUCAUUAAAAAUAGAAAUAAGGCCACUUUACCUUACCCUUUCCGAUGUCAAGUGGAUUGUAUGCCUUGCCAAAGAUGUUUCUAAUGACAACAAAGUGUUGCUUUGACAAGCAGUUGAUAUCUUUCAUCUGAGUAUAAACUAUAAACUAUAAAAUAGUGUUUUUAUUGUUAUUCUACAAUGUUGCUACAGAUUAAUCAAUUGAUAAGCAUUUAUUUAUUUUUGCUGGUUUUCAUUUAUUGUAAGAGAAUCGCUUCACAUCUAUUAUUGAUUCCAUUACUGGAAGUGAUUUUAUUCCAUCAAUGGUGACAUUCUAAGGAACAACUUUGUUAGAAAUGUAGGUGGUGGGUCCUCAAGGUGGAAUUACUUUUCAAGAUGGUUUUAGUUUUUGUCUUUGCAUGGAGAAGUAAAGUAAACAAUGAGUGAAUGAGUAAUGAAUACCCAUUUGGUGGAUUUAUAUUUGUUGGCUUUAAAAUAUAGAUUUGAUGUAUGUUUCAAG